GUGAGACCCCAUAUAGUCAUAUAUAUGAGAUAUAAUAUGGCUAAACUCUUAACCCGGCUUAAGCAUUUUGGGUGGUGGCAAGACCCAAGAGGUUAAGAGAGUUAAGCGUGCUAGGACGGGAGUAGCCCUAGGAUGGGUGACCCCCUGGGAAGUCGGGGCGUCACAGAUGGUAUCAGAGCCAAUUACCAGCCGGAAGUGUGAGAUGAGUCUCGGCUGAGCCAGGGUCUGGAUGACGGGCUAGCGAGACGAGUCUCACAUCGCCUGGUACUUGUGAGUCUGAGCCUGACGAGGACGUCAAGGCUUAAAGGAGGGGAGAUUGUGAGACCCCAUAUAGUCAUAUAUAUGAGAUAUAAUAUGGCUAAACUCUUAACCCGGCUUAAGCAUUUUGGGUGGUGGUAAGACCCAAGAGGUUAAGAGAGUUAAGCGUGCUAGGACGGGAGUAGCCCUAGGAUGGGUGACCCCCUGGGAAGUCGGGGCGUCACAAGAUUUAUCGAAUAUAUUUACUUUAAUAGCCUUUAAUUUUAACUUUGUCACUGAUUUAAGAAAAAAUAAUAAUAAAAUUGAUAAUAAAAAGAGAAAAACGAAAUAACAGGGGGCAAAUUGAUACACUUUAAACCACAGGGCAGGGGAGUUUUUGAAGUUAUCCCAUAAAUCUAUAUCUAAACCAAGGACCUCAAGAACAUUUGAUAUUUUAGUAAUUCCUAAAAUAUUUACCUUCAACACCCCCUUUAAUUAUUUGUCUUGUGCUUCACGAAAAUGACGAUCUCUUUUUUUGACCGGUUUCUCAAUUGAUCAAUCUAACUUGAUAAAUAAUUUUUUCUUUCUAUCAUAUGCAACACCGCAAUCUAAAUACCAGAUAUUUUUUGAAUAAUUAUUUAUGAUGCAACAAGCAAAAAGAACAUCAAAUUUUACAUUACUUAGCAUGGACUGGUGCAUUAUUUUUCUUUUUUAAUUGACAAAAUCUUUUAGUGUGGUCAAAUUUCUUACGAUAAUAACAUUAGAUCUUCUCAUAAGUGUUACUACUCCGUUCGGAUCCAUUUAAUCUGUCACCACUUCGUUGAUUUAUCACCCCAGAUCUGCCUCCAUGUUUGUUGUGACACCCCAAUAGUCCCACAUCGGAUGGGAAAGGGAUUGUCAUUAGGUUUAUAAGAGACUUAGACACUAGUAAUAAUAACUGGGCUUAAGUAUUUUGGGCCGAUUGUUGGGCCCAACGAGUUAUUGUUGUUAGUGGGCUGGGUCGUUACAUUUGUUUCCUCGGCCACGACCAUGACCACAUCCUUUACCACGACCUUAGGCUUUGUAAAAUUUUCUCAACAACAGUUUCAUCAGUAGUAGCAUGACUAUAAAUACGCAACAUUGUAACAACUUCCAUCAUUUCUCAACAAAAUUUUUUUUUUUUUUUUUGCAUAAAUAUAGUUUUACAUUUUUUUUAGGGUUUGAACAAUAGAAGGUGCAUUCGCGUCAUCCUUUGUGCUAUCUGGCCUUGCCUGCGCGUCUUCAUAUUGAAACACCAGAAAUCGUAGUUCAUCCCUUUGAAUAUCGGGGCCGUCAUCUUUAAUUAAUGCGGGAAUCUGAAGCUCUGGUGUCACUUGUUAUGGCGGUAUUUUAGGAAAAAUUCUAGAAUGCAACGGGUAUAUUGGUGACGUGGCGUAACAAACCAAUCAAAUAUAUCCUUUUAGGAAUAUAUAUAUGUCCCAUCAUGAUUUAAAAAAAUAUUUUUAUUGCAAUUUUGUUUGAAAAGAAUUAAUGAAUGUGAUUGGCUUUUUAUUGAUGACGUGGUGCAAGUGUGACAGUAAAGAAAGAUGAAAAGAGAAGAAAAAUGAAAAACUUAAUUAAGGUAGCUAGAGAAUAAUUAACCAAAGCUUCUAGGCACACGGUGCACAUCAUGGUACAGCGUAUUAAUAUAUAUAGUAUAGAUUAUAUAUAUAUAUAGAAUUAGGCCUGGAAUGACUAUUAAUAGUAAACAGUCUUUUUUGCUAUAAUUUUUAACCAUUGGAUGAAAAUUUUAGGGUUGGAUGAUAUUAGUCGGGUAGGUGAGUGAUCCCCCUAUGGGUUGAGGUUGUUCACUGGUUAUAGUUAUUAAUCUAAUGGUUAGAAAUAAUAAAAAGGUUGUCAAAGCAAAAAACGGUGUAAGCAAUAAUGGGAAUUUUGCUACUAAUAGUAGCUCAGGUCACGUCUAUAUAUAUAAUAGUAUAAUAUAGUGUUAUGGUAAGGACGGAGGCGUCCGUGACUUCAUAUUUUUGUUUUUCGCAUGUUCGCGACUUCGAAUCGAGGAUCGGCUCAUUGACGUUGAUUAGAAUAUCUUCUGAGCUAUUCUAAAAAUAAAUUCUUGCGAUCUUUGUCGAUUAUUUUGUAGUGCAUCCGAAGUGCGCGGCAUCAGCAAUCCAACGGCUGGAGAAAUAAGAAAUCUUAGCAAAAUAUUUGAUGACUUGCGAAUUAGAAUUUAGAUUGCAAGUUAUUGAUCUUGUUUUAUAUGGUGAUAAGAAUUUGCUAUCAUUUCAGUGAUUAUUGGAAUAUUUCUCACGUUAACUUGAACUGUACGGUCACAACGGCCAUUAAAUGAUUGUUUGAGCCUUUCGGAUCAUAGAAAUGGAUAGUCGGAAAAAUCAACAAUUUUUUUUUUAGUUACUUCAAGUAGCUCUAGGUCAGCCUCUAACGGAAGCAUCCGUAUGUCUCAAUGUCGAAAGUGCUCCUCCGAACAUCGAAAACGAACUUGAAGCCGGAGGGCGUCGCUGCUUUCAUAGACUCGAUGCUCGUCAUAUUAGCUCUCUCACUUUAAUUUAUAUUAUAUAGGUUAUGUAGUAUACUUAUAUAUAUAUAUAUACUUAUAUAUUUAUGUACCGGCUGCGCGAUACAUCCGAUAGCACAAGGCUUUUAGUGCUAGUCGUUCGAGCUGUGUGGUGGUAACGCGUUUGAUUUUUACCGUGUUGAGGCUCUCGUCAUGGAUUAUUUUCAAUCCAGAUGCCACGCGCAACUCAACACUAGAGCGCCCACAUCAUCUAAUCGCAUUUCUAAUCCAAGGCUAAAAAUCUCAAUAGCAUCAAUAGCUUAUAUAUUUUGCUGAUUAUAGCCUUUUCCCGCCCCCCCUCUCAGCUUGCCUCUGAUGCACUCUUAUACUCCUUGCUAGGCUGCGCGUCUUAGUAUUUAUAGAUAUACUUGCUAUAGGUAUAUUAUAUAUAUAAUAUAUAAUAUCUAUAUUAUCAUUAUAGUAUAUUAGUGUAUUCUGAGCUUAGGAUAAACUUAUAUAAAUAUACCGCCCAACUCUAGAUAAUUAUAUACAAUAGGGGUGGCAAUUAAUCCACCUCCAUGUUCGUGAGUCAGUUUGUGUUCGGCUCAAAAUGAGCUCGAGAUUGAAUCGCUCGUUUAGUAAAUGAGCCGAACUCGAGCUGGGUCAACUCGCUCGUGUUUGGCUCGAUAACAACUUCGAUACAUAUAUUUUACAUUUAUAUAAUUUAUAUAUUUUACAUUCAUAUAUAUAUAAUUAUCUAUGCAAAAUAUAAAUUUGUAUUGUUUGAUUUUUAGUACAACAUAAAUAUAAAGUCCAACUCAAUUAUAAAAUGGCAUAUUUAUAUAUAAAGUUCCAACCAUUAGAUCAAAGCCUAAUAGAUAAGAUUUCAUAAAUUUACUUUCUAUAUAAAUCCUUUCUAAUUCUUUUAACUUAUUGCUUGUGAGCUGAUGAGCUGAAUUUUUCGGCUUGAUAUUUCAACGAGCUAGCUCAUGUUCAGCUUGUUCAUAAAACGAUCGAACAUGCGCCUACCCCAACUCGCUCGAGUUCUGCUAGUUGACACCCCUAAUUAAUAAUAUACACACCCAAGAGAAUAACAAAACAAAUCUAAUAUUAAAUAACAAAUAAACAAAUCAAACUGAAUCUAGAAUUUUCUAGAUUUGGUCUUGUCUUAAACACUCAUCACAAGAGAUAAAGUAAACUUCAGCAACUUCAUCUCAAUAUCUUCAUUAUCUUUCAUCUUCUUUUCUUUCCUCCAAGUUUUGCAAUCAUAUUUCAUAUGCCCCAGCUUUUUACAGUAAUAGCAAAUGGCCUCCUUGAAUCCUUCUCAUUAUGGAAUUUUUUUUUUUUCUUUUUUGUAUGUGUGUCUAGUUGGGUUUCUUUCUUUGAGAAGGGAGCAAAUUUGUAAUAGAUAAAAUCCGCUGGCGGUUGCUAAGGGGCGUGGGCCCCCUUAGACCUAGGGCUGGUAAUUUAGCUUGCUGUUCGCGAGUCACCUCAUGUUUGACUCGAAAUAAACUCAAGACCGAAUCGCUGGAUUAGUAAAUGAGUCGAACGUGAACUGAAUUUUUUAGCUCAUUUAAUAAAUAAGCUGAAUACAAGAUGGGGUCAGCUCACUCGUGUUCGGCUCGAUAACAGCUCGAGUACAUAUAUUUUAUAUUUAUAUAAUUUAUAUAUUUAUAUCUAUAUAUAUAAAUAAAUAAUUAUACAUAUAGAAUACAAAUUUUUUAUUGUUUGAAUUUUAGCCCAAACUAAAUAUAAAGCCCAAUUUAAUCAUAAAAAGACCAAUUUAUAUGUACAAUUUCAAUCAUUAAAUCAAAGCCUACUAGUAAGAUCUCAUAUAUAUAUAUAUAUANAAUCUUUUGGCUUGAUAAUUUAACGAGCCAGCUUAUGUUUAACUCAUUUAUGAAAUGAGUCGAACACGAGCCGGCCCUAUGGAGCCAUUGUCGCGUCGUUAGUGCACUCUGCUUUCUCCUUAUUUUUAUCGGCAAGAGAGAGCGCUAAGAGCAACCGCUGUAAUAUUAGCCUCCUCAGCUACGAGCGCUAAGAGCUCGAUUGAUCUUUUGGAAAUCACUAUCCUAAUGAGCUCUUCAAUUUCAUCUUGUUACGAUCAUACACUUCUUGAAUUGUGAUAAUAUUUUAAACUUUCGCAUUAAAUUCGUAGUUGUGAACUCUCUACAUAAAACUUUAAUUCAAGCAAUUUGUAAUGGAUGUUAGUAAAGCUAUUGAACAUCUUUAAACAGAUUCAUUUUCGUCCAUUGUAAAACUUUGAGGCAUCGUUUGGCUGGGGGAUAAGGGGAGGGAUAACCUCUUAUCCGCCCUUUAUACCCAAACGCAAAUUUUUUAUCCGAGAAUAGUAGUUCUCGAGUAUCUGAAAUAAGCUUGUAUAACUAUUCUCACCAACACCUCCAUUUUCUAUAUAUAACUACCAACUUUUUUUCUUAUUCCAUAUUAUCUAUCCAAACUCUAUUUUUCUUAUCCUCGGGAACAACCCAAUUUUCAUCCAAAUGCUAUUUUUCUUAUCCCCAUACUUGUACCUAUUCAUGUAAUAGCUAGUUUGGCAUUAGCUUGUUAUUCCUAGCUAGCCUAGUAAUUACUUAAUGAACUACUUCAGAUUUUUCCUUAAUUUUCUUUGUAAUAGUCUGAAUGCAAAUUUAGUUAAACUCACUCUUUUUUUUUCUUUUCUUUUUUUUGAGAGAUAAGUAGCACGCUUUCAUUUAGAAAUAAACUUAGUUGGAAAUGUGAAUCAACUAGAAUUCGAACCUAGGUCUUGGGUACCAACCACCAAACCCUUUGCCACUUGCUCUAGGGACGGUCGGUUAAACACUUAAACUCACUCUUAUUAAUAACACAAUGGAAGGCAUUAUUAGUUCAUUCAACAUUCAAGUAGAAAAAAGCAUUAAUUUACUCUACAAUCCCGGCCAUUUGGCUCUAGAUUUGGUUGGAAGCGUAGGAAAAUUAACCACCGUAAAAUAUCAUACUUAUAGUAGUCCUAACGGAAGAACUUGUCCAAUCGUCAUACUCAUUUUAUGGUCUCUUGAAUCCACGACAACCUCCUAGAUCCGCGGAAGGACUUGUCGGAUUGUCGUACUCGUCUUACGGUCUCCUGGAUCUUUGCGAUGGCCUCUUGGAUCAGCGAUCGGACAUCAUGUCAAGAUCUCUAUGUUUGAUCAUCGUGAAAGGCUACGUACUGGAGUCUCCACAAUAGUACACGUAGGUGGAAAUCUCAAAAAGAACAUAGAGAAAUUCCUUUUUUUUUUAGGAAAAACUUCAAAAAACCUCCCUGUGGUUUCGCACUUUUUCAUUUUAGUAUCCUGUGGUUUAAAGUGUAUCAAGUUAGUAUCCUGUAGUUUCGUACUUUCUCACUUUAGUACCCUGUGGUUUAAAGUGUAUCAAAUAAUGCUCUAUAGUUUUAUUUUUGUAUCAAGUUAGUACCAUGUGGUUUUAUUUUUGUAACAAGUUAGUACCCUGUGAUUUUUAAACCACAAGGUAUUAAAGUGAGAAAGUGCGAAACCACAAGUUACUAAAGUGAGAAAAUGCAAAACCACAUGCUACUAACUUGACACACUUUAAACCACAGGGUACUAAAGUGAAAAGGUGCAAAACCACAGGGUACUAAUUUGAUACACUUUAAACAACAAGGUACUAAAGUAAGAAAGAGUGAAAUCAUAAGGGGGGUAUUUGAAGUUUUCCCUUUUUUUAUUUCUCACGUCCAAAUUGAGAAAAAAAUACUCAUAUAUAUACAUAUGGUAGUGUUACUAUACUCUUAUAAAUAUAAAACUCUUUGUCCUCAGAAAUUAUUUUCAAUGAUGAAACUUCUAAAUCGAUGAUCCACACUACUAAAUAUGAUCUAGAAUAUUUGAAACUUUAGAAAAUAAAUUUUGUAAUUUUUUGAAAUCAUAAUAAAGUUCAUCAAACGGGCAUAAAAUGAACGAUCAAAAUUGAAUAAUCUCCUAAAAAUAGAGAAUCAAAAUUUUCAAUUUAAGAUCGGAGUCAUAAAUCUCUAUCUAAACAGUGAAUAAAAUUUUCUAUCAAAGAUUUAGCCGAUUCGAAAUCUUUUACGCCAUUAAACUAGCAAGCAUCCCAUUCCGGCUGUUAAAAAUUAUCAAUUUUUGGAUCUUUUUAUCGUUUGGUAAAUAAUGUCAAAAAAUUAUGAAAUUUGAGUUCUAAAAUUUCAAAUGCUUUAAAUCAUAUUUAACAGUAUAGAUCAUCAAUUCGAAAGCUUUACCAUUGAAGGCGACUUAUGAGUACGAAAUUGAUCGUACUCAUAAAAGUACACUAACUAAAGUCUCUCUCUCUCUAUAUACACACACAUAUGGGGAUCCCUUAAAAUAUCAUGAUUCACAUAGAAAUUAGCUUUAGAAUAUUAUUCAUUAGAAAAUACAUUUUUUAACUAAUAAAAAUAAAAAUGUAUAAUUUAUCCUUUAACUUAUUAGGAUAAAUUUGGAUUCACAUCUCAUAUAGAUCGAGUUAAAUUAGAACCGAGUAAUAUGAACAUACCACAUGGCAAAACGAAAUAUAAUGGCAGCCUAGUGAGGGAAGAAUGAAUGUGAAUUAGGAUUUCAAGAUAAAUUACAUAGCAAUGUUAUCUAGAAUUGAAAAAAAAAAAAAAAAGCUAAAGUGAAGAAAAAGAAAAUAGCAAAUAGUACAGUAUGUUGAUGAAAAUUCAAAAAUUAUAUAUUAUUAUUUUGAUAUAUUAAUUUAUUUUAUUUGAUUUUAUUUAUAAUUUAUUUUUGAGAGAAAUGUAGCACGCUAUCUGCUUCAUUCAGUAAGAAUGUGAAUUAAGCUACAUGGAUGAGACACCAAGGCCUCGACGAGAUUUUUAAUUAUUUUUUAAUCAGCGUUCAUUUAGCAUGAACGUCCGCGAGCAUGCAUGGACGUUGCUCCGUGAACGUUGGGAUUCCCAACGUUCCAUUUCUCUUCCUUUAUGUAUAAAUAUCUUGUGUUUCCUGUUGCAAGACAUGUAUAUAUAUACAAAGGAUAGUGAGAAGAAUUUUUUUUUUUGAGAUAUUUCCAUAGUUCUUUUUUCUUCUACUUGUUUGAUAGUUUAUCACCGGGUGUUGAAAGAUUCUCCGUCAACCUCUUCCGCGUUCGUGUCCGUAGGAGGAGGAAUUCCGGUCGUAUUUUGGGGCGGUGUUUUCGGUGAAUCCCGCACAAAAGACGGAAAUACGCCUUAGGGCAGUGCCUCGCACGCUUUCGAAGCUAAUUAUUUUUGGAUUUCUUUUCACCGAUUUAUUUGGAAUUGAGCGAUCAUCUGUAAGUUACAUUUAUUAAUUUCAUCAUAAAAUUAGUUAGAUUUGUAUCCCAAUCGGAUUUGUUGUUGCGAUUUUCCCCAACACAAUAAAGGUGCAAAGGUCUUCUUUCAAGAUUUCCUCCCCUUUACCGACCGUCCCUAAUGCAAGUGGCAAAAGGACUUGAGGGUUGGUACCCGAGACUCAAGUUCGAAUCCUAGUUGAUUCACAUUUCCAGCUAAAUUUAUUUCUAAAUAAAAAAAACGAAUCGAGUAGCGUGCUACCUAUCUCUCAAAAAAAAAAAAAAAAAAAAAGAUUUCCUCCCCUUUGCUUACAUCCUCGUCAACUCUCCGUUGCCAAGCUGUUAAUUUAACACUAUCAAGACUUUUUCGGCCAAAUUAACACCUUGGUGUUAUACAAACUUCAAAUUGACCUCCUAAAAUCAUUAAUCUCUUGAGUAUAAGAAAAUGAGAAGUUGAGACUACUGCACUGAUGUUAUAUUUACAUCUCCUGUCUAUCUUCAUUUUUAUGUUUUGUUUAAAAAAGCCGAAUGGCUAUAGUAGAUUGGACGGCCCAUUCAAAGGCAACUAACCUGCUGCAGGUUGUAUGGCCUAUUCAUGUGCAACAAUCUGCUACUGUUCAUUCCCCUUGAUUUGCUGUAUUGGGAGUUUCUGCUGCUGUUUUCUUCCCAUCCUGAUAUCACAGCCUUUGAUUCCACUUGGUGCUGCAUUCUCACAUGAUUAAAGAUGCACUUUUUCGAUUCUAGCUACAAUCUGAGCCUCCCUAUUUUCAAAUAAAGAUACUACCUGUUGUAGUUAUAUUUUGUUGCUUUGGUUCAUGAUGCUUUUUACUAUUUGACUUGACAUAUUUUUUAUCCACUCCUUAAUACUAAGGUUCAAUGAUUUAGGUAAUAAGCCCACAACCAACAGCUAGAAACUUCAAGUUUCAAAAAUAAGUCAUGGAUUUAGAUUCAGGUCACUUUGUAGUAACAACAUUUUUUUAAUGUUAGUUUUUGUUGAUGAACGGUUGGCAGGGCAUUGCACCUAUUGUUAAGCUAAUUAAUGAUGAAAAAUAAGAGGUGACGUGUGCUUGCCUAUGAUAUAUCUGAGCCUCAUUACUUUCUUGCUUUCAAUGUUUUCUACUUAUUUUAUUUAUGUGUUGGUCCUCAGUGUUUUUUAUUGGAUUUUGCUUUUCUACACUUGAUCAUACUGUCUUUUCUCCUUUUUUUAACAAUAUGCAUGAACUUUGCUUCAUUUUUUUUUUUCCGAAUUCCAUUGCUGGUUGGGUGUUUUCCUGAGUUUAUCCUUUGCUUUGGUUUUCUUACUUCCUUCUUUACAUCACUUUACAAAAAAAAAAGAAAAGGAUUGACCUCCUUCUCUUGCAAUCUGGGCAAUAGCGACUGUCCACUUUUCUUAUGUUAGGAUGCUUGGCGAGGUUUACGAACAGCUCGGUCGAUCUAGGAGUGCCGCAAGUUGUAGUGGCCACUGAUACGGAAGGCAAAUUUGUUGGAUAUGUGGAUCUCCAGAUUUCCACGAAGCGAAACUGUUGUCCAAACUGUUCGUUGUUCGAGCUCCCAGUUCCCUACUUCUGCCGGUGCCGAGCAGGAUGCUGCAUGCCUUGCUCUUAGGCGGAUUAGAGAUUAAAAGAUAUUAAUUACGAUGACUCUCUCUUCUACAAAAAUUUAUAUGACCAUCAAACAACCAAUUAUGCCAUUUUAUCUGCACAGUAUGGCAACCUUUCUUGGGAAUAUAACUUAUUGAAUGAUGAAUAUGUUGAUGACCGGAUCAAGCUUCGUAAUGCCAUUGUUGAGUGCGUGAACCGUCUUCCUGCUGAAUUGCCUGCUCCUGCUGCGGAUCCCUCUGAUGCUAUGUCUAACCAGCUGGCUUAGUUGCUCGGGCUUCUUAACCGGUCCAUGCUUUUGUUUUCGGCAAAGUCAUUUUGUGCACAGCGUUUUGGUUUGGCAUGAAAUAAUAUGUACUUUGCUUUGUGUUUAGUGUUUUGCAGUUUAUGUGUUCUCUGUUUCACUCCAAAUAUUCUGUGUGGUUUCUUCUAUAUAUAUUUCAGUUUCUCUCUCUUUACCCAAAAAGUGUCUUAAUUUUUAUAACUCUUUUUGUUGACUUUCUACUCUUAUUUGAAGUGUGAGGAAUGCAUCAAUUGUGCUCUUUUUUUUUUAUUAUUGGCUCCCUUAAAGUGUGGGAAUGAGACAACUCUUGAGCAUUUUCUUCUCCAUUUGCCCACUGAACCACCAGCGGAGGUUCAUGCUAGGAGGAAAUUGUUACCCACACAAACUACAUAGUCAAAAACUGCAAUAAUAUUGGACAAUAGUAGACCUGGCAAACGCGCGGGUUAGGUAACCCGCGGGAGGGUCUGUGUACCCGCAGGUUACUUGGGUAUGAGUAAAAUUUAUCCGCAAAUUUUUGGGUAGCCAACAUCAUUACCCAUACCCGCCCGCGGGUGGGCGGGUGGGUAUGCGGGUUACCCGCAAUUUUUUUUCUUUUUUUCUCUUGUAUUUUCUAAAUGCAAAAUACAUAUAGAUAAGUUUUAAAAAUAUAACAUAACUCAUUAUUUAAAAUAUCAUAACAUAUAAUAAAAAUAUUUAAAGUCUAAUAGCUAAAAAAUUUCGUAAUAUAAAAGACGUGAUAAGAAAUUAGAGUUAGAAUUUUUAGAAUGGAUAAAUAAAAAUAUAUAUUUUUUAAUUAAGAAAAUAUAUUUUGUAAUUAAAAAAAAUAUGUGCGGGUAACCGUGGGUACCCGCGGGUUACCCAAUAUGCCCACAGCUUAAUAGGUACCCACCCGUUUUACCCGUAAUUUUUUGGGUUGGGAAAGCUGGUAGCCAUACCCGCAAAUUUGCGGGUAAUCCGCGGGCACCUGCGGGUAUGGGUCGAGAUUGCCAGGUCUAGGCAAUAGUAUAUAUAUACUUUCCUUUGUUUUUAGUGUUUUGCAGGUUACGUAGCUUCUAAUUUACUUCAAUUUUAGUGUGUACUUUCUUCUUUAUUUUAGAUACUCUCUCUUCUCCCAAACUACCUCUUUUUUUUAAAAUAAAAACUCUUUUUAGUACGAGGAAAAUAAUCUUAAGCAUUUUCUUCCUCAUUUUCCUCAUUUCGCCACAAAUAAUCUGAAGAUUUAGAAUUAAUACUGUAUUUAUAUUAUAUGUUUUAUUGUACUGUUAACUAUGGGUUGUAUUCUUUCGCUGAACACGUUGAAGAGUACAAUAUAACUAUGUUUUAUUGUACUGUUCACUACUAUAUAUAUGUUUGUCAAUAUAUUUAUCCGAAGCGAAGCGCAGGGUUUUCACUAGUAAAUAAUGAAACUAGGGGUGAAAACGGAUCGCAUAUGGUAGACCUUUUUUCUAAAUAAUCUUUAAAAAUAUUAUAAUUGGCUAAAUAACCCUAUAAAAAAAUAUUUGAUGAAAUUACCCUCCCUUGCCAAGUCAGCAUGAAGUAGAAUUUUAUUUUAAAAACGGUGAAUCGUUUACCGUCCAAACAAUUCACCGUCUUCAUAAUAUCUUACUAAAGCGGUGAAUCGUUCACCGCCUUCUUAAAAAUUAUUUCUUAGAUUUUUUUUUUUGGUUGCUAGGAUAUAUAUGAAAAAUAGAAAGAAAGAUGAACGUGCAUUAAGAAAAAGACAGUAAAUAAUUCACCAUUUGUAUGAAAAAUUACAAAGCUGCUGAUCGUUCAGUUCAGUGAACAAUCCACUGCCUUUAAGAGAAAAUUUCACCCAGACUCCUAGUUGGCAAACAAGGGUUAGUUCGCCAAAAAAAUUUCAGAAAGUUAUUUACCCAAAUAUGAAUUUUUAUAAAGUUAUUUCGACAAAAAGUCCCAUAUGGCUGGAUAUUUGACGAAACCAUAUCCGCAUUCAUUAUUUUUUUUCAAAUACAGAUUCGGAUAUAGAUAUGUGUCGGAUGCUAAAUUUUUGUUACUAUAUCGGCUAAAAAUGAAUUCCGAUAAGGUCGAAUAUAUAUUAGAAAUACAGAUCGGAUAUGUAUUCGGAUAUUUUUCGAAUAAUAAUAUAUAUUAAUAAUAUGCACAUAUACAAUAAACAAGAAACACAAAAUUUUUUUUAUUUUCCUACCUUAUUUUCUCACUUUAUUUCUUCACAUAUAAAAUAUAUAAUUUUAAUAUAUAAUUCAUUACAAAAUAAAAGAAUAACACAAAAAAAAUCACCUUAUUUUCCCACAUCAUGUAUUAAUCAUUCCUCUUAUAUCUGCACAAAAAAUAUAUAAAAGUCCGAAUAUCCAGACCCAUAUCCUUUUUUUCGGAUAUCCAGAAAAAUUUAACUCUCUAAAAUUAUAUCCGUAUCCGUAUCCGACUGGAUCCGGAUAUUUUCUAUAUGGAUUCAUAUAUUUUCGAAUUAUAUUCGAUCCGUUUUCACCCCUACAUGAAACUGUACCUCAUAUAAAUUAUUUUUCAAUUACUAUAAAAAAAUAUAUUAUAUGAACACUGAUCACUGAUUAUUCACGGCAUGACACAUGAUAUUAAUUCCUCGCAGGUAUUAAGUAGGUAUAUGUUAGGAGAUAUUUAUUCCCGGGUAAAUUGCAUAUUUGGUCCUCAAACUAUCAAAUGCGCCCGACAUUUUGGUGCUCAAACUUUAAUUAUUACAGUUACUUGCUCAAACUUUUAAAGUUAUUGCAAUUAAGUCAGGCAAUCCAAUUUAGUUGACUAAAUAUUGAUUCACCGCUAAUGUAAAAGGUGAUAUAGCAUUUUAAUAAAUAUCACAUCAUUAAUUACGAUACUGUCACAUUACUUUUAUAUUUCUAAUUUGUUAAUAUUUAGUGACAGGUCUAAGCCGCGUUGAGAACGAAGAAGGACAUGAAUGGAAAGAGAGAUACAAGAAGAACAAAUUUCUUCGACAAAUAUUAUUAUUUUUUUUUUUUUGAGAGAGAAAGGUUGCUAGCUAACUGUUUCAUUCAUUAAGUGAUAUGAAUAUUAAAAAAAAAAUUACAUAAAAAAAAUAAAAUAUUAUUAAUCAAAUCUAAAAUAUAAUUACAUUAACUUGACGUCACAUCCGUAUAUAGGGUUGAUAUCCCAAUCUUAUUAUAGUUGAAUAUAAUAAAGUUUUGAAAAUAAUCUAAAAAUGCAAAAACAGAGAAUGCAAAAACAGAGACCUAAACAGUUGAAUUUGGGCUCCCAGCUCAGCCGAUAUUGCUUUGUCGUUUGACCGGUAAAUCUCGAAAAACAUUUUGCGAAUUAAGAUUGAGCGCUAAAAACGGACAUUCGAGCGAAAAAUUGAGGCCGUUUGAAAACUCUUUGUGCCGAUUGUAAAAAUUAUCGAACUUAACUGAAUUUUAGGGCCAGCUUAGUUGUGUCGCAGUUUUCUACAAAUUUUAAUGCCUAAUUAGCCGCAUCAUUUAGCCAACUAAAUUAGAUUAAGAAACUUAAUUAUAAUAAUUCUGAAAGUUUGAUCAAACCAGGAGACUCAUCGAUUGAGCACCACACGCGCAAUUUAACCUUCAUUCUUCAUUGAAAACAUAAUUAUUCACGCCUAUUUCAGGGAGCGAACUAGGACCACCUACUAGAUACUAAAAAUGUUUCAUAAUUUUUUUGGCUAAAUUACAAAAAGAAAAUCUCUUAUGAAUAUUCGCUUCUUAACUUUUUGUCCUUAACUUUUUAAAUUUUAUAUUUUACCCUCUCAACAUUUCAAUUUGUUGUAUUUAGCUCACCUCUGUCAGGGUUCCAUAACUAUUCCGCACAUUUUUAUAAUUUAUACCAAAAAUAUCCUUCAAAGUAAUAGAAAUAUAUUAAAUAAUAUAUUUUUUUUUUUAUAGAAGAAAGGUAAUUUGAUUAUUUUGUUUUUUUUAUUAACGUCGUACCUUCCUAAAAAUAUUUCUGAAAUUUUAAAAGGACAACAUAUAGAGGGCUUUUUUAUAAAAUGACCCUCCAGGAAUUCGAUUUUGGCAAAAUAACCCUACCAAAAUUUUAUUUGUAAAACUAACCCUUCUUUCGCCACGUGGGCGCCACGUAAGGGAUUCCUCAAAAAGACGGUGAAUCGUUCCCCAUCUUUGUAAUUUUUGUUUAAAAGCGGUGAAUGGCUCACCGCCUUUAGAAGACGGUGAAUCAUUCACCGUCUUUAGUGCAAAAUUCUCCUUUCCGCCCUUUCCCCUUUCCGCCCUCUCAAGUCCGCCGUUUCUGUGCCCUCGAGAAGACGGGGAACGAUUCACCGUCUUAUCAAAGACACCAUAUUAUGGAUUUGAAAAAAUUUGCGCAGAGUAGAAAUUUGUACUAAAGACGGUGAAUGAUUCACCGUCUUAUGAAGACGGUGAACCAUUCACCGCCUUCACAACAAAAAUCAAAGACGGUAAACGAUUCACCGUCUUUUUGAGGAAUCCCUGACGUGGUGCUCACGUGGCGAGAGGAGGGUUAGUUUUACAAAUAAAAAUUUUACAGGGUUAGUUUAGUAAAUACGAAAUUUCACAGGAUUAUUUUCGAAAAAAGUCCCAUAUAGAUUUUUGAAAGAAAAAUUGAAUAUUUACGAAAAAGUUUUCAGGAACUCAGCCUAACUUUUUUUUAAAGGAAAAAAAACUUUUUUUAAAGGAAAAAAAAAAAGAGAGGUUGUUUUCUUUUUGAAGUUGCUCCUGUGAGUAUAAAAGAGCAGCACGCACCCACCUCACUUGAGCAAACAGCAACCUCCUGCAGGCGAAGACUGCAACCGGCCAUGGCGUGCAAAGUACAUCUGCUGGCUUUUAUUGCUUUCUCCAUCGCAGCAGCCUUCCUUAUCCCUGCUGCCAUGGCCCGGCAGGUCCCCUCGGUCGCGAGCACGACGGCCAGCAUCGUAUCAACAUUCGGUCGGUAUAACAUCAUGAUUUUCUAUCGACGCGCUUAUUCUACGGGGUUUUGUAAAGCUCACUGGUUUUGUAAAGUUUCUCUGUUGCCGAUCGACUAAGUGGUUUCGCAUUCAUCAGGAGACAAACUCGACGCUUCUGGUGAGAAGGUCUUCUUUCCUCUGCCUAGGCCGUACUUCAAGCCGCCGUGCCUUCCGCCGACGUCGUCGUCGAAGCCUACGACGACUCCAUAAAGCGCUUUUCUUUAUAUCCCCGGGGCCUACUAUAAUAACAGCACAUCCCUGGUGCAUAGGUGGAGUGAAAAAAAAAAAAAAAAAAAAAAAGGAGAACAUAUAAUCUCACAAUUGUAUGUUUAAAAGCUACAACCGCAGAAGACGAAGAAGAAGAACAUCAUCAACACAAUCNUUUAAUUUAGUACCCAAUGGUUUAAUUUUUCUGUUUUUAUUAUCCACUCCGUUAAUUUUUUUUUAUUAAAUCAGUAAUAAAGUUAAAUCUAAAAGGAACUAAAAUAAAUAUUUGAUAAAUCUAGGUGGAGUGUCUGAAGCUUUUUGUAUAUAAUUUAACGAAAUGUUAAUAAAAGAGCUGACGAAAAGAAAAAAAAUAAAACCACAUGAUACUAAAUUGACAAAUUUUAAACCACAUGGUACUAAAAUAAGAAAAUGCCAAACAACAUGAAUGGUAUUUAAAGUUUACCUUUAAAAAAAAAAAAAAAAACAAAAGCCUGCACAAGGAUUUGGAGUACUGAUGCUCAAUAUUGGUUUAGGCUUGUUGGAUGUUGGAAUAAAAAUAUUUAAUGAUAAUUUGCCCUCAUAAGAUUUUCUUUUGUGUGAUUGAAUUCUAAAACUGAGUUAUUUUCUAACUGGGAUAUUUUUUUGAUUAGGGUAAGAUACUUCUGUUAAAUCUAGCUAUUUCCCGGUUAUACCGGAAUAGUUUGGGACAAACUAUUCCACCCUUUUAGUGAAAUAGUGCUACUCCAAUAUUUAAUUCCAAAUUUUAUUAAUAUCAUAAAUAUUAAAGCAAAUUAUAUGGAUAUGAUAUAUUAUAUAUUAUAAUAAAUUAUUUUUAUUAUAAAAUUAUUAAUUAUACUAUAUUAAUACAUAUUAUUUGUACUUAAUAUUAUAAUAAAUUAUACUUAAAUAUUAUCUAAUAAAAGUUUAAUAUUUGUUCCUUAAAAUAUCUUGUUAUGUAUGAUUUGAUGAGAGAGCAUACUUCACAUAAAAGCUGAUUUAUCCUAUUUGGAAGAAUUGAUUGGAUCGCCGAAUAUGAUAUCUGUUCUUUACAUUAAUCACAUCCAUUUGCAAAAUAUUACACGUCUCUUGAGUAAAUCGAAGGAAUAUACUAAAUAAGAUAUUUAUGAAUCCAAACAGGAUCUUAAGCGCGUGAUAAAGCUUUAAGAUACGGAGAAUCGAUUUCAUCAACAUUGUAAGAACCAAAAGCUUAAAUCAACAAAGAAUUAUCAAUACUGAAUUAAAUUUUCAGCUAAGUGCUUUUUGAUUUACAUUUCAGCUGCAAAUGCAUGCCAAAUUACAGUCAGAAUUCACUGACUAAAGAAGUAAACAAAGUGAAAUAACUAAGUUUGUGCCAGCAGAUCUGAGUUUAGCUUAUUGAAAAUUCAUGAAGGGAGGCUGGUCAGGUUAAUUAGCUGUCUCUGUUCCACUAAUUUUUGUAUGCAAUAAAUGGCAAUAACUAACAUUGAGCAAAAGUUCCAACAGCAAUAAGAAGUUGCUACUUUGAUACUGCAAUAAAAAUCUGUUGGAGUAAACAAACCAGAGUAAACAGUGGACUCUGACAUCAAGCUGUCAGGCCGCAAAACAAACAUGUAGUGCCAUCAUCUUGGAGGCAGCUAAGUGUAACAAAGACAUGAAGCUUAAUUCAGCAGCAACCAAGUCUGGCAUAAAUUGCAUAAAGCUGAUUUUUGCACGCAAGAAACAACACUGUCAGGCUAUGGUAAUCUGACAUCAACCUUUAAACUGCUUUAUAAUUGACCAUCAAUCUGUAACAUCCUCUGUAACAUCCCAAUAGUCACAUAUCAGAUUAGAAAAUGAUUCUGAUUAGAAUAUAUGAGACCUCUACGCUAGUAAUAAUAAUCGAACUUAAACAUUUCGGGCUAGUGGUGUGGGUCCAAUGAUUUAUUAUUACUAGCAGAUCGGGUCGUUACAAUUAGUAUCAAAGCCGAAUACCAGUCGGAAGUGUGAGAACUAUAAGUGUUAUGCGCAUUUGGACCUGACGAGGAUGUCAUGGUCUAAAUAAAGGGAGUUUGUAACGCCCUAAUAGUCCCACAUUGGAUGGAAAAAUAAUUUUGAUUAAAAAAUAUGAGGCCUCCAUGCUAGUAAUAAUAAUUGAACUUAAACAUUUUGGAUCGAUGGUUUGGGCCCAACGAGUUAUUACUGUUAGCGAGUCGGGUCGUUACAAAUCUUAGAAGAAAAGGAUAAAUAAUGACGAAACAAGCAGAAAGAGCAUGUCUGAUAUUACUGAAAUCAGUGUUAGAUUAGAUUGCCAAUCUAUCAACAAUUCAAUCCUAUGGAGAUCCGGUAAAAAUGUAACACUCCAUUUGUUUCGCGAAUAAAGCAGGUAUAAUGAAACUUUUGUUAAUUUUGAAUACUUUGAUCACUUGGUAAAUAAUAUCGAAAAAUCACAAAAAUUAUUUUCUAAAAACUUCAAAUACACUAGAUCAACUCCAAUAGAGCCGAUCGUCAUUCGAAAAUUCUAUUAUCGAAACCGGCUCAGGAGUACGGAAACCUCAGUGCUACUUAGAGUACAACAAUCCUCUCUCUCUCUCUCUCUCUCUCUCUCUAUAUAUAUGGCAAUUUCUUAUAUAUCCUUGAAAAUUUUUUGGCUUCUAAUAUACCCCUCUUAGAAGAUUAAUAUUAAAAAUACCUUUUUAACAUUCCAAGUUAUCUCAAAUAUACCUCUGAAGCUUAAGCUAAUAGAGAAUAGUGUCUAAAUAUCUUUAUAUUUAACACUCGCUCUCAUGUCUUAGCUCAAGACCUUUGUUCGCUAAAAACUUAAGCUAAUAGAAAACGGUUAACAUUCUACUAAUGUCUAGGCUCAAGACUUUUUGGUAGGCUCAUGAUGUGGACUUGAAUUAAAUAGAAAAAAUUUAGUAAUGCUAGGAGUCUGGCGUUAUUCGAACUAAGAAUCUCCUACUCUGAUACCAUUUUAAAUAAUGUGAAACAACAGUUAGUCUCAAAAAGCUUAAACUAAUAGAAAUUAAUAUUUAAAUUUAUCCUUAUUAAAUUGCAAAUCGCGGUAAACCAUUAAAGCUAUUCUUUAGUCUCUUCAAAAGUUGUCAUUAUGGGUGGAAACGAGCCGAACUCGAGCGAGCUUAUCUCAGCUCAAGUUUGGCUUGAAAUUAUUUUCGAGCCUAAAUUUAUAUAUAGAAUUAGGCUACUAUACUAUUAAUAGUACAAACCGCUUGCUAUUAGGUUUUUGGCCUUUAAUUUGAUGAAGGGAUGUGCGGUCAGGAUGAUAGUACCUAUCUAGGGUUGAGUGAGUGGCUAGUUGAAUAGUAUGAUCUAACGGAUGAAAAUGGCUAAAGGAAUAGAUUUAACAGCAAAAAACUAGAUAACACCAAAUGCUUGGUACUAUCAAUAAUGUAGUAGUCGAAAUCUAUAUAUAUAUAGGUAGAUUUAACGGCAGAAAACUCAACAGUACAAAUUAAGCGCUUAGUACUAUCGAUAGUAUAGAUAAUAUAGUAGCCGAACUAUAUGUAUAGAGAGAGAAAGAGAGUCCGGCUACUAUAUUAUUGACAGUACCAAAUGCUUAGUGCUAUCGAAUUUUGUGUCGUUAGAUCUACCUUUUUUUAUCAUUUUCAUCUGUAAGAUCGUAUUAUUCAACUAACCACCCACUCAACCCUGGGAGGCCCAUAUCAUUCUAACCGCACAUUUCUCAAUCCAAGGGCUAAAAAACUAAUAGCAUCAAUAGCUUAGUGCUAUUAAUAGUAUUCCAGCUUAGUUUGAUAUAUUAUAAUAUGAGUAUAUAUAUACAUAUAUAUAAGUAUAGUUAUUAUUAUAUAUUAUAGAGCAGGGGCUGAUGUGCUCAUCUAGGGCACGGAGGGGUCGGGACUGUGUUUCGAUGAGUUCCGAAUCGCAUCUGCUUCUGAUUAAAUUGAUCUAGGAUUUUGAAAGUUUCUAUAACAUAAUUUUACGAUUUUGAUAUCAUUUACCUAGCAUCGAUAAUUUGAUUCAAAAUGUAAUUUUUAACGGCUGAAAAUAAAAUCUAUAAAAGUUAGGUGAGGUGAUAAGUACUAUGCACUAAAAAUUUGCUUCGAUCAGGACUAUUAUUUAUUGUGAUAUAUAAAGAUUUUGUGUAUCAAGAAUUUUAUCUUUGAUUUGAAUACUUCAACUGUUUUAACUGAAAACGAGAUAUCAACCAUUAAAAAUUAUGGUUGAAUGCUUUCCGAUCACUAAGUAAAUAUACCAAAAAAAUCGCAAAUUAUUUUAAACUUCAAAAUGCGAGAUAAGUCUAACAGGACCGAUCUCAAUUUGAAAAAAUUCCUAUAGCGAAAACGCUAAGAGCACGGAGGCUCCAUGCUCGUCUGAGAGCACAGCAGCCUGCUCUAAUAAUUAUAUUAUUAUAUAUUAUAUAUAAUAUAUAUAUAUUAUAUAGUGAAUGUACGUGCAAAUGAGUAAUAAUUAUUUAAUUUAUUUCAAAUCAAUAUCAAUUUGUAUAAUAUAUAUCCAAAAUUUUACAAUAAAAAUCUAUAUUUAUAAAUUCAUAUGUUAUAUUUAUGGGUAGAAAUAUUCUAGAAGAAUAUUCCUUAUAGUGUUCUUUUUUUUAUAUAAAUCGAAUAUUUUUAUAUACUUUGCAUUUUUGAUGAAUCAAAUUUAAAUAUAUAUUUUAAACUAAAAGCAUCAAAAUUUAAUUCACAUUUACUUUACAAUUUAAAAUUUAAUUUUGAUUCACUGUAACAAAAAAAUUAAUUGUUAAUUCAAAUUUGAUAUCAAAAAUUAAAUUUAAUUCAUAAUUUAAACUCAAAUUUUAAUUUUAAUGUAAAAUAGAUAAAUAGGAAUGUUAUUUUUAGCAAAUUGAUCGUAACUGUUUGUUUUUAUUUGAACCGUUUGUUUUUAUUUGAGAUAUUUUUUAACAAAUUGAUUAUAAUCGUUCAUAAGAUUGAAUUUAUAAAUGGAUAGGAAUGCUAUUUUUUAAUAGAUUGAUCAUAACCGUUCGUUUUUAUUUGAGAUAUUUUUAAUAAAUUAAUUAUAACCAUUCGUCGGGAAUAUUAUUUUAUUCCUUUUUGGAUUUCAUCUGUUAUUGUCGGAAUUUCUAUACGCUUUUAUAUAUAGUAUAGAUAUAUAUAUAUAUUUCGAGCUUUCCGAGUUUAAUUCGAGCGAGCUGAGUAAUACUGAAACUCAGCUUGAAAUUAAUUUCAAGUCUAAAUUUAGGCUCAAGCUUGCUUGAAAUAAAUUCUCGGCUCGAGCGAGCUGAAUAUCGAGCCAAACACGACUCAAACACGAGCCGGCUUGCUCAUUUGCGUGCCCUAGUUGUCAUGUGUACAAGAGUUCCUUUUAUUGUCAUUCAAUGCUUGUGGAGCUAAAAAUAGACCACUUUUAGUUUCUUGCUUAUUGGCAAAGUGCCAUUGGAUACAGUGAAUCAGUGACAUCAUUUAUGGAGCUCAAGGCAUGGCGGUAGGCGGAGGGCGGGGUGCUCGGAAGAAUGGAGGGAGAUAUAACCACAGCUUUUCUUCUGUUACAUUGGGAGUGCUGUCUUCCUCUCCUGUUGAAGAAGGAAUAAUAUUGGGAGUGCUGUCUUCCUCUCCUAUUGAAAGAAAGAAUUCAAGGAUACAGACCAUCAAUAAUUCAGUUCAGAUGAAUGGUUUUCUAACUAUAAAAAAAUAAAAUAAAAUCAAUCUCGGAUGUCAAUGUUUUGUUGCAUUUGCAUUGUUAUUGUUAUUAUCAUGAAUCUGGUCACAAUAUAUGAAGGGAAAAUUUCAUAGGUACCCCUGUGGGAGACUGAAAUUUCAUCAAUAACCCUCUAAAGUUGAAAAUGUCAUGAAUGCCCUUCUAAAUUCAAAAAAUACUCAUGAAUGCCCCUACUGUUAACCGGCCGUCAAAAUCUAACCGAAUAAAUUAUAAAUGCCAUUUUUACCCCUGUAUAGUUCAUUUAAGUAUAGAAAGCCUAAUUAGUAUAUUAACACCAUUCAUAAAUGCCCUCUUACCUUAGCAUUAAUUAGUUAUUUCCCGCCAAAUAUAUCAUUCUAACUUUUGGGGAGAAAUUUGUCAUUCUAUAUUUUAACUCUUAUUUAACUAUAUUUUAAUCCGGAUAGAGUGACAUGUCCUUAACGGCAAGGAUAGUUAUGAUAAUUUUAUGUGUUUGAAGAGGUAUUUAUGAUAUUUUAAAGUUUAGAGGAGUAUUCACAAAAUUUAUAAGUUUGAUAAGAUUACUAAUGAAACUGUCCUUUUUCUUUAUAAUAAUAAUUUCAUAUAAUUUAGGGUAGACUUCAAAUACCAACCCUGUGAUUUUGCACUUUUUCACUUUAGUAUCAUAUAGUUUAAAAAGUAUCACUUUAUUACCCUAUGGUUUCGUUUUUCUCUUUUCAUUAGCACCUUCAUUAACUCUUCAUUAAAUUAUAUAUAAAAAACUUCAAAUACUCCACCUAAGCUUUAUUGAAUAUUCACUUUUGUAUCCUGUAGUUUACCAAAUUUUUAUAUUAGUACUUUAUGGUUUUAACUUUAUCACUGAUAUAAUUGAAAAAUUAAUGGAGGGGAUAAUAGAAAGAGAAAUUUAUUAAAUAUAUUAACUUUAUUAAAAUUAAUAAUGAAAUAAAUAUAAAAACUCAAGUAAAAAAGUAGAGGUUAAAGGGGUGUCAACAAAAAAAAUUUAAAGUUGAUGGGCCUAUAUCAAAAUCUCUAUAGUUGAGGGGUCUAGAGAUCCCUCAACUAUAUGCUAUUUUGAAAUAAUUCCUUUAAUAAAUUUUCUUUUUUUUUUACACUAAAUCUCUUAAUUUUAAAAAACUAAAAGUUAAAGGGUCUUAACAAAAGACUGCAUACUUAAAGGAAUUAUUUCAAAAUAGCAUAUAGUUGAGGGAUCUCUAGUACAUUUCUCAAGUAGUAUGAAGUUAGGGGUAAAUUCGUCAUUUCAUGACUUAACACAUUAUUGAUCAGGAUAAACUGACGGUUUUUUAACAGAGGGGUAUUUAUGAUAAUUUUUUAUAUUUCAAGGGGUAUGCAUGAUAUUUUAACUUUUGUAGGGUUAUCUACGAUAUUUGUAAAUUUUAGAGGGGUAUGGAUGAAAUUACCCCAUAUAUGAAUUGUAAUAAUCCAGCCCAUUCGAAUUAAUAACUCGUUGAACUUUAUUUAUUAAUUCUAGUGCACCAAUCAUAUAUGUAGUGUUGGCUUAAAUGGACCAGUAUUCUGUCCUGUACUAGAAUCAUUUGUCUCUAUAUUUCCCAUGCAUAAAUAUUAUGUUAUACCUUUGUUUAUUCAAGAAUGAUGGAUUGUCCAAAUCAAUUUAUUGAGUUCAUCCAAGCCACACUAAUUCUCAAUAAAUGGGCUAGUCAAAUAGAUUUUUGAACUUACGUAUCUUUAUCAACAUCUUCAUAGUUUUUACCCAUUUUGAUUUAACUCAUUCACCGGUAGCAUAACUGAUUUUGAUAAUAGUCGGUAGGCUUCGUCCCAACUCCGCUGGCAGAAGUAUCUCAAAUCAAAAUGAGUAAACACUAACGACGCAUCAAGGAAAAAAAAAAAAAAAAAGGAGUGAGAGAGGGAAAUGCUUUGGAUCUACUAUAAUAAAUGGUUUUUGCAGGUUUCUGAUGUUGGCUUAAAUAUGCUAGCAUUCUACCCUACGGCAAGAGGCUGGAUUGAGCCAAAUCAUAUUCGAAAUAGCGUGAGGUUGGAUUAGACUGAGUCAUAUUCUAAGUGACGCGAGGCCGAUUAGGCCGAGUCACAAUCGAGAUCCAUAAGCAUUGUAUCUAUACGUCUUAAGUGAAUGGAUUGCAUAUUUCUAACGGCUCGAAUUUUUGAAAUUAAUGGUUAGCGCCAACGAUCCAACAAUUGAUGUGUUGGUAUUAUAAUGUGGACUAGAUACGUGCAUAAACCAAUCAAUGCCUCUUGAUUCCAUGAGUAUCAACACAUCAAAUAAAGAGCAACAUUUUGGGGGAUAAGGAGCAAUACUCAAAAAAGAGAAAAGUUAAGAAGAUAUACACACAAUUUAGAGAGUCUCUAUGAAUUUCUCUAUUUGCAAAAGUUAAGAGAGUCACUGACCUAUCAUGCUGGUUUCUAUUGGAGGUGUGGAUGAAGAAACAUCUCGGCCUACAACAGGAGAUAUGAGCUUGCCAAAGAAGAGCAAGAGAAUUGUGAAUGCAAGGAAUACAUGGGGAGUCUUCAUAGUUAUCUUUCUUUGUCCAGGGCACUUUGUGGGGAUGGAUUCAUUCUCACACAAAUAUUUGCACCAUAUAUAAACACCAAUAUGUGAAGAUAUAAGGUGCAAUUAAUGAUCCUUGUGAGACCUAGAGGUGUUAACAAGCCAAAUACGAACGAGCCGGGACCGGUUCAUUUUACAGACGAGUUGAACAUGAGCUCCCUAACUAAAGUAUCGAGUCAAAAAAUUCAACUUGUUUAGUAAUGAGCUGAACACGAACUAGCUCACGAACAUCAAGUUAAGAGGAUUUGAAAAGAUAUAUGUAGAAAAUAAAUUUAAUCUAACGACUGAAACUUUACAUAUAAAUAAGUCUUUUCAUAAUUGACUUAUGCUUUAUAUUUACAUUGGGUUAAAAAUUAAAUAAUAAAAAUAUGUAUUUAUAUAUAUAAUUGUUUAUUUAUAUAUAAAUAUAAAAUAUAUGUAUUCAAGUUGUUAUUUAGCCGAACACGAGUGAGCUGACCCCAUCUCGUGUUCGGAGCUGACCCCAUCUAGUGUUCGGCUUGUUUACCAAACGAGCUAUUUGAUCUCACACGAGCUGGCUCGUGAAAUAGGGAGGUGAAUUGCCACCCUAGUGAGACCAUAAACUCAAAAGUAGAAUUGUUUGUGAGUGGUGAAAUCAUUUUUAUGUUUCAAUAGGUGGUCCUUUUUGCUUAAAAUGGUGAAAAGUGGAAAGCAUUGUUUUGUAGCCACAAAUCAGGAUUAAGAAUCAGUAUCUCUUAAUUGCAAGGAAUUAAUAUCUUGGAAGGCAUCCAAACCUACUUUCCUAGCGAAAUUAAAUAUAUCUCACGUAGGGUAUUAUACCAUUAUUUUGUUCCAUGUAAGAUCGAAAAAUAUACUUCUCCAGAAAUACUAUGCAAGCUGAUCAACUAGCUAAUUAGAAUGUGUUUAGCAAAACAUGUACUGUAUGGUCCUCUUUUGAGGACUUUUUCAAUUCUAUAUCGUCUUGUUUUGUUUAAAUAAAUUUUCGCUCUCAGAUGAUUUCCCUCAAAAUAAAAAGAACGAAGAUGAGGUUUCUUUUGUAGCUAUAACUAAUUUUUGAGAGUACAACUCUUUUUGGCCCUAUUUCUGUGCAUACUUUCAGUUCCAACAAUUUGAAAUAGAAUAUAUGGAAAUCAAAAAAGAAAAAAAAAAAAAAGAAAAAGAAUUUGGAGAAAAACAAAACUAUAUUAUGCGUAAGACCUAUCUCACACUUUUGAUUAGCUGAUACCAAAUGUAGCGACUAAGUCCACAGACAUUAGUAAAUAAUUGGGCCUAAAACUAAUGAUUAAAAUACCUAAGUCUCGUUAUUAUUACUCGAGCCUCUAAGCCUUGCAUUUUCGUGUGUAAUUCUUUUUGUCAUUUGAUGUGGGACUAUUGUCGUCCCACAACUUACCUCUAAAGCACAAAUACGUACGGGUGCGUUUGGGCAAAAUAUUGCGAACAUUAGCCUUUUAAAUGGUAGUUAGUGGGUUUAGUUUACUUUAGCUCUUCUAACGAACAUCUAUGUAAAUUUGGUUAUGUAAAUUUGGUUAUAUCACGAAUCAUAAAGACUUCUUGAAAAGCAUUUAACAUGAUGAUGGCCUUCAAAACAAACGAGAUUUCACAAUUACUCUCACUUUCAAAUCUUCUACAUCACAAUGAUUCAUGUAGAUAAAAGCACUAACGUACGGUUAAUCCAGCCAUGGAUAUUCCAUAAAUUUUUUUUCAACUAAUAGCCUUUGAUGUCAUGCAUUGGAUGACUUUCUCCAUAUACUAACAAUAGUUCAAAUAGGAUUUUUUUUCCAAAAUGACCCUAUAAAAUUUUUUAAUUGGAUAAAUAGCCCUAUGAAAAAAAAUUUAGCAAACUAACUCUCUUAAUUUGCCAUGUAGAAGGCACAAUGAAUUUUUUUUUUUUAAAGGCAGUGAAAUUCACCGCCUUCAUGGCACUACAAUAAAAUAUAUUUUAGACAACGCUUUUUAGAAGAUACUCUAUUCUAGCGUCUCCAAUAUUUGGCAUGUGUCGACACCAUGAUUAAGUAUCGCCAAUAAACAUAUUUUUAUUAAAUACUAAUAAAAAUUUUCCGCCGUAAUAUUAAAGUUUCGGUAUAUUUAUCCCUACAUAUUUAUUUAACGACUUUUUGCUCGAUGUUUUUACAAGCAUCGGAAUUAUUCUUGCCAACACUUUAAAGCAUCACUAGUUAUUAUUUAAAGUGUCCUUAAGUGCAAGAUUUGUUGUGGAGAUGGUUAACGAUUCACAUCCUUCUAAAAUUUUCUAUAAAAGCGUGGCAUUAUUCACCAUCUUUCUCUUAAUAUACAAAACAGUGAAUAAUUUACUCUUUCUUUUUAUUUUUCAUAUAUAAUACUAACAACUACAUAAAAAUUUUAAUAAAUUACAUAUAAUCUUAACAACCUAAAAAAUCUUAAUAAUCUAUUCAUACAAUCCUAAUAAUGAAACCAAAAUUCUAAUAAUCUACAUACAACCCUAACAACCUCACUUUUUUCUAUUUUUCAUAUAUAAUUCUAUCAAUUAUAUAAAAAUUUCAACAAAUUACAUACAAUCUUAACAACCAAAAAAAUUGUAACAAACAAUCUUAAAGAAAGCGGUGAAUAAUUCAUCGCUUCAGUAGAAAAUUAUGAAAAGAUGAAUCAUUCACCGUCUUCUUAAAGAUCAUGAAUGAUUUACUGCUUUUAAAAGAAAAUUAUACCCCAUACUGACUUGACAAAAGGAAGAUUAUUUCUCCAAAUAUUUUUUUAGUAAGAUCAUUUAACUAAUUAUAAUAUUUUUUAGGGUUAUUUGGAAAAAAAAAAGUUUGCUCAAAUUGUGAUGCCCCAACUUUACAGGGGAUCACCCAUUCUAGGACUACUACCGUCCUAGCACGCUAAAUUCCCUUAAUCUCUUGGGCCUAGCCACCACCCAAAAUGUUUAACCCGAGUUAAGAGUUCUAGUCCUAUUAUAUCUUAUAUAUAGAACUAUAUAGGGGUCUCACAAUCUCCACCCUUUAAGCCCUGACGUUCUCGUCAGGCUCAGACUCACAAGUACCAGGCGAUGUGAAACUCGCCUCGCUAUUCUUGUCAUUCCGACCCUAGCUCAACUGAAACUCAUCUCACACUUUCGGCUGGUAAUUGGCUCUGAUACCAACUGUGACGCCCCAACUUCCCAGGGGGUCACCCAUCCUAGGACUACUCCCGUCCUAACACGUUUAACUCUCUUAACCUUUUGGACCUAGCCACCACCCAAAAUACUUAAGCCAGGUUAAGAGUUCUAGCCCUAUUAUAUCUUAUAUAUAUGACUAUAUGAGAUCUCACACAAAUAGCUUAGUAGUGUUUAAAAAACGCCAUUUCUUUUGGAUGAUUCUAAAUAACAAAUUGUUUAAGCUCAUUUUCUUUGAGUUAGUGAUACAGGUCAAAUCAAAAGGACCAAAAUUUGUUUUGCAACUGACAGGUCCAAAAAUAGUUUAAAAUUAGAGAGAUUCUGGCUAACUACAAGAUUUUGCAAAUUUAGAGAGCACUUAUAAAUUUGAAGGAAUUUGCAAAACAAUAACGAGGGUACGUGGCAAUCUUAACCCAAACCAAUUGGUUCAAUAUUUUUUUUUUGAGUAAACAGGGAUGUACCUUAUUUGUAAUACAGUUUUAAAGAUUUACAAAAGCAACUGAGUCGUUGAUAGAGUUCAAACACAAAAGGAUACAAAUAGAAACACAUAUGUAUGCGCGAAAGUACCGAAAGGACCACAGGGAAGUUCGUCCCUUCACACAAUCACACUCCAAGCGCAAAUUGCCAAAGAUUAAUUGUGUUAAUCACUCUCCUUCCUGUUUCGUCGCUUCGAGUGAGGUGUCCGUUGAAGAUACGACUGUUACUCUCCUUCCACAGUUCCCAGCAUGCUGUUGUAAGACAUAGAUCGAACAAUUUUUUCCGGCGGCCCCUCACAGAAGUCCGAGCACGAUUCCAUCGCUCAGUUAAAUCCCCUGGGUGAAUCAGCAACAAGCGUCGAGUUGUUGGAGUAGAUCGCAGCAGAUGGUGCCAGACAGCCAUGGCAUAGUUGCAAGAGAAUAGGAUGUGUUCUAAAUUCUCUCCGUUUAUCGAACAGAGAACACAAAUCGAAGGGCCAUGCCAGCCUCUUUGAGAUAGUGUGUCAGCUGUGAAGAUUUUGUUUCUCGCGGCGAGCCAUAUAAAGACCUUGACUCUUAGAGGAAUCUUGAGUUUCCAUAGGCAAGGGAUACCGCAAGCAUUUAUGCCAUCAAAGAUAAACAAAUUGUAAGCCCUACGUACCUCAAACCGACCAUCGUCGUUCCAACGCCAAACGGUCGAGUCGGUAGCAUUCGAUAGGAAGGUGCUCUGGAUCAAAGCUGUGAGCCAUGGGAGCUCUUCCAAAUGUUCUCACGGAAGUUCUGCAGGUCGGAAGCCCAGUGUGACGUUUUGGGUAAAACGUCGAAUCCAACUAGCGACCGAGAGAUGUUUAUGGCUUGAAAUUGCAUAGAGAUUAGGGAAUUGAGUCCGUAGCGAGAACUCACCGGACCAUCUCGCAUUCCAGAAAGACGUUGUCUGCCCAUUACCCAGUGACACACAAGUGGACACGUGAAAAGGUUGAGCGGUGUUAAGAAUUCCUUUCUAGAUUUGGCAGCACCUAAUAGUCGAAUUGCCUCCAACCAACGGUUGUCGAUGCUUAUAAUGUUUUUGCUUAAGGAGUCCGACCCAAGGAAGGUGUGGGGAGUUGUAAAAAUUUCAUAAUCCCUUCAUCAGCAAAGCCGAGUUCAUCGCGUAGAGGUUUCGGACUCCCAAUCCGCCUGAUUGUUUUGGACGGCAUACUUGUUCCCACUUAACUAGGCAAUGAAAACCAUUAUGCAGUUUUUGCCCCCUCCAGAAAAAAUGGCAUCUGAUUUUGUCAAUGGACUUGAUCACCCAUGCUGGCAUUUGAAACAGCGUACAAAAAUAUAAAGGGGUGCUCGAAAGAACCGAAUUUAGAAGUACUAGCCGACCUCCCCUUGAGAGUGUGAGCCCCUUCCAUCCCGCCAAGUAAUUAUCAAUCCUCUCAAUAAGCGGCAUGUAAUCAGAUUUGCAUAGUCUUUUAGGUGAGAGAGGUAAACCCAAGUAUGUCAGCGAAAAUUCUUUCACCAAGCAGCCAAUAGAGUUGGCUAAGGAUGUAGCUUGGGAAGCAGGUAGGUUGAUUAGGGUGAUAGAGCUUUUAUUGAAAUUGAUCGAGAGGCCCGAGCAUGCCGCAAACUAAUCAAGAAUAAACUUAGUAGUUGCAACUGACCUUGUGGAGCCAUCCAAGAAGAUAAUCAGAUCAUCCGCAAAUUGGAGUGUGUGCAGCCUAGCAUUUCCGAUCCCAAGGUCCGGUAGUAGGCGGGUUGUCGUUGCCAGCUGGAGCAACCUAAACAGAACAUCUACACAUAAAAUAAAAAGUAGAGGAGAUAGCGGGUCGCCCUUGUUGGAACAGAUUGUGAUAAAGGUAUGAAAUAGAAAGAUUAAAAAGGCUUCAAGGCGUGUAGCAAUGCCACUUUCCUUAAGGCUUAAUCCGUCCCCACCGUUCUAACAAUUUGGUGUGCACCGGGUCAACGAACAACCUCCCAGGAUACAAUGAAGCGUAAACCUCAACUGCGUUUGCACACACGAAGUCGAGCCUUUGAGCACUCACUCGAUUAAGUUGUCAAAAGAAAUAGAAUAUAAAACAAGAAUGGAAUUAUUAUGAAUGAUGACUUCAACUCUUCAACUGUUUUAUGUCUGUAUCCUUCUGCAACCAAUGCUAUGGACUUAUAUAGGCCACGAACGGGUGCUUCAUGAAGUGACUAUUCACGAAAGGGUGUUUCGUGAAGUGACUAUUCAUGAAUAGGUGUUUCGUGAAGUGACCUUUCGAUUGUGACUUUUCAUUUGAUCAUAACUACCAAAUAGUUAUAUGAAUCAAGUUCAAUGAAUAUAACCAUUGAUUCCAACGGGCAUAUGUACGAAGAGACACACUAUAAAGAUGUGUCUUUUCAUAUCAUAUUCUUUCACUAAAAGUCACAUCCUUUCACUCUAAGAGUCAUACCCUUUGAUUAGAGUUGUAUCCACUCACUAAGGGUUGCAUCCAUUCACUAAGAGUUGCAUCCAUUCACUAAGGAUUGCAUCCUUUCACGAAGAAUCACAUCCAUUCACUAAAAACAAUAAACAAAAUAUAUUAUUUUAAAAUUUUCCUUACAGCCCUGCCUAAGCCCCCUCUUACAAGUGAACCUUUUACCCGGAGUACCAUUAAGAAUCACGGACGCACUAGCCGUCUGAAGCAGGGCUUGAAUCCAAGCGAUCCAGCACGGAGUAAAGCCCCAAGCAUGUAGUAGGUCGAUCAGGAAACGCCAACUUAUUCGGUCGAAGGCCCGCUCGAAGUCUAUCUUCAAUAGUGCUGCCCGGUCUUUGGCUGUAUGUAGAUGGUGGAUGAGUAUAUGGGCACAACUGAAGUUGUCAAAAAUAUGUCGACCCUUGAUGAAGGUAGCUUGGUAGGGGUUGAUUAAAUAAUGUAAGAAGAAUUGUAGUCUUGAAGCUAGGACCUUCGAAAUCAGUUUCGCCAUACUGUGUACCAGGCCUAUAGGGCGGAAGUCGUUGGCGAUUAGUGCCUCCUUCUUCUUCGGGAUAAGACACAACCAGCUUGUGUUGAUCAAAUCGAUCUCGGCCGUGUUGUUGUAGAAGCUGUUGAAAACACUCAUAAUAUCAUCUUUAAGGAGAUUCCAGAACCGCUGAUAGAAUAGCAUCGGAAGCCCGUCAAGGCCUAGGGCCUUCUCGGGAGCACUAGAGAAAACGGCUCUCUUAACCUCGGCUAAAGUGAACGGGGUCUGAAGGCUUGAGAGGUCGAAAGUCUCAUCACCAUAGACAGCAUGAAGGUCAAUUUUGGCAGAGGGAUCGUGUGCCACCCCAAGUUGGUUGUAGAAAAAGAAGAAUAGGUGCUCAGCGAUCGGCUCAGGCGAGGAGAGCGUGACAGAUCCAUUAGAGAGUUUUGAGAUGAAAUUUUUGUUCUGACGAGCAUUGGCCUUGAGAUGAAAAAAUUUUGUGUUCGCGUCUCCUACCUUGAGCCAAUGAACUCUAGAUCAUUGCUUCCACUUGAUCUCCUCUUGUAAGCAGAGGUCUUCAUAUCUGGCCUUAAGCUUCGGCCUCAAGUUGCGCUCCAUGUUCGAUAAGAGUCUUUCUUCUUCUGCUUUGUCGAGCCAUUCGAUCCAAAGAAGACAAAGUUUGGUAUGUUCCCUUGAUGCUGAGGAGAGACCUGCACUCCAAGAGCUGAGAGCUGAUUGUACGGAAUUAAUUUUCAGCGAGAAGAGGCUCACUGGGUCGGAAUCCGUCAACCUCGAGUUCGAGUUCCACGCCGUGGAGACCACAUCGAAUACAGCAGGGUGGCGCAACCAGUAGCUCUCAAAUCUGAACAAAUUGGCAUGAGAAAUGAAGGUGUAGACAGAAAGCACCAGGGGCGUGUGGUCUGAUCGGGGUCGCGGAAGUGCUCGGAGGGUGGAUCGGGGAAAAGCAAGUAGCUAGGUACUGGAUAUAAAAGCGCGAUCCAGGCGCUCCAAAGUCGGGGCACCCCUACCAUUAGACCAAGUAAAGGAUUUAUUAAGUAAAGGGAGAUUGACCAAGCUUAGCUCAUGUACGACUUCCCUGAAGUUCAAAAUGUCGGUCACAUUUGCAGUGGGUCCAUUCUUGUCCUGAACAGAGAGUAGGACAUUGAAGUCACCAAGCACAGUCCACGCGCCCGUUGACAACACCCCAAUGGCACGAAUCUCAUGAAAGAAGUCAGCUCUUAAAAUAGCAGCAGUAGGCCCAUAGACAUUCGUGAUCGUGAACAAAUUCCCAUCAACAAUCCUCUUUAACACGACCAUCAGCGAGAAUCUGCCAGCCCAUUCAUGAGUACAUUCGAAUAAAGACGGAUUCCAGGCUGUUAGGAGACCGCCUCUAGUCCCCUUAGCGUUUAGAGUCCGAAAAUCAUGCAGAUUGGUUCAAUAUGAUUUGCUUGAUUUGAAUUGGCUUUGAAUCAUCCAUUUUGAGCUAUAAACUUUCUUUGAAUCUAUGGAGAAUGUUGAUUGGCAAAUAAAGUUGCAAAACAUUACUAGAAAGAAAUAGGAGGCGCGAGGCAGUCAAAAUGAAGAGUCAGGUUAGGGAUGAUGCUCAUGCUUCAAUUAGAACUACAAAGGGAAGAGUCCAUGUUGGAUCGAUGGAGUUAAAGCAAUGUUGUAAGUCGAUAUCACGAUUAAGCAUUCGAAGAAAAUAGGUUAUCGGAGGUAUGUUCCAAAACCUAAUUUGUAGUUUUCGAAACUUCAUCUUGUUCUGAUCUACAAUAAAUUGAGUUUUAGUGGCGAUUAUUUUUAAAUUUUCAGCAAUUAUAAUUGCCGCUAAAUAGUUUCGUAGCAAUUAUGACAAUUGCCACUAUUGGUAGGGUCGGUAAAAAUUAUAGUAAUAUUUGUUCCGAUCAUUGGUAAAGUCCAAAUAAAUGCUGCUAAAUACUAUAUAAUAGUAGCUAUUAUAAAUGUCACUACAAUUAAUUAUAAUUGGCACAAAAACAUACUAAAUCAUUGAUAAAUAAAGGUUAUAGCGAUAAUUACAACUAAUAUUAAAAUACUUGAUCCACAACUAAAUACUCCAAUAAAUUGAAAUAUUGAAAAAUAGUAAUAACCAAAGAACAUUAAUAAUUUGUAUAACAAAUAAUCUUUACUCUCAAAUUACAAUCUCAACAUCCAAAUUAAAUAUUGGAUAUGAGUUCUAACAACAAAAUAUUUUUUCAAAAUUUAGCUAAAAAAUAACAAAUUCUAAAUGACACUAAAUACCUAUAAUACGGGAAAAGCCCCAAAUUAUAAAUGCUUAAAACUCUUUGUUCUACUCUGAAAGCUUGCUCAGAUUGAUGACAAAGCCUCAAAGAAUCUGUUUCCGAAAUAAUAUUUUUGCAAUCAAUGGUAUGAAUAAGCAUAUGUUUAUUUUCAGGAUUGAAUAGGUGUAGGAAAAGUUGUAAUAAAUCACAUUAUAUUUAUAGGAGAUGAUAACACUAUUGAUAAGAAUUACCAAUUUGAAGUCAAAAAUAAGAUUGAUAGCUAGUAGAAAAAUUGAAAAAUUGAAAUGACAACAUAUUAAACUUAUUUACCAAAAAGAUAAACAGAAUCAUAAGAAAAAAUUAUUCUAUUAAAACUAAAGACAUUUUGAAGCAUUCUAUUUAUCUGGCAUCCAGAAUAAAGACAGUUGUGAUAUUCAUCUCUCAGCUUGGUCAAUAUCUCGUGCAAAUCCUACAAGGCAACAAUAUAAUAUUAAUUGAAGUUCGAAGGAUGAAAUGUCUAGAGCUACUGGUUGAAGUUCAAAUGCGAUAUCUAACUCAAAAACAUCACCAAAGAACCCAGAAAUUGAGAUUAAACUAACUCUAAGAUCAACAUCCUCAUCAAAACUAUAUUUGAGAAGCUGAAAUAGAGAGUGAUCAAAUUAAAAAAAAAAUCUAUAUAGAAGUUGUUAAAAAAAUUACCUUAAUAGGCAGAUCAAGAUGUAUUAAAAGAACUAAAACAAUGAGUAAUUUGUAUAUCCAUAUCAUGUUAAUAGUUGGGACUUUUGGAGGGACAUAUUUAUGAUGGCAAAAUGUCAUUUUACUUAUAAAAUAAAUAAUAUUUUAACGGAAACAAACCGGAGGUACAUAUUUGAAAACAUUAGGAUUUUUACACGAAUAAUAUAUAAAAAUUAAAUUUUGUAAGAAUAUAUUUGUAAUUCAAUAUAUUUACAGGAACAUGUAUGAAAUUAAUUCUAAAAAAAAUAUAAGUCAAAAAUCAUAUAUCAAAUUAAAUUUUAAUGACCAAAAUAUCAUGGUAAGUGUGAGCGCCCAUGGUGUAAUCUACCAUAGAAAGCGAUCGAUGUGCUAACUAGGGAUGUCAAUGGGUAUGGAUAUCCGAAAUUUUAUCCGAACCCGAACCCGAAUGAAACGGAUAUAUCCAAUGCUAAAUGGAUAUAGAUUUGGAUAUGGAUAUCAAAAAUAGAAAUCCGACGGAUAUGGAUUCGAAUAUGGAUUUUGACUGUACCCAAGCCGAACCCGAACCCGAAUUUAUUUUGUAUUAUAUAUAUAUAUAUAUAUAUAUAUAUAUAUAUAUAUUAGGCUGGAAUACUAUUAAUAGUACAACGCUUUUUGCUAUCAAGUUUUUAACCCUUGAUGAAAUAUUGUAGGGUCAUAAUGAUAUUAGUCGGUUAGAGUUGAGUGGUCCCCCUAGGGUUGAGUGGUCCCACUGGGUUAUAUAUUUAAUCCAAUUGUUAGAAAUAUGAAAAGAGUUGAUCCAAAGGUUAAAAAACUGAUAGCAAUAAUGGGAUUUUGCUACUAAUAGUAGCCCAGUCCAAGCUCUAUAUAUAUAUAUAUAAUAUAUAUAUAUAUAUAUAUAUAUAUAUAUAUAUAAAUUUGAUGUUAUAUUUAAAUUUAUAUUUUAAAAUUUUAAAUUUAAUAUAAUAUAUUUUAAAAUAAUGAAAAAAGAAAUAACUGUUUCGGGUUUAAAUUUUUGGGUUCAGGUUCGGAUUCGGGUUCGGGUUCGGAUUUCGGGUUUGGAGUUGGGUUCGGGUUCGGAUUUUUGAAAAUCCGCCCCGAAUCCGACCGGUUACCAUCUCUAGUGCUAACGGCCCUAACAGACCGACCCUGCUCCUCGCGUCUUCUCUUUCAAUUCCUCACCAGCCGGCUAGCCGCCUUCGCUGUCUCUCUCCGACGGUGGCUCCAGCGUUGCUUUCAGCCCUCGGCCGUCGUCUCGCAGUCUCCAUUUCGUAAUGCGGUAAGAUAAUGUGCCUCCUUUUCCCCCGAUUGUUCUGUAAAAGCAUAUUCUAUUUCAUAAAUAAUCUGUAUUUUUUAUUCAAAUCCUGUGCUUUCCGAGGAGAUGAUUUGUUGGUAUGGUUGUUUCCUUUUCUGUAGUUGAAAUUAAUCGCUCUGAGCCAUUGCUGCCACUUCCCGUCUUCAAUGGGUUCCAUAUUCUUUGCCACACAAAAGGUAUUGUUUUCACUCUUUCUUUUUUUUUUUCCGUUUCACUCUUUGCCCUAUUCUAUUUUAGAGAGGGCUUUUCUUUGUAUUUAGCCCUGUUAAAACUUUUUUUUUUUUCACAAAUAGCGCUAGUAAAUUUAUAUUUGCAUAUAUGGCUCUCUCUUCGCGACGUGAGCGCCAUUUUGGCAGUUUUUAGGUUGAACACGGUGAUUGAAUUACCAUGUUCAUAUUGACAUUUUAGUCUCUCCUUUUUAACUUAGGGGCUAUAAAAAAAUACAAAAAAGAACACGGUAAUCCAAUUACUAUGUUUAAACACAGUGAUUGAAUCACCGUGUUCAACUUAAAAACGCCACUUAGGUGCUUGUGUGGCAAGCAGAGGACUAUUUAUAUAAAUAUAAAUUUGUUAGGGCCAAUUUAUAAAAGAUAAGUUUUGAGAGGGCUAAAUGCAAAAAAAGGCCAAUUUAGAGAACAAAAGUCAAGAAUGAUGAAUUCCUGUUGCAUGCUUAUACAGUAAUUAGUAACAUGCCAUUGUCACUUCUGGUCCUCUUUGGACGCAUGAACAUCUUAUUCCGUACAUUGUUUUUAUUUAUUCAAGAAGCUUAUGGAAUCUAGUGGAUAAGGAGUAUGAUCAGAUAUUUAGAAAGGCGUAGCAAAUUCAACUUUCAAGUCAUUUUCUCGAAAUUAGAUAAAUCACUUCAUUCCAAAUCGUGAAUCUCAAGACCUCGGGUUCUGUCACGCCCGCAACCGCCAAUUUGGUUGGUUCGGGCACGCACACAAACCGCCGAACGGACAGAGUCUCCCCUGUACCGCCCAAGGCUGAACAACAUUAUGUACAUCUAGUUUUGCCCAAAUAAAACAAACAACAUACAUGAUUUGCGCGAGGGCAAUAAACAAGAGCAAGAGAGAAAUUUAACUAAACUUACAACCAUUCAUUUGCUUAACCAUUUACAACUUACCAAAAUACAACCAUUUAGUUUAUACAUCGAAUUCCUCACUACAUGUUCUCUCCAAAAUAUAACAUCUCUCUCUCAUAAGCAUAUACAAGGUAUACUAAUGCACGAGGGAGUCCACUACCUAGGGCGUUAUGCCCUUGCCAUGAUCCUCGGCCGCUCCGCUAGGACAGGGAUAUGUAAAACAAUGGGGUGACUCGUGAGAACUAAAAGAAGUUUCCAGUGGGCUCGGCCGCCGACCCCGCCGAUUUUCCCACUAGGUUUAAAUAGGCAAAAGUAGAAAGAAGAACGAGAAUAAGAAAUGCUAACAUACUACCAUGCCUCAACAAUAUGAUACGAUGAAUAAAGUAACAAUUAUGCUCAUAAUGCACGUCAUUCAUAUGCUUGUCACCCAAUAUGCUUGUCACCCAAUCAUACCGACUAACCCGAAGGUUGAGCCCAACUCACAACCAAUCCCACAGAUGAGGAGACACCCAGCUACGCUCAUCCGGGACCGUCUGCUGGGUAGAUAUGUUAACCCAAUGUGUAACAACUCCGAAGCCCAUUGCUUGGGUGGAGUGACCACCACCAAGCCGACAGACGCUAUGUAAGUACAGUCCAAUCCUCUAAACUUGAGGAUACCCUACCAACUAAGGGCAACAAUACUCGGGGAUCUAUCCAUCCCUAACAUCAACAUUACUAGCCCAAAUGCCAACAUUCCAUGUCACUAUGUUGCUUAUGUUCACAUUCGGUUCAUGCCACUAUAGAGUUUACAUUGUUCAAGACCCAAUCCUCAUACAUAUACAACUAUGUUCCAUCUCAUUUUCUACAAUUACCAUGAGAGCAUGCAAGAAAUUGAAUGCAUAACACAUACUCUCUACAAUGCAUGAGUUUACCUAUAUACAUAUAUGGCCAACAAAAGUAACAUAAACAUAGGAAGAAAUCCGAUUGUUUGGGAUAGCACCACCCACCUUAGAUUGAUGUUAGGAGGCGAGAAACCAAGUCCCGCAAUUUACCGACACCGCUUUGGCUCGACCCAAGGGUAACGAAAGCAAAUCGGUGUUUUACUCCAACGGUACGCCGUAGGCUCGUAGGAACUUCGUUUUGAGUCUCCCAACGUGUCGAUUUAUCCUUCAAUUAAGGAAUUAAGAGAUCAAUUUCAUCAUAAACCCCAUAUCUACAAAAACCUUAAUUUCCAACCCUAGGGUUCCCAAACUUUGGUCAUGAACCAAACACCAUGAGAAACCAUGGAUUAUUCUAGGUUUCUAAACCACAAGAACCUCAAAACAGGGAUUCUAGGUCAACCAAAGCAAACCCUAGGUUAAACUUGCUAAACCUUACCUUGGCCACUUCUAGACCUCAAACUCCACCUUGUAGGAGAGCCUUUUCCACUCCACCAAAGCUCCAAAACCUUCAAAGCUCCUCAAAUCCACCUUGUUGGAGAGCUUCUAGAGAGAGAAGGAGAGGGAGAUGGUCAAGAGAGGAAGAAGGAGGGUGUUCUCAGCUGUGGAGAAGAGAGAAGGGUGUGGGGACUAUUUAUAAGUUCCCACAAUUACAAAUAGGUCCUUCAACAAUUUAUAUUUACUGCAGUUCAAAAUCUGCAUCUUAUAACAUUGAGUACCGGUACUCGGGAUUGAGUACCCGUACCCCCGGGUGGACAUCUCAACCCGAGAGCAGACUUUCUGCGUAGGCCACUGAGUACGGGUACACGGCCAGCAGUACCGAUACACGACUCCCCUGUACCGGUAACACCAACCGGGUACCUCAACCCGAACGUCGGUCAAUUUUGCUUCCUACAAAGUACCGGUACCCGGCCUCCCAGUACCGAUACUGUCCCAGUUCAAUACCGGUACCCCAGGCCCCAAACUCAAACCCGAGAUCAGCCCUUUUCUGCACCUGCAGGGGGGUUCCGGUACCAAGCUCCAGUACCGGUACCCAGCUCCAAUCCUGCAAUAUUUCCAAGUUUGAGUUCGUUUUCGCGCCGGAUAAUGCUAAAUCCACUUAAACACUAUCCGAGGCUGCUUCUAACAAGUCCGAAGCCCUCAGGACCAUAUAUGGAACAUGUCCAAUCACUCUCUGUACCACGCAUUGAUCUAUUUGAUCGAAGUUGGUACAACACACUCCGGGGAGCUGAUACCUCACACUUCAAGGAGUAAAAAUCAAACUCCUAGCUUGCAAUCAAACAUACAAAUUUUCAUAGCGCAUAAGCUAUCACCAGAUAACUUGUUCCGAAAUCCAAAAAAGACCUUAGGAAUUUAGGGUGGGUUUACUAAUACAUAUAUGAGUUUGGGGAUCAAUUAUUAGGACUUGGUCAUUUCUAGAGAACAUCUUUUUACUAGUGAGGAGUUAAGCCAUAAAAUUGUAGCUUUACAAAAGGCUGAUUAUGCAGCUUAGGGCUUGUUUGUCAAUACAUUGUCCUCCAUCUGCUCAAGAAGCUUUUAGGAUUUAAUAGAUGAGUAUGAUCAAAUGUCUAGAAAGGCAUACUACAUUCAGCCUCCAAGUCAUUCUCUUGGUACAAGAUGAAUCACCUUGAGGUUUCUAGAUACUUCAAGUGGUAUAGAUCAUAUUCAACGGUACCGAUCGUCGAUAUGGAGGCUCCAUCAUUGAAAAAAAUGGGUGGCAACGGAGCCUGUUUGCUACCGAUAGCGUUCUAGCUCAACUCUCUCUCUCUCUCUCUCUCUAUAUAUAUAUAUAUAUAUAGAGAGAGAGAGAGAGAGAGAAGGGCUACUAUACUCUUAUGAGUAUAGAGCCCUUCGUACUCAUUAGUUGUUUUCGAUGUUGGGGUUUUCGAAUCGACGAUCCACACCGUUAAACAUGAUCUAGAGUAUUUAAAACUUCUAAAAAAUAAAUUUUGUAAUUUUUCGAAAUUAUUAUAAAGUUUAUCGAGCGGGUAUAAAAUGAACGGUUAAAAUCGAACGACACCCUAAAAAUGGAUGAUCAGAUACUUUAAUUUAAGAUCGGAGUUAUUGAUCUUUAUUUAGGUAGUGAAUAGAAUUUUCUAUCAAAAAUUCAACCUAUUCCGAUUCUUUUUCACCGUUAAACUAGUAAAUAUCUUAUACCGGCUAUUAAAAUUUGUCAAUUUUGUGAGCUUUUGAUCAUAAGGUAAAUGAUAUCGAAAAAUUAUAAAAUUUGAUUUCUAGAAGUUUUGAAUGCUCUAGAUAAUAUUUAUCGGUAUGGAUCGUCGAUUCGGAAGCUCUAUCAUCGAAAACAACUUAUGAGUACGAAGGCGAUUGUACUCAUAAGAGUAUAGUGGCCGGACUCUAUAUAUAUAUUCGAGCCUUUCAAGCCUAAUUCAAGCGAGUCCAUUAAUAUUCAAGCUCAACUUAAAAUAAAUUUUGAGUUUUUUUUUUUCUGUUCAAGCUCGGCCUAUUUAAUUUCGAGUCAAGCUCGAGUGAGACGAAUAGCCGAAUAUCGAGCCGAAUGCGAGUCGAACACGAGCCGGCUCGCUCAUUUGCCAGGCCUAUCUACAAGACGUAUGGCCUACUAGUUAAUGCAGUAGAGAUACACUACAUAAUCUGUCGGUUGAUAUAGAUUAUUCAUUAAUUACAUCAACACAGUGCUCUCUCGUGCCGCUGUUGCUGCUAACCUGUACUUUGCUUCAUUUGUAGAAAGCUACACAGUCAGUUGCCUUUUGCUGCACCAAGAUACUUACGCUAAUCCAAUGUUGAAUGCAUAUCAUGUAGUUGAUAGUCUUGUUUCUUCUUCUCCAACGUAGUCAGCAUCACAGUACUCUUUGAGCUCACAUGUUUCUCUUUUUCUAUAUAGGAGGCAGUAAUCGAUUGCCCCUUUUAUAUACCUUAGGAUGCAUUGAACUACUUCUAGAUGGUUUCUUUGGUUUCUGCAUGUAUCGACUAACUACAACUGCAUAUACUAUGUCUAGUUGGGUCAUAGUUAGAUAUAUUAAGCUACCAACCAAUUGUCGAUACAUGGUUGAGUCGGCCAAUUCCUUUCUUUUUCUACACAUAGUUUCGCAUUUGGCUCCAUAGGUGUAGAGAUAGGCUUACAGCUUAACAUGCUAUACUUUUCGAGAAGAUCUUUUGCGUACUUCCAUUGACCUAUGAAUAGGCCGUCCUUCAUUCGCUCCACCUUAAGCCCAAGGAAGUGUCGCAGCUCUCCAAGGAAGUGUCGCAGCUCUCCAAGCUCUUUCAUCCGAAAACGUACAAAUAGAUUCUGUUUUGUGUUAUUAUCUCCUUUUGAUCAUCUCCGGUGAUGAUUAAGUCAUCUAUAUAGACUAGCAUGAUGGUAUCUUUUCUCUGCUAUACCAUUUUGUUGGGGAGUGCAUGGACAAUUUAGUUGUCUUCUUAUUUUGCACUCUCGUAAAUAAGCUGAGAACUCUACUAAUAUAUAUCCAACUCCAUUAUCCGUGCUCAAGCACCGUAUUGUAUGACUAGUUUGGCCUUCAACUUUUUCUUUAGGGUCAAUUGCAUACAGGUCCCCGCAAACAUAGUGAAUUGCAGAUAUAUCCCUGUUAAGUUCAACUUUCAUAAGUUAUCCCUGCAAAAGUUCUAAUAUUUUCAGAUAUGUCCCUGCCGUUAGAAUCCGUUAGAAAAGUUUAGUUAACUUUAGGUUAAAUACUUUACUCGGGUUAAUUUUUGACAUUUUCACCCCUCUUAUAUUAUACUGUUAUAACUUUUGGAGAGACAUUUUUUAUGGCAAAAUUGAAAAUAUAAACAGUUUUCUAACGGUUCUCUAACGGUAACAAACCAGAGGGACAUCUGAAAACAUUAGAACUUUUGCAGGGAUAACUUAUGAAAGUUGAACUUUACAGGGAUAAAUCUGCAAUUCACCAUGUUUGCGGGGAUCUAUAUACAAUUAACCCUUUUCUUUCUUUAAAUUCUUUAAACUUUUGCAAUACUUUACAUUUUUCUUAAAGUAAAUCCAGACAUACCUUGAGAAGUCGUCAAUAAAUGUCACCAUGAAGCGCAUGCCGCUGAUUGAUGUUUCCUUGACUGAUCUAAAAAUAUCAGAGUGCACGAGCUCCAGCUGUCCCUUUUGUAUUUUGAUUCGGUAUAGGGGAGUUGAUGAGCCUUACCAUAUUGGCAUCCUACGCAAAUUGCAUCUCCUCGUACUUCAAGUUGAGGGAAUCCCUUUAGCAUGCCGCGCUCCCUUAUAAUUUUCAGUUUGUGAUAGCCCACAUGUCACGAUCUUGCAUGCCACAGAUCUAUAGUCUAAUUUUUUUCAAGUCUUUUCUACGUAUGCCUAUUCUGCCAACAAGGGCAUUACGUAGAUUGCUCUACUUCCUUUCCUUCUAUGAUCUGUAUGCCAACUAUCUUGGGACUGCAAUAUACCUUGACAUCCUGUGGCACAAAUACUAUAUAGUUGCCCGAUGUAGUCAGCUGUGAUACUGAUAACAAGGUUUAAAGUGCCGUGGUACGGGGCGUGCUGCUGUCUACCUGGCACGGAAGCACCGGCACGCUUCCGUGCCGACACAUGGUAUGCUUGCGUGCCGAUGGAUACGCAUGACCUCUUACUGGCAUGUUUUGGUACGGACUUAUUUCAAUUUUUUUAGUUCGAAUAAGCUCUUAUAAUGUUAUUUUAAAAGACUUAAUCAAAUAAUUAUGAAUAUUUGCUAUGUAUAGCUUACUAUACUCAUCAAUUAACAUAUUUAUAAGCUUUUUUGUAUGUAAUGUACAUUUAGACCUAAUGCAGAAUAGAAAUUUUUACAAGUUAGAAUUUUUAAAAUGCAAAAACAUCUUUUUUUUCUUUUUUUUCUUUUGACCAUAUUACAGUAUUUCUUUUAUAAAAUACAAAAAAAUUAUUUUUUUAAUUAAUUUUUUCAAAAAAUUAGUAGAUCUAUCAAAAAAAUUAAGCAAUAAAUUAUAUGACAAAUAAAUUUAGUAUCAAUUGAUUUAAUUUAGCUUUUAAUUUUAUCAAUAUUUUCAAUCUUUUAUCACAAAAAUAAAAUUUUAUGUUUGAUGUGACUCAAAAUUUGUUUAUUGAGUUUGAUUUCGUUCCCUUAAUUCGCCAAAAAAUUCACAUGCGACAAAUUUUGAUAAAAAAAAUUGUGAAGAAAAAAUAGAUAUCUGUGGUGGAAGUGGAGGGCUCGGACAAAUCUUUUGUCCCUAUAUUGAUACACAAAAAAAAUUAAAUUAUAAUUUUUUUGACUUACCUAAUAAGUAAAUUUUCAAUUUGCAAUGUCUUUGGGGGGAGCGUGGGGUACUUAUAAUGCUUUGGAUACCCUAAAGAACAAAAAAAAAAAGCAAAAAAAAAGCAAAAAAGCAAAAAAAAAUAAAAUUAGCACAGUGCUGUGGCACUGUGCGGUGGCACGCUACGCCGUGCCGCUCUGUCUCAUGCGGCAUGGCGCUACGUGCCGCGGCACAGAGGGGGCCCGAGACCCCCCCGGUGGCACGGUACGUGCCGCCCCGUGCACACUUUAAACCUUGACUGAUAAUAUAUUUUUCUUCAUACUUACUCUACACUACUCCACCACACACCCUCUCUUAGCUGCUGCUACUCCACAUUGUUGCCUUUGGUUUGGGUUCCUCACACCUAUUUAUAGGCAACUAAAGUCGGUUUUGCACCAACUUAAGUGGAGUUGGGGCUAAUGUCUCUAGCUUCCUGCAAAAGCUUCUUGAAGCUCUGUUUAGAGCCCGAAACAGAGGAAAAGGGGUGGAAACCGAGGAAUAGAGGGGGGGAGGCAGUAUUGCCUCUUUCAACACUUGAAUUCAAAUUUAAUUUCUUGAGUUGCAUCAGUUGAUUGGGUAGUANUUAAAUUCAAAUUUAAUUUCUCGAGUUGCAUCAGUUGAUUGGGUAGUAGCAAUGGAAUUUCACAGUAGCAAAGGUUAUAUGGAGUUAUAGGGCAAAGGUGCAGGAUCUCAUUGUUAAAUUUGAAAUUGUAGGAACUAGGUGCUUAAGAGUUAAAAAAGCUUAGUAAGCUAAAGCUAUAGCUUAAGUGGUUUGGUCAAAACAUUGAUUGGUUAACAUUUUUAGGUUUGGCAGUAGUUUGAAGCUGAUCAAUGCUGGUGUUGAUACUUGCUGGUAGGUUAGUAGUAAUGUAAUUCCACAGAAAACUUAUCAUCACUUAUAGUUGUGAUGGUCAUGCAAUAUUGAUGAUGGUAUGGGAAAAGUGAAAGAAAAACACCUAGUUCAGGAAGGAACUUAUCUCUAGUCCCAACAUUCUUGUUGAAGAGUUUGGAGGUCGUUUAAAAUUAGGUUAUUGCUCUAAAAUUUGUACAAAAUUCCUAAUGGCGAGUUUGGACACAUAACAUCUUGUAAGGCAUUUGUCCUUUGUCUACUCAAUGAGCAUUCAGUGAUGGGUAGAUGAGCAUGAUUAGAUGUCUGCUACAGCAUAACAAUAUUGGGUACUCAAAGUCAUUUCUUAGGAAUAAGAUAAGUUGAAUGCAUUAUCUUAAUAAAUCAUCACUGUCGAGACCUUUCAAGCGACAAAGCAAAUUUUUACAUUGUCGUCACAAAAGGAAGGCUAAAUUACCAAAUUCCCUAGCACUUUAGCCCAUGUCUCAUUUACCCCCUCUGUAAGUUUUGACCUUGCACUUUACUGUUGUGUCAAAUAGGUCCAAAAAUUUGGGAUGAUCAAUUAUUUGUAUGCAAAACUUACUAGAAUGGUUGCCAUAUCAUGUCAUGCUUUUAUCUGAUCUUCCAUUUGAGUGCCUACUUAAAUAAUAGAUCUAAAAUUAUAUAAAGAGAUUUUCUUCUUUAGUAGAGAUACUAAAAUUGGCUAUUUACUGGACACUUCAUUCAAAUGUGAUUGUACUCCAUUGAAUAUGACAACUGUCAUGUUCCAACUCCUUUCCACAAAGUUUUGCAAACAAAAUUAACAAUAAUCCCAAAUUCCUUUUGGGCUUUUUACAGCAGUGGAAAGGGCUGGGGUGAAAUUGAUGCAAUAUUUAUCCAGAGGGGGUUUAGCCCAAAAGAAAACUCUCAUAGUGCAAGUGUAAUCGCCUGGAUAAGUUGCUUCAACAUCCAGACAUACUAAGUAUCUUCUUCCUCAGAGAAUAGUUGGUGAAGGGCUUUCUUCCAGAAUUAAGAUCCUCCAAAGAAAUCCCUCUCAAGUAAGGGUGUUGACAAUUUGGUUUGAAACCAAAUACCAAAUUAAACGAAACCAAACCAAAUAAGAUAAUUUGGUUCGUUUAUCUGUUUUUAAUUUGGUACAAAAGGCUGGCUUUGCCAUAUUUAGAAAUUCCUAGGGCUUCUAUUCAAAUCUUGCAAGGAAGCAGGAUUAUUCAAAUAGGCAUUCAAAAUUGAAACACUUGCAUAAAAUCGACUCCUUAAAAAAGACUUAAUCUAAAUCUAGCCAAACCCAAACUGACUGAAUAUGAUUUUAGUUAAACUAUCUGGUAGCCCUAAUAUGAAAAUACCAAAUUUGAUAGCUAGCCAGUUUGCCUGAUUCUAGUAAAGGUUUGAAAGCCCUAAACUAGUACCCUGAUGACCAUCUUUGUUGCGGAUAAGGCAGUCGUUGCUUCACCAUACCUACUUAGCAGACCAACUUACACAAAAUAAACACCUGUUCUGGCAAGUUUUAGAAGAUAUUCAAUAAUCUUAUGAAAAUUGUUCCCUUCCAUCUAUGCAUUAUGUCGAAGCUGUAAAGUCACAACUUUGUGAAUAGAUGUUCAUUUGUUUAUUUCACUGUAUGUGUAUUUUGGUCAAGAUAUGUUGUUCUGCCAGAGAUUGAACUAAAUACUCAGUUCUAAAUGUUCUUUCUUUUCUCCUUGCAUGUGUUGUUGCUGUGAAUCAUUGCAAAAGACCUAUCAACUCUGAGUGAGAUACAAGGAUGAUUGAAGGUGAGAGCAGUAGAGCCAAUGAAAAGAAAAUAGAUGAACUGGUUUAUUGCAUGUCAAGGGAGCUUAAUUAUCAAUGGUCACUGAGUGACACCAUUGGUUCUCAAGCGUACGUUAUCUAUAAAGUUCCUCAAAUCAUCCGCGAAUUGGAUAGGAAUGCUUACGCGCCUAUUAUUCUCUCCAUAGGUCCGUAUCACCAUGGAACUCCAGACCUACUAGCCAUGGAGAAGGAGAAGUGGUAUUGCCUGCAUUACAUUCUUAAUUUGAAUCCUGAAAAGAAUUUGCAGGAUUAUGUAAAUGUAAUUGUGGGACUAGUAAAUCAAGCAAGAAGCUAUUAUGCUGAGGAGGUUAAAAUGGAAGACGACAAGUUUGUACAGAUGCUCUUGGUUGAUGGAUCCUUCAUACUUGUGUCUCUUUACGGAAUGGAUGGAAUUGGAUUACCUUUGUCCGAAGAAUAUGGAGGCAAUGCUAAUUCCCAGGAAAUAGUGGAGGAAGAUAGGAAAGGACAAAUACAGAACAAAACAUAUGAGUCACUAAGCAUAGAGAAAAGGACUACAGAGGGCGCGCAGGCAAUGAAGGGUGGACAGGCAAACAAGGAUACAUCUUUGCUUGAGGUAGAAUUAACCCCGUGUGAGGCAAGCCAAAGAAACAACGAAAAUGAUAAAACAGAAGAAAAGGUGCAUAAACAAUGUCAAGAUAAUUCUGACCAGGUUGGUCCAUGGUACACCUACUUUGUAGCACACGACCUACUCCUGCUAGAGAACCAACUUCCUUUUUUCAUUAUCAAGAAAAUAUAUGAGCUAGUUGCAAGUAAAGAUGGUACAACUCCAUCUGUUGCAGACAAAAUUGCCAAACAUGUAGAAAUUAUGCUGCGCCACUAUCCAAAAGCAAUACAAGAAUCUGACAGGCCAAAAGAGUUCCACCAUUUACUCCACUUGUGUCAUAUGUACUUCAGACCUAGCCAGAAGGUGGACAAAGAGAAUCAGCACAAGUCAAAGCCUCAAUUCCUUUGCCGCUUUCUUCAUUUGAGCCUCAGAUAUUUCAAAUUAAGUAAUUGGUUGAAGGAAGACUAUAGAAACUUACUGCGCAACCAGCAGUCAGAUUCCCCUCAAUCUGGCCAGAAGCGUUGGCGCCGAGCAGUACAUUAUUAUGAAGCAGGAAUUGAAUUUGAAAGGAGGGAAUUUGAUAAACAAAAUCCCCAUUCUCUCUUGGACAUAAAGUUUGGCCUAAAGUUUGGGCAUGGUGUAAUGGAAAUUCCACGCUUAUCUAUCGACGCGAACACCGUCUCUCUUUUCAGGAACUUUAUCGCAUUUGAACAAACUUGCCCUCAAGUUGGAAAUGAGAUCACUACAUAUGUUGUUUUCAUGUCUCAGCUUCUCAGCAUGCCUGAUGAUGUCACGCUGCUUGCUCAAAGAGGAAUUAUUCUGCACCAACUGCGUAGCGAUAAAGAUGUCUCGACUCUUUUCACCAAGCUUAGUAAAGAUGUGGUCUUUGAUUUCAAUGCUAAUUAUUACCUGAAAUCUUUAUCUCAGAUGAUGGAAGCACACUACCAGAGUCGGCUGAAUAGGUGGAUUGCAUGGUUGAGGCAUAACCACUUUAGUAAUCCAUGGUUGGCCUUAGGAGCAUUAGCUGCUGCAAUCAUGCUUUUUUGCACUGUAAUACAAACACUAAUUGCCGUCUUCUCUUACACGAACCCGCCAGUGGAUGAUUCUUAAACACCAAAUUGAGAAUUCUAAAUCACAAAGAGUCCAUCUCAGUAAACACUAAGAGUAAGUGGCUGGUCUUAGUGCUUUCAUUAUAAUGGCUUUGCUUUGUUUUCCAGAUACGAGUUUGACCUGUGUGAGUUAAUUUUGGUCGAGCUUCUGUUUUUACACAAUGUUGCAUGAUUAUGCACGUUCAACUAAUUCAUAGUCAGGUCUAGUUUAGGAUAACAUUUCACAUUAUAGUAGAUUUUUAUUGUCAUUUCAUUAUGCAUCCUCCAACUUUACUUGUCGAGUAACUUAGGCCUGGUGAUAGGUUUGAUAACUAUGCAAUUGCAAGAAUUGUGUUGAUCAACAAAUAUUCUUUUUUAGUUUUCUUCAAUCUCCUGAUUGAUGAGUUCUCUACAAAUGAAAGAAAACUCUUUAAAUCAUGACUUUAAGUGGAUUUCUGAUGAUGGUGGUGGCUUUGUCAGACAGGUUUUUUGCACUUAAACUGGAUUUCUGAUGAUGGUGGUGGCUUUGUCAUGUAGGUUUUUUGCCACCUAUCCUAAGUAUAGAUGCAUUUUUUCUAGUUAGUUGCUUCUUUAUAAAUUGUCAUCUGUACUUUUUGCAUCACCUGUGAGUCUAUGACAGACAAUUAAAGCUGCUUCCAUUGUUUAUAACAAUCUAUAUCUUGGGUAUAAGCUAUUCUAGUUUUUCUUCUUUUCUUUUAUUGCAUUAGUAAAACCUUUCCAAGAAUAAUAUUCUCCUUCAGGUUGGUAUUAAGAUUAAAUGUUAACGGAUCACUCCUACGGCACCAUUUUUCAGUUAUUUAGUAGGAAUUCUAGGUUGAUGACAUUACAGUAACAAUAACAAAUACAGAUAUAUACCAUGCUUUCUACAUUUUUUUCUUUCCCCUGAUUUGUAUACCAUGAUUUCUACUUCUUUUUUUUAUUUUUUCUGAACUGAAAUAAUCACAUGCAUAAUAUGUCUUGAUGUCUUGUCUUUUAACAUCCCUACUCUGUUUUUCCUUCCAACUUUUUUUUUUCUCCUUUUCUUCUUACAAAAUGGGGCUAUUGUAUUUAUAGUAUUUAAUUACAUUAUCUAAGAAUUAUGGAGCCUUAGUAUCAUCCAGCUAUACUUAAUACAUCUGUAUUCUUUGUUCUCUCUCUCUCUUUGUAUGCUAUUCUACGGCAUAUCCCUAUCAAAGCAAGCGGUAAGCUUAACAUAAUGUGAUUAUUUCAUGUAGGUAGAUAAACUAGAAAACAUCAUAUGACUCCACUAUUCAACUGAAGGCUCAGAAACAGAACACACUUAGCCACGUUGCCUCACUUCAUCCGAAGUUCUACAUAACUCUUGGCUUCACUUAAUUUAUAACUACUGUAAUAGACACCCAAAAAGCAGCUCUUCAGAAGGGUCUCAAUUGAAUUGAAUAUUCAUUGGUCAUAUGAUCAUAGUUAGCUGUUGUCCUCGACGCUUUUGCUUCACUUAAACUUUCUUCAGAGCUACUAGCUUCUACCAGUUGCGACUUUUGAAGGAAGCCUAAAUUUAGAACAACCAUAGGCGCACUUCCCUUCUCUACUGCCAAGACAGGAGCCGGCUGUUCUUCACAACCUUUACCGAACCAUCAACUACUUUCGAUGGAUUGUUCUUUCAUCGACAACCGUAAUGCAGUGGACGCUUUUCAUUCCUUCCAGAAUAUGGCUUUGGAAUGGAGUAAUCCAUCAACAUGCUAAGAGGAGGAGAUCUCGAUGUCUCUCCUUCCUAAGUUUCAACUCCACAGCAACAUGCACAGCAAUAGAGAAUCUAAUACCUUCUGUUCUUCAUAUCUCUUGGUUGUGUGUAUUUUCAGUAUUUUAACCAUACAUAUUUAUAGAUGAUUAAGCAAAGGAAAGCACAUUUAGUAGAUUAUGUGACCACUACCAUUAUGGGUUCAUUUCUGUUUUGUUAGUGACAAUUUACUUGUUGGAGGAUCCUAUCAUUACCUUCAACUGAGCAUGACUCAUUAGGUUAAGCUUGCCAUGCAUCACAAAUGUAAUUGUUGAAUUGGAUUCUUCAUUAUCCGUAUCGAGGCCUUUUGUUUGGAAUAUCUGUUCUCGAACAUUGAGUACUAAAGUUUUUUGAGGUGCAUAAUAUCUACAGGAUAUUAAAUUGUAGUAAUUCGUGAACUUGAACCGGAGAUGAUGAUGAUGAGUAUGUACUUUAAUAGCUAACUCCAUUUUAACCCAAGAUCUAAACUUAAUAUUAUUAUUAACAAAUGUAUGAAGGCACACGAAGUAUAUUAUUUACUACUUUUGUCUUGUGGAAGGACCCUCCUAGAUAGGUAUUUAAUUGAUAUAUAAAGUGAGGCUUCCCUAAUUUUGUAGAUGAAUAUUUUAACGAGUGUCUUAUACAUGAACCACUCUUGGAUCACAUAGUUACAAAUAAAAAAAUGAUUGCACUAUGGCAAAAAAUGAACAAGUUUCUUUAAGGAGCAUUUGUGUUACUGAAAUACCGCAAGCCAUGAUCUUCUAUUAUUCUAUUACAUUAAUUUUAGUUAAUGUUUGAUAAGGCAUAGGGUUUUCUUUUGGAUUUUCAUAAGCUUAUGGAUUUGGUGCAAUAUUUAAUUUUGAUUAAGAUUUGAGAAUAGUUGGGACUCAUAUUAAGGCAACACUACGAGAAAAUCUCAAUAUAAGUGGUGUACUGGAUCUUGGCAUAUGGGCAAGGUUGCAGUGUGAGUUGCUGGUUGGCACGUUUGUGGAGUGCUAGUCUGAGUUGGAGUCGUUUUAGCGCAAAUGGAUCCAAAAAACGAACUCGAAAAUUGAAUCAGCUCAACCUAUGCUUUUGGGUGCACUUCCGGAUGCCUGAAUGUUAAUUUGGGUGCUUGGAAGUUGCAAGCUGAGAGGGACCGGUUCCAGAUUCCAGUUCUGGACGCCCGAUGGUUUCGGACCCUACUUUCAGGUGCCCGAAUUUGAGCACUGUAGCAGCCUGGAAGGUUGGUAAGGUUGAUUUGACCUGUGUCAGAGUGCGCGUGGGUGCAGGGUGACUCAGCAGGAAUUCAGGCAAGGGUUUUGGGUGCCCGAAUUGGUUCUGGCUGCCGUUACGACAAAUCGAGCAGUCCGAUGCUCGAGGGCACGCUCAAAAGGCCUCGAUUAUGAUGUUUCGGGCACCUGAAUGUCAGUUCCGAGCACCUGAAACGCAGGUUUUUGGCUGAGUUAGAAUAUUCGUUAUUCUGGGUACCGUUUUGCAACUUGUACUUAAAUAUAUGUGUGACGGAGGGCUUUCUUCUUCUCCUUCUUUUUCUGUUCAUGCUAGAGAGAGAGAGAGAGAGAGAGUGGCUGAGAGAGAAAGAGAAGGAGAGCACAUUAUUUUUCAUUGUGUUGCCUUGGAGAUUGGUAUGAUAAUAUUAUUAAAUUGAUUGGGAUUUUUGUGAGAUUUGGAUUUAGAAGAUGAAAUUAUGCAUCGUUAGGAGCUGUACUUUUGAAGUUGCACCGUGGAGUUUUCCGAUUGGAUUCCUUGUUGGUGUUUAAGUCGAACAGUUGAGGAGCUGCAGCGGGGUUCAUGUCCACCUGUCUUUCUUUACCAUUUUCGUGAUUAGCAAUCCAGGUGGGUUCCGUGCUACCGAAAACGGCGUUCGCCCUGCUAUGUCUUUAUUGCAUAAGUGUUUGUUGCUCUAUAUACUAGUAUGGUAGUAUAAUAAGUGUAUCUGGAUAGGUUUAUGUUGUUUAUUGAAGUAUGAAGCUAUGCUUGGGUACUUGGGCAGUAGGGUUGAGCUACACUGGAUUUUUUUGAUACUACUGUUUAAGUUAUAUUAUAUAUAUCAAGUUGAGGUUGAGAAGGCCAUUGGACAGUAGAAUCAGAGAUAGUGUGGUAUAUCUCGAUAUUGUGACGUGUUGGUCAGUGGAUGCCUGAUGAUCGUGCUGAAGGCAUCUGGACAAUUACUAGAGAUCUUUUUGAUCAUUACAUUCGACUAUAGUCUGCAGGGCCAUAUUGAGUUUGACAGUGACAUGCGCUAUGAUACUCGGUAGCGGUCGCUCUUCUCGAGUGCCACUCCGGAGGCUGACUAGCGAUAUAGCAGAGAUAGUUGACUUUAGGUUGACGGACCACUUGUCGGGAGUGGUGAUCGGGCUUGAGGCAUAGCCUACUGGUUGAUGGCGCAGUGCGAGAGUGUGUCCGGGCAGUAGGCAGACACAGACGUGACUAGAUUGCUGAGUUGGUCGUUGUGAUUGGGUAGUAUAGCAUUUCUUUUCAGUAGCAUAGUUGAUGCAUGCUAGGUGAUUUAUUGCUUUCCUUUCCAGCAUAGAGGCAUGAUAGAUUUAGCAGUUACUUAGUGUUGUACCUUUUAUUGCUUUACUCCAGUCAUUUUAUUUUCUAUCUUUAGUAGAGCUAGUGGCUAGGCCGUGGUUGUCGCCGACCGUAUCAACUAGGAACUACUGUUUAGUAGUUCUCAUGCUCUCUUGUGGUUUCCUUUUCAGAGCCCUUAGCGCCCGCAUCGAAUCAACGUAAAGGGAUCACGCAGUAGUUAGCAAUUCCUAUUGUGUAUAGAGGAGACCACCUACUACAGUUGCUUUUGGUUUUAGUGCUGUAAAUUGUGACUGGCGAGGCCAGGGCCCUUUGCUUGUGUUUAUAUUUUGGAAGUUGUGGAUGUAUGUUGCCUUGUACAGUGAUAGUCAAUAGAUUUAGUUUUAUUUUCUGCUCUGAGACAUGUUUAGUUUUAGAAUCCUAGGUUGCUUCAUGUUUUGGUUGGACGCUUCAUAUGUGCAAGAAGUUCUUGUACAUACGGCGCAAGGUUUAAAGUGCCAUGGCACGGUCCUAUCGUUGUCUGUCUGGCACGGUAUGGCUGCGGCAUGCUUCUGUGCCGACACAUGGCACGCUUGCGUGCCGAUAGUUACGUAUGACCUCCUACUGGCACGCUUUGGUACAAAUUUAUUUCAGUUUUUGGUUCCAAUAAAUUCUUAUAAUAUUAUUUUAAAAGAUUUAAUCAAAUAAUUAUGAAUAUUUACUAUAUAUAAUUUGCUAUACUCAUCAAUUAAUAUACUUGUAAGCUUUUUUGUAUGUAAAGUACAACUACAUAUGAUGCAGAAUAAAAAUUUUUAUAGGUUAGAAUUUUAAAAAUAUAAAGACUUUUUUUUUUCUUUUGACCAUAUUACAGUUUUUCUUUUAUAAAAUACAAAAAAAAAAAUUAUAAAAAUAAUUUUAAAAAAUAUUUGAAAAAAAUUAUUUUUUAAUUAAUUUUUUAAAAAAUUAUUAGAUCUAUAAAAAAAAAUAAGCAAUAAAUUACAUGAAAAAUAAAUUAAAUAAAUUUAAGUAUCAAUUGAUUUAAUUUAGCUUUUAAUUUUAUCAGUAUUUUUAAUCUUCUAACGUAAAAAUAAAUUUUUAGAUUUGAUGUAUCUCAAAAUUUGUUUAUUCAGUUCUAUUUUGUUCCCUUAGUUCGUUAAAAAUUUUACGGUGCGACAAAUUUUGAUAAAAUAAUUUAUAAAAAAAUGGAUAUAUGUGGUGGAAGCGGAGGGCUCGGGCCGAUUAGGGAGGUGCCAGGGGCUUUGCCCCCCUCUGGUAUGGCUCGGAUAUAUAAAUUAAAAAUUUGCCUGUACAUUGACAAACAAAAAAAUUAAAUUAUAAUUUUUUUGACUUACCUAACAGGUAGAUUUUCGAUUUACAAUGUUCUUGGGGGUGUGGGAUGCUUCGUGGUAUACGAAAGAACAAAACAAAAUGAAAAGAAAGCAGAAAGCAAAGAAAAAAAGAAAGUAGUGUGCCGGCAUAGCACAGUGCAAUGGCACGAACCUGCGUAUCGCUCUGUCUCAUGCGAUACGUAAGUUCGUGCCACGACGCGGAGGAAAGUUCGAGACCCCUCCACCUAGUACCGUGCCACCUUCUAGGUAGCACGAUACGUUGCACUUUAAACCUUGAUACGACGGAUCUGUUAACGUACCCGGGGGCUUCUGCUGUGGGCCUUGGCUUUGACAAUACGGAUGCUUUCUAGAUGACGCUUGGGGAAGCGACCCCAAGCAUCCCUACAAUGUAACAAAUACUAACGCUUCAAAAAACAUUGUCAAAUGGGCCGCCUAUUGUAACAAACCAAUUUAUUAAAUCAAUUUUAUUAUUAAUUUUCUGACACUUUAAAAUGUCAGGAUUUUAAAAAGUUCUGAUCCUUUAAAACGUUGGAAUAUAUUUUAUUGAUGCUUGGCAUAAGUGUCAGUAUAUUACGUGACGAGUUGGCCUAGUAGCCCUAAUCUUUCAUUAAAUUUUGAUGAUAACAAAUAAUUACAAUUAUUGGGCUAAUCCUUUAUCUUGAGUUUUGUGUUUUAAACCUCUCUAUCUUCAAAAGGACUCAAGAUGGGCAAUCUUCUAGCACCGAGCUUCACUACUUGAAGCUAUACUUGCUUCCUUUGUCAAAUAGACAAACUCACUCUCUCUAUUCUUAAUUUGAUUAAUAUUUUGCUUUAUGAUUAGAGUGAGAAAUUUUGAGCUAAGUUUAAUCUAUUCCUCUUAUCACUUUAUAGCUCACUUGAACAAAUCUCUAACUUGUGAUAAGGUGCAUAGGAUUUUAAAAUAUUCUAAAACUGCUCAAAAAUCUGUAUUCUGUCAAGUUACUGUUUUUGGACUCUGUUCUGGGCGGUCUAAAGUGAAUCCGAAUCUCAUGUGUUUUUGGAUUCUGUUGUUUGCUGUUCGGGUGGUCCAAAAAUUUCUUUACUUGAUCUGGGUGCCCGAAUUUCUGUUUAGAGCGACCGGAUUGUUUGACUUGACAGGUUGCAUGUUCCGGAUAGUACGACGGAUCAGCUCGAAAAGUUCUGACGCGGCGCAGGCGGCGCGCAAAUCUGGGCGCCCACAUCUUCUGGAAGCCCAAAAUGAUUCUGCUCAGAGAAAGCGGUGCACGUGGUCUGUCCAUGUCAGAAAAGUCAGCGCGCAUGUUAUGGGCGCCCACAAAAUCUGAAGGCCCGUUUGUACGAAUCCAAAAAAACGGCGCACAUUUUCUGACAGGCAGCUAGAAGCGUAGUGCGCGUGACAACUUCUGGGCGCCCGAAAUUAGGUUUAGGGCACCCGAAAGUGCAACGGUCUGGAGCUAACCGAGGCUAUAAAUAGAUGGCCUUGAGGCCUUUCUCAACCUCUCUUAGAAAGUCCAUUUGAGCUUAAAAAUUUCAGUGUUUCUAAUACUCUUAGCUCUCAAUUCUCUCUCUAAACUUGAGUGCAAUUUGUAGUGAGAUUUAAUCUUGUAAAAAAAGAGAAAAGCAAAGUCUUGGAGCUUGAAAAGAAGAAAGUGUUGGUGUGAAGGCUUGGUGCUUGGCUGCAAAAGCAUCAUCUAGUGAAGAUCCAACGUUCUCUUGUGUUGAGAAGUUGGCGAGGACAUAGGCAAAGUGCCAAACCUCGAAACAAAUCGAUUGUGUUCCUCUUUGAAUUUGCAUUUCUCUAAACUCCGCCUUCAUUAUUUGUUUCGGGUUUUUAAAUUGCUUGAUUAUUUAGCUUUUUAUUUUAGAAACCUAGUUCAUCCCCCCUCUUAGGUUGCCAUUUUGAUCCUCAACGUGACGACUUUUUAUUUACCAGCACUUUAGCCGAAGCUUUCAAAUGUGAUGGUAGACUAUUUGGGGACACUUUACACUAAUGGUUAAAUGCCAAAAAAAACGUCCUUAAAUUUUUAUUUUUUUUGUAGUGCAAGUUUUAUCGUGAUUUUGAUCUGUCAAGAAUUAUAGAUUUGAAAUUUUCUAUCUUGAUCCUAUCUAGGGGUGGAAACGAGCCGAGCUCGAGCGAUCUUGCCUUGUCUCAAAUUCGGUUUGAAAUUAAUUUCGAGCCUAAAUUUAAGCUCAAGCUUGGAUUGAAAUUAAUUCGAGCCGAGCUCGAGCGAGCCUAAUUUCGAGUUGAGCGAGCUCGAGCCCUAAACGAGCUGCUUGAAAUUCUCUAAUUAUACGAUCAAUAGUUUAAUUUGUAUAAAACAUUGUCUAUAAUUUGAUAAAAAAAUAUGUCUAAUAGUUCAAAAUACAAAAUAAUUAUAUGAAAUAUAGUAUUAUAAUAUAAAAAAAUAAUUUAUGAGUUGAAUAUCUAAUCUUUUCAGCCUCAUAUAUCUUCUCUUCCGCCUUCAAUCUCCAUAUUAUUCAUUUUCAUUUAUGCGGUCAAAAAUAAAUAAAUUAUAUAGAUAAAUAUUGGAUUAAACUAUCCAAUCAUAUAUAACUAAAAUUAAAAUUUUAUAAUGAUAAUAAUUUUAUUUUUAAAAUAUUCUGUAUAUUUUCUACAGCAUACAAUUAAUAGCAAGUAGGUAACGGCGGGCAUAUGCUGGUACUUGGUAAUUGGAGGGCUUCCGGCUUGGCCACUUAGUGUGAGAGACAGAAAAAAGAAAGAGAGAAACAUAUUGAAAAUUUAGAGCUUUGUGAAAGAAAGAAAGCAAGAAAGGAAAAAUGUAUAAAUUUAGUAAAAUUUUGCUCUUUUAUUUGUCUAUUAGGUUUGUUUUUAUGGGUCAAAAUAUUGGCUAAUUUUAACUAAACUAGAUUAUUCAUUUAGGCCUAUAUAUAAUUAAAAUAUAUUAUAUUUAUAUAUUUUUAUUAUUAUUAUAUAUAUAUAUAUAUAUUAUAUAUAUAUAUAUAUACUAUAAUAUAUAUAUAUAUAUAUAUAGUGUAGAACUACUAUGCUAUCGAAAAUAUAGAUUUUGAUGUUUCGAAUUUUUGACCCUUUGAUUAAGAAUUGUAUGGUUGGGAUGAUUGCGGCCCCCCCUAAAUUAAAUAAUACCCCUAGGAUUGAGUGGUCAUAAGGUAAUAAUAGUAUUAAUCCAAAGAUAAGAAAUGAUUAAAGGGGUUGAUCUAAGAAUCAAAAAUCAAAGCACCAGAUUCUCUAUACUUUCGAUAGCAUAGUAGCUCUACUAUAUAUAUAUAUAUAUAUAUAUAAGAGAGAGAGAGGAAGAGAGAGAGAGAGGAGAGAGAGAUUGAGCUAGAUACUAUCGGUAGUAAAUGAGCGUUUUACUACCGAUUUGUUUCGAGUGAUAGAGCUUCCAAAUGACGACCGGCUCGUUAAAUAUGAUCUAAACCAUUUAAUAACCUAGAAAUCAAAUUUCAGCACUUUCGAUAUUGUUCUUUUAUUCAUCAAUGUGAACAAGAAAAUGAAUGGCUGAAAUGAAUACUCUUUAAAACAUGACGAUAGGAGUCUGUAAUCAAGAUCAAGAGUAAUAGAUCUUGUUUUAAAUAGUUUAAAGAAUUUUCUAACAAAAAAUUCAAUUGAUUUGGAUAUCUUUCGCGUUAAACGAGAAAACGCCUCUUAUCGACUAUUAAAAUUACAAAUUUUGAAACCCUUUGUUAUUAGGCAAAUGGAUGUUCGAAAGAUUUGAAAUUGAUUUCUAACACUUCAAGUGGUAUAGAUCAUGUUCACGGGAUCCGAUCGUCAAAUUGGAAGUUUAUCAUCGAAAACAAAUCGGUAGUAAAACGGCUCGUUUAUUACCGAUAGUAUCUAGUCAACUCUCUCUCUCUCUCUCUCUCUCUCUCUCUCUCUUCUCUAUAUAUAUAAUAUAUAUAUAUAGAGUCCAGCUAUGUGCUUGAAAAGCAACAAGCACUUGGUGCUUGUAAGUUUUUUACGUUAGAUCUAUUUCUCGGAUUAUUUUCACCAUUAGAUUAUAUAUUCAACCAACCACCAUCAACCCUAGGGGCCCACAUCAUCCUAACCGUAUAUUUCUUAAUCUAAUGAGUAAAAUCUGCAAGCACCAAUAACUUGGUACUUUUAAAGCAUAGGAGCUCUAAUUAUAUAUAUAUAUAUAUAUAUAUAUUUAUAUAUAUAUAUAUAUAUAUUUACUAGUAAAUGUACGUCAAAUGCACGUAAUAAUUAUUAGAAAAAGUUAUAAUUUUUUAAAUUAUUUUUAAAUUUUAGGCAUAUUUUAUAUGAUUGCCAAAUAUGUAUCUAAAAAUUGAAAAUAAUAAAUCAUGCUUUAAGAAAGAUAUUUUUUAAAUGAUAAAUAAUUACAAUAAUCUCUAAUGCAAAAAUUACUUUUGAAUUAAAUAGAAAAAAAAUCUGUUAGGAAAUAAAUUUUUGAAAUUAAAUAGAAAAAUAAAUCGUUAUCUUAAAGGAAAAUAUAUUUUGAAAUUAAUAGAUAAUAUCUAUUUUUUCUGCCGAAAAAUGGGUUGUCGACAAACCCAAAUUUGAAUAUACGUGCUUUAUAUAUAUAUAUAUAUAUAUAUAGUCCGGCUACUAUGCUAUUAAUAGCACGAAGUACUUGGUGCUACUAAGUUUUCCGCCGUUAGAUCUACUCUUUUGAUUAUUUUCACCUGUUAGAUCAUACUAUUCAACCAACCCACCCACUCAACCCUAGGGGACCCACAUCAUCCUAACCGUACAUCUUUUAAUCCAAUGACCAAAAACUUGGUAGUAUAAUUGACUUGGUGCUAUUAAUAGUAUAGUAGCCUAGUUCUAUAUAUAUCAUCCUAACCGUACAUUUUUUAAUCCAAUGACCAAAAACUUGGUAGUAUAUUCGAGCUUUUCGAGUUUUUCGAGCCUAAUUUGAACGAGCCGAGUAAUACUCAAGGUCGGCUUGAAAUGAAUUUCGAGCUUUUUUUUUGGUUCAAACUCAACUCAUUUAAUUUCAGAAUCGAGCUCAAGCGAGCCAAAUAUCGAGUCGAACGCGAGUCGAACGCGAGCCGGCUCGCUCAUUUGCCAGCCCUAAUUAAUUCUGAUAGUUAUUAUUUGUUUUAUAGGAGUUAGAUUUCAGUUCCCAUUCCACGCUGGAAUGGAAAUGGUCCAAUCCGCAUGUAUGGUUCAAUCCGACAUUGAAUCUCCUAUUUACCCAUUCAGAAGUAAACCACUCAAAGUUCUCUCUUACUGACACCUCCCUCUUACUUUCUUGACUGUAUUUUUUUUCCUUUUUCUUAAGAGAUCUGAUUAUCUCACCUUGUAGUUAAAUUCACCUUUUAAAUGAAGAAAUCAAUGGCAUGCUACCAUCCUUUCAAAAAAAAACAAAAAACAAAAGAGAAUUAAAAUGUUGAAUUUAAAAGUAAAAUAAAACUCGCCUAAAAAGUACGAGAACUAAUUAUGUAACGACCCGACUCUCUAACAAUAAUAACUUUCCAUCAGCUCAAAAUGCUUAAGUUCAGUUAUUAUGUCUAGACUAAUUAAGCUUAUAUAUUCUCACAUUUAGUCAUAACUAUUCGAUGUUGGAUUAUUAGAUUGUCACAAAUUAAGUAAUUUACCAUGUUUGCGAUAAGGAGUGCUAGGACCACAACUCUAUUACACUACACCACUCUACUCAAAUCUGUUGCCUACUGGAAAGCUGUUCCUACAUUAAGCCGAAAGCAAAUUAGGCCAGCGAAUCUAAAUCCAGAGUUGUACUUAACUAUUAUAUUAAGUUGCAAAUGAACAAUUACCAAAGCUGUUUAAUGUCAGGUGCAAUGUCACAUGAGCCCAUUAUAUAUUAAAGUAAUAUGAAAAGGAUUUGUGAUAGUACAAUGGUCAAAGAUAUAUAUGCAUUACAGAAGUAUAUAUGGAUCACGUGAUGAGCCAUUUCUUUAUUUUGGCUUUUGACUGAAAAGGACUAUUUAUUAAAUGAGGAGCGUGAUCAUAUAUAUAUAUAUAUAUAUAUAUAUAUAUGACUCAAAAGGAAUAUCAUGUUCGGCCUGCAAGUUAUUUCUUUAGAAUAAAAUAAGGUUCUGUUUGGACAUUGGAAUAAGCUAUCCAAGAAUAACUUAUUCAGUAUAAAAAUUAAAUGAGCAUGCAUGAUCAUUUGUCUCAAAAGGAAUACCAUGUUCGACCUUCAAAUUAUUUCCUUAGAGUAAAAUAAGGUCAUGUUCGGACAUUGGAAUAAGCUAUCGAAGAAUAACUUAUUCAGUAUAAAAAUUUUCUAGUGUAAUUGUAAAGAGUUUGAUUUUUUUACUUCUUGAAAAGUUUUGAUGUCUAUAAUUUGAUAGGAUAGCAUAUUUUAUCUAUGGUGAUUUAUCUUUCUAAAAAAUAAUUUGAAGGUCGAACAUAAUAUUCAAUUCUAGACAUUUGAGCACACUCUUCAUUUACCAAGACCCUGUGUGAAUGCAUAAAUAUCUUGUUCGGAAUAAACCCUUAAUUUAUUCAAGGAAUUUAUACGAUUGAUCGAUAAGGAGUACUGUGGUCAAAUGUUUAAAAUUGGACGCUAUAAUUUGACCAUCCAAUUUUUUUUUUUUUUUAAAGAUAAAUCACCUUGUAGGUGAAAUAUGUUAUCCUACAUUCCUACUCAAGUAUAGAUAGCAAGACUUUUGAAAGAGAAAAAAUUAAACUUCUUAAUUACAAUCAUACAAGAAAAUCCUUAUACAGAUAACUUAUUCUAACAUCCAAACAUGAUCCAUACAAGAAAAUUCUUAUACAGAUAACUUAUUCUGACAUCCAAACAUGAUCCUUUCUCAAGUAAAUUAAGAAGAUAUAAAUAUUCAUGCAUCCAAACGAUGCCUAAGUUACCUCGUGGUUGAAAUACACUAUCCUACUAAAUCAUGAAUUCCAAUGACCUAAGGAGCUAAAUCCAAACUCCUAACAUGAGCACCAAUCCUAUUCAGUCUAUUUCUUUGACUUACUUGGUAAGUUCAUAGUACUUGGUAGAUGAGAAGUAUAUAUAAUCAACAGCCUAUGAUUUACAGCCUAGAAAUCAUAAUAUAUCGCAACAAAUAAAAUAAAUCAUCUCGUAAGUAAAAUAUACUAUCCUGUCAAAUCAUAAUUUUCAAGACUUUGCUAGGAGCUAAAACGAAACUCCCAGCUCCCAAUCAUAAAAAAUAAAAUAAAAUUUUAAUAGUAAACAAGUUAUCCUAGCCACACACUAUUUCGAAUGCACACUAUUUCGAACGCGACUGGACCCAAUCUAGCCUCCCACCAUAGGGCAAAAUGCUUGCCCCUUUAAGCCAACACUAUUGGACGGAUACAAAUAGUCAUAGUAUGCAUGAAUUAUGUGCAUGGUUGUACAUAUUUUCCAGGCUCUAUCCAUGUGGUGUCUAGCUGGUUAAGUACUAACACAUCUGUGUGUUUCAGAACUUCAUGUGGAACAUACAAAAAGUGGAACUUAUUAAUUUGACAUCCUUACUAUAUUCAAAUGUAAAAGAAAACAGUUUGCUCAGAAUACAGUAGAGAGAGAAAAGAGUUCACACACUGAAACUGUCCUAAGGGAAAAGAAAAAAAAAAGGCUCUGAUCUGGUUCUGAGUCUUAAGUAUUCAAAUGCCUAUAAAAUGGCCAUCUAUUUUGUGUUAAAAUACCAUAUUUUAUCUACAAAACAAUGAAAAGCAUUCUAAGAGCUGUGGUUCUUAUCUCAACUUUGCUUAUGUUUCACUUCCUUCUAUUUACUUCACCACCUCUAUCUUUCGAAAGCGCGAAUCCGAGGCUUUCUUUUCAAUCAAGAAGGAUGAUGCAGUAUUCGGCGUUGAGUUCUGCUCAACUGGGAGUGAACGAUGCAGCAACGAAGCCGCCGAAAAAGACGUUCCAUGUAAGUCUGAAUAAGCUGCCACCGAGCAAGUCGAAUCCGUCGCAUAACUAGAUGGUGAGAGUCUAGGAAUUAGAAGGGAGAUUUUGAAUUAUUUAUUUGCUAAUUUUUGUAGUGAAUUGAUCUAAUGUGCUUUUUUUUUGCUUUUUAGGCUUUUGUUUGCAGAAUGGUACAUUACUGUCAGUAGUGUCAGAAUCUUCUUCCAUUUUGUAACUGGUUGAUCACAAGUAAAAUGAGACCAAAAUGAUAUGACAUUAGAUUUUGUAAUUGGUUGAUCAGUAGAUAAAAUGAUACAUCUGCUAGGAUACAAAUAAUUAAGACAUCUGUGUAUCUCUCAGUAUUUCAACCUAGUGCCUAGCAUAAAUUCUCAAAUUAAAUUGGGCCUAAUUUGUUAAAGGUCUCUUCUAUUUUGUGCACAUUAUUAGGUAAUCAAAUUGUACACUCCUGGGCAAUUUUAAUGUCCUUAACUAUUUUCUUCUCCUUUAGCAUCAAAUGAUCUACUUUUUCAAUAGAUGCUGUUACAUGUUCUAGGCAGCAAGUUCAGAGCCAGAGUCUAGAGGCUCACACAUGAGUUUGCUGACACAUCAACAAUUCAUAGAGGAUCUUUCUGGAAAUUCAAAGCGCAUUUCGACUAGCUAAAUGAUGAUCUUCUUAUGAUCCUUCUACUUUCAUCUUCUGUAUCUAUCUUUCUGCUUCUAAGGUCUUCUUCAUCUCUUAUCAAGCAGUUUCCAAACUUGCUUACAAGAAGAUGCUCAGACCCCAUCAGUAACUCUUUUAGUAAAGAUGUUUCAGAUCAACUUUCACAUAGGAACGACUUUUUCAUUGAUCUGGAGUAGUUGAAGAUAGCCAGAUAGAAUAAUUUAUAGAGAAAUCCUUUACUUGUUAGAUGAUUAUAAAAAAAAUUUCAAACUUUUCAUCUUUCUAUGUAAGUAACCUGAGUUUCCAGUUUUUCCUUCAUACACUCUAUUAAGCAUCUUCUGAGGAACAUAGCAUCAACUCUUUAACAAAGGAAAGAGUACACUAAAAUUAUAUAAGAUAAUAAUACUAUUAUUACUAAACUCAAUUGAAAGAUGCUCAACAGGAUCUUUUCUGAAAGAAAAAAAGAAAAAAAGGAAAUCUUAGUGACAUUGAAAAUUGUCUAAAUUGUUGGGAACUUAGAUAUUUCCCAGCAUAUAAAAACCGAGUGCAUUCAUCGAAUAUAUGAUAAGUUACUGAACGUAAAACGCAAAAGUAAAAUAAGUGACAAGGCCUCAGAAGAACCAAGUUGUUGAGAUCAAAAAUUCAAAAGAAUUUCAAUCUAUCUUCAUUCCCCCUCUUUGUUCACCAAAAUAUGUAACAAACCGGAAAUAUCACAAGCUUCGGCAUGUGCUUUAAUCUCGAAUGCUGAAGAAGCAAAUCGCCUAUAUCCAACCAAACAAAUUGCGCGAGUAAAUCACACAUUAUGGAUAGAUCACACAUGUAUCCCAACUACUAAAGAAGCAAAACACAUCAAGAACUAAGCACAUCACACAAAAGAGGAAAAAUACAUCGACCCAAACACAAUAAAGAUAAGAAGAUCACACACUAAUUUGACUACGUACAAAACCUAGAGAGGAGAAAAAAAAAAAAUUUGUGGUAUUCUCAUUUCGGCACAAAUACUAACAUAGAGGUCACCGUGGCAUAAUACACCGCAUUUACAGAACCCAGUUGCCAGAUCCCAUAGAUUCCAGAACCGGGUUCGUAUCUCAUAUGUUGAUUCCAAUGUGAUCUUCGGUUGAAGCACGAACAGUUUCGAUUUCCUGAGGCCUUGAACUAUAAGCGUUUACGGUAGACGAGACCUGACUGUUAUUAUUACGCCUCUCUGCCAGUUGCUGAGUAAAUGCAUGAGGCCAGAAACCUGAAAGAAUUGGAAUAUACAAAUACAAACAAUUUAAAAACUGAUUAAACAAAAAAAAUCUGCGGCCAAAAUCGAAAUUACAACAGUAAAUUAAAGUUUACAGAAUAGCUAUUCUGAUCAAGAAAACUCUUCAAAAAUCUUCUUUUUAAUUAACACGAGAGUAAGAACAGUGACAGAAACUUUAGUCCGAAGGAGACAGAUUGAAUUUUCAUUCUCAUGGCAUGAACUAGUGAUACUAUCUAAAUAAAAAGAAAUCAUCAUUUUCAUAAUAGGGUUUAUACUACUUGGCCUGAUCAGAAUGUCAAAUUAUAACAACAUAUCUGCUUUGUCAGACGGAACUGAAAUCAUACAGGAUGGGAUCUAUAACCUUGGAUUAAUUGAAUGAUCCAUCAGUUCAUCCCAGAAUUUUAAAAAGAAAGGUUUAAAGCAAACUGGUUAGUUAAGAAAGUGAAUAAUGAAUUUUUAUUGAGGAGGAGCAACAAAUUAAAAUGCAUAAUGAACUUUUAUUUGUUACAUUAUAUUUAUGCCAUAAUUAAUUGGACAAAAUGAAUAACAAUCACAUUGACUAGUAAAAUGCACUCGACUUCAUCAUAGACCAACUAUCGAAUUGGAUUCAAUCCACACUUUACCUUAGAAUUGAGCUCACUUAACAAUAUCGAACAUUGAUUUCUGCUUUUCUACGUGACCUCCGUAGGAUGUGAUUUAGAACCAUAAACGCGUAUAUGUAACAUUAACUUCAUAAGCCCUGGACAAUUGCUAUCCUCUUAUAGUUAUUUUUGGAAAUCAUGAUGAGGAUAUAUGGCACAUGGCAUUUCUAUUUUUUCUAUUUUCAUCUGUUAUCAAUCAGAUGUUGUCUUAUCAUGCUGGAAUUCAAAUAUUUUGUGCGGUGAUUUUCCGCGAAGUAAAUAUUUUCCAGCUGAUACUUCUUUCUCUCUCUGUCCACCAUUUAUCAAUGCAUAUUUGUUUGAAUUUCUAGUGCAAUUUCUUUCCUAAGAUCUUAAAUUACUCGGAACUGAUCCUUCUAUUACUAACACUCGACGAUACAGUAAUAAACUGUAUUUAAAAUCAUGACAAUAAGAUCCUCAUUUUGCAACACAUUAUGAACAUUUUGUAGUCAAAACUUUUAAUUAAUAAAAAGAUGCAUAAAGAAAGUAGGACUUACUAUCUGCACCAAAAGGAGACGGGAAGAAUUGCAGGUAACAAAAUGAAGCAACCGUAAGUCCUACAAAAGAAACCAGAAAUAGUAAACAAUGAGAGAAAAACAAAAAUUAAAAUAAUAGAAAAUUGGAUUAAUGAGAUGAAGAGGAACGCAAACCUAGAAGACCUCCAGCAAACACAUCUUGCCAGUGAUGCCAAUAGUCAUCUACUCGAGAAACUGCCACGAGAGAUGCGACAAGCAGAGGCAGGAAAACAAUGCAAAGUUUCGCGAUGUGGCCUUUGCGAUCAAAGGCUGUUAUUUUCCCAGCUAGAUACCAUGAAAGAAAUCCUAGACCAGCGAAUGACCCUGCGUAACAAAAGAGUCGAAAAUAAGAUGUCCAAUAUGAAUAAGCACCAAAAGGCACAGAGAUUGGAUGAUAAAUGCUAUUACAACUACUUUUAUUGCAGCAAUAAUGCAUGGAGUAUACGACAGUAAACGUUCUUGUCAACAAAAUCUCAACCAAAAAUAAGUGCUUUUUAUUGAAUUGAUUAGAAAACUAAAGAAAUCAAAUUUCCCUUGAAUUAGCUCUCCAAUUUAUGAAAAACCGAGAAUCCAAUUGCAUCAAAUUCUGUUUGUUAAAAAUUUAGUCCAAAUGAGCCACAUUACCAGUCACACAGAAUGUUGAUUAUAAAUGCAAAAGAAAAUUGAUUUAGCACACAUUCAUGCUUAGGCAUCAGUUAAGAAAAGAAAAAAAAGAAAAAAGAAACUCUUAACAAAUUGAGAAACUAUUCUAGCAAACAGAUACAAGAAUCACCAGUCCGAUAUAGCAGACAGUUAUAUGUAGCAUACAUGAAGAAUGGCCGCUUGGAAAGCUCUUGUGACCUUCGUUGAUGACACUCUUCUCUCCGUGGCAUAUAACACUUGUUGUGGAAUUAUCGUACAACUGAAGAAAACAAUAAAAACUCAAAAAAAAAAAAAAAAAAAAAAAAAAAAAAAAAAAAAAAAAAAAAAAAACAUAAAGCAAGCAUUAGAAGAGAAGUGUCACAAAUUAAGGGCUCACAUCUUUGCCAUCGGGAAAACAGCGCCAAAAGAAAUCAGGUCGCGGGCGACCAACGCCAUCCUUAAUUGCAUCCGUGAUUACCGCAGUUAUAAGCACAGAAAAAAGAAGGCCUGUCAGAAAAGAUGAAGAGUUCAACAGCCGCCAAAUCGCCUAAUGUGAAAUAUACAAACUCAAGAAAGAACAUGAAAAGUACCUAGUAUGGCGUUAUGCAAAUCAUACACAUUUCUCUUUUUAAGGUAAAUCCCGCUGAAGAUAAAGAAAGGCAAUAUGAUGGCAAUGAUCUGCAAAAAAAUCAAAUAUAAGCGGUAGAAGAGGCUUUUACAUAUGUUCUAAAAAAAACAUCUAUUUAUAUCUGUCACUGUAAAUCUCGAAUUCUUCUCAUAUUUAACCAUAGAAAGUGCAUUUUUCCUUCCAAAGAGGAAAAAAAAACAUUAUUUUAGGCUUAAAGUUGUUCGAAUGAGAUCACUUUCGUAACGACAAGAGUAUAAUUCAUUGGCAUAAAAGAAAUUCAGACAAUGGAUAGAUAGAUACUUCAAUAGAUGAUUUUGCAUAGGUAUCAUGUAAAUGUCUAGUUGAAAUAUACAAAACACGCAUGAAUAUACUAAAAAAAGAAUACUUUUCUUGAAGAUCCAAUACAUGAAAGCGGGGCAAAAAUGUACCGGAACAGCCCAGAAUGGCACCGUGUUGCUUUUCAUCGGGUAUCUCAGAUCUGUCAUCAUGUCCUUUCCGACAAAGCGAUGGAAUGGUUCUAUUAUGUUUAAUAGUCCGUCAAUUACUGCGAGAAGUACAAGUAUAAUCCAAUCAUACAUGUGGAACCGUGCUACUUUGGCGCCAUGCGAUUUUAUAGUGUGAGAUCCCAGUAGAAUAUCCGCCAUUUUCUCCUAUAGUAAAAUGCCACUGAACUUGAGCAACAUAAUCAACAAGAAGAGUUACACAUAGUCGAUCGAGAUAAAGAGCGAAAAGUCACUCUAAUGUAAUUUUUUACUAUGAAAUAGAAUCUUACUAGAGUAAUCAUCCCAUGUGAGGAAAAGUGUGGGCAAAGCUUGCAUUCUAUUCUGAAGUAUCAAAAGUAUAUCCUAAUAUUUGCAAAGUUUUAAAUAGUAUAUUGUCAAAUCAAACAAAAGAACAUUUACACAUAAUUUCAACUGUUCGCAAUUUUCAGGAUAAAAUUUGAAAAAUCUUUUCCAUUUCUUGUUUCCAGUCCGACUCAAAUUUCAGUGAUUUGUUGUACAACAAUCUUCAAAUUGAGAAUCCAUAAAAUUUCGAAAUAACCCUUCCGAAGUAUCUUCAUCUAUUUAGGUACUAGAUUCAAUGAUGUCCAUAAAUUAUGUACGCAUGCGACCUGCAUAUAUUGUUUUAAAACAAGAAACCAUUUACGACCUAGAAAUAUUGUCAGGUUCGGUAUAAUUGGAUGGCGUCAGCAUGACAUCAUAAAUACUUAAUUAUUAUUUUUCAUUCUACAUAUAAUAAAAAAUAUAUAUAUUCUUAAGUAUAUUACUUUACAUUAUUUUAAAUAUUAUUAUAUCAUAUAUAUAUAUAUAUAUAUAUAUAUAAANAAGUAUAUUACUUUACAUUAUUUUAAAUAUUAUUAUAUCAUAUAUAUAUAUAUAUAUAUAUAUAUAAAUGUACUCAAAGUGUAGAUCAUUCAAAAACCAAUGUAUAUUUCUAAUUAAUUAUUGAAAUAUAAAGUAAAAAGAAACUCAGCCGGUUCUUAUCAAACCGGGUUAAUUCACCGGUUGAACCACAGGUCUAACGAGUCAAAGCGAAACUCACAGUUUACACCGGUCCAGGUUUAUGGUUGAACUGAACCGCUUUCGGAAUCAGGUGGAUAUGCGAACCAAAUAGAAUUCGAACUUGGGUCUCAGGUACCAACCACCGAGCCCUUUUGCCACUUACGCUAGGGACUGUCGGUGUUGAUCCAAUUUUUAAAAUAUUUGCAAUAUGGUGGAUUCUUUUUUCUUUUUUUUUUUACUUCUUCCUUAAGAGAGGAAAAAAGAACCACCAUAAAAGAAGAAACAAAGAAUACAGAUAAGGUGACAAUUAUGGCCAAUAAUAUUUAAAUAAAUAUAGUAAAUCAGGCUGUUUAUUAUGGCUAUUCAACUAACAUCAAACCCACAGAAACAACCAUACUUAAACAGGACAAAAUUCAAUCCUAAAACAGCAAGAACAAAAAAAAAAAAAAAAGAAAAAAAAAACAUGUGAAAACAAAAAGAAAGAUGAAUAAAAUGAACAAAGAAAUUAAUUGAGAACAUACAAGCAAUGGAUUCUUCAAAUUAAUGCCUCCUCCUCUUCUUCUUCUUCUUCUUCUUCCACCUUUUUCCUCUCACCAAGAGAAUCACACAAAAGUAAAAAAGCAAUCAACAACAUAAAAAAUAAAAAAAAAAAAGAAGAGGGGGACAAAAAGAGAUAGAGAUAGAUUUUCCUUUACUCCUAUUGGAUAUUGAAAAAGAAAGAGAGAGAAAUAGAGAGAGAGAAAGAUACUUGUUCGUAAAGUGAUUUGAUUUUAACUUUGAAUCGAUCCAACAACAACUGCUGCAAUUAAUAAUUGGUAUUAUUGGAAUGUGUGUGGGGUAUCUUGGAACUAUUCAAGAAGAAGGGGAGAGGGAGAGGUGGGAAAAGAGAUGGUAUUGGAGGAGUUGUUUUUGAGAGAAAGGUGUCGGAUGAGUUGUUGUUGGAGGAAAUAUCUGAGCAGUUUUGUUGGAGGAAGUUUAAUAAUAUCGUACGGGUCGGAUGUGGUGACGGCAGGAUGAGCUGAAAGUCAAAUAUGUGGACGGCGGAAGCUUCGGAUUUGGGAAGGUGAGGCCGUCAAGAUUCCAAGAAAUGAUGAAACGCGUGUGCAGCCAGCCCGGGCCUCACCUGCCGGACACGCUUUGCGGCUUCAGUUGGGCCCAGUUUCUAUGCACUGUCGUAAGUUGUGCUCUCUAUAUAUCACUGAUAUUUUUAUAAGUCUCGCAUGUGUGUCCGCAUGAAAUUUAUUUCCAGUAUAGACAUAUUUUGGGCGCGCAUUUAAUACGGAUCCAUAAUACAUAUAAUUAAAAAAAUAUACAUAUUUUUAUUUGAGUGGAGCUACUAUGCUAUCGGAAGUAUAGAGGAUUUGGUGCUUUCGAUUUUUUCGCCCUUAAAUCAAUCCCUUUGAUCAUUUCUAACCUUCGGAUUAAUACUAUUACCCUGUGGGAACCACUCAACCCUAGGGGUACUACUCAACACUGGGGGCCGCAAUCAUCCCAACCGUAUAAUUUUUAAUCCAAUGGUCAAAAAAGUUGGAAGCAUCAGAUCCUCUAUGCUUCCAAUAGCAUAGUAGCUCUACACUUUUUAUUCUACUUAUUUUUUAUGCAUAUAAAUAAUUUAAAAUGAUAAAUAUUUUAGUUUGGAUUAAUUUUAUACAAAUCUCUGCAAACAUAGUGAAUUGCAAAUAUAUCCCUACAAAGUUCAACUUUUAUAUAUUGUUCCUACAAAAGUCCUAAUAUUUUCAAAUAUGUCCCUAUGGUCUGUUACCGUUAAAGCAAUAUUUUAUUUUAUAAGUGAAAUGACCUUUUGCCAUCACAAAUACCUUCCUCAAAAAAUCUCAACUGUUAAUUGAAGAAGAGUAAAAAUGUCAAUUAUUCUUAUUAAUUAACUAGGGUUAAGUUUUUUAUCUAUGAUUAACUAAUUUUUUUUCUAACGGAUCCUAACGGCAAGAGUAUAUUUGAAAACAUUAGGACUAUUGCAGGAACAACAUUUGAAAGUUACCGACCGUCCCUAGAGCAAGUGGCAAAGGGCUUGGUGGUUGAUACCCGAAACCCAAGUUCGAAUCCUAGUUGAUUCACAUUUCUAGCUAAGUUUAUUUUUAAAUGAAAUAAACGAAGCGGAUAGCGUGCUACCUAUUUCUCAAAAAAAAAAAAAAACAACAUUUGAAAGUUGAACUUUGUAUGAAUAUAUUUACAAUUCACUAUAUUAGCAAGGACCUGUAUGAAAUUAAACCUUUUAGUUUUAUGAGAAUGCAUAUAAAUUUUUUUAGACAAUAUAAAUAAACUAUGCAUGGUGGAGAAUAAUUUUUUCUUAAAAUAUAUGAACUAUGAAUUAAAUUUUACUAACUUUCCUUUGUAGAAGAAAUAUAAUAAUAUUUUACCAAAAUUAAUACUUUAUAUAUAAUAAAUAUAUAUUACUAUAUUAAUAAUAUUAUGUUUAUUAAUAGUGUCUAUAGCGUGUCCGUGUCCUAAUUUUUUAGAAGCUGUCAAGUCACCGUGUUCGAGUCAUGUCGUAUCCCAAAUGACAUGUCAAUGUUCAUGAUGCCUAGGUUGUGCCCAAGAGAGAACUGACAAACCAUCGAGUUGAAUAAUCCGUAUACAAGUCAUUAUAUUUGCAGAUUAUGCCAGAGUGGAUAAAAUUUGCCUAUAAACUUUUGGAUAGCUAUUAUUCUUAACUAUAUCUGUGUGAGCAAAUAUACAAUUACCCACAGGCUUCGUUUGGUUGGCGUAUAAGCAGGAACUAGUUAUACCGGGGAUAGGUACAAGUAUGGAUUUUUGUAGGAACAAAGGUAUUUUUUUGUUUGGAUGAAAUUGUGAGUAUAAACUAGAACUAGAAAAAUUGUGUUUGGAUGGUUAUUGAGAAUAAGAGGAAUAAUGGGUAGUUGAACUUUUUAUAUACCCAAAAUACCCCUCUCUUAAUAUGAAGGAUUUCUAAAUUUUAGUGCUAAGUUGGUUGUAAAAUUUAUUAUUUUGGGAUUACACUAACCAAUUUAAAUCUCAGGAAUUAAAAUUUAAAAAUAUUUUGAUAUUUUAUUAAUUAUUAUUGGCUUUAUUUAAUCAAUCUUAAAAACGACAACAACUCAAUAAUUUAGAAAAAAAAAUAACAAAGAUCAUAUUGAAUAUAACAGAUAUAUUCAUUAACAAUUACCAAAAACGCAUGCAUUAUUUAAACACGUACCCUAAUUAACACUUUUUACCAACAAGGGCGCAUAGGCGCGUACACAUAUAUCAUCAAGUAAAUCUACAUAUACUAUGAAGCAAAUUUACAUCCAUACUAAUCCACCAAUUAUAUAGCAUGGAAAAAAUCCUAAUCAUAGGCUGAACUCAAAUAAUAUGAACACAUUGAUAUAUGUAAAUGCAACUAGUCGAAUAUUACAAUAUAACAUACAACAAUAACCGGCGAUAUGAAGGCGGCGCCGACCAAGGCACUCAUUGCACAAAGGAAGGCGGCGACGACUAAAGCAGAGAUCACACCGAGUCAGGUGGCGGCACCCAAAGCAGAUAUCACACAGAAAAAGGCGGCAGCAACCAAAAUAGACAUCGCACAGAGGAAGCCGGCGGCGACGAAGGCAAUGAUCGCACAGAUGGAGGCAGCGGCGACCAAAGCAGAGAUCGCACACUGGAAGGCGGCGGCGACCAAGGCAGUGAUUGCACAGAGGAAGGCGGCGACGACAAGGCAGUGAUCGCACAGAGGAAGGGGCUUAGAACGAAGUUUGGAUCUGGUACAAGAUAGGGGAUUUGGGGCGGCGACCAAACCUCAGAUCUAGGCUACGCACAGAGGAAGGUAGGGGUUUCUCCCCAAAGCCGAGGAAGGCGGCAGUUUCUCCCCAAACACGAGGAAGGCGGCGGGUUUCCAGCGACGACGAAGAAGGCGAAAAGAAGAAUAAGGGCCCGGGGGUUCCAAAGAUAGAGAAGAAGGCGAAGAGACGAUGCCCUGGCCACCGGGGUCCUCAGAUCGGGGAUUUCCAGUGACGGCGAAGAAGGCGAAGCCUAGAUCUGAGAAGGGCAAGGGGAUUCCAAAGAUGGAGCUUCCUCAGAUCUAGGGUUUGCGGCGACGGCGAAGAUGGCGAAGAGAGGAACAAGGGCGCGGGGGUUCCACAGAUGGAAAAGAAGGCGACGAAGGGAGAAGGAAGCGGGGGCGAAAGUAUGGCGGCGGGGUUCCAGAGAUGGAGAAGAAGACGACAAAGGGAGGGAGCUACACGUUUUUUCCAGAGAUGCCCCUGGUACAAAAUGUGAGGAUAGCCUUGUUCCAACCCGGGGUGGGAACAACAGUUUCCACCCUUAACGGGUUAUACCUGGUAUAACCCGUUAACAGGUAUAACCCGUUAAGGGUGGAACUGCUGUUCCCAUCCCUAACAAAUUGUGUUUGGGUACAAGAUAGGAGGAUAAGCCCCUUAUCCCAUUUUGUCAGAUCAAACAGGAUGACAAGGUACCUUUUUAUUUUUAUUUUAUUUUAUUUUUACUCUUUUCUAUACUUUCCAAACACAUAUAUAUAUAUAUAUAUAUAUAUAGUAUAUAGUAUAUAAUAUAUAUAAUAUAGUUAUUAAAUAUAUAUAUAUAUAUAUUAUUUUUAAAAGAUCAAAAUAUAACUUAUUGUAUAAAACAUCACAAUAUACAAUAUAUAGUAUAAAAAAGGGUUAAUUCCAUACAGAUCCCUGUAAAUAUAGUUAAUUGCAAAUAAUCUCUAUAAAGUUCAAGUUUUAUAUAUUAUCCCUACAAAAGUCCCAAAAUUUUCAAAUAUAUCCCUCUAGUUUGUUACCGUUAAAGCACUAUCUAUUUUAUAAGUGAAAUGAUCUUUUUGUCAUCACAAAUAUGUCCUUCCAAAAAUUUCAACUGUUAAUUAAAGAGAGAUAAAAUGUCAAUUCACCUCAUUAACUAAUUAGGGUUAAGUAUUUAACUUAUGGUUAAUUAAGUUUUUCUAACGGAUUCUAAUGGUAGGGACAUAUUUAAAAACAUCAGGACUUUUAUAGGGACAAUAUAUAAAAGUUGAACUUUAUAGAGAUAUAUUUGCAAUUCACUAUAUUUGUAGUAACUUGUAUGCAAUUAACGCUAAAAAAUAAUAUUAGAAGAAAUUAGUGUCAGCGUUCUAGUAGCAAAGAAAACAAAAAAGUGAACAAUUUUUUUAUUUUUUAAAUUUUUUUUAAAAAAACUUAUAUAUGCAAGUACCCGUGGGUACUCGUGGAUUGCCCAAAAUAUCUGCAAGGUCUGGCACUCACCCAUUUUAUUUAUAAUUUUUUUAGAUAAGAAAAAUUAAUAUCCAUAUCCGCAAAUUUAUGGAUAAUCCCUGAGUAUCCGCGAGUACGGAUUGAGAUUGACAGAUCUAACCUAAGAUUUUUUUUGGGAAAAAAUCUUAACUGUAGAAUAUUGUAAGUUUGCUAUUCAAUUUUUUAGAAUUUUAAAUCUUUUAGAAUUUUAAUUUUAUUAUCCAAUCUUUUAAUUUGUUUGAUUUGACUUAAUACAAUGAUACUUUAAUUUCAAAAUGUGAAUCUGUCAUUUAUCUUUACAAGUAUUUUAGUAUAGUUCAUGUAAUUCUCACAAAUAUAAAUUCCUUAAAGUGAGAACUUAUCUCAAAUUUUGAAGUUAAAAUACCAUUAAUUGAUUCAAAUGAAACAAAUUCAAAGACUGUAUGAUGAAAUCAUAAUUUUUAAAAUGGAGAGGUAGUGUAGUAUCCCUAGAGUUUAGCUGUCGGAAUGACUGCAGCAUCAGUGGCUUAUUGAUACAUCUGUAGAGUGUCGGGACGAGCCGGAGUCGUUUUGGCGCGAAAUGGACGCAAAAACGGACUCAGUGCUGUGCGAGUUUGGAGUUCUGACACUGAAAUCUGCAAACUGCAGGGUUUUGAGUGUUGUGUACCGGUACCUGAGUGGGGUACCGGUACCCCAGAAGGUUACCUGAAUGGGUGCUCUCGGGUUUGUGAGGCUUUGUGUUGAGUUCCGGUACCUUAGUCGGUGAGUACCGGUACUGGGACUGGGUACCGGUACUGCAUCGGGCUAAUACCAGUACACAGUAUUAAAAAAAAUCUAGCUGUCUAGCGCUCGAGUUUGCUGUCUGAGUGCCGGGUAUCGAUACCCCAAAUUGAGUAUCGGAACUCAAUCCGGCAGAUUGAGUUGGUGAAGGGUCUUUUGGUAAUUUUUGUUGCUGAUAUUAUCCCCCACCGACCCAGCCAGAAUUAUCUGUGUUGGAGCUUGGAGAAACAUGCAGGCUUCUCCUCUUUCUCUCUCUAGCUUCCAUUCCUAAGUUCUAUGGGAAUUUGAGGAAUGAUCUCUUUAUUAUUCUUCUUUUCUUUGGAGGAUUGUUCAUGCACCUUGGUUGAUUUCGUUUGAGGUUGAUCUAGCACGAGGCUUCUCCUAUCGACUUUUAGCCAGUGUUGGACGUGCAUUUGAGGUGGGUUGGUAUUGUCCGAAGCCUUCGGAAUGCCUCCUAAGUAUAUGAAACCCCAGCAUGUGUAGUUUUAUUUAUAAUCAUCCUGUUUAUAGCUCAAACUGUAGAUUUGCAUGUUAUAGAUGUAAUCUAAGUGUUAUAACAUGUUUAGCUAAUUUAUGAUGAUUAUUAUCUGCUGACUUGGGAUUGACUUAAGGGAUAACUUAUUAAAUCUACACCUGUCACUUUUCAAAAAGUUAUCAGAUUUAGUUUCAGAAGCUGACUUUUCUUUUGUAUCACCGCUGUUAGUGCGUCAUGGAUACUUAAAUUAGUGUAGGUUGAGAUUACGCUCGUGCUGAGGGGCCUAGCUCGUUAUUACAGCAGAGUUAGGCUGUUUUGUACAGUCAGGUGUUGUCCAGCUCGACGGUGGACCCAGAUUCUUACAUCUUAUAUCAGAUUGUGCAGAGGGCACGUGAACCUUAGUUGUUAGACCAGUUUGACCUAUUUGUACGGAUUAUAACCUGUGUGAGCCUGAUUGAGCUCGGCAGAGACACGCUUGCAUACUUGUUUGGGUAGCGCCCACAAGUGCCACUCCGAAGUGAGGCUUUUCUUGCGUUGAUGUCGCAGUAGUCCUGUUUGGGCGGUUUUCUUAGACCGGCCACCCCCGUGGGUGGUGUGCGGUGUAGUUUGGGUACAGGCUGGACUGGCCAGUUGGCGGUUCCUUGAGAUUGGGUCAAUUGUGAUUGGUUGUAGCUAGUGAUGCAUUCAUAAGUCUACGGAAAGCAUGGUUUGGAUAGUUAUAGUAUAGUGACAUUUAGUUGUAGAGUUUCUUUCUGUUUAUUUACCUAUCAGCUGAAUACCCAUAUUGUAGACUUAGUGGGUAGGCCGUUGGGGUCGGUAACGGUACCCACUGAGGGCUACUCUGUUUUAGUAGUAGUUCUCAUACCCAUUGUGCCACUUUUUCUUACAGAGUCUUCGACUGCUGCUACUGCUGCUGUUUCUGAUUGAGAUAAGGGAGUCGCGAGCUAGAUCCCUAUCUACCCGGUCACCAUAUUAGAGGAGUUCCUAUCAGAGAUAGUUUUUGGUUGUACCAUGUACAUAUUGUGGUUUUAGUUUCAUUCUGAGAGAUGGUUGUGUUUUGGAACGUGUAUGUACAGUGGGUUUUUUUUAUGGUAUAUAUAUGUUUCAGUUUUAGCAGCUCUGUACUCCUGUUAUAGCUUCUAUCCAUUUGCAGGUACAGCUAUCACUUCGUAUACAAGAAAAAUUCUUAUGUGUACGGCGGAUCUGUUGGUGAGCCCGAAAAACGUAGUAAUCCGGGGCGUGACAGGUAGGUGACCCAAAAUAGUCCAUAAUUAAGGUGAGUUCUGUACGUUUUUUUCUUUUUUUAAUAGAAAUGUGUAAAAGUUUUCCCAACUACAAGCUAUUUUAAUUUGUCCAUCUAAUCUUUCAAAAUUUUAAUUUUACUAUCUUAUUUUAAAUUUAUUAAAUUUAAGUCGUUGAUAGCUAUUUCAAUAUAAAAUUUAAACUAAUUGUUAAUUUUAGUGAAUUUACAGUUAUAUAAACUACAUAAAAUAUAUAAAUUAAUCUGUAAAGAUAAGCAAUUGCAUUCAAAUUUUGAAAUUAAAAAUUCACUAACUAACUAAAAUCAAAUAAACUAAAAAACUAUGUUGCAAAAUUAAUUUUUUUUAAAAUUAGAUAAUUAGAUCCGAUCGAUGAAGGCUUUUGAAAACCUAAAUGUAGCUCUACUGGUGAAAUAUUGGAGGUUCCUCUUGGAAAAAACUUAUCAGUGGGGUCCCUUAUUGAAGGUGUUUACUACUCCCCGAGGAGACUGCUUGGACCUUACAGUGGCGGCGAAGUGUUUUAGCGACUACGACUCUUUUUAUGUGUGGAGUAACAUACUCAAUUGGAGAUGGGCACAAUCUAAAUUGUUUCUGGUUAACUCACUCUAUAACUUUCUGCAAGACGAGGGAGUCAAUGCCAGAAGUUUUGUUCAGCUGUGGGAGAUAAGAAUCCCGCUGAAAGUUAAAAUUUUUGUAUAGCUAGUUCUGAAACGAGAGGUGCUGAUGGUGGAUAAUCUUCUAAAAAGAGGUUGGCGUGGUGAGGAGGGCUGUGUCCUAUGUAUGGAUAAGCGUGAGACGGCCGACCAUCUUAAAUUACAAGACUGCUGUUGGAGGACCAAUUGGCUAAUAAAAUGCCUCUUGCUUAACUGCAUUUCAGUGGGUAGGCUUUGAGCAAAUUGACUAAUAAAAUGUCUCUACUUUACUGCAUUUCAAUGAUAGGCUUAGGGAGGUGAGCAGACUCAAGGUAGUGCUUUAAAGGGUUAGGGAGUUAGCGACAAUUGCCUUUUUGUGGUAACCUAUUUGGUUAGAGCAGAAUAGAAGAAUUUUCGCAAAAAAAAAAAGCACGCAAGUCAAAUGAUGGCGAAGAUCGGCUCUCUUAGAAACCUGUGGAACCUUUGCUAUGUUAUAUAGUUUAUUUUUUUUUCUGAGGCCCGAUUCUCUCAAUCUAUAGCUUAAUUCAGCUUCCAAAUGAAUAAAGCAGUAGCGUGCUAUCUUUUUCUCAAAAAAAAAAAAAAAGAAUUAGAGAAUAUUUUAUCAAGAAAAGAACAUUCUUUUGGAUUGCAAAAUGUGGCGUUAAAUAAGUAGAAGAUAUUGUUAAAUACUAAAAAGAACAUACUUGAAUCAAACUAACCUUAGUGAAAUCGACACAGUAUUACGCACUAUACCAGAUAAAGGACUAAUGUACACCAAAAAACAGAAAUAAAAAAAAAACCAUUAUCCUGCACUCAAUUGGAGGCAUGUACUCUUGGCUCAGUUAAAGGCUAAUAUUCUUUGAUGCAAAAAUGAAAAAGAAACGAUUACUGCGAUGAAUUUUGGGAGCUACUAUUUGUAUCCAGCUGCUUAUUUGUUUCCUUUUUUUCUUCGACUAAAAUUGAUGAUUUCGCCACAUUUAGUAGAGGGCCAAUUUGCAUAAAAAAUUUACUUAUUUUGGGCUUUUGCAAAAUCGAGUCACCUUUUUUGUUUUUGCAGAUUCGGUCCGCUUUUUCCGCCGCCUGACCAAAAUGCCCCUCCUAUACAACAGCCUCCCGCGUAUUCCUCAGCGUAUUGCUCAACAGACGUAUAAUACCAUGACGUACUUUAAAUGCGCCGCGUCUGCUUUACGCAACCCAACCUCCCUCGCUCAUUACUCGGAACUCGGACCACAUCCGCCCCCGCUAUUCGCCGGCCCCGCUGUUUCCUGGUCGGCUUUAAGACUUUACGAAAUUUUCUAAAGCUAUUGAGAAAUACUGCGCCCCCCGCAACAGGGAUAAUAGUGCAACGCGAAGGAGCUACGAAAGGAGAAAUGGUGCAACCGCCCACUAUAACAGUGCAUUCGUAGCCUCGUUCCAGUGCAACCAAUCCAUAACAGUCAAAAUUUUACUUAUUUCAUUUUUUAAUGUAAUAUUAAGCUAAUAGUGCAAAUGAAAGAACAUGGUGACGUCGAAUAUAGCGGUGUGGAGUAGGAGGAGGCUCCACCGCCUCUUUAUUGCCGCCGCCGCCGUGGCGCUAUACCUCCGCUCGCUAGGGAUAAUAGUGCAAUUCCUUAUUAAGGUUUUCCAGGCUAGGUGAUAACAUAAACAUAAUAGUGCAAAAAAAUCUGAAAUUAAUAUUAUAAUAUGAAGUAACAGUGCAACAAUGUUUGGUAAAAAAGAGUAACUUGUAAAUAAUGUAACAAAUUCGUAAGGAGUACAUUAAUCUGUGAACAAGAAUUACAUUAUCUGUAAAGCCGAUUACACCAUUUUAUAGUACUUAACAAAAGACAAACAGGAUUUUAUCACAAUGCAACCUUCUAUUACAUCAACUAUAACAAUCUCUUCAUAAGAUUAAUUAUGUAAUCAUCGAAGUUUAUCUGCAAAUCCACAAUCACAUAGCCGACGCAAACAGGUAUUGGCCAAAGGAGACUGCUAGGAGGAGGAGGAGGCUCGAUCGGAAGGGUACGAUCGAUCCAGCAACGAGGCGUUAAGGUUGAUUCGCACUAUCUGGAAUGUUUUAUUUGCUUUGGGCAAUUUGGAGCUCCGCUCUACCAUGAAACAGACAGUACAAACAGAAAAAUAUUAGAAUCCAACGAUAAGAAUAAAAAUCUGCAAGAAAUUAAAAAACUGCAUGAGAGGAUAGCCAAUGAGCUCCUAGCAAAUAAAACACUCCAGAUAGUGCGAAUCUUCUCUACGUAAAGCCGAGGAGGUUAAAACAAGGCCAAUAUUUGUGAACGAGUCGAAGGCGGCAAACGGCGUUCCCCGUAGGAGGGGAAGCGCUGCUGCGGAGGGGAAGCGCUGCACUUCCUCUUACCGGGAAUGGCGUUGUCGUCUUCACUUCUUUCACGAACACCACUGUCUCCGUAAUUGGGAAUGCAUCUAAAGAACCGAUAUUUAAACAAAAUGAAUCGUCACCUCACCAACCCACCGGUGCCUCUUCGACUGACCUAAUAAAUUAUAAACCCGAUAGCAAAUACUAACGUGUACGUUAUAGCGUCUCUUCAGCGCUCAAAGAGAUACACCGGUGGGUAUAUCGAAACUGUCUUGAGAAGAUAAACCGACUAUUCAGAUGCCGUGUCGAAUUAGCCUCUGUGCGCCAGGGAUAAUAGUGCAACGGGAAUGUUCUACUGCAAUAGAAAUGGUGCAAUUAUCGCUAUAACAGUGCAUCCGUUGGCUCGUUUCAGUGCAACCUCACUUAACCAGUAAAAAUUUUGAGAACCUCGUUACACUUUUUUAAAUAUGUUGAACUGUUAUCCUCUAUUUUAUACUAUUACAAAAAUUUACUUAAUCAAAUUAUCUAUAUGUUCACUAUUAACAUUAGCCUUGAACUAUUACAAUAAAACGUAUGGAUUUUUCGAUAUUUCCUGCGGUGCGCCCGCGGAUGUCGUCGCGGGCGGCUGGUUUGCUCUAGCCACAGGAGGGUUCUUGCAUGACCUUUUGUUGUGCCCCCAUCUCUGGCAAUUCCGGCACCGCUUUUUUAUUAAGCCGUUAGCAAUAGACUCUCGCCGCGAAACCUUUCUUCUGCCCGGUUGUAUGCGGACGUUUGGCUGCCGCGGCGGAACAACGUUACUUGGUAUUGCAGGCCAUUGCUCUUUGCCUCUGGUGGGGGGGACGCAAUCGUUGUAGGUUGCACAAUAAGUCGAGGUUUUAAACCAGUCCUCGACAAAAUCAUACGGAUCUCGUAGCCUAAAUGAAAUUGCUGCCAUGGCGUGAUUACAUGGAAUGCCGUCAAUGUCCCAUCGCUUGCAGGAACAUGUCUUUUUGGACAGAUGCACAACAUCCGUACGGUCAGCUGCAAUUACCUAGAAAACAACAAGCCAGUCCAAAGGGUGGAACAAAUAGUGUAAUGACUAUAUGUAACCGAUUGAUAAGUAGUAUAAGAUACCUGAAAGAGGACAUCGGUCAAAGGAUUCAGUGUGUAAAAGCGGGACGUUUCCCUCGAGCUCCCUAAAAUCUUUUCUGCAUAGGAUGUUACUACACUGGUAAUAUUCUCCCCAUUAUUUUUUCUCUGGUAAAAAUAACAAGCUGUCUUCUUUCGUGUUUCCUCCACAAGGUAGGUAAUUGGAAGGCUCUUUAAAUGUCGAAUUACACUAUUUAUCGUCUCGGCACAGUUGGAAGUGAGCAUUGAAUAACGCCUUCCCAGAAAGCAAUGGGUAGCCCACCUAUGCCGAGGAAGCUUGACCACAUACUUGUACUGUUCGGAGUUCAACUCCUUCAUCUUUUCCAUGUGUUCGUUGAACUUCGUGACAGUAUAUGCACGGGCCGCAGCCCAAAAUCUUCUCCACGCAGGUGUAUUGUUUGGCGCGUGCGGGAGAUUGGUAGACAGAUGGUAAAUGCAACAACCAUGAGCUGCAUCCGGAAAAACAUCGAAUACAGCAUCAAUCAAUCCUUUUUGGUGGUCGGAAAUAAUAGUAAGUAUACUAUUUGCUCUGCUGGAGUCGCGAUCACCAACGACGCCAUCCCGUAACUGUUCUAGAAAUCAGUGUCAGGAAUAGCGAUUUUUACCUUCAACAACUGCCCACGCCAAUGGCAAUAUGCAGUUAUUCCCAUCAAUACAUGACGCCGUCAGCAGACAACCUCUAAACUUACCAGUUAGGAAAGUUCCUGGAAGAAUAAGAAAUCGUGUAUAUAUUAAUAUAUAAUCAUGCAAAAAAUUAUAUUACAUUCAUGAAUUUAUUAUAUAAUAGUGCAACAUAGUAAAAUAAUGAUGUGACAGUGGCGUAAUAGUGCAAUAACGUACCAUCCAGACCAAUCAGCGGCCUGUAGUGCUUCCUGAAUGCUCAAAUCGCUGCACCGAAUGCCCAGAAAAAACGGUGAAAAUGACCCUCGUCCUGGUAAAGUAAUUGGAGACAUGUUUCCGCAUCUCGACUCCUCAACUCUUGCAUGUGUGAGGAAAGUAGAGCGAACGAGCCCUCGAAAUCGCCGCGCAUCUCUUGAAGGACCAAUUCUCUGGCUCGGUAGGCUUUCCAGUAUGAAAUUUUUACGCCGUGCUGUCGAAGAAUCUCGGUCUGAACCAUCUUCGGCGUAUAUUUCUCGUUUGCCACCACCUGCUCCUUAACAAAUGCUGCUAUAAAAGCCGCAUCGCAAUUCCUGUGGCCCAAUCCCCCUAUUGCCCUGUUACAAGUGUGUUGCGAAUCAAAUUUCUUCACCCACAAUUGAGCAAUUCUCGGUACUUGACGCGCCUUUAUUUUCCAAGGACAAUCUAAGACACGGCAUCGUGCGGUUAUCUUAUGGUCGUUGUAUUUCGUCGAUGCGUACUCAAAACCUCUUUUCAUUGCGUAUGUUUUGAGAGCUCGUUUGAAGUUGCCUUGCGUCUUAUAGAGCUAGCCCUCGUGGACAUCGUCCGCAUCUGCGACGUCAACAACUGACUCCAUCGUAGAGCUGUUUACAAUGAGGUUUUCUUCAGGCUCGUCGUCGCGAAAUUGUUCAGCAGUAAGUCCCACUGUAUCGCCUUGCCGCAACGGAAGGACAUCCAUGGCGCUGUAUGUCCGUUGAGCUUUGUCGGGAGACGUCGAGACGAUACAGAUGCUAACGUCGGAAUCUGACUCGUCUUUCAGAUCAGCGAUAAUAAAACCGUCGUCACUGUCUGCCGCUUCUGCAUCGUCAAUGAGAAUAGGAUGAGAAGAUCUGCAGCACAAGUGAAAGCAAGAAGUAUAUUGUAAAUAUUAAAUAGAACAAGAACCCUUAAGUGUAAAGUUCAUACGAUGUAAGAGAUUGAAGUAAUGAUGCAAAAUAUUACGCGAAUUAGUACAGCAUAAAAAUAAUAUAUAAUGAAAAAAUUAUGUAAUAGUGCAACCGUAUAAUAUAUAUUGCUUACAGUUGAAAGAGGUAAAAUAUAAUGGCGCAAAAGUGCAUUAAGAGUAGUGCAAUUGCUUAAAAUAAAGAGGUUACAAGUGCAAUAAGGCUCGGUAAUGGUGCAAAAGAAAUAAUAGUGUAACUUACGAGCCAACUAUUUCAAAAUUUGUCUGCUGAGGAGUAGAUGCAUUUCCGAAACGCCUAUUAAUCAACAGAUCCAGCUGUUCGUCUGUAAGCACUUCGUCUAUAUCAUCGGGAUCACAAGUAGCAAAUUUUCUCUCGACUAAGUUACUCACAGCAUAAAGCUCCAUCAGAUACGCGUGGGUUUUAUAGAGUCUCCGUAUGUUUCCAACAUCGUCGUCGUCAACAAUGUCGAUGAGUUUGCUGAGAUUCCCACUAUAGCAAAGUUUAAUUUCAAUAUUGCAGGAUUCCUGUGAAGUAUUCAUGUACUUGCAGAACAUUGCUUGCAGGGAUUUAAAAUUAUCGUCUUGCCUGAUGAAAUUGAGCCGGCUGGAUCCUCCUACAUAAUUGACAAUGCCUCUUUCCUCCUUAAAACACCCAUUAAAAUUGAAGUGCACUGAAAUUUCAGUGUUAUCCAUAACUUGUAAGAGUUGAAUACAGAAAAUUAGCUAAAAGUUAUUCAAAAACACUCUUUAUAUAAUAUAAUCCAGUUAACGUGCAUGAGUUGUUAAGUUGUGCAUGGGGCGGGAAAUAGUACUUCAGAUCCCGCCAAACUUUAUUUUUAAUCCGUCGGAAUUUUUUCCAACCGACGCAAGCCUUGCACCAUUUUGGACAGUUCGACAAUGCAUAUGCGAUUAUAUUGCACUAAUUUUGAAUUCUGUUACCCGCCGCCGAGCUUUCCUGCCGCCGAGCUAAAUGACAAAAACUGCACGCCCCGCAACACGGACAAUAGUGAAACGCGAAGUAGCAACGCUAGAAAAAAUGGUGCAACUACCCUUCUAACAGUGGAUCGCUAGGCUGUUACCAGUGCAACCUCGCCAUAACCAGUCAAAAUUUUACUUUCAUAUUUCUUAAUAUAAUCUGAAGUUAAAAGUGCAAAUGAACGACGGUCGCCUCCGGGGUAGGACGGACGGCGUUGUCCGACAUAAGAGUCGGCAUGCAAGAAAGCUCGGCGGCGGGGAAGCUCGGCGGCGGGCAACAGAAUUCAAAAUUAGUGCAAUAUAACCGCAUAUGCAUUGUCGAAUUGUCCAAAAUGGUGCAAGGCUUGCGUCGGUUGGAAAAAAUUCUGGCGGAUUAAAAAUAAAGUUUGGCCGUAUCUGAAGUGCUAUUUUCCGCCCCAUGCACAACUUAACAACUCUUGUACGUUAACUGGAUUAUAUUAUAUAAAGAGUGUUUUUUGAUAACUAUUAGCUAAUUUCCUCUAUCCAAUUCUUACGAGUCAUGGAUAACACUGAUGAAAUUCCAGUGCACUUCAAUUUUAAUGGGUGUUUUAAGGAGGAAGGAGGCUCUGUCAAUUAUGUAGGAGGAUCCAGCCGGCUCAAUUUCAUCAGGCAAGGCGAUAAUUUUAAAUCCCUGCAAGCAAUGUUCUGCAAGUACAUUAAUACUUCACAGGAAUCCUGCAAUAUCGAAAUUAAACUUUGCUAUAGUGGGAAUCUAAACAAACUCAUCGACAUUGUUGACGACGACGAUGUCGGAAACAUACGGAGACUCUAUAAAAUCCACGCGUAUUUGAUGGAGAUUUAUGCUGUGAGUAACUUAGUCGAGAGAAAGUUUGCUACUUGUGAUCCCGAUGAUAUAGACGAAGUGCUUACAGACGAACAGCUGGAUCUGUUGAUUAAUAGGCGUUUCGGAAAUGCAUCUACUCCUCAGCAGACAAAUUUUGAAAUAGUUGGCUCGUAAGUUACACUAUUAUUUCUUUUGCACCAUUACCGAGCCUUAUUGCACUUGUAACCUCUUUAUUUUAGGCAAUUGCACUACUCUCAAUGCAAUUUUGCGCCAUUAUAUUUUACCUCUUUCAACUGUAAGCAAUAUAUAUUAUACGGUUGCACUAUUACAUAAUUUUUUUAUUAUAUAUUAUUUUUAUGCUGUACUAAUUCGCGUAAUAUUUUGCAUCAUUACUUCAAUCUCUUGCAUCGUAUGAACUUUACACUUAAGGGUUCUUGUUCUAUUUAAUAUUUACAAUAUACUUCUUGCUUUCACUUGUGCUGCAGAUCUUCUCAUCCUAUUCUCAUUGACGAUGCAGAAGCGGCAGACAGUGACGACGGUUUUAUUAUCGCUGAUCUGAAAGACGAGUCAGAUUCCGACGUUAGCAUCCGUAUCGUCUCGACGUCUCCCGACGCAGCUCAUCGGACAUACAGCGCCAUGGAUGUCCUCCCGUUGCGGCAAGGCGAUACAGUGGGACUUACUGCUGAGCAAUUUCGCGACGACGAGCUUGAAGAAUACCUCAUUGUAAACAGCUCUACGAUGGAGUCAGUUGUUGACGUCGCAGAUACGGACGAUGUCCACGAAGGCCAGCUCUACAAGACGCAAUGCGACUUCAAACGAGCUUUCAAAACAUACGUAAUGAAAAGAAAUUUUGAAUACGCACCGACGAAAUGCAACGACCAUAAGAUAACCACACGAUGCCGUGUCUCAGAUUGUCCUUGGAGAAUAAAGGCGCGUCAAGUACCAGGAAUUGCUCAAUGGUAGGUGAAGAAAUUUGAUUCGCAACACACUUGUAGCAGGGCAAUAGGGGGAUUAGGCCACAGGAAUUGCGAUGCGGCUUUUAUAGCAGCAUUUGUUAGGAAGCAGGUGGUGGGAAACGAGAAAUACACGCUGAAGAUGGUUUAGACCGAGAUUCUUCGGCAGCACGGCGUAAAAAUUUCAUACUGAAAAGCCUAUCGAGCCAGAGAAUUGGUCCUUCAAGAGGUGCGCGGCGAUUUCGAGGACUCGUUCGCUCUACUUUCCUCGUACAUGCAAGAUUUGAGGAAUGGAGAUGCGGAAACAUAUCUCCAAUUACUUUACCAGGACGAGAGUCAUUUUCAUCAUUUUUUCUGGGCAUUCGGUGCAGCGAUUCGAGCAUUCAGGAAGCACUACAGACCGCUAAUUGGUCUGGAUGGUACGUUAUUGCACUAUUACGCCACUGUCACAUCAUUAUUUUACUAUGUUGCACUAUUAUAUAAUAAAUUCAUUAAUGUAAUAUAAUUUUUUGCACGAUUACAUAUUAAUAUACACGAUUUCUUAUUCUUCCAAAAACCUUCCUAACUAGUAGGUUUAGAGGUUGUCUGCUGACGGCGUCAUGUAUUGAUUGGAAUAACUGCAUAUUGCCAUUGGCGUGGGCAGUUGUUGAAGGUGAAAAUCGCUAUUCCUGACACUGGUUUCUGGAACAGUUACGGAAUGGCGUCUUCGGUGAUCGUGACUCCAGCAGAGCAAAUAGUGUACCUAUUAUUAUUUUCGACCGCCAAAAAGGAUUGAUUGAUGCUGUAUUCGAUGUUUUUCCGGAUGCAGCUCAUGGUUGUUGCAUUUACCAUCUGUCUACCAAUCUCCCGCACGCGCCAAAAAAUACACCUGCGUGGAGAAGAUUUUGGGCUGCGGCGCGUGCAUACACUGUCGCGGAGUUCAACGAACACAUGGAAAAGAUGAAGGAAUUGAACCCCGAACAGUACAAGUAUGUGGUCAAGCUUCCUCGGCAUAGGUGGCUACCCAUUGCUUCCUGGGAAGGCGUUAUUCAAUGCUCACUUCCAACUGUACCGAGACGAUAAAUAGUGUAAUUCAACAUUUAAAGAGCCUUCCAAUUACCUACCUUAUGGAGGAAACACGAAAGAAGACAGCUUGUUAUUUUUACCAGAGGAAAAAUAAUUGAGAGAAUAUUACCAGUGUAGUAACAUCCUAUGCAGAAAAGAUUUUAGGGAGCUCGAGGGAAACGUCUCGCUUUUACACGCUGAAUCCUUCGACCGAUGUCCUCUUUCAGGUAUUAUCGUUUAUUUUGCACCAUUUAGUCAGUAUCUUAUACUAAUCAAUCGGUUACAUAUAGUCAUUACACUAUUUGUCCCACCCUUUGGACUGGCUUGUUGUUUUCUACGUAAUUGCAGGUGACCGUACGGAUGUUGUGCAUCUGUCCAAAAAGACAUGUUCCUGCAAGCGAUGGGACAUUGACGGCAUUCCAUGUAAUCACGCUAUGGCAGCAAUUUCAUUUAGGCUACGGGAUCCGUAUGAUUUUGUCGAGGAAUGGUUUAAAACCUCGACUUAUUGCGCAACCUACAACGAUUGUGUCCCCCCCACCAGAGGCAAAGAGCAAUGACCUGCAAUACCAAGUAACGUUGUUCCGCCGCGGCCGCCAAACGUCCGCAUACAACCGGGCAGAAAAAAGGUUUCGCGGCGAGAGUCUAUUGCUAACGGCUUAAUAAAAAAGCGGUGCCGGAAUUGCCAGAGAUGGGGGCACAACAAAAGGUCAUGCAAGAACCCUCCUGUGGCUAGAGCAAACCAGCCGCCCGCGACGACAUCCGCGGGCGCACCGCAGGAAACAUCGGAAAAUCCAUACGUCUUAUUAUAAUAGUUCAAGGCUAAUGUUAAUAGCGAACAUAUAGAUAAUUUGAUUAAGUAAAUUUUUGUAAUAGUAUAAAAUAGAGAAUAACAGUUCAACAUAUUUAAAAAAGUGUAACGAGGUUCUCAAAAUUUUUACUGGUUAAGUGAGGUUGCACUGAAACGAGCCAACGGAUGCACUGUUAUAGCGAUAAUUGCACCAUUUCUAUUGCAGUAGAACAUUCCCGUUGCACUAUUAUCCCUGGCGCACAGAGGCUAAUUCGACACGGCAUCUGAAUAGUCGGUUUAUCUUCUCAAGACAGUUUCAAUAUACCCACCGGCGUAUCUCUUCGAGCGCUGAAGAGACUAUAACGUACACGUUUGUGUUUGCUAUCAGGUUUAUAAUUUAUUAGGUCAGUCGAAGAGGCACCGGUGGGUUGGUGAGGUGACGAUUCGGUUUGUUUAAAUAUCGGUUAUUCAGAUGCAUUCCCGAUUACGGAGACAGUGGUGUUCGUGAAAGAAGUGAAGACGACAACGCCAUUCCAGGUAAGAGGAAGCGCAGCGCUUCCCCUCCGCAGCAGCGCUUCCCCUCCUACGGGUAACGCCGUUUGUCGCCUUUGACUAGUUCACAAAUAUUGGCCUUGUUUUAACCUCCUCGACUUUACGUAGAAAAGAUUCGCACUAUCUGGAGUGUUUUAUUUGCUAUGAGCCCAUUGGCUAUCCUCUCAUACAGUUUUUUAAUUUCUUGCAGAUUUUUAUUCUUAUCGUUGGAUUCUAAUAUUUUUCUGUCUGUACUGUCUGUUUCAUUGUAGAGCGGAGCUCCAAAUUGCCCAAAGCAAAUGAAACAUUCCAAAUAGUGCGAAUCAACCUUAACGCCUCGUUGCUGGAUCGAUCGUACCCUUCCGAUCGAGCCUCCUCCUCCUAGCAGUCUCCUUUGGCCAAUACCUGUUUGCGUCGGCUAUGUGAUUGUGGAUUUGCAGAUAAACUUCGAUGAUUACAUAAUCAAUCUUAUGAAGAGAUUGUUAUAGUUGAUGUAAUAGAAGGUUGCAUUGUGAUAAAAUCCUGUUUGUAUUUUAUUAAGUACUAUAAAAUCGUGUAAUCGGCUUUACAGAUAAUGUAAUUCUUGUUCACAGAUUAAUGUACUCCUUACGAAUUUGUUACACUAUUUACAAGUUACUCUUUUUUACCAAACAUUGUUGCACUGUUUAUUUCAUAUUAUAAUAUUAAUUUCAGAUUUUUUUGCACUAUUAUGUUCAUGUUAUCACCUAACCUGGGAAACGUUAAUAAGGAAUUCGACUAUUAUCCCUGAUGCGCGGAGGUAUAGUGCCACGACGACGGCGGCAAUACAGAGGUGGUGGAACCUCCUACUCCACACCGCUAUAUUCGACGUCACCAUAUUCUUUCAUUUGCACUAUUAGCUUAAGAUUAUAUUAAGAAAUAAAAUAAAUAAAAUUUUGACUGUUAUGGAUUGGUUGCACUGGAACGACACUACGGAUGCACUGUUAUAGUGGGCGGUUGCACUAUUUCUCCUUUCGUAGCCCCUUCGCAUUGCACUAUUAUCCCUGUUGCGGGGCGUGCAGUAUUUCUCAAUAGCUUUAGAAAAUUUCGUAAAAUCUUAAAGCCGAGCAGGAAACAGCGGGGCCGGCGAAUAGCGGGGGCGGAUGUGGUCCGAGUUCAGAGUAAUGAGCGAGGGAGGUUGGGUUGCGUAAAGUGGACGCGGCGCAUUUAAUAAGCGCCAGACAGUACGCCAUGGUAUUAUACGUCUGUUGAGGAAUACGCUGAGGAAUACACGGGAGGCUAUUGUAUAGGAGGGGCAUUUUGGUCAGGCGGCGGAAAAAGCGGACCGAAUCUGCAAAAGCGAAAAAGGUGGCCCGAUUUUGCAAAAGCCCAGAAUAAAUAGAUUUUUUAUGCAAAUUGGCCUUAAUCGAGUGACCUGUCAUUUUCAAAUGAUGUUACUGUUAGAAAGCAAGGAUGAAAAACAUUUUUAAAAAAAAAAAAAGACCCCUCUGCCAAAGCAUGUAAUUCCAGUGAAAGUUCCUUCAGAACCUUCAGAAGUAUAACUUUAGACAAGCUUAAACUAUUCAAAUUGUUUCAGUGUAAAAUACCUUGAAGCGAGUUUUCGUGAGUUAAUAGAAUAUCAGGCAGAUCAAUUUUUCCGAUUUAGAUCUUUAAUUUGUGAUGGGAAAUGAAUUGCUAAGUAAAGCAAAAUAGAUACCUUUAUUCAGGUAACCUUAUAAAGUAUUAUCGCGAGAAGCCUGACAGCAGAUGGUGGUAUCUGUAAAGCAAUUGCAGAACUGAGGGGCAACUUACCACAAGAAAUCCUUCCAAAUGAAAGAUUUGCAACAUUUGGAAGGAAAUUUACCAAACAAAGAAAAUCAAAAGAAAUCCUUCCAAACCUAGGAUACGAAAGAAUGCGGUAUAAAUUUCCUGAAGUUCAUUGCUGAUCCAGGCAAUUUUGAAAGAAUUGGUUAUCCUGUACCCAAAAAUCUCAGUAAGUUCACUUGGAUGCAAAGUAAAUUUGCUUGUUAAAAAGAGAGGCAAUUUUGUCAGCACCUUGAAAGAAAAAGUGAUGUCUGAACUGUCAAUUUGUAAUGUUACUCUCUUUAAUUUUUCUUCUUUAGACUUCCCCAGUUUGAGAAGUCCCUGCAUUGGAAUUCAUACUGUCACAAACUACUGCAAAAAUAUUAGAAUAAACAGAAAAAAACUGCAGUCAAGCAUGUAUUUCGACCUGAUCGUUCAGCACUGUGCACAUGUUCGUGAAUUCCAGUGUUCCUGCAGCAGGGACGUGAGCAGAUUUGCAUAUUUGUAAAUAUGAUCUGUUGAGCUGUGUUCCAUGCAGCAAUUCAGUUUUAAGAAAACUGUGUUAGAAUUUGAAAGAACAGAAAAAUACUUGUGCUAAGGGAAAAUAUCACGGAAUACAAAGUACUUGUGCGCUGAAAUAUAUUCGUUUUCAUUGUUUCAUCUCUUCUAAGAUUGCAGAGGCAAGAUACAACCAACAGAAAGCAAACUUACCUCCCCAAUAGUUGUAGCGUUCUUCUUGAACUGGCGAAAAAGAUUCACUAUGGCACAUAAUAUUAUCUGCAGAUGACAAAAUAUAAAUAAGCUAUUUUCAACACGUGAGGAAAACAGAAAAAGAUGUCAAGUAAUACCCACUCAACGAGGCUAGACAGUUAGUUCCACAGACCUAGAAAAUCACAAAAAUAUUAACUACAACAUUCCACCAGGUGUCCCGCAGUUAGCUCACAGGAAAAUGCUGUAAUAGGAUUCUGCAUAGCGAUCAUGUAAUCAUUCAACGGGAUGCUGGAACUGACAUAGUCAAAUGGAGUUGCAAUUGACUAUGGGCAGUGGACCUAAUUAAGUAGACUAUUCGAGAUUCUUAUAUGGUUCUGUUAACUACAAUUCCAUGGUGCAUGAUUUUUUUUUUCUCCAUAGAAAAAUGUUAUUAAAUCUAUCUGUGCGGUAGUUUGUUUUGCAACAGUAAAUAAUUCUACUACAGUAAUAGCAGGUUGCUGUGUUGAUGUCAGACGACUCUUAUAGACCAUCUUGGCUUAGUCAAGUACAGACAUAAAAAUUCUAUGAUGUUUAGUUCUCAAAUUUACCUGUUGGUGUUGUGGAAGAGAGUGUAUGGUAUCUACAACAGCUGACUUGAAUGCCUUUGAUAAAGCAAUAUCCAUAUGAUCAAAUGUGACCUGCAAUACAUUUCAAAUUAGUUUAGAAAACCAAAAUUUCAAAUAUGUUACUAUUUGAAAAACAAUAUAUAAUUUUUUUUUUUUUUUAGAGAGAGAGAAAGGUAGCAUGCUACCCGCUUCGUUUAUUUCUUUUAAAAAUAAACUUAGCUGGAAAUGUGAAUCAACUAGGAUUUGAACUUGGAAUCUCGGAUACCAACCACCAAGCCCUUUACCACUUGCGCUAUGGACAGUCGGUAACAAUAUAUAAAUUUCAAAUAUGAGCAUGGGUGUAGCAAAAAUGAUUUGAUUUUUUUUUUUUUGUGUGUAGGUCACAACCAUUACUUUGGACUGAAGUAAAUGAUAAUGUUAGAAGAUCUGCAGUACUAUAUGCAGGCCUUUGUUUUCGGUUUCUGGUACUGAAAUUAGGAGAUCUGCCAAUUAAGUGUAUAGAAAAUAAGAAUGAGGUGCCAUUUGUUGGAGUUCAAGAAGAAGAAAAUUGCAUAGUAAUAUGAUUUUCUGAUACACAUACACGAAAUGCAUGAGGUUCAGUCUGCAACUCUUCUGCUCAACUUUAGUAAUUGUUAUUAAUAUGUUGAAGCAUAAAAUCUUCAUAGGCAGUGGAGAACCAAUAAUCAUCCAACUUACAAUAUUACAUUGUCCUUGUUUUAAAGGAUCUCUUAGCUCUUCUUCAAGCACCUCUAUUGCACUCCUGUAAUGAAGUUAAAAAUGCAAACUAUUUUUACAGAAAAAAAAAAAAAAACUAUGUUAUGACAAAAAAAAAAAUAUAGUUCAUCGGUGCGAAACUACCAAAAGAGAAUUGAAAAAGAGAGAAAAAAAAUAAAGCACACAAAUAUUUAGGUGGUUCAGCCACUGGCCUACAUCUACGGGCGAAGACGGAGCAAAACCUUUUAUUACUGUCGAAUACAAAGUACAAAAAAUUUCUGUCAAAAGACCCAAACCCAAAAUAUGCUCGACACACCUUUCAUCGUACACUGAUAAUUACGAAGCCACAUCCGCACAAAGGACUCACACGCAGCUUUCACAGCUUGUCUCUCUCACACCAAUGCACAGCAACCACGAGCACAGCAACCACGAGCACAGACUCUUGGCUUGGCUUAAUUCUCUCUGUCCGCUCUAUUGCUUAGUGCCACAUAUAUGUGUACAUAAGCUUGCACACCUCCGACGUAAUUAAAUUACUCAGACUUGGAGAAGUUGCUAGCCGAAUAGGACAAAAACAUCAUGGCCAAUCCUACGCUACCAAGGUGCUCUCUAUAAAGGACUUCAGACCAGGUCUGCCAACUUUGUCUAGACCAACUCAAAGCAAUCUAUUUCCAGUAGGAUUUAGGGUAAGUAAUUCUAAUUUAAUAUUGGUUCCAAAACAAUUUGGGUUUAAGAAUUUGAGACAUAUUUAUAAAUCGUCACCUAAGAAUUUGAGACAUAGUUAAUAAAUCUCCACCUUGGCUCGAAUUUUCCGUCUUCUCCACCAAAACUCCAAAGGGACUCAUUAAGUUCUGCUACACACACCGACCAAAUUCAUGCGAUGCUUGAACUUAGCCACCGAAAGAGGCUUAACCAACAUAUCGGCUGGAUUAUCCAUUGUACCAAUCUUCUUCAAGACAAUAUCACUCUAUGCUAUCCAAUCACGAACAAAAUGAUAACAGACAUCAAUAUGUUUCGUUCUCUCAUGAAAUAUUUGAUCUUUCGAAAAAUGUAUAGCACUCUGGCUAUCGUAGUGGACGACAGUCGCCUCCAGACUUGAAAUAACCUCUUCAUAGAAGCCUCUCAACCAAGGUUUAAAGUGCCAUAGCACGGAGGCGUGCCGUUGUCUGCCUGGCACGGAACAGCACCAGCACGCUUCCGUGCCGACACAUGGUACGCUUGCGUGCCGAUAGAUACGCAUGACCUCCUACUGACACGCUUUGGCACGGACUUAUUUUAUUUUUUUGGUUCCAAUAAACUCCUAUAAUAUUAUUUUGAAAGAUUUAAUCAAAUAAUUAUGAAUGUUUGCUAUGUAUAGCUUACUAUACUCAUCAAUUAACAUACUUGUAAACUUUUUUGUAUGUAAAAACAAUUAUACCUGAUGCAGAAUAGAAAUUUUUACAAGUUAGAAUUUCUAAAAUGCAAAGAUUUCUUUUUUUUCUUUUUUUCUUUUAACCAUAUUACAAUCUUUCUUUUAAAAAAUACAAAAAAAUAAUUUAUAAAAAUUAUUUGAAAAAAAGUAUUUGAAAAUUUUUUUUUAAUUAAGUUAUUCAAAAAAUUAGUAAAUCUAUCAAAAAAUUAAGCAAUAAAUUAUAUAAAAAAUAAAUUAAAUAACUUUAAGUAUCAAUUGAUUUAAUUUAGCUUUUAAUUUUAUCAGUAUUUUCAAUCUUCUAGCGCAAAAAUACAAUUUUAUGUUUGAUGUGGCUCAAUAUUUGUUUAUUGAGUUCAAUAUGUUCCCUUAAUUCUUCAAAAAUUUCACGAUGCGAUAAAUUUUGAUAAAAUAAUUUGUGAAGAAAAAAUAGAUGUAUGUGGUAGAAGCUAAGGGCUCGGACAAAUCUUUUGUCCGUAUAUUGAUAAACAAAAAAAAUUAAAUUAUAAAUUUUUUGACUUACCUAAUAAGUAAAUUUUUGAUUUGCAAUAUCUUCGGGGGAGUGUGGUGUACCCAGAAUGCUUUGGAUACCCCAAAGAACAAAAAAAAAAAAAAAAAAAAAACAAAACAAAACAAAAGGCAAAAAAAACAAAAAAGCAAAAAAAAAAAACAAAAAAGCAAAAAAAAAAGCGCCAGCACGGCACUGUGCGGUGGCACGCUGCUCCGUGCCGCUCUAUCUCGUGCGGCACGGCGAUGCAUGCUGCAACACGGAGGGGGGUCCGAGACCCCCCAUGUACCGUGCCACCUUGGUGGCACGGUACGUGCCGCUCGAUGCCGUACAGCACGGGCGGCACUUUAAACCUUGCUCUCAACCAACUAGCUUCUUUCAUAGCCUCCAUCAUAGCAAUAUACUCUACCUCGAUAGUGGAUAAAGCAACAAUAGACUACGAAGUAGCUUUCCAACCGAUCGAACAACCACCAAAUGAAAAAAGCCUUUAAGCGACCUUUGUCUCUCCAAAUUGCAUGCAAAAUCUAAAUCAGCAAAACCAACUAAAGAAUCAUCAAAUUUUCCAAACUCCAAACAUGUAUCAGAAGUUUUUCUUAAAUAUUUGAGAAUUCCACUUCAUUGCCUGCUAAUAAGUCUUGUCGGGAUUAGCCAUAUAUCAACUCACAACACUGACAGCUAAUGAAAUAUCUAGACGGAUGCAAACCAUCACAUACAUAAUAAUUCCUAUUGUACUAGAGUAAAGAACAUGCGACAUGCACCUCUCAUCCUCAGCCGACUGUGACGACAAAGCAGCUGAAAACCUAAAAUAAGCAGCAAGUAGAGUACUUACAAGCUUAGCGUGUUUCAUUCCAAACCGCUCCAAAACUUUCUCAACGUAUUUCUUCUAAGUCAAAUAAAGAGGAAAAGGGCACAAAAACUUCAUGCCUUUUACCUGCAAGGAAGGUUGUCGCACUUAAUAGGCGACUUGACAACACAGUGUAGUUGCCGAGGAGGAAAGAGGAGAUUUCGUACAUCACAAGCCCACACAUGCGUUGGGAGGAGGAAGUAGCCAUUAUUACCAAUCAAAUCAGAGGGUUUGAGAGAUGACAUAGGGAAGAGAAGGUUUCUCUCGAGUGGGAUCUUCCUCAUUGAUAGCAAUAGCUGAGAGAGACCGCCAGAGGAGUAGAGCGGAAGAAAGCAAGAUCAAAGAGGAAUUACCGAUGAAGGCGAAUCUCAAAUAAGAUCUCGAUUAUUGAUUAUGGUUGCUGCAGAUUGGAUCGAGGGAAGUGAAGAGGAGAAGAAGGCGUCCGACAUGAGGAGGCAGGAGAGCAGUGAAGGAGUAAUGAGCGAGGAAGAAGGUAGGUAUUGCGCAUUAACGGAGGUGACGAAGACUCACCGCCCAAUUUCCUCUCCUUGCCCCUGGGAUAACCCUAGCGAAUGUGACCUAUCCCGUGGGUGAAGAGGAAUUGGUCUUAACGGGUUAUCCUAGGAUAACCCGUUAAGACCCGGCUAAAAUAAACCCAUAAGUCUUUUCCCUGUUUGGGUGAAUAAGUAGGAUAAAAUAGGCUAUUCCUAUUUUAUCCUGCAAACAAACGGGGCCUAAGAAUCUCCAUAUCAAGAAUUUUCUUAGUUGCUCCCAAGUCCGACAUCUCAAAUUCCUAACUUAAAUGUGCUUUCAACUUAUUAAUUUCAGACAUGUCUUUGGAAGCAAUAAGUAUGUCGUCAACAUAAAGUAACAAAUAAAUGAAAUUGUCAUCAUUAAGCUUCCUGAAAUAAACACAAAUAUCAUACUUUCUCUUUGCCACAACUUACCAUGAACAAGUCAAAUCAUUUAUACCACUGCCAGGGAAACUAUUUCAAGCCAUAUAAUGAUUUAUGUAAUAGGCAGACAAGAUCUUCCUUACCCUGGACAAUAAAAGCCUCAGGCCAAUGCAUGUAAAUUUGUUCUUCAAGCUUGCUAUGCAAGAAAGCAGACUAUAGUUCUUUGCAACCAACCUUGCCUUAUAUCGAGCAUCUUCGACAUUUGGGUACUUUCUAUUUUUAGGAGAUUCAUUUACAACCGAUGAUUUUCUUUCCUUCGAGUGGUUUCACCAACUGCCAUGUGUGGUUCUUAUGAAGAGACUCUAUCUCUUCAUUAUCACCACCAACCAUCUGUCGAAGUCAACAUUAGAAGUUGCUUCUGUGUAGGUGGAAAGCUCAUCGACAUCACCUCUCUCAUCAACUACUGAUAAAGCAUAGACCACCAUAUAUGUAUAUCGCUGUGAUGGCUUUAUUUGCCUUCUCUCUCGACCUGUAGCAAAUGCUAAUUGCUCUUGCGUCGAAGUUUCUUCUGCUUCUGAGCUAUCAUGUUCCUACAGCAAGAUCAGAAGGAGAAGAGGAACCUUUCUGCAGAGAUAUUGAGUUAUCAGUUUUGAACUCCACCUACUUCUUAGCAUCCUCCACCUUCUUUGAAGUAGUGUCAACAGAAGACUCCUUUUUUUGGGUGAAGUAUUGCAAAUUCAUCAAAGAUAACAUCCCUACUGAUAAAAAAUAUUAGAUGCCUUUGGAUCAAGGUACCAUAAUUGAUAGCCUUCAUCCCAGAUGCAUAGCCUAGAAAGAAAAUACAUUUUAAAGGUUUAGGUUCUAACUUAUCAUUAUCAACAUGAGCAUAUAUAGGACAACCAAAUACUCAUUGUUAGGACUUGGGUAAAUAUGUAGUUAAAUUAUAGUUAGAUUAGAGGAAAUAUUUAAAUCCAUUGGAGAUAAAUUAAUUAGGAUUUAAAUAUAAAUUAGAGUAUAAAUCUAAAAAGAUUAAGAUUGGGAUAGCUUUUGAUGUAAGCUAUAUACAUAGCAUAGGUGCUAUUGCUUUUGGAUGGCAUGACCAAUGUGAGGAUAUUUUUAGUGGUCAGUACGGGAGAAAGAGCCUAGGCCAUAGUUGCGUACACCUAGUGCACGGAUGCGUCAAGAGAGUAGAUCUCUAGGUUUGUAAAGACGAGAGAAAGAUGGGAGAGAUUCAAUAAGAGGGCUCUGAUUGAAGCUACUCUAUUGUAGAAGAGUCGGGUGAAAUUUUUUUCUUGAUUAGUGAAUUUAUUUCACCUGUAUUUUCUAUUUGGUUUCAUCUCUUUUGUGACUGUGUCAGCUUUUGUUGAGUAGACGGGUUUAUAGUAAAACUUCAAUUUGAUACUUUUGUUGCAGAAUUCUAACAACUUGUACCGGAGCGAAUACCGAAUUUACAACAAUUAGUAUCAGAGCGGCUUGCGAAUUCUUAAUAUUUGGUAUCUAAGAAAGUACCAAAUUCUCAACACUCGUAAAGUAGAAUAAUCAGCAGUUGUACUAGACUAUACCUCCUCUGUAGUCUUAUACUCAAUAACUGCAUGUGGAGAACCAUUCACCAAAUAAGAAGCGGUAAUAAUUUCCUCUACCCAGAAACCAAAUAAGAAGCGGUAAUAAUUUCCUCUACCCAGAAAUCUAGAUAAACCGAUUUUCAAGAGCAUACAACGCGCUUUCUCCAAAAAGGUUCUAUUCAAUGCUCCGCCACUUGAUUCUGCUACGGAGUAUAUCUGACUAUUCUGUGAUGAAUGAUACCCUCAUUUUUACAAAAUUCAUCCAACCCAGAUUAGCAGAAUUCCAAACCAUUAUCUGUUCUAAGUUCCUUAAUUUUCUUCCCAGUCUGAUUUCAAUCCUAACCUUCCAUUGCUUGAAAUACCUAAACACCUCAUUUUUAUGCUCCAACAUAAAUACCCAAACUUUUCUGAAAUAAUCGUCGAUAAAAGAAAGUGUAUGUCGAGUGCCAUUUUUAGACGAAACACGUGACCCCAAAGAUCAAAUGAAUAUUAUCUAGGGUACCUUUUGGUUUGUGAACUGCAGUGCUAAACUUUACACAUUCUGCUUGCCAUACACGCAAUGUUCACAACAAUCCAAUUUUCCUAUUCUCUGGCCAUAUAAGAAACGUCUCUUAGUUAAUUCAGUCAUUCCGCACUCGUUCAUGUGUCCCAAAUGCAUGUGCCAUAGUUUGGUAAUCUCCAAAUCCAAAUUGAAAGACAAGAAAGUUGUCACAGUACUAGUAACAGUAGACCCUUGCAAUAUAUAUAUAUCCACCAAAACAAGAGCACCUCUGCUAACCGUCAUAACCUUACCUUUGGCGGUGUAAUUCUAUCCAUUUGUGUGACACCCCAACUUCCCAGGGGGUCACCUAUUGUAGGACUACUCCCGUCCUAGCACGCUUAACUCUCUUAAUCUUUUGGGCCUAGCCACCACCCAAAAUGCUUAAGCCGGCUUAAGAGUUUAGCCCUAUUAUAUCUUAUAUAUAGGACUAUAUGGGGUCUCACAAUCUCCCCCCCUUUAAGCCCUGACGUUCUCGUCAGGCUCAAACUCACAAGUACCAGGCGAUGUGAGACUCGUCUCGCUAGCCUCAACCGACCUUGUGGGGGAGCCGCGCUCUACCCACAACAGUCAACAACAUGAGAGCCUCGCUCUUCCCGCUGUAUAAUCAUGGCUCAGCCGAGACUCAUCUCAUAUUUCCGGGUGGUAAUUGUCUCUGAUACCAACUGUGACACCCCAACUUCCCAGAGGGUCACCUAUCGUAGGACUACUCCCGUCCUAGCACACUUAACUCUCUUAAUCUCUUAGACCUAGCCACGACCCAAAAUGCUUUAGUCUGGUUAAGAGUUUAGCCCUAUUAUAUCUUAUAUAUAGGACUAUAUGGGGUCUCACAAUUUGCAUCAAAAAACCUAAAUAGAUAAGAUUUUUCUUCAAAUCUGAAACAUGUUGAAUAUUACAAAGUCCUAUCCUUCUUAUCCCAGUAGGUUUGCAUGUAAAAUCCUUACCCAUCAAAAUCGCUCCACCUUCAAUAGAUUCAUAUGUGAAAAACUAAUUCCGUCCGGGACACAUAUGAUAGAAAUAAGCCGAAUCCAUAAUCCAAUUAUUCUUAAGUUUAUUUUCAUGGAACACAGAGAACAAAUCCGAAUUACCAAAACUGCCAUUUUCUGCUUUUGUUGUUCUUCAUUCUUUUUCUUUAGCUUGAAGUAUUAGAUUUGAUAUGACCUUUCUUCUUAUAAUAAUUACAAAUCAAAUUCCUAUAUCGUGACUCUAAUCUUGACCUCUGUCUACCGGUGCCAAAACCCUUUUUUUGGGCCUUCCUCUGGCAACAAGGCGCUCUGCAAUACCUUAACUCAUACCAUUAAUCUACAUAUCAAUAUGUUCCUUACAAAGCAGAGACGACUUGACAUCUUCAAUAGAUAGGAUAUCUGUACCAAAGAGAAAGGUUUCUCCAAAGUGCUUAUAUGAGGGAGGUUGAAAACAUAACAAUAAAAGGGCUUUAUCUUCUUCCUCGAUGUUUGCAUCUAUCUGUAAUAAUAGAAUUAAACUCAUCAAGAUAAGGUUUGAUAGACGUACCUUCCAACAUGCAAAUCUUAAAUAACCGGUGCGUUAGAUAUAGUUCAUUUGUGAAAGACUUUGUCAUAUACAGAGAUUCGAGCUUCAAUCACAGAGCCAUUGUGGUAUUCUCAUUUAGAACUUCACGUAGAACGUCAUUAAAGAGGAAUGAUUGAAUCACCAUAAGAGUUUUGGCGUCCAUAACCUCUUUCUGCUCCUUCGUCAAUGUGUCAAAUAUCUUCUCUUUCUCCAAUAACGCCUUUUGCAACCCCUAUUGCGUCAGAACUGCGCGCAUCUUAACUUGCCACAGUGUGAAACUAUUGGAGCGAUCAAACUUCUUGAUUUAAAAUUUUGUAGACAUUAUGAACACCAAUACGAACAAUCGGGUUCUAAUACUAGUUUGUUAUAACAAAAGCGGAAAAUAUCUAGUUCAACGGACAUGAAAAUACCAAUAGAGAAUCGAGAAAGAGACAAGAAAAAUAAAGCACAAAUAUUUACGCGGUUCGGCCACUAGCCUAAGUGCACAGGCGAAGACAAACCAAAAACUUUAAUACUGUCGAAGACGAAGUACAAAAGAUAUCUCUCAAAAGACCCAAAACCCGUAUGCUCGACACACCUUAUGGCUUAUGUCAUACAACUUAUAAUUGCAAAGCCAUCUACGUACAAAGGACUGACAGGCGGCUUCCACAGCUCAACUCUCUCACACCAAUGUACGACAACCACAAGCACAGCAACAAUGAGCACACACUCUUGGCUUGGGCUUAAUCUCUUCGUCUGCUCUCUCGGUUACUGUUACAUACGUAUGUGUAUAAAAGAAUGCGCCCUUCCAACGUAAUUAAAUUGAACUCAUACUUCGAAAAGCUGCUAGCCGAAUAGGACAAAACCAUCAUGGCCAAUCCUAUGCUACCAAGGUGCUCUCUAUAAAGGACUAAAGACCUGGUCUACCCACUUGGUCUAGACCAACUCAAAAAUCCUAAUCUAUUUCCAACAGGAUUUAGAAUAAGUAAUUCUAUUCAAUUUUGGGUCCAAAAUCAUUUGGGUCUAAGAAUUUGAGACAUAUUUAACAUACUACUGUUUUAUGAUUCUGCAGUUCCUAUCUUUGCAACACAGGAUACAUGUAUGAACUAAAGGCUGGUAAUGUAAAAAUUGAACCCAACAUCUACUUCUUGAAAAGAAAAACAACUUAUUUACAAAAUAUAAGGAGAAUUUUCACUACGUUGAUGCUUCCUGAAAUGACAACUCCAUAGUUCUUUUCCUAUCUUUAACAUGGGGAUCAGUAAUUUGAUCAAUAGAUAGUUUAAUAUUUGGUGAUUACUGCUAGAACACAUUAUUAGAACAGUAUGAACUAGCAGCACAUAAGUAUGUAUACAACUAUUUUCCUUCUUACCAGAUGAAUGGCAAGCUUAUACACUGUUCCGACACUGCUUUGUGACAGGGAAGGAAAUUAAGUUUGAAAUCAAAGAGCCUACAGAACAAGCCAUCAGAAUGGCUUAAAACACAAAAAUUUCAAUUCCGAAAUCAAACAGCUUACAGAACAAGCCAUCAGGAUGGCUUAGACACGAAAUUACAAUUCUAAAGGUGUUCUCAACAGCAUAAGGUCUCGAGAUCAAGAAAAUGAACAUAUCACCAAAGUCAUAUUGGUACAGAGGACAGUACUUUAGCCUUCUUAGUUCUUACCAGUGAAAAGAAGUCAAAAAAGGCUCAAGUUCACCAAAUAGUCUAUUCCUAUUUGGAGGAUGUCAUUUAGCAGAAAAUUACACCUUAUUUUUCCAUUAAGUUGUUAGAUCCGAUGAGUCGGAUGAAUUUUGGGACUGAGUUGCUUGGUUGGUUAGUCAAUAUGCCAUCAAUGUGAAACUGAAAGAUAUCAGUGUCACCAAUUUUCUAACGUCAUCAAGGUAAAGAUGAUUAGAAUAUUGUGUCUCCAAUGUGGAUAGUUAGGCAGAUUGCUUGUAAUAUGUCUCCAAAAUAACAAGUAUAAGCUCAAAGAUGUUUCCAUCCAAAUUCAACAGAAAGAUUAGGCGAUAGUUUAUAUAUAAUUAUUAAUGAAGUCCAUUGAGAAAACUUAACAGACAGUAGUUUUCUGUACAAAAGGAAGACUCUCAAACCAAUAAGAGCUGAAGCAACAUUUGAAAUAAAUUGUUAUCUGUGUUAACACUAUUACCUGCAAACACCAAGAGCUCUUCUCAUAUCUCCCGAGGCAGCUGCAACUUUCUGUAGUAAUCAUAAAAAAUAUCAAAGCAUGCCUGAGGGCUAAACUAACAUGUUCAUGAAUACACAUCACAAACGCAAGCCAUAAUAGAUGCAUAUGAUUAGAUAAGUUAAAGUGAGAGUUGUUGGAAAAAUUAUUCUCUUUCUAAAAUCUUUAGUAAAAUACUUUUAUAAACAAUUUUGAAUGAAAACAAUUUAACUUCAGUUUUUAAAAAUCUUAAGCAAAAAUUAAAUAGUCAAUGGUAUAAAGAUUAAGAGAUCAGAUGAAGCCUGUGGGUCGAGGCAUGCGAAUGCACUGUCCUAGAAGCGAGAUUGCCCCUCUACGUGCGAGGCUCCGGCAAUCACUCCUAGCGAUACAACGAUCACUGUCCACCCCGUCGGCACGUCUUCAGGGUGUCGCAACACGAACCCAAUAAGCUUUCAGAGAUCCAGCAAAAAUGAAAAUGCAAAGUGUAGAAUAGAUGUAAAAUCAAUGUGAAAGAAGGUGAGGAAGAAGAGGGUUUUCCAAGUUCAAGCUCAGGUUGAGUUCACUGUAUAUGUACAAAUGCACCAUCACCUUUCUUUAUAUAGGAGAGCUUCAUGAGUGGUCCAACGGGUAGAGUCCAAGGUAAGAUCUUUGACCAAGAUCUAGCUUUUUCCCGAGGUUGGACCAUGACCAAAAGAUCUUUGACCAGGAUCUUGGACCAUGACCAAAUCUGGACAAGAUCCAAUGCUUCACCCUUUCCCAAGGCAAGGUCAUCAUUGGGUUAAUUAAAUAAUACAAUAAUAUUAAAAUCCAAUAAAAUAAAAGGUGUAAAUGAACCGUGUUUACGCAUGCCGCCGCCCGCCCGACCCGGCUCGGCUCGGGCUCGUGCUGUGCGUGCGUGUGUUUAGUCAAGAGCUCCACUCUCAUGUUCUCCUAAGCAAUUAAGUUGAGAGUGAGAGAGUAUAUAAAAUAUAGCAACAUGCCUUUGCUUUCCAAUGUGGGACUAAACUACUCAUGUGGAAACUAAGGCACUGGCUCCCAGGCAAGGCCCAUAGAGAGUUGGACUGCCUAGGAAGCCCAUGGGCCAAAAUAAAGUUUUAAAUGACAGUUUUUAAAUAAUUAAAACUAACAUUCCCCCACAUGAUUUAAAACUUCAAAUAAAGAAAGUAAAUAAAACUGAAAUUCAAAAAACAACUCAAAAGAAUGUUGGAUCUCUUAUACCAUGUAUUCGGCGAAGGUACCUUUCGGAUUUGAACCUUCACUUAGUGCUUGUCUAUGUACAUCCGAGGGCACAAUGGUGGACUUCGCCUUGAACCAAGGCCGGUAAAUCGGAUUUCCACAAACCGCACACAUGGUACAGCCAUUUAGGUUAUAAACGGGUGAGCGCUAUUACGGCCAUGCGCUAAUAUCGCUUCAUGUGUGUUUUAGGGAACCGCCCUCUUCCCACAGUCGCGGCCUCACAACUCCACACAUAUAGUAGGUCCUCAGAAGGGUGUCUGCAAGGUCACACCCUACCUCAUGGGUCUCGGAACCAUUCAGGGUCAAUGCCCUUCCUAUCCACUUACAGAUAUGAGCACUGUCGUCAUAGGAAUGAGGAUACAAAAAAGCAGUGCUCCUCACAGCUACCUGUUCGACUUGUUUCUACCCAUUGAACCUGCAACAAGUUGGGUUGCCGUCGUCGGUAACUACUAUUGUGGGCUAAGCCCCAUCCCCCUCGAUGAUUCUAGGAUCACAGUCCUAAAUAAUCCCUUCGUAAGCUGAUCAGCCAAGUUCUUCGCAGAUCUCACAAAUUCCAAGGCAAUUACAUUCUUCUUCAUAUUUUGUCAAAUGAACUUAUGUCUCACUUUCAUAAAUCUAUUCAUCUUAGUCUCCACAUUCUCUUGGGCACAUUUAUCAAUUGCAAAUCUACAAUCACAAUGAAUGCAUACAGGUGCUAAAGGUCACUCUAUCAGUGGCAGAUCAUAAAGAAACUCUCUAAUCCACUUAGCCUCUGCUACAGUGGUAUCUAAUGCUAUGAGUUCAGAUUCCAUGGUACUUCUAGCGAUCAAAGACUGUUUGGUUGACUUCUAAGAAACAGCUACUCCUCCUAGGAGAAAAACAAAUCCAGUAGUCGACCUUAUAUCAGCUGUAUCACUAAUCCAAUUAGCAUCACUAUAUCCUUCUAAUACUGCAGGAAAGCCACUGUAAUGUAAUCCAUAAGACAUAGUUCCCUUCAGGUAUCUCAAAACUCUUUCUAAAGCAUUCCAAUACUCUCUAUUUGGAUUAUGGGUAUAUCUUCUCAAUCUGUUCACAGCAUAAGCCAAAUCAGGUCUAAUAUAGUCUACUAGAUAUCCCAGAGAUUCUAUAAUUUGUGCAUAUCUAUUCUGACCGAUUGGAUCACCUCUAUUCUUUUUAAGGUGUACACUAGAAUCAUAAGGUGUCACCACAGGUCUAACAUCAAAAUAUCCAAACUUCUUCAGUAACUGUUCACUAUAGUGUGAUUGACUCAUAAUAAUUUCUUUCGAUUUUCUAAUGAUUUUCAGGUUGAAAAUUACUUCUGCUUACCCAAGAUCCUUCAUAUCAAAAUUCUCAUUCAGUAAUUUCUUCACAUCAUGUAUCACAUUCAUAUUAGUACCAAAAAUUAAAAGUUCAUCAACAUACAAACAUAAGAUUACAAUCUGUCCGUUAUAUUCCUUUGAGUAUACACAUUCAUCAGACAUAUUCACAUGAAAGCCAUUUGAUACAACUAAGGAAUUAAAUUUCAAGUGCCACUGCUUAGGAGCUUGCUUAAGUCCAUAUAGAGAUCUAGUCAAUUUGCACACUUUGUUCUCAUGUCCAGAAACUACAAAACCUUCAGGUUGUUUUGUUGAGGAAAACCCGCAACGAAUAAUCCGAUAGUGACAAAAUCUAACUAAUUUAGUGAUAAAAUUAAUAACAUUAACUUACCAGUAAUCGCUAAAUUCCAAAAAAUAAAUUGUGGAAGUAGAAUGCCAAAUUAAUUUGAUCCGGAAGCGUGCGAAGCACUGCCCUAAGGCGUAUUCCCGUCCUUCGUGCGGGACUAACCGGAAACACCGCCCCAAGGUACGACCAGAACUCCUCCUCUUCCUACGAGCACGAUCGCGGAAGAGGUUGACGAAGACUCUUUCCACACUCGAUGAAAAAUAAUAAAAUGAAAGAAAAUAACAAAUGAUUCUCAAAUAGUAUUCCUUCUCACUGUUAUCUAUGUUUCCAAAGUGUUCACCUCAUAUGUAUAUAUAUGUCCUCUCCAAUACUAUGGACGAGGUAAUAAAAUAUAAAGGGUUAAAGUAUGGAACGUUGGAGCCCACAACGUUCCAACGCACUAAUUAAGGUCUUAAUUAGUGGAACGGAUCUGCGCACGAUCCCCCCCUCGCGCGGAGCGGCCGCAGUUGAUGCAGCCGUUUCGCUAAUAGAUAAUUAAAAGUUAAUAAAAAAAUAAAUAUUAAAUAUAUAAAAUUUUGGAUUUUCUCCAACAAUCCCUCACAAAAUUCAAAAUUUUUAAAAAUAAAAUAAAAUAAAAAUGAAAAUAAAAAUUAAACAACAAAUAAAGAAAAUCAAUUAAUCACCGAGUGUUUAUACUAUGUAAUAGGCAAGGUGUCUUUAAGAGACUUAACCUUACUUAGUGCAAAUAGUUUCCAUCAGAAGGAAUCGAAGUGAACCAGGUCUUGAACUACGUUCCUUUGACUCUGACUUCAACUACCACACACACAAUACAGAAUUCUCCGUCGCGGGUCUGUGCGUUAAUGGCCAUGCACAGUACCUUAAUUUUUUCAUAAGAGCUUCUAUGGACAACCCACAUCUCAUAGCCGCGGCCACAUACGGAUACUCUUAUAUAGGUGGUCUCCUCCAGGGAUGUGUGUAGAGUCACAUCUCGCGAAAAUUACUGCCUCGGAUCCCAUUAAGAGCUAUAAGCUCGACCUCAACCACUACACAGAGCACUACUCACUAUAGGGAUGGGAUUGGAGCUAAAGCUCCUCUAUAUAAACUAUAGAAAGUGCUCUUUGGCCAACCUGACAGCUUGUUUUUACCACAUUGAACCUUCUUCAAGGGAUCUCCUAUCACAAAGGUUGGGUUCCCACCGCAGGAAGGCCCUUUACGGGCAAAGUCCCAUCCCCCUCGAUGACUCCAGGACCUUAGUCCUAUUAAAGCCUUUAGUCAAGCAAUCUGGAAGAUUCUGAUCAGAUCUGAUAAAACUCAAAGAAAUAAUAUCAUGAGAAGUUAACCAUCUAACAGACUUUUGUCUCAACUUAAUAUGUCUACUAGCUUUAGAAUUCACCAAUUUCUUUUUACAAAAAUCAAUUGCAGCUCGAGAAUCACACCUAAUAGAAAUAGGUGGAAUAGGAGAAAAAAUCAACGGAAUCGAUGACAGUAGAUUCUUGAGCCACUUGGCUUCAAGACUAGUAUCAAGAGCAACUAACUCAGCCUCCAUAGUACUUCUGGCUAUUAUAGUCUGUUUGGUGGAUUGCCAAGAAACUGCACCUCCACCAAGAAUAAAAACAUAACCAGAAGUUGACUUGAUAUCCAAAGAAUCAGAAAUCCAAUUGGCAUCGUUGUAUCCCUCAAUUACAGCAGGAUAGCCAACAAAACGAAGAGAAUAAGAGAUAGUACCUUUAAGGUAACGAAAUACUCUUUCCAAAGCAAUCCAAUAAGUUAUACUAGGGUUACUUUUAUAUCUACUCAAUCUCGAUAUGGCAUAGGCAAUAUCAGGUCUAGUCCUAUUGGUUAGGUACAUCAAAGAACCAAUAAUCUGGGCAUAUCUCUCCUGAUUUACAGGAUUACCGGUGUUCUUCACAAGUUGAACACUAGGAUCAAAAUAAGUAGAAACAGGAGUGCAAUCAGAAUAUCCAAAUUUGUCAAGAACCAUUUGGGUAUAAUGAGAUUGGGUCAGAAGAAUAAAAUCUGAUGAUCUAAGAAUUUUCAUUCCUAAAAUCACAUCUGCUUCACCAAGAUCCUUCAUAUCAAAAUGAGUCGAUAAAAAGGAUUUAACUUGGUUAAUCAGAUCAAGAUCAGGUGCAAGGAUCAGGAUGUCAUCAACAUAGAGGCAAAGAAGAACACAUCGGUCGUCAAAUCUCUUAAAAUAGAGACAGUUGUCAAAAUCGUUUGUUUGAAAUCCAUAUGAUUCAAUAACACUGUCGAAUUUUUCGUGCCACUGCUUAGGUGCUUGUUUUAGUCCAUACAAAGAGCGGACUAAUUUACACACCUUAGUUUCUUGACCAGGCACAGAGAAACCUUCAGGUUGAGUCAUAUAGAUUUCUUCUUCAAGAUCUCCAUGAAGAAAAGCGGUUUUGACAUCCAUCUGAUGAAUCAAAAGCUUAUGAAUAGAUGCUAAUGCAAGAAUGACUCGGAUAGUAGCAAUGCGAGCAACAGGCGCAUAAGUGUCAAAGUAAUCAACUUCAGCUUUUUGUCGAAAACCUUGAGCUACAAGCCGCGCCUUAUACUUCUCUACCGAUCCGUCAGUUCUAAGCUUCUUUUUAAAGAUCCACUUACAUCCUAAAGGUUGGUUUCCAGGGGGUAAAUCAGUGAGAAUCCAAGUGUUGUUGCCAAUAAUUGACUCGAUCUCACUGUUUAUAGCCUCCUUCCAAAAAGAAGCUUCAGAAGAACUCAUAGCUUCCUUGUAUGAUGAAGGUGUACUUUCAACUAAGAAAGUAAAGAAAUCUUCACCAAAGUUCUUCUCAAUACGAGUUCUCUUGCUUCUUCUCAGUUCGCCUGGUGGGUUAGGUUCUACAGGAUCUAAACUAUAUGAUAAAUCAGAUGCAGAUAAAUGAUCAGAUGUAGAUGCAUGAUCAACUGUAGGCUGAAAAUCAAGUGCAGAUCUAGAGAUACGGGUUUUGAAAGGAAAGAUAUUUUCAAAGAAGGUUACAUCUCUAGAUUCAAUCAAGGUGUCAUUGGAAAUCUCAGAAAUCUCAGAGUUGGUUACAAGAAAUCUAUAGGUGUUGCUAUCUAGGGAAUAUCUAAUGAAAAUGGCAUCUACUGUUUUAGGACCAAUCUUCUUUCUUUUGGGUUCAAGAAUAGACACCUUAGCUAAGCACCCCCACACUCGGAAGUAACUCAGCCUAAGUGCUCUUCCCUUCCAAAGUUCAUAAGGUGUCUUGGUUCUAUCCUUAGAAGGAAUCCUAUUGAGGAUAUAACAAGCUGAUAAAAGAGCCUCCCCCCACAAGUUCUGAGAUACACCAGAACUUAAAAUCAUAGCAUUAACCAUGUCUAAUAGGGUUCGGUUCUUUCUUUCAGCUACACCAUUAGACUGAGGUGAGUAUGGAGCAGUUACUUCAUGAAUUGUUCCAUGUUCCUCGCAGAACAGAUUUAAUUCAUUUGAAGUAUACUCGCCUCCUCUAUCAGACCUUAGAAUUUUAAUCCUCUUCUCCAAUUGAUUUUCAGCCUCUGCUUUAAGGCUUUAAACAUAUUGAGGACUUCAUCUUUGGUCUUCAAGAGAUAGGUGUAACAAAAUUUAGACUAGUCGUCUAUAAAGGUCACAAAGUAACGACUUCCUCCACGAGUAGGACCUCUAUUAGAAUCACAGACAUCACUAUGAAUCAGUUCAAGAAUCUGGGUAUCCCUAUAAGGAAUAGAUUUAAAAGGUUUUCUAGGCUGCUUAGCUUGGGUACAAAUUUCACAUUUGGAUAUAGGAUCAAUCUUGAAUUUGGGUACAAGGUUAAGAUUGGAUAGUUUCAGAAUAGAUCUAAGGUUCACAUGCCCUAAUCUGCCAUGCCAUAUAUCACAAGAUUCAGUAUUCGAAACAAUAGUAGAAGUAUAAGAAGAAGAAUUUUUAUUAUCAGCAAAAGAAAGUACAUUCAGUUUGAACAAACCCUCAGAUACAAAACCUUUUCCAAUAAACAUUUCUCCCUUAGAUAUUACAACUUUAUUGGAUUCUAAUACAAUCUUAUAUCCUAAUUGCACUAACAAAGAUCCACUAAUCAGGUUUCGUCGGAUUUCAGGAGAAUGCUGCACAUUGUGAAGGAUUAACGUCUUUCCUGAAGUUAACUUCAGCUUGACUGUUCCAAUCCCCAACACAUUGACAGCUUUUCCAUCUGCAACAGUCACACAUCCUCCACUUGUGUCCUGAUAAGAGGAAAAGAGGGACCUAUUAGUACAAAUAUGGACAUUGGCUCCAGAGUCUAACCACCAAUCUAAAUCAUGAAAGGUAAGGUUAACAUUAGGUACAAAGGAGACUGACCUAAAAAUGGAGUUGGAAGGUUCACCCUCAAUCAUGUUGACCAGAGGUUUAGGAUAGUUGUUCUGAGUGUUUUGGCCCUUCUUGUAGACAACCUUCUCUUUCUUUCGAUAAAAAUAUUUUGAAGCAAAAUGGUUGUCAUGGCCACAUACAUAACAGAAACCAUCCUUCUUCUUAUUCCCACUAGGUUGGUUGGUAUUGGGUUUCUGGGCAUAGUUCCGGUUUCGAUUAGGGUUCCUACCUUUAAAGCCCUUACCCUUAGGUUUAAAAUUUUUACCUUUGGGUUUAGGCUCAUGGCUCUGGUUCUGAAUCUCGGUCAGGUUUAUGUUUGAUCGGUUGUCGGACGGUUUAAUCUCUCUAAGUCGGUAUUGGUCUUCUAUUCUAAUAGCUUGGAUUACCGAUCUAAGUUUAAGAGUUUCCUGGGUACGUCUAAGCUCAUGGGCAAAUUUGGUCCAGGAAGGGGGUAAUUUAUCCAAUAGACAGGUUGCCUGAUAGGUUUCAUCUAAGGUUUAUCCAUUCCUAUGAAUCUCUUGGACAAAAUUCUGAAAUUGAUGGAUUUGAUCGUUUAUAGGAAUGUUGUCUACCAUUCUAAAAUUGUUAAAAUCGGUAAUAGUAAAUCUGGCGACACCUUCAUUAUCUCUAAUGUAGGCAUCUUCUAAAGCAAACCAUAAAUCCUUGGCAGUUUGAUAUUUCCUAUAGGUUUCAUAAAGUUCGUCAGAUAGGCAGCUGAGUAUCCUAAAUCUACCGUGAAAUUCAAUUUCCUCGGGAGAUUUGUCAGUUUUAGGUUCUGUAACUGAGGUGGUAGUAGAAUCAGAUGGAGGAGUUUCAAUAGGUGGAUCAGAAGAAUUUUUAGAAGUAGGAUAAGGAGGUGUUUUUCCAAUUGCAGUUAUGAGGCCUAAGGUGAUAAGCCAAGCCUCUAACCGUUCUUGCCACCUCAAAAAACCUACCCCUUUAAAUUUUUCUGGUUUAAGGCUAGAAGUAUCAUCAAAACCCAUUCCAACUAAUCUAGUUGAGGGAACAAAGAAAUUAAGGAUGAUUGAAAAGAGCUGCAAAAAAAGUUCAAAAAACCUUUUUAGAAAAAUAAACAUGUUGUUAAGGUUUCUACCCUAGUCAACCAGAAUAUUUUAGGGUUUAAGUUUUUAAAUUUAAUCUUUUAUGAAAGUUCGUUCAGCAGCAAACAGAUGGCCCAAACAAUUUAAAUAUUUGAUUUCAAUUAACUAAUUUUAAACAUAUAAUAUAUGCAAUGAGAUAAUAUUUAUACAGCAAAUAGAGUUAAGAAUCUACUGCAAUAAUAAAAGAAUAGAAAGUAAAAGUGGUAGUGCUGGUUAGAGGGAGUAGUGUUUGAAGAUGCUAUUUAGGCCAAUCGCGGGUUCAAAUCCCAAUUGAAACAGUUUUUCAAAAAUAUUGUAGCAAUUUUUUCUUUUUUUUUCAAACAAAAUUUUACUGUAGCAAAACCAAAACAGUAAAAUAUAUAUGUUUUUUUUUUGAAAAAUAGUAUAAAUUAAACUUAAACUUUUGAAAAGAACCGCACACUUUAAAAAAAUUUACUGUAGCAAACCUUUUUUUAAUUACCAAAGGUUUUACUGUAGCAAAUUAAAACCUCCGUACACGAGAGCUAAAAAAAAUACUGUAACAAAUUUUGUUUUAACUUUAACAAAAUAGUUUUACUGUAGCAAAACUAAAACCUUAAUUUUUUUUUUUUUUUUAAUAACAGUAGAAGACAAAUAAAAAUUGCAAGCAAACUAUAUGCAAUUAGAUUUUAAAAAAUGCUAAUCCCAACUUAAAUUAAUUUUGUAUGUCAAUCAUACAAACAAGUUAUCAAACAAAUUAUAUACAAUAUGCACAAUUAUUAUUUUUCGGAUUAGCACUUGUUAGAUUUUAAUCACAAUCAAAUCGGAAUACGCCUUAGAGUGUUGAGGAAAACCCGCAACGAAUAAUCCGAUAGUGACAAAAUCUAACUAAUUUAGUGAUAAAAUUAAUAACAUUAACUUACCAGUAAUCGCUAAAUUCCAAAAAAUAAAUUGUGGAAGUAGAAUGCCAAAUUAAUUUGAUCCGGAAGCGUGCGAAGCACUGCCCUAAGGCGUAUUCCCGUCCUUCGUGCGGGACUAACCGGAAACACCGCCCCAAGGUACGACCGGAACUCCUCCUCCUACGAGCACGAUCGCGGAAGAGGUUGACGAAGACUCUUUCAACACUCGGUGAAAAAUAAUAAAAUGAAAGAAAAUAACAAAUGAUUCUCAAAUAGUAUUCCUUCUCACUGUUAUCUAUGUUUCCAAAGUGUUCACCUCAUAUGUAUAUAUAUGUCCUCUCCAAUACUAUGGACGAGGUAAUAAAAUAUAAAGGGUUAAAGUAUGGAACGUUGGAGCCCACAACGUUCCAACGCACUAAUUAAGGUCUUAAUUAGUGGAACGGAUCUGCGCACGAUCCCCCCCUCGCGCGGAGCGGCCGCAGUUGAUGCGGCCGUUUCGCUAAUAGAUAAUUAAAAGUUAAUAAAAAAAUAAAUAUUAAAUAAAUAAAAUUUUGGAUUUUCUCCAACAUGUUUCAUAUAAAUCUCUUCAUCUAAGUCACCAUUCAGAAAAGCUGUCUUAACAUCCAUUUGAUGAACAAUCAAAUUAUGGACAGAAGCUAAGGCUAUCAAUAUUCUAAUUGAGGUAAUUCUAGCAGCAGGUGCAUACACAUCAAAAUAAUCUACACCUGGCUUCUGUGCAAAGCCUUGUGCUACUAGUCUAGCCUUAUACUUUUCUACAGAACCAUCAGGUCUCAACUUCUUCUUAAAGAUCCAUCUACAGCCUACAGGCUUACAUCCUAGAGGUAAAUCAGUCAACUCCCAAGUAUUAUUCUGUAGAAUAGACUGCAUCUCAAGAUUAAUAGCCUCUUUCCAAAAUGACGCAUCUACAGACUUCAUAGCUUGGUCAAAGGUAGAUGGAGUAUCUUCUACUAGUAGGACACAAAAAUCAUCUCCAAAAGUUUUCUCUACUCUAGGACGCUUACUUCUCCUAGGUUCGACCUCUUCUGUAGGUUCACUAACUCUAGGUCUACUAGAGCUACCUACAGGCUCAGCUGGAGUAGGUCUAUUUAUUCUAGUUCUAAAAGGAAAGAUAUCCUCAAAGUACACUGCAUCUCUAGCUUCAAUAAUAGUGUUGUUAGAAAUCUCACUAAUCUCAGAGUUCACCACUAGAAAUCUGUUGGUGUUGCUAUCUAAUGCAUAACCUAUAAAAACUGUAUCUACAGUUUUAGGUCCAAUCUUCCUUCUUUUGUUCUCAGGUAUCUUAACGUUAGCUAGGCACCCCCACACUUUAAAAUAAUUCAAAUUAGGCUUCCUACCUUUCCAAAACUCAUAAGGAGACAUUAGAACUCUUGUGGGGAAUCCUAUUUAGAAUCACACAUGCAGAUAUCAAAGUUUCCCCCAACAAGUUCUCGGGUGCACCUGAACUAAUAAUCAUCGAGUUCACCAUAUCCAUUAAAGUUCUAGUCUUGCGUUCAGCAACUCCAUUAGAUUGAGGUGUAUAAGGUGCAGUCACUUGAUGUACAAUUCCAAAUUCUUGAUAGAAAACAGUCAUCUCAUUUGAAGUAUAUUCACCUCCUCGAUCAGAUCUCAAAAUCUUGAUUUUCUUAUCUAAUUGAUUUUCUACCUCAGUUUUAUAAAUUUUAAAUCUGCUUAAAACCUCAUCUUUUGUCUUGAUCAAAUAAACAUAACAAUACUUUGAAUGAUCAUCUAUAAAAGUCACAAAAUAUUUAUUUCCACCUCUAGUAGGUUUACUUCCAUCACAAACAUCACUAUGCACAAGUUCUAAAAGAUCACAAUCUCUAUCCACUGAUUUAAAAGAUUUUCUAGGCUCCUUAGCUUGCACACAUAUUUCACAUCUAUGAUCAAGUAAAUUAGAUCUUAGGAAUCAAAUCAAGAUGCAUCAAUCUUUUAAUAGUAUUAUAAUUUACAUGUCCCAAUCUUCCAUGCCAAACAUCAGUUGAAACAACAUUCAAAACAAGUGCACUUUCAUUAAUAGGGGGAGGAGAUACAGAUAACUUAAACAAACCAUCACUCAAAAAUCCCCCCUAUAAAAUUCACUCCCUUUGUAAUAGCUACUCUGUUACAUUCAAAAACCAACUUAAAACACUGUUGAACUAAAUGAGAACUACUAAUUAGAUUCUUCCUAAUAUCGGGAACAUGGUGGACUCCGUGCAAGGUUAGGGUCUUCCCAGAGGUCAGUUUCAAAUCUACUCGACCGGUCCCAAGCACGCGAGAAAAGGCUGCAUUCCCCAUGUUCACCGAUCCUCCACAUGAGUCCUAAUAGGUGGAAAACCAAGAGCGAUCAAAGCAAGCAUGAAUGUUUUCUCCAGUAUCUAUCCACCAAUCAGAAGAACUAAAGGUAAGGUUAACUUCAGCUAAACUAGAUCCUAACCUGACAAUGGUGUAUGAAGUGUCAGGCCCCGCAGUCAACAUAUUCAUCUGGCGCUCAGGUGGACCGUUCUUCUUCUUCUUGGGUGCAGAAGGCCGAGUCUUGCGAAAAUAGCAAUCCUUCGCAAAGUGGUUGGUCUUCUCACACACAAAGCAACCAGAACUGCCUCCACUCUCGUCAGGUUUAGGCUUCUUAAAGUUUGGGUUGAACUUUCUAUAAUGGAAAGGCUUCUUUUUAAAGUUCCUAUGAGGCUGAAAGUUUCUAGCCUUAUUUUUAGGAUUCUCUAUUAGGUUGGCUUGGGUUGUGGAUUCACUAGGCUUCUUAUCCUUAGCUCGGUUCGACUCUUCUAUCCUAAUAGAUCUUAGGACAUAAUUCAGGGAAAGCUCUCUUUGAUUAUGGUUAAGAUCAUUUGCAUGAUUCGACCAAGAGAGUGGCAACUUAUCUAUAAGGGUGGCUACUAAAAAACUCUCAUCAAGAUCUACACCACUAGAUCUAAGCUGCUCAAUUAUAUAUUCAAAAUCAUGAAGCUGGUCAGACAGACUUAUUAUCCACCAAUUUAAACUUAAUUAAAUCUGAAGCUUGGUAUCCCUUCUGGGUAGGAUCAACCUGACCAUACUUGUUCUCUAAGGAUGUCCAAAGUUCCCUAGCUGUUUUAGCACUACAGUAUAUGUCAUACAGUUUAUCAGAUAGGUUACUAAGAAUCCGGUUCAAGCAAUGAUAGUUGAUCCUAUUAGGGUCAACAUGAGGUAUGGUUGUAGGUGUAGGUACAGUUUCAGUAGUAGGAGUGGAUCCGGCUUGGGCUCGGCUCCGAGUAUACAGUCUGUUGACCGCAGUCUGGAUUGCACCUUCAGGUGCAGAUCCAUUGCUAUUCUCAGCAGGAUCCGAGAUUGCAGAUACAAGCCCAAGUGUACUGAGCCAGAACCUCAUUUGGUUCUGCCACCUUUUAAAGUUACGACCAUCAAAGGUGAACGGUUUCACCGAAUACGAAUCCUCCAUCAUGAAAAAUCUGUUUACAAGUAAUCCUAAUAUAAUGUCACAAGACUGUUCUAAGGUUUACAGAAAUAACAGUAAAGUGUUCUAAAUUAUGUUUAGUGACAGUAUGAUUAUGUAGGUACUGAAAGAUAAAUAUAUGGCAGCAAUAAAAUAUUGUAAUAUUAAUUAUCAGUGCAAGAAUGACAGUAUGUAUAUAUGUUCAGGAUUAUAAUAACAUUAAUCACAUGACACAUAUAUAUUAUAAUAUUCUAUGUACUAUACUCGAGGAAAUAGAAAUAUUAAAAUUAAUCUCACUUCUAGAAUGUUGGAAAACUUAUUCUCUUUCUAAAAUCCUUAGUAAAAUACUUUUAUAAACAAUUUUGAAUGAAAACAAUUUAACUUCAGUUUUUAAAAAUCUUAAGCAAAAAAUUAAAUAGUCAAUGGUAUAAAGAUUAAGAGAUCAGAUAAAACCUAUCGGUCGAGGCAUGCGAAUGCAAUGUUAGUUUUAAUUAUUUAAAAACUGUGAUUUAAAACUUUAUUUUGGCCCAUGGGUUUCCUGGGCAAUCCAACUCUCUAUGGGCCUUGCCUAGGAGCCCGUGCCUUAGUUUCCACAUAUGGAGUUUAGUCCGACAUUGGAAAGCAAAGGCAUGUUGCUAUACUUUAUAUACUCUCUCACUCUCAACUUAAUUGCUUAGGAGAACAUGAAAGUGGAGCUCUUGACUAAACACCCGCACGCACCCACGGCACGGGCCGAGCCGGGCCGGGGCGGGCGGCGGCGCUCGUAAACCCGGUUCAUUUACACCUUUUAUUUUAUUAGAUUUUAAUAUUAUUAUAUUAUUUAAUUAACCCAGUGAUGACCUUUCCUUGGAAAGGGUGAAGCGCUGGAUCUUGUCCAGAUUUGGUCAUGGUCCAAGAUCCUGGUCAAAGAUCUUUUGGUCAUGAUCCAACCUCGGGAAAAAGCUAGAGCUUCGUCAAAGAUCUUACCUUGGACUCUUCCCGUUGGACCACUCAUGAAGCUCUCCUAUAUAAAGAAAGGUGAUGGUGCAUUUGUACAUAUACGGUGAACUCAAGCUGAGCUUGCACUUGGAAAACCCUCUUCUUCCUCACCUUCUUUCACAUUGAUUUUUACAUCUAUUCUACACUUUGCAUUUCCAUUUUUGCUGGAUCUCUGAAAGCUUAUUGGGUUCGUGUUGCGCCACCCUGAAGACAUGCCGACAGGGUGGACAGUGGUCGUUGUAUCGCUAGGAGUGAUUGCCGGAGCCUCGCACGUGGAGGAGCAAUCUCGCUUCUAGGACAGUGCAUUCGUACGCCUCGACCACAGGCUUCAUCUGAUCUCUUAAUCUUUAUACCAUUGACUAUUUAAUUUUUGCUUAAGAUUUUUAAAAACUGAAGUUAAAUUGUUUUCAUUCAAAAUUGUUCAUAAAAGUAUUUUACUAAAGAUUUUAGAAAGAGAAUAAUUUUUCCAACAAGGGUGGUAUUGCAAUGAAUAAAAUCAACCAACAAGAAUUGGUCUUUCCCGUUCCUUAAAAAAAAAAAAAUUCGACUGAAGGAAUAAAAUUUUUAAAAGUGACUGAGGAACUAAAGAAUGUUUAGAAUCUAGCAACAAGUUGGUUUUGGAAAACCCUAAUUCACUUUAUCAAAACAGCAAGCAUUCUUAAAAUGUUAGCCGCUAACAAGAUGUAGGUUAUGAAAACCGUUGUAGGAAAUUGCUAAUUUUCUUUUUUUUUAAGAAAAAAAAUUGCCAAUUUUCUUGAUUUCCUAUGCAGAUAGAAAACAGCAGGAAAAUCCUAUUUUUAGUAAGGACUUACUAAUUUAGUGAGCAUAUUCCAAAUAAACAAGUCUUAAACUGAAUCCAACUUAAGAGUCAUCAGAAUUUUAGCAGGCUGAUCACAAAAAUUGGAGCAGUAAAAGUGAAAUGAAGAUUAACUAAAAACCGACAAAAUGGAGCGAACUUACUCUAGCACAAAAUUCAAGAGCUAAAGGCUGGAAAACAUCAUAUCCAAGUACCUGCAAACAAAGGAACAAUUACUGUAAGAAAAUUCUACCUCCAAACCUUGUAAUUUCUGCAGGUUGAGAAAGUUCAAAAAUUAGUAAAAGUUCAGACCAUUGAAUAAACUAUCAAAUAUAAGCUGUAAGAGCUUUUCAGUCAUAACGAGAGAAAUGGUAAGCAUGAGAAUUACCAUAAGCCUCUGCUGAAUAAUUUUGAGUAUCUGAUCUUUUGAGUAAGCACGGAAAUUUAUAACCAGGGGUUUACCUGCCAGAAGCAAAAUAAGAAUGUUAAGAUCAUGCUUUCUUGCCCUUAUGAUGAAGCUAUAAAGGCUAUAGUUGAAAGCCAUUUGAGGCAACUGAUUGUAGAAGUACAUGGAUUAGCCUUCAACAACAUCCAGACCAUAACAAGUCACAUAGAAAGAGGAUAAUAGAAAAGGAAGACUAAUAUCUUCCCAGCAUCUUAGCAGAAGUUUAAAGAAAGAGGAAGAAAAGGUUGAGUACUCACAGUUUAAUGAUUCAAGCUUUGGAAGAAAUCGAUCUGCUAGGUCUAUAGCAUUUGCAAUUCCUUCAUAUAUAAAUCAAUAGUUGUAAGAAUGACGCAAGCAUCUGAAAAUUGCUAUAAAAAGAAUCAUAUGAAAACUAAAUUAGCUACUCCAUGACUAAGAAACAAUAAUAAAGACAUAUUUGAAUCUUUACCUAUUAAUAUACAUUGGGAAAAUGGGAAAGUCGUAAGCAUGAAAAGAUCAUGAAGUACUGCUCUAUCUUUAGUUAUCAAGUAAUCCAUCUCAUCCACGACAAUCACUCUGUCAUACACACACACAAACACAAAUGCAUACAGUUGCAAACUUCGCAUGAGAAGCUCGUCGUAGUAGGGCAGUUGUAAAAAGAACAGUACAGCACAAAAUGUAAGAAAAGUUCUCACAUCAUCCUUCUGGAAGAUGAAUGGCUCCGAGAAAAUAAGUUCUGAAGAUGUUCAAGGGGCGAGAAGCCACUACUAGUUGUCUUCUUUUGAGGAUGGAACUUUGCAAGAAUCUGCAAUGAAAACUUAUUAUUGGCUAUGAGAAGGUUUAUGCUGCAAUAUAGCUCAAAGCAUUUUUCACAUAUUAAAUAGUUACCACACUAAAAAUUUCAGCUGUGCUGGUUAGAGAAGUACAAUUAAUAGCUAGCACAUCCGGUAGUUUGACUCCCGCCUGCGAGUUGGAUGGAACAGCACAAAAUAGAAUGAGACUAUUAGAUAUACCACUAAGGAGAAAAUAGGAAGCAUAAAAUCAAUACAAAGAGUAACAACUCAAAUUCAUUUUAUAUUUCUGAAAUCAGCUAUGUACUACAUGCUAUAGUUAGCUUAAAAGGGCCGGCAUUCUGUCCUGUGGUGAGAGGCCAAAUUGAGCCGAGUCACGUUCGAAAUGGGGGGAGGUCGGCUUAGGCCGAGUCAUGUUCAAAGUGGCGUGAGGCUAGGCCAGUCGAGUCACAAUCGAAACCCUAGGUGCUAUGUCAUUACACUUUAAGUGAAUUGAUUGUAUAUUUUUAAGAGCUCGAACUUUUAGGUUAAUGGUUAGCACCAACAAACCGACAAUAGUUAUGUAUUUCUUGUCUCAUCAUAAAACUUACAACUUACAAGCUAUUUAAAAGUAAAGGGGAUGCUAUACCUCCUUCGACCAAAGCAUUACGUUUUCUGUUACUCUGCCGAUGGACAAAGUUUUUCCGGUUCCCGGACAUCCGCACACGUACAAACUGCCGGCUCUUUCCCGUUCGACGCAAGUCUUACAGAACUCAAAGAUCCUUUUCUGCUCCUCCGCACGGCAUACGACAUUGUAGGGGGCCGUAGCCACGUGCAAUGCUUCCUUAACCGCUUGCAUCUGCGCCGGAUCUGGCACGCAACAGGAUCAAAGUCCAGAAUUUAAUAGAUUCAAGGUUAGAUCAGAGCUCUCAAAGUCAUGGAUCUUUCUCCGUGGACUUAACAAACACGAAAAGGAUGAAUCAAAAGAAGGAUCUUGCCUGUGGGAUUCCACUCGGGCUUCUCCGAGAAUUGGUUCAAUAAUCUUUUCCUCGGAGACUUCGGAGAUCGCAAGAGCUUGUGAUCGGAAACUCUGCCAUUGCCCUGCCAAAAUCCAAAUCCGCUCCACAAAAUGGAUGUAAAAUAGAAAAGAAAAAGGAGAAACCCUAGAUUUGGUAUGCUGGGGAAGGGGUGGUAGGUCACAUUUGCGGGGGAUUGGGUUUUGAUCGGAGUGCCAUCGUCGGCGCUGUGAGAUCUCGAUCGCUUCUUCUUGUUCGGGGUGGAGCUUCCUUUCCCAUCCGGAUUUCCCUUCGCCGGGGAAGCGAUGGGCGGCGACGGGAGAAGCGCUUCGGAGCUUCUGAGAGUCGGCAUUGUUGUGGAUAUUUGUACUUUGGGAAAGCGCGUGGGAAUAGAAGGAUCGAGAAGAGAGAAGAGGAGGGAAGAAGAGCGAGUGUUUUGCGCGGGAAACGGACGGCGGCGUGAUAGAGAGAGGAGAGAGAAGAAGAUGGGAUGUUUUGGGCGGGAAAUGGAUGGCGCGGUGAUAUGCCCGUCUUAGGAACGUUAAUGGUACGGAUAUCUGAAAUUUUAUUCGAACCCGAAUCAGCACAGGAUGAAUUUAUUCAAUACUAAAUAAAUAUAGUUUUGAAUAUGAAUAUUAAAAAUAAAAAUCCGAACAGAUAUAAAUACAUAUAUGAAUUUUGGCUGUAUUUGACCCGAACGUGAAUUCGAUCCGAAUCCGAAUUUAUUUUACAUUAUAUACAAUAUGUAUAUAAAAAUUUGAUAUUAUAUUUGAAUUUGUAUUUUAAAAAUUUAUAUUUAAUGUAAUAUAUUUUGAAAUAUUGAAGAGAGAAAUAAUUGUUUCCGGUUCUGAUUUUUGGGUUCGGAUUCUGGUUCUGGUUCGGAUUCGAGUUUUGAAUUUUUGGUCGGAUUUGAGUUUGGAUAAGAAUUUUUAAAAUCCGUCGGGCUCGGGUUUGAGUUCGGGUUCGGGUUCGGGUUCGGGUUUCAAGUUUGGAGUUGGGUUUGGGUUUGGGUUAUUAAAAAUCCGCCCCGAAUUCGACCCAUUAACAUCUCUACUCCGUCUAUAUCCAGGAAAAAAAAAAAAUUAAAUACACCAGUUAUAUUAUUGAUGUAACAUAUUCAACUAGUAAAAUUAUAUUUUUUUUCAAUUUAUCCAUCCCAUCAUGAUUACUAAAAAAUAUUUUUACUCUGCUUAAAUCUAAAAAUAGAUAAGUGAUUGAUUGGUUAUUGAUGAUGUGAUACAAGUAUUACAUAGUAAACUUUCUUGUGUCUACGAUAUAAUGAUAUAGCAUCUUCAAUCGAUCAUAUUUGAUCUACAUGAUUACUAAUUCUAUUAUAGUGUUUUAAAAAAUUGUUUUUAUUAUAGUUUUAUCUAAAAAGAAAAAAUAUAAUUAGCUAGAUAUAAAUGAUACAAUAUAGUUGCUAGAGAUUAAACUUCUCCAAUCGGAACAUUAAGAAAGAAAUAUUUUAUUACAUUUUUAUUUCAAAACGAGAGAUGUGUUUGGCCGGAGAUAGAUGAUAUGAUACAGCUACUAUAUAUUAAGCCUCUCUAACUAGAACAUGGGACUAUGCGUGUAAAACCAGUCUGACUAAUUUAACCAGUUAUAGAAAUUAGUAAAAACAUACCGAAUUUUAUCUAAACUAUGAAUCAUUUUGAUUUGACUAUCUAAGCUUUUAAAAUUUUAAUUUUAUUACCUAAUAUGUCAAUUUGUUUCUUUUAUUUUAAAUUUCAAGCUAAUUUUUUGAUUUAAUGAACUUAUAGUUGUGAGAAUUGUACAAAGUAAAUUAACUAAACUAAGUUAAUGAACUCACAGUUGCGAGAAUUGGAUGAAUUAUACAACUAAAUCUAUAAAAAUAAACAACACAUUUAAAUUUUAAAGUUAAAAUACCAUUGACCGACUAAAAUCAAACAAGGCCAAUUUGCAUAAAAAAUUCACAAGCUUUGAGCUUUUGCAAAAUUGAGCCGCAUUUUUCGAUUUUGCAUAUUCGAGCCGGAUUUUUAGAAAACUAACCAAAAUAUCCUUAUUCCUUUCUCUCUCUUCUUUUUUUUCUCUCGUUUUUUUCCCUCUUUGAAGAGAGAGGCGGAGGUGGAAGUGACCUGCCUCCUCUCUAUCCCCGCGCCCUCCUCUGCGUCCACGCACCAUCCACCAUGUUCGCCUCCGACCCCACCAAGGCUACGCUCGCCGUCAUCCUUUGGGACGCUCUUUCUCGCCUCUGCCCCAUGCGCCCUCGUUCGCGCCCGCUCACUCCCCGCCCUCCUCGCCUCCAACCUCACCGAGGCUGUGCCACUAUCCUUUUUUUUUUUCUCUCCGAACUUCCUCCACCACCUCCGCAGCCCUUUGCGACCUGCCUCCACCUCCACUGCAGCAGAUUUUUCACCCACCAAAUCCACUUCUGGGAACUCGCUGUCCUCACCACCACCGCCAAUGACGAAAAGGAAGCACUUCUUGACGCCAAGAAGCUCGCUGGCAAGGAAGGGGCACGCAACCAACCGCGCCCACCCGAGGCCAGCGACGAGCGAGGUAGAGACUGAGAAAAGCACGACAACGCCGGAGAAGAGGGUGGGGCGGCGGCAAGCGCAGCGUCCCAGAGGGCAACCGUGAGUGCGGCCUUGGCAAGGUUAAAAGCGAGGAGGGCGAAGGGUGCACGAGAGCAUCUCUAGUCAAGCACUUUUAUUUGCUUAAAACAAAACAAUUAACUAAAAACCAAAAACUAGAGAAUAAAGAAGAAGAUGAAGUUGCACUGUUAAAAUAAAGCUACACUGUUUUAGAAAAACGUUGCACAGCCACUAUUAUAGAUAUAAGUUACACUCUUUAAAAUAUAAACUACACCCUUUAAGAUAAAAAUUACAUUUUUUAAACAAAAGUUGCACUCUUUGAGAGGAGAAAUAGUGUAACUUUUAUUUUAAAAGUAUAACUUUCAUCUUAAAAGGUCCUUUUUGGGAGAAGAAAGUGUAACUAUCUCCCAAAUAGUACAACUUUCAUUUAAAGAAUAUAACUUUCAUCUUAAAAAGUGAUCUUUGGAAGAAAAAAUAAUAUAACUAUCUUUCAAAUAGUGCAACUUUCGUUUAAAUAGUGUAACUUUCAUCUUAAAGGAUGCAAUUUACAUCUCAAAGAGUACAACUUAUGUCUACAAUAGUGCAACUUUCUUCUAAAAUAAUAUAACUUUAUUUUAACAGUGCAACUUCAUCUCAUUCUUCUUUCUUCUCUAGUUCUUCUUCCUUAUUCUCUAGUUUUUAAAUUUUAGUUAAUUUUUUUAUUUUAAGCAAAAAAAAGGGCUUGACCAGAGAUGCUCCCGUACACCCCCCGCCCUCAUUGCUUCCGACCCUGCCGAGGCCGUGCUCGCCGCUGCCCUCUGGGACACUGCGCUCACCGCCGCCCCGCCCUCUUCUCCGGUGUCGGCACGUUCUCUUCCGUCUCCACCUCGCUCAUCACUGGCCCCUGAUAGGCGCGAUGGGUCGCGUGCCCCCUCCCUCACCAGCGAGAUUCUUAGCACCGAGAAGAGCUUCAUUUUCAUUGUCGGCGGUAGUGUGAGGACGGCGGGUUCCUAGAAGUGGGUUUGGUGAGUGAAAAAUCUGCUGUAGUGGAGGUAGAGGUGGGUCGUGAAGGGCCGCGGAGGCAGUGGAGGAGGUUCAGAGAGAAAAAAAAGAGGAUCGCAACGCAGCCUCGACGGGGUCAAAGGCAAGGAGGGCGGGAGGUGAGCAGGCGCGGGCGAGGGUGCAUGGGGUGGAGGCUAGGAGGGGCGUCCCAAAGGGCGGCGGUGAGCGCAGCCUUGGUGGAGUCGGAGGCAAAAAGGGCGGGUGGUGCGCAGACACAGGCAAGGUCGCCUUUGCCUCCGCCUCUCUCUUCGGAAAGAGAAAAAAAAAAAGAGAGAGAAAAAAAAGGAGAGAGAGAAAGGAAUAAGGGUAUUUUGGUUAGUUUUCUAAAAAUGCGGUCCGAAUCUACAAAAUCAAAAAUAGCAGCCCAGUUUUGCAAAAGCUCAAAACUUGUGAAUUUUUUAUACAAAUUGGCCAUCAAACAAAUGAAAAGAUUAGAUGGUAAAUUAAAAUUUUAAAAGUUCGGAUAAUAAAUUCAAAUUUGUCAAUAGUUUAGAAAAGUUCUACACAAUUUUAUCUAAAAUUUUGGCUAAAUUAUGAAAGCCCCUUGCAUUUUAUCCCCAAUCUCAAUUACCCUUUCAUAAAAAAUUAUAUCAAUUAUCAUUCUAUACUUUAUUAAAAUCCCAAAUAAAUUCAGAAAAAUUAUCAAAUUGACAAAUUAAAAAUUGAUAGUUCAUUGAGCAAUUUAUUCAAUUCAUACGAUUCUAUUGCAUUACUUAAAGAUAAUCUAUAAUUUUUUUCACAAAAUUUUAUACGUGAAUUUAAUAAUUAAUUAUCCUAUAUAAUUAGAUCUAAUUGAAAUAAUAAUAAAAUAUAUAAAAUAUUUAAUAUACCCAUUUAUGUAGAAAAAUUAAGACUUGCACCAAAGUAUAAGAAAGAUUUUAUAAGUUAGCCAAAAGAAUUUGUCCCAAAUCCAUUAAGCAACUGCGGAGGAGAAAGGGUAAUUCGAAGUUGCCCACGAGGUGUGAGAGAGAGAGAGAGAGAGAGGGUAUGGCGCUGAGAAUUAUUAUUAUUAUUAUUAUUAUUGUCACGCUCCGGAUGUCUCAUUCCCUGGGCACGCCGACAAAUCCGCCGUAUACAAAGAAAAUUUUCCUGUAUACGAAGCGACAGCUGUACCUGUAAAUCAAACAUUACUACGAACAGUAGUAGAGAGCUGCUAGAGAAAACAGAAGCUAAACAAACUGAGUUUCAUAUAUAUAGUCCAAAUCCAAAAUACAGCGUUACUCGCACUGGCGAGUUAAGUACUAUGUAUAUAAGCUCGAAGUAAAACAACUAUCUGCAGUAGGGUGCCUCUAACUCUGUCAGUCGGGUAGGGCUCUAGCUCGCGACGCCCUUGCCUCGAUCCUGAUCCGCGGAAGGCGCUGCAGCCGAAACCUGUGGCUCUGCAAAAACAUGGGUAACAACUGGGCGUGAGAACUACUGUAAAAACAAGUAGUCCUCAGUGGGUACCGCCCAAAACAACAUCGGUCCACCCACUAAGUCUACAGAAGGGAGCGAGAGUAGUCAGAAAAGCAGGAAGUAACUCUACCGCUAUCGAUCACUACACUAUCAUGCUCUACACUAACCAACUGUAGGAAAAUAUCAAAUCUGACCCAAUCCAAUCGGGACUGUAAGCAUACCCGUCCCCGGGACUGUGAAUACACCCGUCCCUACCCCGUUGCGACUAUCAGUGCUCUAUCCACACUAACUGCCGUGGAGAGUAAGUCGCACUGCGAUGAGCGACACCAACCCGAAAGCAAAGCCAUGACUCCGGAGUGCACUCGUGGCGCUAUCCAACCGAGUAUGCAGGCGUAUCUCUGUCGAGCUCAAUCAGGCUCUGAAAAGCCAAAGUCAAGUGACCAACUCAAACUGGUCUAAUACCAACAGGUAACGUGCCCUCAGCACAAUCUGACGCCAAAAAGGCGAUACGGGUCCACGUCAACCCUGACGGCACCCAAACAGUCCGGAACAACCUGAACGACCCUGUAAAAAUCCACUCGGGCACACCAGCACGAGUGUAAAUAUAUUCUAAACUACCUGAAGUACUCGUCUCGAAGAUACUGCGACAGUAUAAUUUUAUAACGGCUCCUAGAGCUAAAUCAGGCAGUUUAAACACUGUGACAAGUCCAAAUCGCAAGUUUCUCCUAAUUCAAUUCCAAAUCCAACAUGUAUAAACUACUCAAUUUAAUACCACAUGCUCCAAAUUCAGAUUUGCUAUCUAUAACAAAAUCCAUGAAUUCGAGCUAAAGUAAACUAUACAAAAUCUGAAAAUUACACAUGUUGACUAUUGCGCACUUAGGAGUAUAAGCCGAUGAUUAACCCACCUUAGUCGCUAAUCCCAGCAGUGAGACGUCCUGAAGCAAAGGAACACCUUGCUGGAUCAAUCCGCAAACCUCCAAAGGCCAGAAAUCACGCUCCGCAAACUCUACACGUAAAAUCCAAAAUGACACCGAUUCUGCUCAAAAACAGCAGCAGAGAAGAGAAUAAUUCCGACCAAUAAAACCUCCACCAAAACCAGCAAGUAGGGGCUUCGUGGAUUUCUCUCGAAGUCCUGAAUCCAACGAACCAAGUCUCGUCGAAAUCCGAUGCUCCUACGUCGAGAGGGAGCCGAAACGCGACGGUCGACGCUGGAAAUCAGUGAAAACAGCACCUCGAGCUCGAUUCAUGAAGCUUGAAGUAAGAAAGAAUCCAUGAGGAAUGAGAAAUUACCACCUCAACCAGCGACUCCAAUUCUGGCACGGCGUCGAGAACGCGAAAACACUCCCUCGCCCGGCCUCCUCGCUAAACUACGGCGACGCACGUAUGCUCGGACGGCUCCGCAGCGCGAUGACGUACGACGACGAAAUGCUCCACACGAACCCUUCCUUGCUCACAAUCGCUAGAGGGAGAGAGAAGAAGAAAUAAUUUAGAGAGAUGUACAACCUGAGUGAUAAGUAUGCAUCGGGGGGGGGGGUGGUGGGGGGGGGUUAGUGCACGUGCAUUCCAUCCACCCAACUUACCAACUCAAAACUUGCAAAAAAACCAAUAAAAAAAAAAUCAGAAUACUACAAUUAUUUAUAUAAUUAUACUUAAAAACACAUAUUUUAAAAACACAUCUUUUUUCGUAGGCAAAAUAAAUAACGUAACAAACUAAGCUUUCAUUUUUUUUUCUAACGACCGGAUAAUCUUUACUUUUUAUUAAAUAUUUAUAUUCAUUUCUUUUUUUUUAAUAAUAUUUUGGAUUUUUUUGUACUAUCUACAGAUAUGAUAGUUGUUAUAUUAAUUUUUAUUGAUUGCAACCAACAAUCAAAUUUGAAUUUAAUUAUAAAGAUAUAUUUAAAUUUUAAACUUAUUUAUUUUACAUUUUAUUUUAUCUUAAAUUCAUAGUUAAAAUUUAAUUAUAUUAUUUAAAUUUAAAUUAUAAAUUUUUAAAUAAAAAUUAAAUUUGAGUUCAAAUAAUGAAUUAAAUUUAAUUUUGGAUAUCAAAUAUAAAUAUAAUUAAAAAUUUUAAUUAAAUUAGAUCAAAAUUAAAUCUUAAAUUUUGAAUUAAAAGUGAUUAAAAUUUUGAUACUUUUAGUUUAAAAUACAUAUUUAAAUUUUGGAUUCAUGAGAAUUCAAGAAGCAAACAGAAUUAUUCAAUGUACACAAAAAGGAAAGAAAUAGAUCUAUAUAAUUAUUGUCAACAGUAAUAAUUUAAAUUUGGGUUAGAAUACGGUAGAUAUUUUCUAAUAAUAUAAAACAAAUUAAUUUACUUUUUUUAAAAUUUAAAUUUUUAAUGUAAUUUUUUUGAUAAAUAUGAUGUACUAAUUUAUAUUGAUUUGAGUAACUAUUAAAAUAAUUGUAACAAGCAUUUGCCUAUAUACUCAACUAUUAUUAUUGUGAUAACCAUUUGGAUUUGGCCACCCAAUCUUUUAAAAUUUUGAUUUUACUUUUCAACAUUUCAAUUUGUUUGAUUUAAGUCAAUCAACGACACUUAACCCUUAAAAGUUUAAGAUAAUAUUUAUUUUAAUGAAUUUAUAGUUGUGAGAAUUGCAUAAAAUAUACUAAUUAACUAAAUUUGUAAAGAUAAAAUCACGUAUUCAAACUUUAAAUCCAAAGUGUACUUAAUUGGCUCAAAUCAAACAAAUUGAAAGACUAGGUAUAAAACCAAAAUUUGGAAAGGUUGGGUAGCUAAUUCCAAAUACUCGAUAGUUCAAGUAAUUUUCAUUUACCAAUAUUAAAAAACUAAAUUAUUUUUUUCAUAUACAAAUUAUAAUAAUACAACAGAAAAAGUCAUAGAGUAAAAGAAAUAUUAAUACUCAACAAAUUCAUUUUCAUCAUAUUUUAAAUGUGUAAACAAAAUAAAAGAGAUACUAAAAUUUACAUAAUCAAUUUUCGUCACAUUUUUAACGUACAAACUAAAUAAAAGAGUAAUUAGUACCACAAUCAAUUAUAUUUAAAUAUAGCUAGCAUUACCUAUUAUAUUAUUUUAUUAUUUUUUUCCCUACAUCUCUCUCCAAUGAAUUCAUUAUACUGUUUUGGGUAAGUCGAGUUUUGGUUGUAUCUUUAUUACAGAAACCAAACAAUAAAAAUAGUCAUUUACGGUCAAUAGCGACUUCACCUCUCUCCACUUUCACCCAAACAAACAGAUGAUUAGGGCAUAAUAGUUUUUAUUUGACCCAUAAAAUACUCAAAUGCAAGAGCACUGUGAAUAUCUUGAUUGAUCUACAAUGCAAUGGGUCUAUCCAAAACGUUAGAAAAAUUUGCUGUGAAACUUAGUGAAGCAUGAAACUUGCAUGACUUUUUUUUUUUUGGAGAAAAAUAUAGCGUGCUAUCCGAUUCAUUCAUUAGGUAAAAUAAAGUUAACUAAAGUGUCAGGCAUCUGGGCCUCAAUCCAAAAAAAUGUAAGCAUUAAACAUGCAUGACCAAUUUUUCUUGGCCUAUUAUGUAGGACGAAGGAUAAUUAAUUAGUCGUAGGCUACCAUUUGUAAAUUUGCUUCUUCUCGUGAAGUUGCAUGCGUAAAGCAUGCCUAAUUAAUUGAAAGCGCCGUGGUUCGAUAUAAAAGGAUACAAUCCAUGUAAUGUUGUGCCAAAACUGCAAGUUCGUUCUUUAUCUCAGCAUUGAGAAGCUACUUUGUUUCUCUUUGUGUUGGUAUUAUAAAAAAAACCUUUUUUGGGAUUUUUUUUUUGGGGGGGGACAGUAUGGGAAGGAUGGUUAUAAUUAUAUGCUAAUUAAGUUGAAUAAGAUGAAAGGAGGUUUGUAUUUUGAUUUAUUCAUAUGAAACAUCUGAUUCAUAUGAACAUAGAUAAGUUUUUAUAUCAUUUAAAUUUGCUCUCAUAUCACUAUAUUUUAUUUUAAUAUUCAAGCAAAAUGCAUCUUAAAAAGCUAAGUGCAUCUUAAAAAGGCAAUUCUAACAAAAUAUUUUACUCUUAAGUCAAAACUCAUGUCAAUUUCUUCUUGAUAGAAUCAAUUUUAGAAGAUCCAUGACAUAUUCUAAAGAACUAUCGAGGAUAACUAACGAUUAGAAUGAGUAGUGUGGCUCAAAAUUCUGUGAAGUAAAUAAACAAAAAGUAAAUAGACAAAAAGUAAAAAUCUGUACGGUAAAUGGUCAAAAAAUAGUAAGGGCGGUUACAUUAGAUGGUCACGUUAUCCCAUCUCCACCUUUUCCGCCACGAGUUGUUGGCAGCUAGAUUGUCGUCCUUUGUUUCUUACUUCUUUUCCUGAUAUUGAAUUAUGGUGGUACUGGUUAUAGUCGUGGUCAUGAAUAUGGCCAAGCAGGCCUUCUAACCUACCCACAUUAAGGUCUACUACUUUCACCUCACAUGACGUGGGAAGAAUCGAAAAUUCCACCACCAACAUCGUGUCCAGGGUAAUUGUUUCAACAAGAUCUUCUACUCGAAAUUUGCUAUUAAGAUUUGUUGGCUUUGGCCAGGUUCGAGCAAAUCGUUGGCUCAUCAAAGAAGAAGCAAACUGUGAUGUUUUUAGAACAUCACAAUUUGCAAGUGAAUGAUGUAUCAAAGGGCUCGAUCUGAAUCGCAACCUUGAUGAUGACAAUGCUCUGAGAGUGAUGGCGAUAGUGAUGAUCGGAUCACCUCCUCGCCAUUGAUCGAUGUUAACAGGGAUUGGUGUUAAGGGUCAGUGAAGUGGAGAGAUGAUGAUGAACAUGAACUUGAGGAGGAAGAAGACCAGGUAUAGAGAGAAAAAGGUAAUUCCAAAGUUUAUUUGAUCUACCCGUUUUCAGUUACAAUGCUGGCUAUUUAUAGGUGCUCCUAAGGCUCCAUUUGCAAUUUGUUUAAAUGUUGUGGACCAAUCUGAAAUUUAACAAUUGUGGCAAUAGCUUGAGUGGGCUCCUUGUCGCAUGGGCCUGGGCCUUCAUCAAGUGGCGUAACGGUAAGCGAAUUUCGAAUCCGCAGUCGCGUAAUAUCCAUUAUCGCUCAAUCCGCCCCGGCUGGAAGAAAACUCCAAGACCCCCCUUUCGAUUCUUACACCUUUCUGUCGUAAAUCACACCAGCACCCAUCCUUUCCUACUGCAAAGCUCACCUACCCCUCCCCUACCUCCUCCUUCUUCGACGGAUAGCAUGAGGACCUAGUGGAGAGUGGUCCGGUGAAGCCAACACCGACUUGAAAAAGGGUGAUUCGGCGAGGUCAUCACCGGUUCAGAAGAUCUACUCCGGAUUCAAUACAGCCCCACUAACUCACCCCUUUUAUUAUUUCCCUUUAUUUCCGUAGUCUUAUUCCUUUUUUUUAUUUUUUAUUUUUUAUACACAGGUGUUACAGUCCCCUUCCCUUAGGACGAUCCCUGUCCUCAGGGUCGAAUUUUAGAAAUUGCAGCCUGAGAGUUCGAGGAUCCUCACAAGUAGCCGAUUCCGGGGGUAGAUUGCGUCAUUUGACUAGUACCUCCUUUGCGAUACCUCGACCUCGUUUAACGGCUCUCUCUGCCAACACUCCCUCGGGCUCAGCCAACAGUUGCCCUUCUUUUCCAACCACGGGUACCCCAUUUGUGACCUUAUUGUUCGUGGUAGGACUUCGUUUAAGUUGGGAGAUGUGAAACACAGGGUGGAUCAGAGAUCCUUCAGGUAAUUUUAACUUGUAUGCGACUUGCCCCACGCGUGAUAUAAUUUCGAAGGGUCCGUAAUAUCGAGCAGCUAGUUUAGGAUUUUUUCGAGAGGCCACGGAAAUCUGCCGAUAAGGUUGAAGUUUCAAAUAUACCCAGUCCCCCACAGAAUACUCCUUUUUCUUUGAUAUUUAUCGGCUUGUUGUUUCAUUCGAUUCUGAGCUAUUUGUAGCCGAUCCCAGAGGUUAAGUGGUGCCAUUCCAUAAAGAGCCUGAUAGGGUGUCAUUCCAAGACUUUUUUACGAUGUCUGUGUUCCGAGCAUCCAAGCAAGUGGAAUCACUCUAUUUGCCCUAAAUUGAGUGGUGGUACAAUACUAACUAUCAUUCCUCUCUUGGAAUGACAGUCUAUCAGGCUCUUUAUGGAAUGGCACCACUUAACCUCCAGGAUCGGCUACAAAUAGCUCAGAAUCGAAUGAAACAACAAGCCGAUAAACAUCGAAAGGAAAAGGACUAUUCUGUGGGGGACUGGGUAUAUUUGAAACUUCAACCUUAUCGGCAGAUUUCCGUGGCCUCUCGGAAAAAUCCUAAACUAGCUGUUCGAUAUUACGAACCCUUCGAAAUUAUAUCACGCGUGGGGCAAGUCGCAUACAAGUUAAGAUUACCUGAAGGAUCUCUAAUCCACCCUAAGGUCACAAAGGGGGUACCCGUGGUUGGAAAAGAAGGGCAACUGCUGGCUAAACCCGAGGGAGUGUUGGCUGAGAGAGCCAUUAAACGAGGUCGAGGUAUCGCAAAGGAGGUACUAGUCAAAUGGAGCAAUCUACCCCCGGAAUCGGCUACUUGGGAGGAUCCUCAGACUCUCAGGCUGUAAUUUUCAGAAUUCGACCCUGAGGACAGGGAUCGUCCUAAGGGGAGGGGACUGUAACACCUGUGUAUAAAAAAAGAAGAAGAAGGAAUAAGACGACGGGAAUAAAAGGAAAUAAUAAAAGGGGUGAGUUAGUGGGACUGUAUUGAAUCCGGAGUAAAUCUUCUGAACCGGUGAUGACUUCGCCGGAUCACCCUUCUUCAAGUCGGUGUUGGCUUCACCGGACCACUCUCCACUAGGUCCUCGUGCUAUCCGUCGGAGAAGGAGGAGGUAGGGGAGGGGUAGGUGAGCUUUGUAGUAGGAAAGGAUGGGUGCUGGUGUGAUUUACGAGAGAAUGGCAGAAGAAUCGAAGGGGUCUCUUGAGUCUUCUUCCAGUCGGUGUGGAUUGAGUGAUAAUGGAUAUUACGCGACUGCGGAUCCGAAAUUCGCUUAUCGUUGCGCCACUUGAUGAAGGCCCAGGCCCAUGCGACAAGGAGCCCACUCAAGCUAUUGCCACAAUUGUUAAAUUUCAGAUUGGUCCACAACAUUAACACAAAUUGCAAAUAGAGCCUUAGGAGCACCUAUAAAUAGCCAGCAUUGUAACUGAAAACGGGUAGAUCAAAUAAACUUUGAAAUUACCUUUUUCUCUCCCUCUUUUUCUCUCUCUAUACCUGGUCUUCUUCUUCCUCGCCAAGCUCCUGUUCAUCAUCAUCUCUCCACUUCAAUGACCCUUAACACCAAUCCCUGUUAACAUCGAUCAAUGGCGAGGAGGUGAUCCGAUCAUCACUAUCGCCAUCACUCUCAGAGCAUUGUUAUCACCAAGGUUGUGAUUCAGAUCGAGCCCUUUGAUUGCAUCAUUCACUUGCGAUCAAUUUCUUUGCUUCGCAGCUAGAGAGAGAGAGAUUUUUAUUUUAAAUUUAAAUUUAAAAUUUAAAAUUUUAAAAUUUUAAAUUUUAAAUUUAUAAUUUAAAAUUAUAAAUUUUAAAGUUUAAAUUUUAAAUUUGAUAUUUUUAAAUUUUAAAUUUUAAAUUUUAAAUUUUUAGUUUUUAAAUUUUAAAUUUGCUAUUUUAUAUCUUUGAAAUUUAAAUUUGGUCUUAAAUUUAAAAUUUGAUAUUUAAAAUUAAAAUUUUAAAUUUUAAUUUCAAAUUUUUAAAUUUAAUUAUUGGGGUAAUAUCUUUAUUUUCUAUUUAUAACUAACAACUAUUCCUCUUAUUACCAAUAACAAUCCAAGCACAAUUUUUCUAGUUCCAACUUAUACUCACAUUUUCAUCCAAACAAAAAAAUAUCCUUAUUCUUACAAAAAUCCAUACUUGUACCCAUUCCCGGUAUAACUAGUUCCUACUAAUUUCCAAACCAAACGAAGCCUUACAAUUCAAUGACCUAUUGGUCGGUAUGCCCCGAGGAGCCGUGAUUGUCAGCUAUUCCCUGAUGGUUAGCCAUUAAUCAUAUUUGCAUCGAUCGCCACAACUCGACAGCAUUUCACGAACACCAACGGUCUGAUCCCCCUAGGAAGGUGUUCUUUUUCGAAAAAGUAGUUGGUUGCCAACCCGUGAGCCCAGCAGUCAUUUGCUAGGGUUAUAUGCUAGAUUAAGGGGUUGUGGUUUGCCUGAGGUCCUUAGACUGACACGGCCGUAUAGAUUGGGUAUACUUGUACUAUCAAUUGCAGUUGACGCGUAGUCAUUUCUCUAUCUCUUUUGCAGUAGCGGUUAUUCAUACCAUUACUACGGUUGUUUUCGGUUCAGUUAUCAUGCUAUUGCACUAGUUUGACUAUUGAUUAUAGUUGGUCGUCACUUUAUUAUCUCACUUUACAGUAGUAGCUUCUUUGGUGAUUACUGAUUGAUACUAUUUAUUAUUAUCAUGCCCAAAUUUACUUGUUAUUACUGCUAUUUACCCCUCCUUCUGCCGAUGGGUACAGUUUGCCUUCGUCGGCUUAUGGUACCCACUAGGAGGGAGAGACAUGUUUACAUGUUCUCAUCCCCCCACCUUUUUUGAGGUGAUGCGGGUGAGAUUGGUUGGGAUGCAGCGUGAGGCCGUAGCUAGUGGAUGGUCAUAGAGGUCCCGAUCUGCGGUAUACCUUUUUGAUUACUUCAUACAUAGUAUCAGAUAGAUGUUAGUGGAUAAUAUAAAUCUUACACUACAUUGGUUAUUAGAUAUCUACUUGUGGUUCAGUUGGUGGUUUACACUUGAUGUUUUGGAUGAUGUAUGUAUGAGUUUUGGAUACUCAUGUUUUGGAUACUCGUGGAUUUGGACACAUAUGGCUUUGGAUUCGGAUUUCAAAAUAUUGUUUUCUACUCUUCGUGGUAGUGUUUUCAAAAUAAAGGUUUUUAUGUGGGAAACGGUUUUCAAAGUGGUUUUUUGACUUUUUGUGAAUUUUUGAAAAAAAAAUAGAAUUUUAAAGUGAAGCCUUCAUGUGGGAGGCACUUUCAACUAGUAGGAAUGAAUGUGAAUUUGAUGUGGAAUGGUUGCGAUUAAGGACGGCUAGCUGUAUGAUGUGAAAUGAUAAUCUUUGUGACUCGUGAUUGUUGUUUGUGUGAGUGGAGGUCACGGUUGACAAUUGUACUAUAUGCUACGCCGUGCAAAUACAGGGAAAAACUCUAUCCGUUUGUUUUCGAGAAUUUUUUAUAUUUGUGGCGACUCUGUUGCACUCUUAGCGGUCAAGGGUUUAAUAAAAAAAAAAAUUGACAGUUUUUCGCUUACUCUGAUUUAUAAAGAUAAUCCGAUUUCGAAUCGGCUUUCAAAAAGGGACCCUGGGGCGUGACAUUCCAUCCCUUGGAUAGAUAGAGAGAGAGAGAGAGAGUAGAGCUUUUGGUUUUACGGCUUGGAGGGAGAUCUUUCAUAUCUUUCGAGAUCCACCCUACAAUAUGGGGUUAAAAAGCCAAAAUAAGCAUUGCACGGUAGGCACGACCCAUGUGGGCCGGGGGCCAAACUAUCGGCCCAGGCUCGUAAUGGGCUAUGCAGUGCCAAGCCGACGAGCUUAGUUUGAUUGGCCCAACACGGCCCAUGAUGUUGGGUGGGGCCGACCCGACACAGAUUCUACAAUACUCGUGCCAUGCUUGGGCUCGGCCCGUACUCAUGCGUGGGCCACCCAGCCCGUUUUACAUCCCUGUGUGUGUGUGUGUGUGUGUGUGUGUGUGUGUGUGUGUGUGCAUUGUUACAUAUGUAUACCUCCAUAUAUGAGCUUUAAAAAAAAAGUCUAGUCAUGGAGUAGAGCUCUAUGUAAAGUGUGCUAUGCACUUUAGUUAAUUAUAAUUAGAUGCUUAUUAUGAUGGUGGCUUUUGAUGUAUAUACAUAUAAAAUCAAUCUUUCUUCCAAAUGUUCUCCCAUGCACGUGUUUUUCUUCAAUCAGCAUCUAUACACUUCAUCGACUUAUGAAUCAUGAAGGAACUGCUAGCAUUGUCCACAUAGUUUGCAACUCGGCUGUUUUGUGAGAUAAAGAUCGGUUGGAUAUACACGAUUUCGUGUGUAUACGCAUAGAGGGCGAACAUGUGCACAACUAUGUUAGAAUAUCAGACCAAUGAUUGAAGCAUACGGCAUCAACCAUAAUGUAGAUCAAAAAAUCUUAAUUGGUUCACAAUAAGAUCUUUAAAUAUAAGAGUUUUGUUUCGAUUUAAUUUUUGCGCAGUAAUAUGUGAACGAUCUGCCGUCACUGGAGUGAUUUUUGGUUUUCAGUUUUUCAUAUGAUAUGUAUUUGACUUCCGAAAAAUUUAAAUUGCAAAAUUAUUUUUCCAUUGCUUUUCUCUGUUGGGCCGAUAAUUUCUUACAUGAUCAACGCUGAGCGCGACGGGGGAGUUCCCCGUAGUAAUUGUGUGUACUUGAAGGAGGUAAAAUAAAGAAGAAAAAUAAGAGUAUAAAGAAUAAAAAAAGAUAAAAAUGUUACAACAUUAAUAGAGAUUAACUUGCACAAUUUGAAAUAGUACAAUAGAAAUGUAAAUAGAACAGCAUAUUUCUAAGUAGUCUAACAUAUGAUCAAAUAGUACAAUAAAUCUUUAAAUUAGUGCAAUAUUUUUAUUAUUUCUCAAUAAAAAUUUUAAAUAGUGCAACAUUCUUAUUCCUACUACCACCACCAUUACUAUUCUUAUUCAUUUCUCAUGUCAUCUCUCCAUUUCCUCUCUUUCUUCUUCCUCUCAUUUCUUUUCGUCACACAUGUCUAGUUUGGGGAUUUCUAGUGAUCUAAUCUUCAAAGCCAGCUUUGGAGGAGGGGCUAACACUGGUGUGUUCAAGCCUCACCCUACUGCAGCUUUAUGCUGCUUCGGAUUGAGUGCAAGGUUCUACACUGUCGCAUACGAAGGGGAUGUGUGUCUCAGUGCAAUGCGUGUGGGACCUCUCUAGUAGAAAGGAUAAGAAGAAAGAAGAAGAAGCAGUAGAAGAAGAUAAAAACAAUCUAUCUAUACACAUACAUUAUUUUUCAUAAGCUUUUGCCACGUGGCAGCACCAUAGUCUCUCAUUCUCAAAAUUUCUACUCUCCAAUCAUUGCGACCGCUCGCCUUCCUCGUAAUGUCUGCCUCUUCGGCUUUCCAUCUCAUUAGUUCCUUUCCUGUAACAUCUGCCUCUUUGGCUUUCCAUCUCAUUAAUUUCUUCCCCGUAGCGUAUGCCUCUUUGGCUUUCCGUCUCAUUAAUUCCUUCUCUGUAAUGUCGCUACUUCAACUUCCCACCUCAUUAGUUUCUAUUUUCUAAGAGGCAUUGCCCGAGGAGUGUCACGCCCCACGACCGCCAAUUUGGUCGGUUCGGGCACGUCCAUAGACACCGAACGAACAGAACCUCCCUUAUCCGCCCAAGGCUCCAUACAACAACAACAUGUAUAAUAAAUUCCCCCAAGAAGAACUUAUAUUAUACAUGGCUUGCACUAGGGCAAGAAACAACAUAAGUGAAAGUAAACUAACUAGUCAUUGUAUCUUGCAACUUCAAACAAAAUACAAAGUUUAAUAUAUACAUUAAUUUCCAAAUUUACAUCACAUGUCCUUCAAGUACAUACAUCAUUGCCUUUACAUAGUCUAGUUCAUCAAGUACAAAAGAUGAAACCAAAAGGGUACACAGCUAUACUCAAAGGAGGCCCACUAUCCAGGGCGCGAUGCCCUUGCCACGAUUCUCGACCGCCCCGCUCGCGCUAGGAUUUGCAAGGUUGGUGGUGUGAGAACUAAUAAAAGUUUUCAGUGAGUUCGGAUGCCGACCUCGCUAACUUACCCACUAGGUCUACUUAAGCAUAUGUAGGAAAGGAAAUAGAUAGCAAACCAGACUAAUACUACUACAAUACUUGUACAAAACUGAAUAGAGAUAAUAUACUCAUGAUGCAUGCAUGCUCUUUUACCUUUACCCAAUCCGCUUGGUUAACCAUUUGGUUAAACCUAACUCACCAAACCAAAUCUCUUUUGUUGGGGAGAAUACCACUACGACCGUCUGCUAGGGAGAAUUCCGCUACCACCCAGUUGAUGACACUCUGGAGCUCACCGCUUGAGGUGAAGCAACCACCCUCAAGCAUUCAAACUACCUAUGAGUAUAAUCCAAUCCUCACUUGGAGGAUACCAUGCCACAACCUUUACAAAGUUCUCUUUGUUUAGCAUUUCCAAUUCUAGAUGCUAACUAAUUCGUCUAGUUAUAAUGCCACCUUGUUUACUAUUGUCAUGGCCUAACACAAGUGCUAACCGAUCCAUCUAGUCACAAUGUCACUUUGUGUACUAUUGAUAUAGUCCAGUACUUUGUUCAUACAUUCAUAGGGUUUCUAUGUCAUGAUCCUUUUUCAUUCCAUAUGUUUUCUACAUUGGAAGUAUACAAGCUUACUCACAUUUUAGCCACAUGAUAGCAUUACCCCACAAUGCAUGAAUUCACUAUACAUAUACAUGUAUGCUCAAGAACGUGACAAAGACAUAAUAGGUCAUUCGAAGACUUUGGAUAGCACCACCCACCUUGUAGUGAUGCCGGAGAACGAGAAACCAAUUCCCGCGAUUUAUAGACGUCCGCCUUCUCUCGACCCACGACAAACGAAGCCAAAAUGAGAAUUUUCCUCAAUAGCUCGACGUAGGCUCGUUGGAACUUCGAUCCGAGCCUCCCAACGCGUCGGUUCACACUUCAAUUAUGACUACAAGAGAUCAAACCCAUGUUAGAUCUCUCAUUUCACAAAAUCCCAUUUCUAACUCUAGGGUUCAUACAUUAUCCCCCAAAACACAACCUUUCUAGGAUUUCAUAGCAUAUAACAAGCUCUAGAAAUUCAAGAAACUUGAAAACCAACAAAUUAUGGAAUUUAAACCAAACCCUAACCAAGAGAUAUAAGAAACCUACCUUAGGUUCUUGCUCCACAAAAUUCCCCUUGACCAAGAGCUUCUUCUCCACCAAAACCCCCCAAUUUCCAUCUUGAAAUUUCCUUCAAUCUUCACCUUGGAGGAAGGCUUCUAGAGAGAAAAGGAGAAGAAGGUGAGGAAGAGGAAGAACCGAAGCAUUCUCUGCAUGGGAAGUAUAGGUGUAGAGUUGGGGUAUUGAUAUAGGCCUCAACAAUUGUAAAUAAGCCCCCCUAAGAACUGACUCUCAACCUUCACAUUUUAGUCCCUCGCAGACUGGGUACCCGUACUAGGGUUGGAGUACCGGUACGCGAAGCUCCUAGUACCGGUACCAUACACACUGUACCGGUACCAGCCUUCCAAUCUGAAGGCUACGCAAUCUUUGUUCACAACACAGUACCAGUACACGAUUCCAGUACCGGUACACAGCCUCUCAUAGUCCGGAUCCCGAGAGCUGUGUCAACACACCGUAAUUGGGUACCGGUACUGUAUUGCUCUGGUACCGGUACUCAAUGCCACUUCUGCACUUUGACAGCAGCAGUGUUCCGGGGUCCAUUUUCGCGCUGGGUUUGCACCGAAAACACUUAAACAACCUCGAAACUCACUUCUAGCCAUCCCCACACCUCCAAAGCAACUCGGGGACGACCCAUAUCAAGCUCGUGCCUCACUUUGAUCAACUCGAUCAAAGUUAGCAUCGUAACUCGGAAAUUUGGUAUAUUACAAGGAGCCCGUGGGCACGGCAUAUAGCGUCCUCGACAACGACCUCGCCUACUACGUCCGCUCCAACCUCAAGCCCCACAGGCGCGCCGCCCUCGCCCUCACUGUCAACGUCGGGGGAGUCGAAUUCUAACCCUAGCCCCCAACCCUUCUCCCUCGAUCUCGACCACUUAAAUUUGUAAUGUAUAGUUAUGCAAAGGGUGUGUAUCCCUCUCCUCUAAUGGCUUCGGAGGAGGAGAAAUAUCGGCUAAGAUACGGACUUGCCGAAAAGGGGUUGAAGGCACUAUAGUACUUCACGAAAUUGUCGGUGUUAGUAGGGAAUUUCCUAAAUGAGGGUACAAAGGGGUCCAAUUUUUAUGUAACAAAUUUUUUUCUCCUAUAGUUUUUUUCAUUUUUCGUUGUUUUUCAUUGAAUUAUAAUUCUAUUCUAAAAAUUUUAAAGUAUUUUUUAUAUUAUUAAAUUUAAUCAAAUAUGAUUAUAUCCGAUGCAUCGCGCGGUUUUCUACACUAGUAUUACACUAUUUUUCCUCAAGAUACUGGAGUGCACAGAAAAAAAAAAGGUUUAAUUUAGAUAUUGUAUACAUACAUCGGGCAAAGAGGCGAUUUGUUGGAAUUUCUAAAACUGUGGACCAAAUUCUUCAGAAAGAUGGAUCAAGGGCUUUUUUGCAAAUGGCCUACUAGAAAAAUUUUAUUUUAAAAUUAGCCCCAACAAAUUUGUAAUUGCAAAUAUGGCCCUAUCCCUGCCACGCAGGCGACACGCAAGCGCCACUUGGGCGGGCUGGGAGCCUGCUUGGCAACAAGUUGAACACAGUGAAUGGUUCAUCGUGUUUGAACACGGUAACACGGUGAAUGGUUCACCGUGUUCAAACACGGUGAAUGGUUCACCGUGUUUCAUAUUUAUAUUCCUCUUCUUCUCCUUUUCAAAAAUCCGAACCCGAACUCGAAAAUCAAAUUAAAAUCCGAACCUGGAUCCAAACCCGAUGGGUUUUAAAAAUCCAUACCCAUAUCCAUACCCGAUCAAAAACCCGAAAUUCGAACUCGGACCCGAACUCGGCGGGUUUUAAAAAUCCAUACCGUUGGAUGAAGAUCUAAAGGAUUAAAAUUAUUAAGUAUUUUAUAUAUUGCAUAAAUAAAUAAAAAUAAAUUAUGUAUAUAAAUAAUUUAUUCAGGUUUGGCUUCGGAUAAUAUUUCGGGUAUCCAUACCCAUUGACAUCCCUAUGUUAGUUGUAUGCCCUAGAAGCCUAUCAGGCUGACGCAUUUUAUUUUUUAUGGGACAUAUUUUUGUAGUUAAUCUUUAUUAUUGGGCCUUUUAUUUCAUUCAUGUUAAAUGUGUCCAUGAAUCGUCCUUUGAAUUAAUAAGAUGAUAAUAUGUAUUCUCAAGAGUUGAGAAUUUGAGAUACAUAUUAUUCGUGAUUAAUUCAUAAAUGCUCUCAAUCGGAGGAUCAUCAUGGGAACGAUGAUUGAUCCGGUAAUAUUGAUGUGUGUGCCGCUUCCCUUUUGGGAUAACGAAUCUCGAGUCAUCAGUGUGGGGACACUGGAGCGAACAUGCAGGUUGUUGUUGGAGAACAAGGGUACUGAGCGUGACCAACUACGAACAGUUACAUGGAUGUCUACUCAUUCGUCAGUAACUGGUUCGAUGUUGCAGUGGUACAACUGAUCCUUAGACCUACGACACUACGACCAUUCAAUGUGAGGCUACCGUAGUUUGACUAUGCAACAAACUUUGAUCCUAGCCAUGGGUCUUAGUAGUAUAUGUUGGCCGCAGUCAGUUCAUAUUAGGAAUGGGUGUGUGUUUAUAGGGGAUCUAUCGCUCUCGGUAGAGAGAUAAUUAGUUCUAUUCUAUUUGUAAGGCAAAGCUCAGAAAUUCUCGGCCGGGGUAAUAUGGUGUAUGGAAAGAGGUUUCCAAGAGUAACCAUAAGAGUUUCUGUCCUAUCAAAUUUGUCAUAUGAUGGGUGAUGGGGUUUGACGAAUAUUCCAUGACCUCUACUCAGUUGGAACUAUGUGAUAGAAGGAUUGUAUUGUACGGUAACUGCACCUAGAGGUUCAAUCCAAUAUUCACUUCUGACUGGAUUGCCACUACAUGCUGCUAGGCGUCACUUGUGGAUUGUGGGAACCAAUAGAAAUAAUUAUUAAUAAUAAAUUAUUCUAUUAGGGUAGAAUCAAAAGAGUUUGAGCCAUUGAAAGGAGUUUCGAUGAUGAUGUAGAUGGAGAUCGCAUCAUAUCUCACUACCAGACAGAAUUGCAUCUAUUAGGUCACACAUAUAAGAAAUCGCGCAUGAUUGAUAUUUAGGAGACGAUAAAAGAAGUUUAUAUUGGUUGGAUUAAUUGCAAUUAUAAUAUAGUUAAAUACUAAAGUUUACUAAUUUAUUAGCAAAAGGACUAAUUCGCAAUUAUUGUAAAUUAGAGGUAUUUAUGUGUAAAGGUUGCAUGGUGUAUUUACUAAUCGUCAGUAAAUAAUAUAAGGACUUAUGUGUAAAUGUUACACACAAAUCGAAUUAGAAUUAGGAUUAGGAUUCGGAUUCUGUUAAUAUCAUAACCAACUUGUUGGUUAAUGGAUAAUCCAAUCGGAAUAAGAUUUCGGUUAGAAUUAAGAUUAGGCUUAGGGUUUUCUCAUUAUAAAUAUAUGUCAUAUGACAUAUUAAAAUGAAUGGAAAAUUAAUGCAAGAGAAAUACAAAACUCUAGCCGUCAAUCCUCUUUCUUCCUUAAGUCCUCCAAAAUUAAUCCAUCGGUUUCGAUCUUCAAAAGGUUGCUAGCACAUCAAGAAGAUUGAAUCAUCAUCCUCAAGUCGAUGCAAGAAUUAAUUCGUGAUCAGAUCACGGAUCGAAGUGGUCGUCUAAUUCGAUCAAGGGCAUGAUUUCGUGUGGACGCGAGUAGAGGCCGGGCGUGUGCGUGGCUAAUCGAGGAUGAACAAAUUUUAACAACGAUUGUCGACUUCGCGGUGAUCUCGACCCGCGCGAGGUAAAAUAAAAUAAAAUAGAUCCUAUUUGAUUAGAUCAAUUAGAUAUAUUAUUAAUGAUCUAAAACGAAACACGAGAUGUUCUUUGGUUUUCAAGAAAAUUUUUAAUUGUGUUAUUUUCUUCCGCUGCGUACACAUGAUUUUCUUACAGUGGUAUCAGAAACACCCUCGUCGUUUGUUUUAGAUCUAGUCUCUUUUUCGAUGUUAAUUGGGUUUUUCGAAACGAUCAAAAUCAAGAUAAUGAGGAUUAUUUUUGAACAAUUUUGAUUGUUUCGGAACGUUAAUUAAAACCGACGCACGAUGCGCUAUUCACGCGGCCAUGGCACUCGGCAUGCGGCCGAGAUGGAUGCAACGUGCAAGAAGCGCUUGCAUGAAUUCGUCAUGUUGAUGACAUACAUGCACACAUUAAACUUUAAUGCCUUACAUGUGGUCUCUUUAAUUAGGAUGGCCAUGAAAUAUGUGCAUAGUAGCACUAAUUAAUUAGAUCAUGGCAUGGGCUUUUGAUUGCAUGUGGUACGCCGCAAUGUGCAUGGACAAUAUGCACAUGGUGCUAUGUCCGUGCGCGUGCCAUGCAGGCAAGCAGCUUGCGUGCAGUCUUUGUGUGCAACGCGUUGGACUAUAAGCGAAAGGCACACGACUCAACUUGGUCGGACAUGACCGGUGAGGGCAAAAUGAUCACCAAAACACUACGCAUUUAGCGAAGCGGGCUCACUUAAAUGCGAUUGCACACUGAAUCGCAAUUUAAAUUAGUUUUAAAUUUUAAAAUUUAAUAAAUGAGAUGUAUUAGAUCCUUUUUAAUAAUUUUACGAAAAUUGCGAUUCUUGAAACAAAUAAAGAUUUGUUUUUAAAUUAAUCUGAAACCCCAAUUAAUUAGAAUUCGAAUUAGAGAAUUUAAUAUUAUAUGCAUGUGAUGUAUAUGAGGUGAUGAUCAUGGAUAGCGACCUUGUGAUGUGCAUGUAUCAUGUGAUGGUGUGAAUUGUUGUAAUUUAAUAAGGACCCUGUAUUAGAUUUUUUUUUUGUGCAUGCGCGUGCAAAUUAAAUUAUGUAAUUUGGAUACCUGCGUGUCUCAUUACUUUUAUGGGUUAUAAAGUUAUUGUUGUAAAAUUAAUAAGGAAAAAGAGUAGUUUAGGCUCCAUGAGGAUUUGUUGCAUUCAAGAGUUGAUGCGAUGCGGAUCAAAUUUGGACCAGAUGCUGAUCAAGGGGGAAGACAAGGUUUUCUUGUGUGUAUCAACUCCAAUCCGAUAAAGACGCAGAAUAAGAAAAGGUUUUCUUGUGUGUAAUAUCCUUAAUUAUGACGCGAUUUCCGGCCUAGUGGCUCAGGCCCGAAUCAAGAUAAAAUCCAUGAUCAUCACCGGUAGUUAUUUUUAUAUAUGCGAUGUAUGUAUGCAUGUGAUGUGAUGGUUUGCAUGAGAUGUAAAUUAAUAAUAAAUUAAAACUGAUGAGACAACUAAUCUCCCUAAAUGAAAUAUUAGUUAAUAGUGUUAUGAACCCAUUAGUGGCUUUCCACCGUUGUAGGGUGUGGGCGUCUCUUUAGUGUUGAUUGAUGCACCCGAAUACGGGGGUCAGUUGCAUUAGGGAGCCGCAACCAUUCUAUUCGCAUGAGAUGCUGUGCGGUAAGAAAGGGGUUGGAUCCAAGAUCUGUCAGGAGGAGGAUUCAAUGACAUUCUUAUUUGCACAAUGAACAGUGGGUCAAACUUAACCACGAGAUAAGGCCAAGAAUCUGUCAGGAUGAGGCCUAUAUCUUAUGAAAGCAAAGAUUAGAUUGCAAUUUGCUUGAGAAGCAUUGAACAAGAGUUGUUCACUUAGUUGAUUGCUCAUUGCCAAGAAUCUGUUAGGACGAGGUAAUGUGUAAACAGAUGGGACCGCAAUACCUACUAGAAACUUUUAAAUAAAGUUUCCGUUUUCUCCGCUCGGGGAGUGUGGAGAUUUGUCAAAUUAGUGGGAAGCACCAUUUAGAUUUAAAGACCCUAGCUAAUCAAAUGGAUUAUGAUUAAGUACAUAACUAAUUAGAAUCUUAACCUUCUGCAGAAAAUGGCUGCAUCUAACCCACUUGCCAAAAUACUCGAUACUAAUCGCUUAACUGGACCGAAUUUUACCGAUUGGCUAAGAAAUUUGAGAAUUGUUCUCAAUUCUGAGAAACUAGCCUAUGUGUUGGACACAGAGACUCCAGCGGUGCCCAAAAAUUCGACGGCUCAACAAAGAGCUGCAAGAAAUAAAUGGACUGAUAACGAUAUGAAGGUAAAAUGUUACAUGCUUGCGUCUAUGAGCAAUGAGUUGCUAUGCAAGCAUGAGCACAUGGAGACUGCUGCUGAUAUUCUACUUCAAUAUUUAUAUUGCGAAAAAUACAUAUAUUUGUAUUUUCUCUAGACAUGAUAAACUAUUUACCGUGUUUGGACACGGUGAAUAGUUCACCGCGUUCAACUUAACAAUCUGGCUCAGCCCCGCGCGCGUGGCGCUGACGUGGCGUCUGCGUGGCAGGGUGAGAGCCAAAAGUGCAAAUAUAAAUUUGUUGGGACUAUUUUUAAAAUAAAUUUUUUCUAGGAGGCUAAAUGCAAAAAAAGCCCAUGGAUCAAACUUACAAUAUCAUAAAAUUAAUAGAUUUUUUUAUGUAAAAAAAGCCUACUUUUUAUUUUGAUAUGAAAAGUAAAAGGCUAAAGUACAAAUAACCUCUCUAUAAAUAUUCACUUCUGCAUUUUGCCCAUAUAUUUUUAAAAAUCUCUAUUUUAUUUUCUCAAAAUUUAAAAUUAUAGAACUUAAUCUCGCAUUGUUAAUUUUUCUUCAUUGUUCCAUACAUAUAUUAUAUGGUACAACUCAGUAACUAUCUAUAUACCAAAUUUAUUCUUAAAAAUGAUGAAAAAAGAAAAGCACUUCUGUAAAGUUUUAUUCUUAAAAAUGAUGAAAAAAGAAAAGCACUUUAUACAGUUAUUUAACGGAGGUAAAAUAAAAGAUUCUUAUAUAUUUCCACCAUUUUAAAAGAUAAAAUAAAUAUCUUGAUAAGUUAUCCGGUUGUAUCACACUUAUGUACGAAAUAGUGAAGGAAUAAUAUUGGCGUUAUAUUAAGUGCUACAAUUUAAAAAUUCAAGACUAUAAAAUAGAUAUUUUUUUAAAAAGAUAGGAGGAUAAAAUUUAGGAAAAACUUCAAAAACCCUCCCUGUGGUUUCGUAGUUUCUCACUUUGUCCCCCUGUGAUUUAAAAUGUAUCAAAUUGCCCCCCUGUGGUUUCGUUUUUAUUUUUUCGGUAGCUUUUCCGUUAAUAUUUCAUUAAAUUAUAUACAAAAAAACUUCAGAUACCCAUCUAGAUUUAUCAAAUAUUCACUUUAGUACCCUUUAAUUUUAACUUUAUUACUUAUUUAAGAAAAAAAAAUAAUGAAAUUGAUAAGAAAAAGAGAAAAAAGAAACCACAGGGAGGCAAAUUGAUACAUUUUAAACCACAGGGGGGCAAAGUGAGAAACUACGAAACCAUAGGGAUUUUUUUUGUAGUUUUCCCUAAAAUUUAAAACGGAUUUUUACAAAUUUUUUUUAUAUUUUAACUAAAAUAAAUACUACUAUUAAAAGUCCGUAAUUUGAAUCGUGGAAAUUUAAAAUUUAAGAAUCAUAAUAAAAUCGAACUCAGUCCUUAAGGAAAAAUUUUUUUUUUUACUUCAUUCAUUUUUUUUAAAAAAAACUUAACUGAAAGUAUAAAACAAUUUGUGACACCCCCAAUAAUCCCACAUCGGUUGGGAAUGGAAUUGUUAUUAGGUAUAUAAGAGAACUCCACCCUAAUGGUUUGGGUCCAACGAAUUAUUAUUGCUAGCGGAUCGGAUCAUAUUGAUAUCAAAACCGAUUCACCAGCCGGAAGUAUUAGAUGCGUUUUGGCUGAAUCAGGGUCAGAAUGACUGACUAAGUCAGGAUCGAUGAAUGACAAAAUUAGCGAUGUGUGUUUAGGUUCUGUGACACCCCGGCUAAUAAUAGCAUUUUAGGCCGGUGGGAGUUAUUAUUACUUGCAGGUUGAACCGCUAUCCAAUUAGAUUUUAAAUUUAAAAUUUUAAAUAUCAAGUAUAUUAAAUUUUUUAUUACUUGUGCCAGAAACAAGUUGCAGUUGUAUAAAGUUUUGAGGAAAAAUUGUUGAUGGACGCAUAGGAUCCGUUUAGGAACCGCCCGAAUCCGUUGCACCAGAAUGGGACGAAGACCUGACACAUAUCGCAUCUCUAGGGGUAAGGUAAAAACGCAGGUCUCCUUCUGUGAUCGCCGAUCCGUACGUACGUAGCCCUCCCCCUCCCCCUCCCCUCGUUUAACAUCCCUGCACGGUUUAAAGAACCCACCAAACCCACACCUCUCUCUCUCUCUCUCUCUCUCUCUCUCUCUCUCUCCAUCCCCCUUAUGCACACCCCACACGUACACCUCUCCAUGUGACGCUUGUUUGGACCUGAUCGUGGACUCGGAUCACGAAAUGUGUUAGAAAAAACUCUGACCAAAUAUGAUACCGAAUUUAAUGGGAUAUGAAUAUGGACAUUAAAAUUUAGUAUUUAAUAUAUAUUCGAAUUUAAAUUUAUAUUCGAAAAAAAAAAGGAUGUGAAUGUGACUCUUAAUAAAUUAAACCACCUUUAUCUCAUAAGAGAGAUGUUAAUAUAUAUGAGAUAAAAGAGAUGUUAAUAUAUAUUAGAGCCGGACUAAAAUGCCUUUAACAGCAAAAAAUAUUGGUGCCGGUAGGUUUUCGGUUUUUGGACGAACAUUCGUAACGUUAGAAUGAUAGUGAUCCCCUAAAAUUUAGUGAAUGGUUCAUGGAAUAUCAUGAUCUAAGAUGUAGAAUUAGUCAAAGGUAUAAAUUUAAUGGUGAAAAACUUGAUAGCACAAAGUACUUGCUGUUAUUAAAAGCAUUAUAAUUAAACUCUAUAUAUGUUAUAAGAGAAUAAAGUGAUUUUCUAUCAUGUACUUCAUUUGUUUUACUAUAAAUUUUAUAUUAAAAUUGUAUUUAUAUUUAGGCUAAAUUACAGAAAAUCUUUCUGUCAAUAUCUGUUUUUUCACUUUCUUUUGUAAACCUACACUUUGCCCCCUUAAAAAAUAAAAAAUAUUCACAGGGGGUAAGCUGUCAAAAUGACCAAAUUGCCCCUCAUUCUCUUCGUCUCCUCCUCAGCCGCAGCCUUUUCUUCUCUAUUCUUCGCGCCUCCCUCAAUCCCAACUCCGACUCUGUUUUCUCCAUCUGCUCUCCCGCUCCUCCAGCACCCUCGCCGCCCCUCCAUUUCGGUGAUUGUAGGGAGAAAGAUCGGAGUGGGCGUGGACGGAGAGGUGAACAAGGGCAAGGCGAUAGAGGAGGGCGAAGGCGUGUGUGUGGGCAUGGAUAGAGGGGUGGGCGAGGGCAAGGCGGCGGAGCGCGAGGGGAUGCGGCCGAGGACGUCGGUGAGGAAGUAUAAGGGUUUCAGGAGUAUUUUGGGUAUAAAAAAUAGAAUAUAAACAGAACCCUAACGGAACAGUGACGACGGGGGCCAAAGUAAACAUUUUUUAUUUUUUAAGAGGGUAAAGUGUAGAUUUUCAAAAGACGGGAGGGGGGCGGGAGGAGGGGGAAGUGAAAAUAUGGGUGUUGAUAGAGGGGUUUUCUAUAGUUUAGCCUUAUAUUUAUUACACUAUCAAAUUUUAUUGAAUAAAUAUAGGUACACAAAUUGUGAACACAAGUGUGAACCUUUAAUUGCAUUAUGCAUCUUAUUUGCGCUAAUUUAGUUUAUAUUUAUACAAAAAUAAAACUUGGUUGAAAGUUCAUGGACUAGCAGUGAAAUUUGUAUUGAUCGGCAUUCAAUAAUGGAAGAAUUGCCUAUAUAUCCCUAAAAAUUUCUGAAAUAUCUAAUAUACCUCUACCUUUUUGUUUCAAAUAUACCGCCUGUAUAUUUCUCCACUAUUCAAAAUACCCCCGUUGUUAUUCCAGUUAAAUUAUCUUGGGUUAAAUUUAGGGGUGGAAACGAGCCAAGCUCGAGCGAGCUAAUCUCAGCUUAAAUUCGGCUUGAAAUUAAUUUCAAGCCUAAAUUUAAGCUCGAGCUCAGUUUGAAAUUAAUUCGAGCCAAGCUCGAGCGAGCCUAAUUUCAAGUUGAGCGAGCUCGAGCCCUAAACGAGCCGCUUGAAAUUCUCAACAUCGAACGAUUAAUAGUUUAAUUUGUAUAGAAUAUUAUCUAUAAUUUGAUACAAAAAUAUGUAUAAUAAUUCAAAAUACAAAAUAAGUAUAUGAAAUACGGUAUUAUAAUAUAAAAAAAAUAACUUAUGAGUUGAAUAUCUAAUAUUUUCAGUCUCGCAUGUCUUUUCUUCCACUUUCAAUCUUCAUAUUAUUCCUUUUCAUCUAUGCGGUCAAAAAAUAAAUAAAUUAUGUAGAUAAAUAUUGGAUUAAACUAUCCAAUCAUAUAUAACUAAAAUCAAAUUUUUGUAUAAACAAUAUUUUUUUAACUUAAAAAUAUUCUGUAUAUUUUUUCAAGUACACAACUAAUGGUAAAGUAGGCAACAUCGAGCGCAUACUGUUACUUAGUUACUUGGGGGGCUUCAGACUUAGCCGCUUGGGGUGAGAGAUAGAGAAAAAGAGAUUAGGGAUUUAUAGCUCUGUGAAAGAAAGAGAGAGAGUGUAAAUUUAGUAAAAUUUUGCCCUUUUGUUGGCCUAUUAGAUUUGUUUUUAUGGGACAGCAACAUUAGUCCAAUUUUAACUAAACUCAGAUUACUCACUCAGCCUACAUAUAAUUAAAAUAUUAUAUAUAUAUACUUUUUAAUAUAAAAAUAAAUAAAUAUACAUAUGUAUUCUCUUAUGUAUAUAAAUAAAUAAAGAUAUAUAAAUAAAUCCCCCUAAUAGUUUUGCCUCUCUCUAGACAAAUUGUCCAUACUGGAAUUGUAACUAGUAGGAGGGUAGUUAUAUAUAUCUUUAUUUAUUUAUAUACAUAAGAGAACUUUUUAAUAUAAAAAUAAAUAAAUGUUUAAUAUAAAAAUAAAUAAAUGUACAUAUGUUUUCUCUUAUGUAUAUAAAUAAAUAAAGAUAUAUAUAACUACCCUCCUACUAGUUACAAUUCCAGUAUGGACAAUUUGUCUAAAGAGAGGCAAAACUAUUAGGGGGAUUUUUUUUGGACUGGGCUACUAUUAGUAGCAAAAUUCCAUUGUUGCUACCAGUUUUUUAGCCUUUGGAUCAACUCUUUUUAUUAUUUCUAACCAUUGGAUUAAAUACUAUAACCCAGUGGGGACCACUCAACUCUAACCGACUAAUAUCAUCCAGACCCUACAAUUUUUCAUCCAAGGGUUAAAAACUUAAUAGCAAAAAGAGCGUUUUACUAUUAAUAGUAUUCCAGCCUAAUUCUAUAUCUCUCUCUCUCUCUCUCUCUCUCUCUCUCUCUCUCUCUAUAUAUAUAUAUAUAUAUAUUCGAGCUUUUCGAGCCUAAUCCGAGCGAGUUGAGUAAUACUCAAGCUCGGCUUGAAAUGAAUUUCGAGCUUUUUCUUUUGUUCAAGUUCGGUUCAUUUAAUUUCGAGUCGAGCAUGAGCAAGCCAAAUAUCGAGCCGAACGCGAGUCGAACAUGAGCCGACUCGCCAUUUGCCAACCCUAGUUAAAUCCGAAUUAAAUUUCUACUAGAGUUAAAAAAAAAAAAAAGAAAAAAAUACCUCUCUUGCCUCUAACCUAAGAACAAAUAAGAAAAAUUAGUGAUGGUAGAAGGGUAUGAUAUAUUGAACCUUAGCAAAUUGGCAAGAUUACAAUAUAAAUUUAUACUUGAUUGAGUUGGAGACGUUUUGCACAAAAUAGGCCCAAAAACGGACUUUAAAACUCAAAAUUUAAUUUUUAGAGGACUAAAAUUGAAAUACUUAGUUUGGAGGAGCUUUUUGGCAUUUUUGCUAUAUUAGGCGGUGGAGUCCAUGUUGACAUCCCAUCCUUAUCUUCGUUUUUGUUGUUAAGUUUUACGGAGAUAGAGAGAGAAGGGUAGAGCACAAAAGGAAAAAAAAAAGGGGAGAGAGAGUUUGGUUUCGUUCUAGCGAGUGAGUGAGCAAGUUGAGCGCGCGCGGGUGUAUUUUUAGGGUUUCGACGUCGCGGUUAGUAUCACGACACUAUUAUCUCUCGUUUAGACUAUUUUGAUAAUUUUUUUGGUAGAAAUUGAGAUAUGUGUGUGUGUGUGUGUGUGUGUGUGUGUGUGUGUGUGUGUGUGUGUGUGUGAUAUUUUCUUAAAGAUCAAUAGACAGCUACAGAUAGUGUAGACUAUAACUGUAAUUUGGACACUAUGACAGUAUUAUCAUGAUCUGUUUGAUCAUCGCAUUUGACCACAGCCUGCAUACUAUGUUGAGUUUGACAGUAAUACUAUACUCGGUUGGGGUAGUGCCCCGCGAGUGCCACUCCGGAGGUUGGAUUAUGAGAUAUUAUUAUGAAAUAGGGCUGACAGUAGUUUGCGUGGUAGUGGACCAGUAUAGGUAGGUGUUGGACACAAGGCAGCGCAAACUAAAUCUGAUUGUUGAGUCAGUCACUAUGAUUGGGUAUUAUUGCAGUAUUUUGUUUAGUAUUUAAUUGAUACAUGCAAUACAUGAUUUACAAUUUUAGUUAUAUUGUAGAGGCAUGAUAGUAAUAGUUAUUUUCCGCAAUUAUUUAUACUAGUAUCUGUUCCUUUGUAUUGCUUAGUAUUUACUCUCUUUGCCUCUUCUGGGCCUAGUGGUGUAGACCGUCGGCGUUGUCGACCAUACCCACUGGAGACUAUAUUAUAGUUCUCAUACCCUCUUUAUUAAUAUUUUAGUUCAGAGCCUUCAGCACUAGCGACUGAUCGAGAUAAGGGGAUUGUAGAAAGUUAGCAUCUUCUACCUUUCUUAUGUGUGUAGUUGGACCACCUAUUAGUGAGCAGCCUGUAUAGUGUUUUGAGAUUUGGAGUGGUCAGAGAUAUUGUACCAUUAUGAGAACUGGUGUAGUGAUGAUUGUAUAUCAUUACAGUGUUGCUAUAGUAUAUAAUUUUUAUUCUUCUUUGAUAUCCACUGUUGUUAGAUUUUUUUUUUUGAGUAAAGUAAAAAAAUAAAAAAUAAAAAAAAAUCUAACAACAGUGGAUAUCUUAGUUAAUUUUGUUUGACAGGUUUUGCUGACGCUUCGUAUGUAUAAGGAGUGUCCUUGUGCAUGUAGCGGGUCUAUUGACGUAAUCCAGACUUUCGUUGUAUCCCAGAUGUCAGGCCCCGGAUUACCAUGUUUUUCCGGGCACGCGAACAGACCUGUCGUAUACAUAGGAAUUUUUCAUGUAUACGAAGCAAUAGUUGUACCUGUAAGCAAGUUAUAGCUACAACCAAGUGUAUAGAGCUACUAGAACUAAAAACAUAUAUAGAAUAUAAAGGGUUCACUGUACAUACAAAAGUCCACAAUAGCACCUCACUUUAGCGAGUACACAAAACAUAAAGUAUGUAUACAAAUACAACUCACUACCUCUGAUGGAUACUUCGCUAGCACGGCGACCAAGGCUGGUAGGGAUCUAGCUCGCGACUCCCUUACCACGGUCAGAAUCAGCAAAAGCAGCAGCCGUAGACGAAGACUCUGCAAAAAGGUGUCAACUACUCGGUGUGAGAAUUACUACAAAACAGAGUAGUCCUCAGUGGGUACCGUUACCGACCUCAACGGCCUACCCACUAAGUCUACAGUAAUGAUAUGCACAGGAUAGUAAGAAAAGUUGGAAAGAACUCUACAGCUACAUGCCUCUAUACUAUUGCUACCAAAACCAACUAUCUGAAGACAUAAACAUGCAUCACUAGCUACCACUGACCCAAUCUCACAUGGGCUGCCCAAACGGACCCACCUUGCCUGUAACCAAGCUACAUUGUACACCACCCAUGGGGGGGGGGGGUGGGUCCAUGUAAACUGUCCAAAUAGGACUGCUGUGACAUCAACGCAAGUCAAAGGCUUACUCCGGAGCGGCACUCGUGAGCGUGACCCAACCGAGUAUGUAAAGCGUGUCUCUAUCAAGCUCAAUCAGGCUCAUACAAGCUAUGGUCAACACAAAUGGGUCAACUGGUCUAACAACCAAAGCUCACGUACCCUUGGCAUAAUCUGAUGCAAGAUACAGAAAUCUAGGUCCACCGUCCAUUCCGACGACACUCGGCAGUCCAACACAGACUAACUCAACUAUAAAAACUCACUCGGCUCCUCAGCGCGAGCGUAAACUCAACCUACACUAUUCUGAGUAUCCACUACGCACUAAUAGUGAUGAUACAAAAGAGCAACAGCUCCUGAAGUUAAAUCUGGUAACUUUUCAGAAAAUGACAGUAUAGGUUUAACUAGUUUUCUCCUAAGUCAAUUCUAGGUUCAGCAUAAAAAUGUCUAAAUUACUAGAUCAUGCUCCAAAACUCAGAUUUCAUAAAACAUGCAUUUUCUGAAUUUGAGCUACUAACAUGAAAACCAAAACAAGAUCCACAUGCUGACAACUCUACAACUUAGGAGGAAAUCUGACGAUUUCGAUAAACAUCAACCCACCUCGAACGCUCAUCCAACAUCGGCUAGAAGUCGAAAGGAGAAACUCCGCACGCUCGCUCGACCUCCGAUGUAGUGUCCUUCGUGUUUGGUUGCCCGUGAGAUUUCAGCAUCUGAGGCUUGUCGACAUGUCGUGAGAGUGUCGGAACAAGUCGGAGUCGUUUUGACGCGAAAUGGACGCAAAACGGACUCAACGUGAUGCGAGAGUGGAAUUCUGACACUGAAAUCUGCAAACUGCAGGAUUUCAGUGUUAAGUAUCGGUACCUGAUAUGAGUAUCGGUACCCCAUUGGAUGGCAGAGAUAGAAGCUCUCGGGUUUGCACGUAUUUGAUGCUGAGUACCGAUACCUGGUUGUCGAGUACCAGUACUGAGCUCGAGUACUGGUACUUCAUCGGGCAAGUACCGAUACCGAGUGCGCGAGGCUGCGGGCUGAGGGCCGAGUAUCGAUAUUCAAAUGGAGUACCGGAACUCCAGCUGUAUUUCUGAGUAGGUAAGGGGUAUUUUGGUCCUUUGAAGAGGCGUUCAACCCAACCUUAUCCUCCACCUUUAUAUACGUGUAGAGAGCUCAGAGAGGGGUUUUUGCUUGUUGUUUCCUUUCUCUCUCUAGUUUUGGAUGUCGCUUGUGGUAGAGGUCGCAGCUCGAGCUCGGGUGGAUUUCAAUGUUGCUCUGGAGGGUCGUUCGAGCGUGUGGGCAUCGCGGUUGCGCCGUUGGAGGCUGGGCAAGCGCGUGGAUUCCCUCUUUUCGACUUUUCGCCGUGAUUGGACGAGCUUUUUGAGGUGGUUUAAUGUUUGCCGAAAUCGUUGGAUUUCCUUCUAAGUCCUAGCAUCGUCAAUAUGUUUCCUUGGUUUUGUUUCUUUUGCUAGUACUCGAAUUCAUGGAAUUUGUAUGUUAUAGCAUAAAAUCUGAAUUUUGAGUUAAGCUAGUAAUUGUAUACAUGUUGGACUUGGAAAUUGACUUAAGAGAAAACUAUUCAACCUUAUACUAUCUUCAGAAAAGUUACUAGAUUUAGCUUUAGGAGCUGUGGUUCUUUUGUAUCGCCGCUGUUAGUGUGCGGUGGAUAUGAGAUUAGUGUAGGUUGAGGUUACACUCGUGCUGGGAUGUCGAGGUCGUUUUACAGUAGUGUGUAGACUGUUUCGUACUGUCGGGUGCCAUCGCGGUUGACGGAGGACCCAGAUUUCUGUAUCUGCAUCAGAUUGUGCCAAGGGCACACGAGUUUUGGUUGUUAGACCAGUUAGACCCUUUUUGCAUUGACUACAGCCUGUGAGAGCCUGAUUGAGCUCGACAGAGACACGCUUGCAUACUCGGUUGGGUCGCGCCCACGAGUGCCGCUCCGGAGUCUGGCUACUUUGCUUUGCAUUGAUGUCGUAGUUGUCCUGUUUGGACUCUGCUCGCCACCGGCAACCCUCGGUGUGGUGUACGAUGUAGCUUCGACAGGCGGGACGGGUGUAUCACAGUCCCUGAUGAGAUUGGGUCAGAGAUUGUUAUUUUUAUAUCUACAGAUAGCUCGUAGUGAUUAGCGAUAGUAUAGUAGCAUGUAGCUGUAGAGUUCAUUCCAGCUUUUCUUACUAUCUCUUGUACACAUUUCUGUAGACUUAGUGGGUGAGCUGUUGAGGUCGGUGACGAUACCCACCGAGAACUACUUGUUUUAUAGUAGUUCUCACACCCAGUUGUUGACCCCUUUUUACAGAGCCUUCGUCUGUGGCUGCUAUUGCCGCUGAUUCAGACCGUGGGAAGGGAGUUGCGAGCUAGAUCCCUACCCAUCUCGUUGCCGUGCUAGAGGAGUACCUUCCAUAGGUAGUUUUGGGGUUUUUUGUACAUAUGGUUAUAUUGUCGGGGUACUCACUGGAGCGAGUUGUGUUGUAGACUUUUUGUAUGUACAGGAACCCCUUGAGGUUUUUAUAUAUAUAUAUGUUUAUUUUCAGUUUAGCAGCUCUAUACUACUGGUUGUAGUUAUGUUGUGAUUACAGGUACAGCUAUCGCUUUGUAUACACGAAAAUUUUCUCUGUAUACGGUGGGUCUAUUGGCGUGCCCGGGGAAAUGUGGUAAUCCAGGGCGUGACACUGACAGCCUCAAUCGGACUAAACCACGACGCGCGCGCAAUCCUCCAAGACGACGAGAGGGGAAAAAUUAGCUCGUUCCUCAAAUUCCAAAGAAAAGAGAAGAGAAGCUAGAGAAAGAGAGAGAGAGGAGAAGCUAACAGGGUUUCUCUAAGCUUCCAACACUUCUAUACGAGCUGAGGUCGGUUGGAAUGAACGACACACAAAAAUGACCAAAAGGCCCCUUACCAACUCAUUUCUGCCUCUGGGGUACCGGUACUCAACUUGGGUAUCGGUACUCGUCCCUCAAACUGCAAUCUCGCGCUGGGUACCGUUACCAGCCCGAUGCAGUACCGGUACUCAAGCUCGGUACCGGCCAGUACUCAACAACAGAUACCGGUACUCAACAUCAAACUGCGCAAACCCGAGAGCAUCCAGUUCAGAAAUUUCAUUGGGUACCGGUACUCCUCCCAGGUACCGGUACUCAACACUGAAAUCCUGCACUUUACAAAUUUUAGUGUCAGAACUGCACUCUCGCACAGCGCCGAGUCCGUUUUGCAUCUAAUUCGUGCCAAGACGUCUCCGACUUGUCCCGACACCCACCAGAUGUGUUGACAAGCCAUAGCUACUGAAGUCACACAUGCAGCCAAACACCAGGGACACUACACCAGAGCGUGACAAAGGAUAUAUUUAAAAAGGAAAAAGUCAAAAUACAUCUUUAUGUCCUAACUUAAGGAUAAAUAAAAAAAAGUUGGCAAUGGUAAAAAAAAAAUAUUUAAAUAAAUAUUCUCAAUAUUAGUUUUCUAAAAAUGAUAAAUAAAAAAAUCAAAAACCUUGUAGGUGUAUAUAGGCAAUUGCCACUUCAAUGACAUUGCACAAGAAAGGCACAUGGGUUUCUUGUGUGACGGCCAUUUAGGAUGUGUUUGGUUUAAAGUCAAAACUGGUAUCAGAAUCGAAAUAAGAAUAAGCUGGAAACAAAAUCGGAAUGAUUUAUUAUCUCAUUCUGUUUGGUUUGCCGCUUGAAUCGAAAUUGGAAUAAACAAUUCUCAUUGUCGGUGUUUGGUUUAAAUAAAUACCAGAAAGGUAAUCAAAUUGAUAUGCUAAAUUUAUCUUUAUAAUAUGUUAGUUUAAAUUCAGACUGAAAAUUAAAUAUUAAAAAUUUAUGUCAAAUGUCAAAAUUUUAAAUAUAUUCUUUUAAAAAAUUAAAAUGUGAAAUUGAAUGAAUAAUACAAAAUAUAAAACUAAAUUUGGUUUAUUCAAAUGCAAACUUAAAACUAUAAUUUAAACUUCAAUUUGAAUCCAUAAAUUUAAUUUAAAUUUUAAAUAAAAUUUGAAUAAAACUUUAGAUUUUAAAUUAAAUUUAAAUUUAAAUUCAAAUUUAUAAAUUAGAUUCGAAAUGUUUGAUUGAAUUUUAAUUUUUAAUUUAUAUUUAAAUUAAAAAUUAAAUUUAUAAAUAUAAAUUUAAUUUUCCAUGAAAAAUUAAAUUUAUAUUUAAUUUUUUCAUAAAAAAUUAAAUUUUUCAUGUCCAAUUUUUUUUUUCAGAAAAUUUUUUUUUCUAUAGUUUUACAAGAAACCAAACACACUUUUAACCAAACAAACCCUUUCCAAACAAACCCUUAUGUAGUACAAUCCAAGAACUGACGUGGUAGAGCUGGUCCUCCCAUAAUUUCUUUUCCUGUAUACGCAACUCCGAACCGAAUGUUCCACAACUUACCUUCGCUGCUGCUGUUGCUGCACUCGGUCACACACUUCCAUGAUGGCCACCCUAACUUCUCCUUACCUCUCCUCCCCCUUCUCUCCUCUCCUCCUCUCCCCCUCUUCCUCACCUCCACCACCACCCCACCACCACCAUCAUCAUCUCAUUCACAAACGCAACUACUUUCAGUACAAAGAAACGCCCAGGCAGGUCCCUCUCCCCUUUUACAUAACCGCCAGCCUCCUCAACGCUUCCUCUGCUGCCUGGCCGUCGAUCACGGCGGCGCUGAGGCGUCGUCCCCCCGCCGGCGGCACCGCCGCCCGCGGAGUCUCCGCGUGGCCUCGCCGCGCGGCCGGCGGCCACAUCUACCCGGCGAUCGCCAUCGCCGACGACCUCCGCUCCGCGCCGCCGCCGCCGACGCCGCCCCCAGAUUCUCUUCCUCGGCUCCGCCUCCGGCAUCGAGGCCUCCGCCGUCCCGCCGCCGGCUACGAGUUCGCCCCGUCCCCCCCUCCCGCCUCGCCCGCCCGCUCUCCUCCGCCCCUCAACUCCUCCUCCGCUCCGUCGCCGCCUGCCUCCGCGUCCUCCGCGACUUCCGCCCCGACGUCGUCGUCGGCACCGGCGGCUACGUCGCCUUCCCCGUCUGCCUCGCCGCCCUCAUCCUCAACAUCACCAUCGUGAUCCAGGAGCAGAACAGCUUCCCCGGCCUCACCAACCGCCUCCUCGCCCCCUUCGCCGCCAAGAUCUUCCUCGCUUUCAAUGCCUGCGUGAAGCACUUCCCCAAGAAAAAAUGCUUCGUGUACGGCAACCCGGUGCGCCUCGCCCUCCGGCGGUUCACGUCGAAGGUGGUGGCGCGGUCGCACUUCUUCCCCAAGGCCGGCGCCGACGGCAAGGCGGCUGAGGUCGUGCUCGUGCUUGGCGGCUCCAUCGGGUCCGCGGCUAUCAAUAUUGCGAUGCUUAACAUGUAUUAUGAGAUGCUGAUGGAGCAUAAGAACAGGUACAUCAUAUGGCAGACGGGGGCCGAGGGCUACUGCGAGAUGGAGAGCCUCGUGAAGAACAACCGCCGGUUGCUGCUCGCCCCGUGAGCUCUCUCAUUCUCUAUGCUUCUCUAAUUUUGUUUGCUGGUUAUUAUGAUCUUUGUUUAGUUGAUCAACUAACACCAUUCUCUGAGCAUCUGCUCAGUGCCAAGAUAUAAUGCAUGAAAGGGAUGGCAAGAGGGAAACUGCAAAUUGGGAAAAGUAAUGGCAUAGUGAUAAAAGUCCCGUUGCAGAUGAUUUCUUUACUUUGGAGUUGCUAGUUAAUUUUAGAAAUAUACGAAUAAACGAGUGUUCUCUCCGUCUUUAGAUUUUCAAACUUUGCGAGUCUUGUAUCUUGUGACAGUGAUGAACCCAAACCGUUAGAAAAUAUUUUAGGACACUGAUGCGUUGAUAGGAUGGCUUACUUAUGAACAUUGUUAGUGAAUUUGCUUCAUAUCUGUAUUCUAAUUGAAUUUAGCUUUUUCUUAGUCCAAUUAAGUAGUUUGUGCUUUGCUUACUUUGGCAAACUCUUGAUCGCUGUUAGAUCUAACGUAUAAACUCAUAAUAUUAGAUCAUACCAGUUCGAAGCGCGGAAUUAAUUGGCCCACAAUCUUCACCAUGCUAGAUUCACAGGUCCUUCAGUCUCUGCGUGUCGUAGAUCAUCAUACGGAGUCCUUCGGAUCUCCUUCGUGGUUGGGAAUCUACUUACAUGAAGUAGAUUUAGUAUUCCACGACACAAGAAACUAUUAAAACAGAAAAGGUGACUGUGGAAGGCUUUUAGAUGAAGGGGAAAAGUUUUUCCUGGUCCUCGCAAUCAACCCACGUUUUGCCCAAUAUAGCCUAUAUUGAUAGGUAUCUAGAUGGCACUCUUUGGAGUCAGAAUGAAGACAUCAACCCAUACAAAUAAUGGUGUAGUUUAUACCCCAGGGUCAUUCGGGCACAUCAGAUCAAGCAGCUUUUAAUCCCUCAAGGAAAAAGUGUGCUCAACCCCUUACAAACCUCGUAUGUAUUCACAAUCAUAUCCUAGCUUCCUCAAAGCGCCAUGAUUGGCCGACUAGUGAAUCCAAGUGAAUGAUGCGAUUCCAAAUUUGCCUUCCUAUCGCCCGAGUGCCAUUAGGAUCUGAACUAUUCGCUUUCCUAGUAAUGCUCCUUGAGGUCGAAGGUCGAAUUAAUCAUGACCAUAAACAAACGCUCUAAAGUAGCGGACAUUAGUUCUUCACUUCAUGACAUAGUCAAAAGUCACAAAGGGUACGCUAAUUGAGAUUAAACUCCAGCACUCACAUAGUGGGGAAGCAGGGAUCCAUUCAUUCACUUCUUGAUAGAUCGUUAAGCACAUGCAGCAUGAAAUGCAUGUUAUGGUGGAGCUACUCUUACCAAGGAGUGUAUGUCUUUCUCUAAACACCUUAUGAGUUGUAGUCUAGGCAUGCCACUUAAUUAACUCGAGUUCUUUAUUGACUCGCUUUCAAUAGCGCCAAAAGAAGUCUCGCACUUGGCUUCUCAUAUGCUACUUGGGUUGUAGGAGAACAUCCAUGUUGGUCUCCUACGUUCACUUAAGACCUUAUCCUGGUUUCAACUAGGGCGAUAUUUUAAUAAUUCAAACUAAGCUCACAUUCACAACGCCAAAGUUCAAACUUUUGUCUCAUCUCUGUUCGCUCAACUAGUGCCAGAGGCGAUUGCUUGCAUGAGCAAGCCAAUCUGAUCCAAUUGACAUACUUUACGAUUUGCGUUAGUUUUAACUCAUACAAAAAUUCACAAACGUAGAGGAAUGAAAGCAUUUAGAAGCAAAUCAAUGUCCAAAAGUUUUUAUUACAUGGUGGUCGAACCAAAAAACAAAAAACACAAAACAUAUUUGAUGCAAUUCUUGGGAUUUGACAUACCUCAUAAAUGAAUCCCUAGUAAUAGGCUUAGUAAACAGAUCAACAACCAUUUGAUUCUUGGUGAUAUGCUUCAAGACCACUUGCUUCUGCUUAGCAAUGUCUGUUAUGAAGUGGUACCUCACAUCUAUAUUCUUGGUUUUGCCAUGGUAUUUGGGGUCCUUUUCAAAUGCUAGUGCAACUAAACUAUCACAGUAAGUCGUUACUAGAUUGGUUGCGUGAACAACCAAGAUGCAGCAAAAACCUCCUUAACCAAAUGGUCUCUUGCACAGUGUUGCGUGCCGAAUUCCCUGACCCUUGAUCUAGUCAAAGAUCCUCCUUGGGGAGCAUGUCGGGAUGAAAAACGGUUGCCGAUAGUGACCCUCGAAGUUUGCGCCUUUCGGCUGGAUCAAGCGAUUCGGCUGAUGAGGGAUCGGAUCAGCCGAGUUCGAAAACUUUAUUAAAGAUUAGGUUCGGCUGGAAUGAGCCGAAUGUACGGACCAGCUACAAAUUUGACUCGAUAGAUGAGCCGAAUAGAAGAAACACGCACCAGUUGGUCGGCUUGAAGAUCCGAAAGCCUUGGAAAUUACGCUUGAGGAAAAGUACAAGGGUUGAGUGUGCCGGAUGGCAUACAGACUCGGUUGAUCUACUUAGGAACUACUUCUAGGGAAAAACAAUAAAUGCGGGAAAGUAAAAGUUACAAGUAGACUACUCCUAGAAAAUGCAGGAAAUUGCAAGGAAUAAGGGCGGUCUUUUGUUCACAGGGAAAAGACCCCUUUUUAGGGCGUUAUUGACCUAUUUAUAGAUCGCCCCUUGUGAUCAGUUAUUACCUAUACAUGAUCGGCCAUUAUUCCUGAUUUUUUGGACCACUUUCAGCCGAUCGGAACCACUUGCAACUGCUUGCGGUUACUGUAACCUCCCUUAAUUCGCGUAGCUGUUCGUUCCUUAAAAACCCUUCCGAUGCUCCCGGUGUACAGCAAGAUUGCCACCUUUAAAUGGAAUAUUGGCGUUCCACCUGUCCGCGCCUAAUUGGCUCAACACACAGCAACUGAUAAUACCACAUAUUUGGCCUCCAUGUCAGACAAUACAACAUCGGACUGCUUUUGCUACUGCAUGAUAUGGCGCCAUUGUUCGGCAAAAAAACAUAUCCUGUCAUCACAGUCACCUCCCCAGUCGGCAUCACAGUAGCCAAGUAGGUGCAAAUCUCCACCUUCGUAACGCUGCUUGCAGUCACACGUGUAGUUUUUGUGACCGACACACAUCGGUACGGCACUGCACACACCGUGCAGGCAAGUUUUCGUUACGACCUCGUGCCGGCAAGUUUUCGUCACGACCUCGUGCCAUGACGCUCAAAUCCUUGGUUUUGAUGACGUCGAUCUUUUGUAGAUAAUUCUUUUUUUUAGUAAUGAAGUGGACCAGCUCCUUUUGUAUAGACGGAAGGGAGGAGAAGAGGGGCGUGACUUACAUAUGAGGUUUCUGCCAUCUUGUGAGGAAGGGACCUAUGCGUGUGUUCUUCAUGGAUAAGUCAAUCUCAACGGUCUUCGUCCUCCAAUGAUUGAUGUAACAUCUACGAAUAAAAAAAAAAGAGAAAAAGAGAAGAUAGAAUAGGUAAUAGGAUUCCCCAUGGAAUUGCUCUGGUCAGAAUUUCUCUGUAUUUUGUCUCACACAGAGGAAAAGUUUGCGAGAAAAUUUGUCCAAACAAGAUUUUUCGUAAUUCUUGAAAACACAAAUUGCAAUGAAGCUGAUGGCUCAUAUUUACAAAUAUUCCUAGCCCUAUGUUUCUUAAAAGGAUAAGAAGAAAAGGAAACUAAAUCAAAUUGAAACUUCCCCAAUUUUGUAAAUCCUAAUCAAAUCUCAAGUCAAAUCUAACUAGAAUCAUAAUUUUAAUUGAAUUACAAAUAGAAUCCUAAUCAGAUAAAAUAAACAAAAUAUCCAAACAUAAAAACAAACUCCCAAUUACAUUCUAUAAUCUAUCAGGCUCCAAUUUGGGAGGAAAUUGUUAUAGUCAAAUAUGAUUCGACUCGGGCUCGAGCUCAAUGGCUGUUUCCUCAUCACUCCACCUAUAAAGACUUUGUACUCCAUAGAAUCUCUUCAAUACCUCAUUCAAGUUUUCUUAGAAUUAGUUCCUGUUGGCAUCGUACAGUAUCAUUUUUAUUACAAUGCAAUUAUUAUAUUGAUUGCCUUUUGCCUAUCGCUAAUUUUAUGCACAAAAUGCUAUCACUUCCUGUUCACUAUCAUAUUCUCUUCCUUUCCACUGUUAUAACUCAUAUCUAAUACUUGUAUCUGUUAUAAUUCCUACUCUAUUUUUGCUUUUAUUCCUCCCACCUUUCCACUAUUACAAUCUCAUCUCUAAUACUUUUGUCUACUAUAAUACCUACUCUAUUUCUACAUUUACUUCUCAUUUCACAUUUUCCACUAUGAUUGGGUUUUGGUGCAGCAUCUCACUUGUAAGGAAUUCUUCAACUUGAUAUGUAUGUUUCUCUUUCAUUUUCAUGCUAACUUAUUGAGUUAUACAAAGGCUGUUAACCUAUUGCAACCAUCCAGUCUCUAGUUUGGGACAUCUAUUGCUGGUUUUUUGAUUGGACAUUAUCCUCUAAACCAUUAAUUUUUAUUGUUUCACACUCUUCGUUUUAUUUCAUCAAAUCUUAGGGGGUGUUUGGCUUAGCUUUUAAAAAGUGCUUUUGGGUUGAAAAGUGAUUUUCGGCUCAAUAGAGCGUUUGGCAACCUCAUUUUUAAAAUCUGAUUUUAUUUUUCAGAAUCAGAAAAUUGAUUUUGAAGGCCUCAGAAUCAGAAGCAUAAAAAAGCUGCUUCUUAAAAUCUGAUUCUGAUUUUGGACACAAACUUCAAAUUUUUAUUUUAAUUUUAAAUCAAUGUUUAAAUUUAAAUUUAAUUUUAAAUUUUAAUUUUCAGAUUCAUUUUUGAAUUUUUAAAUUUUAACUUNNNNNNNNNNNNNNNNNNAUUUUUAAAUUUAGAUUUAUAUUUUUAAAUUUUAAAUUUUAUAUUUUAAAUUUCAUUUAAAUUUUAAAUUUAAAUUUUAAAUUUUAAAUUUUUUAAUUUUUUUAAUUAAAAUAUCAAAAUUUAAAUUUUGUAACAAUUUUUUAAUUUAAAAAUUUUAAUUUUAAUUUAUAUUUAAAUUUAGAUUUUAAAUUAUUUUAAAUUAAAAUUUAAUAAAAAUAUUAAUAUAUGCAAGCAUCAAAAAAAUUUGUCAAACACCUUUUCAAAAUCACUUCAGAAAAUUCGCUUUUAUCUAAACUCUGCCAAACGUUCUACAGCUUUGAACCAAAAUCACUUCUCUAGACCAAAAUCACUUUUUCAGAAAUCACUUUUUCAGAAGCUAGGCCAAACGGGCCCUUAUUCUUCCUUGGAAGGUUGUUCACGCUAAGUAUGUCUAUCUAGGGUUUUUAUCUAUGUGUAUAUGUGUUGGGGAGAGGCAUAGUGUUAGGAAUCCGCCGCUUACACUAAUACCAGAUUUUCUUUGAUACUAGUUUGUUAUGAUAAAAGUGGAAAAGAUUUAGUUCGUCGGGCGCGAAAAUGCCAAGAGAGAAUCGAGAAAGAGAGAAAAAAAAAUAAAGCACACAUAUAUAUCCGUGGUUCGGCCGCUGGCCUAUAUCCAUGGGCGAAGACACAUUGGAGAUCUUCAUUAUAUUAAAGUGGUGUACAAAAUAUGCCUCUCUCAUAAAACCAAGUCCCAAAAAUACAUCCAUACUCUCUCUCAUCUGCCGCACCAAAUCAAUGGAAUAAAAGGCAUAUUUAUAAUAGUGGCUAAAUCCUAAUACAAUUAGGAAUACAAAUCUACUAUGAUCAGGAAUAAUCUCAAUUAGAUUAGGCAUAAUCUAAACUUAACUUAAUGGGAUAACCAAAACAGAAUAGGUUUGGAAAACCUUGCGCUUCCAGAAUUCGAGUCAUCUAACAGGUGGCGUGUUUUAUUAUGAAGUGUGAGUACUACUUUGUUUAAGUGGCUGGUUUACCCUAUAUGCCAUUUUUUUUUCAACUCCAAUCUUGAUCUACUACUUUUUCUAGCAUUUGUUCCAUUACUUGUGUUUUACAGCUUAGAUCUGGUCUUAUUUGUGAAGGUUCUUGAAUGCAAUGGACAUGGCUUACGCUGCUGCUGAUGUUGUCGUUUCAAGAGCUGGUGCAAUGACUUGCACUGAGAUAUUGGCCACUGGGAAACCGUCAAUUCUGGUACUAAGAAAACUAUCCCAUUCUAUUGUUUAGACAUUGUAUUCGUAAUUCCCUAUCUAAUAAAAUUAAGCCAUAUUAUUGUUUAGACAUCAUAUUCUUAGCUCCUAUCUGUUCUUGUGUUAUUAAGGAAACAUAAUGCAUAACAGCACAAGCAUUUUAUACUUAUUCUCCACUUUAAGUUUGAAUUCCUGUUAUGGAAAGCAAUAGAACUAAAAUUUCUUUAUAAAAUAAGUGGAAUUUUCGAUAUUCUUGUAUGCAGAUACUAUUUAUAACCCUCCCCAUUGAUGGGAAAAAGAUAUAUAGGCCAUAAAUCAUGUAGUUAGGUUUGGAGAUGAAAAAUUUAGAGGUCCAUUUUUGGCUAGCACUGUGUAUAUUUCAGAAUUCUCUACUCAUUUAGAGUGUUGCUUUUAACUAGUCAGAAAAUGUUAAUAUACCAAGUCAUCUUUAUCAUGAUUUUUUUCUCUUCGAUUUCCUAGGCCUAAAUUUUAUGAAGUACCCUUUCUCUUCAAAGGGAAAAAAUCCAGUUUGUACAUUAUACAUUCUUAUGUGUUGAGCCUAGACGUGAGGGGGAGUGUUGAAUAUAAAUAUUAAAAACACUGUUCGUUGACAGCUAAAGCUUUUAGAGAAAAAUGGUUGUUUCACAUAAUUCAACAUUAUGUACUGCCAAUUAGAUAUUUUGUUGAAGCAUUUUUAAAUAUUAUUUUUGCAUACAUUGAGAAUUAUGCAAUAUUUCUAUUGUUAAGUCAUAGCUUCUUGAUCAUUUAACUAGAUCUUCAUUCUGAAGGAUGUUUUAACUGUGGGGAAAUUUAGGGAGUGGCAGUAGCCCAUAAUCACUGCAACAUCAACUAUGUUCGUCCUUAUGUUGAGUCCCUAUAACUCAGAUUAAAUGUGCAACCCAAUUGUGCAUACAUAUCACUGAACUUAUGUUUUAUUUAAAAUCACUCUCAUAAUAUAAGUAAAACAAAUAAAAGCAGCGCGUUGAAGGAAUAUUUAGCUAGUUGAUAUCUGUAUUUGAACAAAUUUUUCUAAAAACUAAUGUUGGACAUUUCACGAAGAACCCUUAAACUAAUUCUGCAAAGUUUGUAUCAAACAUUGCAUUACGAAGCCCUAGAUGCUUGCUGGGUCAGAUGACAGUACUCAAAUUCUAAUACUUGUCUGUGUCCAAAUCAUCAUUCCUAAGAUGUGCUUUUAGCAUUUGGAGCCUUCAUUCUCUCAUCUUGUAUGUUCAUAGAUAAUUUAAUACGCACAUUGUAUUUAGCAAACCUUUACAUCUGUAUUCUUACAUCUUCUCUUUUUAACUACUACUUGUCUUAUUAUAGAUUCCCUCGCCUACAGCUACGGAUGAUCAUCAAACAAAAAAUGCAUAUAUUAUGGCAGAAGUAGCUGGAUCAAAGGUCUUAACAGAAGAUGAGCUUGAUUCAAGUAGUCUUGCAACUGCAAUUGAUGAAAUUUUAGGUAAGUUAGAAGUCUUCUUUUUAUAUCUGUGUGCUUUUAGGCUAGCAAGCUACAAAACUACCAGUCUUCUUUCCAUAAGAAUAGAAGGAAUUAGUAGAUCAUGUUAUCAAACUAAAUAUUGGUAUAUCAAUCACAGACUUUGUACUUGGUGCCAAAAUUUAUUGGUUUCUUUUUUUAAAUUUACCAUCAGUACGCAUAUAUUUAGAUAUUCCUCUUUUAUCAAAUUAGAUGUUUGACUUGUUAUAUGCAACCGCGAUGAAUAACUAGUACAUUCAUUCAAAUUGCAAGCUUUUAAUGGAAUCUAUAACCUAUAUUAGCAGACUAAUUUUCCGUAGGUUCCCCCAAGCAAGGUUGAUGUCAUUGAGAAUUCAUGCAGAGCUUGAAUUAGGAGCUUUUUUUUUCCAGAUCUCCUAAAAUGGUUUGUAAAAUACCAGGGGCAUGUCAAAAGGUCCGAAAAGGAAGUCGAGAAUCUAGAGUUAUUACUUCUCUUUCUUUUCUUGAGAGGUUAGACUAUCUUAAACUUUACCUAGGUUACAUGGACAAAGACACAAGACACGACAUGACUCAAACUCAACGACUUGGCAACUCCAAAAGAAAUAGGACACGGACACGGACACGGAAAGGACACAGUUAAUAAUAAUAGUAUUUUAAUAUAAUAAUGCACAUUUAUCAUGUAUAAAACAUCAAAUUAGUGAAAAUAUUGCUACAUUUCUCAUACAAAUGAAGGAAUAUAUAUUUCUUAUUCAUAGUUCAUCUAUUUAGUGAAAGGAAAGAAGUUUUUCACUAUCCACAUUUAAUCUAUAUCCUCCAAAUGAAUUUGUGUAUGGUCCCCAAAAGGCCAAAAUGUUUACUACCUCCUAACUUAUAUGCCCAAAAAAGAGCAAAAUAAAAUGUGUAUUAUUAUCUAUUUUAGUGUGAUGAAGCUUCAACAUCUUCAUCAUCAUCACCAUUGACAUCAUCGGUAAGCGUAAACUUCUCCAACUCUGAACCAUUGAGUGAAAGAUUAGCCAACUCAAAAUACUGAUGUCAUCAAAAGAGUAGAAACUAUUAUUAGUGAUAUUUUACAUAUUAGUGUCUCCUUGAUGUUGUAACUUUCUUCCUGACAAAAGAUGCAAGUUGGUAUGAAGUAUGAACAAAUACUAGAUCUUCUGCAUGUUAUGGUGCUAAGUUUUCUUCUCAAAGGAAUAAAUUCUCCAAUUCCUCUCACAACAAAGAGGAGGAACUAGGGUGUCUGAAUAAUUUGAGAGCAAGAGUUUGUAUAGUAGGUGCAUGUACACUAUGAAUAAGCGAUCAUGACUUGGCAUCUAGUACUUCUUUAUCAUGGAGAGACUUAUCACACCUGGACCUAAUUUUUCAAAUCCGGAACCUGACAACUGGCCACAUACUUAGAAAAUAUUUUUCCCUAAGCAUGAAAGGCCAAAUACAAAGUUCCUUUUACAUAUACUUUCAUAAAACAAAAUAUAAAACUCUUCAAAGUAAAACUACCAUAUGCUUCAAAACAAAAUAAAAUAAAUCGUUCAAAUAAAAAUAUAUUCAAAGUCCUCUAUGUCCUUAAACUAAUGUCACAUCCUCUACCGUAACCAUUCUUCCUGACUUCCUACCUGAUACUGUCAAAAACCCUUUGUAAGUGAACAUUCUUCAAGAUUUAUGACCAUCAAACAGUAAUGAGAUAAACAAAAUAAUUAGCGGAAUAGUAUUAUGCGUCAUAUAAAUACAAGGAAUAGUAUUAUACUAUUAUGCACUUUGUCGUAUGCAUAAUUUAUUCUUAUAUUCACAAGUAACCAUAUAACAUCCACAAAUUGUCAUAUUCACAUUUUCAAUUAUUUUCUCAUUGUUUCUCAUUCCUGAGGCUCCUGUCCCAGAACGAAUUAGUUCCCAUUUCCCGAGGCUCGUCUCCCAAAGCAAUCUUCUUUUUUUUGAGUUAAUUCCCAAAGGCGCAUACACUCUCUAGAGAUCCCAACUCCCGAAGGAGAAAUAAUUUUCAUUGCCCAUAUCCUCUAUAGAGUUCCCAAGAUUCAUUUUUUUGAGUGUAGUAGUUCUCAUUCCUGAGCCUCUUUUUCCAGAGCAAACUCCUAUCCCGAAGCGAGAUUGAAUGACAACUCCUCAGUGUAGAUGCCACACUCCAGUACAGAAGCCCAACCAAGAGAGCGACAGAUCCAUUGCACGGACAAAGUCUUCUCCCAUACGUGCAAUGUGUCGGGUCAAAACAGCCUCUACAACAAUUUUAUAAUUUGCAUAAUACAAAGAAAAACUCUUCGAGUGAGUCACUUACGCUACUUACCUAUUUUAAACACAGUUGGAUACCAAAAUUUUAAUAAUUACAAAUUCUUCUACUUAUCAUAAACCUUUCUUAGCUUCUUUAAAAUCAUACUAAUCACAUAAAGUUUAAUUAAAUUAUAUAUUCCAAUAUUCAUUCCAAAACUAGCAUUUUUAAAGUUUUAAUACUUAAUUCUUUAACUUCUAAAAUACUACUAACAAAAUUCAGAGCUAUUUAGAUUCUAGCUAUUUUCUUGCUUUCUCACCAUCUGGUCCGCUACCACUAUCUAAAGCAUUACCUAUAUAAAAAGAAAUGGAAGAGGGGUGAAAACUUUAUAUAGUAGUUUUUAGUAGGUACAACUACAAAAAGAGCUGAUAUGUACUCACUAGGUCCAAUUACAGGUAUAAUAGAAACAAGCAAAAGUAACUGUAUAAGUGAUGACAAUAGAAAUUAGAUAAAUAGUGAAAUGGAUAGUAACUAUUCAAAGAAUACUAUGCCUCUACUACCAUUACAAGUUAUGUCACGCGCCGAGCUACAGGGGAAGCCUCCGGGUACACCAACAGUUUGUCGUAUGUAGUAGGACGCACCCUGCGUAUACGAAGCGUCUACAACUAACCUGUCCAAAAUAUGUAACAUAAGUGUAUAUAUAUAAAACAUGUAUCAGCGUCUAAGUACCACUAUACAAAUAUAGCUAUUACUGUACAUAGAUCAUCCAUACAACUCCAAAAUAAUAUACAACUCUGUCGGCCUCCUCUGGCUCAAUAUGUGCAGUCAGCUAUAUAGAUAUACAUCAGGUGGUCCUCCUCUAGCAUAUAUCUGGGUAGGAUAUGCUAUCUAGCUCGCGAUCUUUCUACCUCGAUCGGUUGCCGGCAUUGAGGGCUCUAAAAUAAAAACAAUAAGGGUGAAAACUGCUGAAAAAUCGUUUCUAGUGGGUACAGUCGACGAUAGCGACGACCUACACCACUAGGUAUAUCAGAGUUUCAAUAGUAAAAACUGAACUGAAUAAAUAAUGAUAUACUGAACUGGAAUAAACAAUUGCUAUUAUCAACUGCUAUUAUGCCUCUACAACUAAAUAUUGGAAAUUGUAAAUCAGGUAUCAUAUGCAUCAAACUGAAAUAAUUGAUAAUGAUAACCAAUGCCAUAUUACCCAUUCGCAUUGACCGACUUAACAAGUCCGGUCAAGCCUGUGCUGUCUCAUGUCCAGCCCCCACCUAUUGUGGUUCGCUACCAUGUAGCUCACUGUCACAAUUGUCUCACUAGGCUAACCUCCGAAAGGCCAUUGGCAGGGUAAGACCCCAACCGAGUAUUAAUAUUAAUAUCAUAUCACAUACGCUGUCAAGCUCAAUUUGACUUUGCAGACUAUAGUCAUAUUUGAUGAUCAACAAGUCAUAAUCAUACUAUGAUGAUCAACGAGUCAUAAUCAUACUAUCAUGUGCCCCCUUGGCUCUUUCAUAUCAUAUCUCACCGUCUUUUAUAGUUUAUUUGCCCUUUCGCAUUUUUUUUCAAUUUUCCACGUCCUGUGCUUCCUGGCACCUUUUUACAUUUUCUCACAUAUUGCAACACAUAAAUAUGAACGCAGAAAAAUUGGUCUCAAAAGAUAGAAUACAGCUCAAAUAUGUUGACAGUGUACUCAACGAAGUAAUGAAUUCAAUUCAACCAUGAUCUCUCUAUCACAGUCAAAGUAGAUGUUACAGUAUUGCUAUCAUGAUCAUAAUUAUACCAAUAAGAUCAUCUACAUUUCACAAGAAUAUGCGACAUGUAGACAGUGAUUAGUUCGCCGAUUUCGGUGUGACAAAAUACCCAUCUAGUAGACGCUGCAAAGAAGGCAAAGAGGGUACGCUUGACACCCCUCAACAGCACCACCAACACUAGCAACAAAAAUCCAACAUACUCAACUCUUGAUCAUACAACCAUGAUACUCAAUUACCAACUGUUAUACUACAAUUAAUUAUACUCUUGCUUUCAAUCUUUAAACACAUCUGUCACUUACCUCAAAUCCAAUAUACUCUCCUGCUCACUCGACAGUAACAAUCCGCAGCUGCGUAUGCUCCUUAGAUCACCAACAAGAACAGGGAUCAACUUCUGGGCCCUCCUAAUAAGAGCCCUAAACUUAGUUAGGAGGAGAAAGAUAGGAGAAAGUAAAGAAGAAAAGGCUGGUUAGUUGGUAGAUGAAGAAAGAGAUUUAUAGGUCUAUAACAAUGGCAAAAGAGCCCUCAAACAAUCCACAGAUGCCCCUCAGUCCAGAACAAGAUUCGGGCGCCCGGAACCAUAUUCAGGCGUCCGAUUCCUCAUAGUUCAAUGGUUUCAGGCGUCCCCUGUUGCAAUCGACCACCCAAAAAUUACGAAGCACUUCUAGCUCAGCCUUUCGGGCGUUUGAAAACUCACGUAGUGACUCACCAGCUCACUGCUUGCUGCCUUUCACAACCUUAUCCUCAAACUUUCUGGCAGCUACAGUGCCUCCGGGCGUUUGCAACCUCGUGUGAGCACUGAUUUCACCCUUUCGGACCAACUUGCAACACAUAUGGGUGUCUGAAACCUCCACUUGAAUAUUUCAGGUGUCCAGUCCACCAUCUAGAUCAUCCGAAUCCAUCUAUCUCCUCAACUGAAUUUUUGCGUGCCUACAAAGUCUUCCAGGCGUCCGGUAAUACUCUGAAACCCAACUUUCAGUGUAAUUCACUUCUAAGUUCCGUUUCCGCAUCAAUUUUGAUCCAAAGCGAAUUCAACGCAACCCAAAGAUCUCCAGAAGUGCUAAUCAGCAUCGCAUAUUGCGACCUUGCUAGUUUGCAAAGGUCUAGUAUAUUACAAGUUAUCUGUCUCAAGAGUAUGAAAAACUAAAGUUUAAGAUAUUUUGCAUCAAUUAUCCUGACAUCGACAAAUAUUAUGAUUAUUAAUCUAAUCUUAUUAGCCUACCAUUAGGACUCAGCCUUAGAGAUAUAAACCAUUCCACUAUGGAGGGAAGCACCGUAUUUAGGGUUGUAGUCUCUUUCUAAGAACAACAUAUAUCUUACUUAAGAUGGAAACUCACGGUUGCGAACCUUGCCUAAAAGUAACACCCCAGGGCUGAAGUACUCGGUGCUGCGAACCUUGUAUAGGAACAAUAGCUCUAUGCAUGUGUUCGAAGCUUCUAAACAACUUUUGUUUCCAGUGAUUUUCUAUAGUACAACACAUAUCUGAUGAGGAGCUAACAAUAUGAUGCGGUCAAUUUAGCAUUAGAGUUCAUGGAAAAGCAUGAUUCAACCAAGUUGAUUCGAAAAUCCCGUUGAGUUCGGCAAUUUUUACUAUCGGCACGGAAAAUCUAUAAACGGCCAUAACUUUUCGCUCUGGGGUUCAUUUUCAGCGUGCAACCCCAAUUUGGAGAACACUUUUUGAGAUCUACGUAUCGAAUGGCAAAGCCGUAUCGGUCGAGUUUGGGACUCAAAUUCAACUGUUUAGGCUUUCUUUUUUGUAUUUUUAAGUUAUUUUUGGAAAGUCUUGUAUUUUUUCUAUUUUGAGUCUGGUUAUUUGGUUAUUUCUAAUCAAUUUAGGUUUAGAGAUAUAUUAGAAUUUGAAGAUAUAUAUUAGAAUUUGUUAUCUUCAGUCAUAAUAGGAUUCGAAUAUCCGACCCUAUAUAUACGUGGCGUUCGGGUAAUAUAACUAGUUUUUAGAGUUGAUUAAUAAUUUUUUUCCUAUUUGUUGAAGAAUUGUGUUCUUCGUGUAUCUCUCUCUUUCCGUUCUUAUGCUUCUUCCCUCUCAAAGCUGCUUUGACUUGUGUCACUAUUUCUUUUAUAACGCAACGUUUCAUUGACACCAACUAGCAUGCUUACUUUAGAAAACAACAAAGAAAGAAAUAACACAUAAAGAGCAUAAACUAUCAAUAGAAUACAUGCUUUUCGGCAUAAUGAAUUGAGAAUAUAGAGCCAGAGUAAAAGAAUUAUAACAAAGAACUAAGAUAUGGAUUAUGCUGAAAAGAAAAUUAUUAGAUAUAUUGAGAGAUCAAAGCACCAUUAGGAUUAGCUUACCCAACCUCAAUUAGAGUAGUCCUCACUAGUUUGCGAUUUUGAGGUGUCUUGUUAGUUCUCCAAAACAUACAUAAUUCAGUGUCUUGUUACUUCUCCAAAACCUACAUAAUUCAUGUUCCUAGUUAAGUAUUCUAACUAGUUGUAUUGGAUUCAUUUUUCAUAUUAUUCUAGAUUGAACAACUACCUUAAAAGUUUUAAGUCCUUACUACUUGCUAAAAUGAGAAUUUUAUCAUUCAUUAAUUUUUCAUGAUUUGAGGUAUAUACAAACCCUUCAUGCAUAAUAAAUAGUCAUUUCCAUGAAUUUCAUACAAACACGCUUUAAAUCUAAAUUUUGAAGCUUAGAAUAUCAAUUCUAACAAAAUAAUAUUUGCAGGAAACAUCAAAUCCAAAAAUAACUAGAUAAUUACCACUAAUCUUAACCUUAAAAAUGAGGAAAGUUUUUCAUUGUAAUUACCUCCUUAAAUACCUGUUUCAAAUCACCUAACAUACGAAAACUCCAAAACUUGAAAAUUUACCCUCUUGGCUCAAUCAAAUUUUCAUAGAGUUUCAAGAUCAUCUGGCCUAUUAAAAUAAUUAUUCUUUCAUUUUUAUUUACUCUGAUUAACUGGUUAAGAGAUCCCAUCAUCAGGUUGUCACAGAAUAUUAGAGUCUUAGAAUCAUGACUAGCUCCUAUAAACAUUGUAGGAAUUUUCAGAGAUUGUUUCACCUAUAAGCUUCUCAUGCUAAAAUUCAAUUACUACCGAGUUUAUGCAACCCUGAUUGGUCAUAAAUAAAUAAUAAAGUCUAAAUUAGAACUGGAUACUGCAGUAGAACAUUCUAGCUAUCAAACUAUGUGAUUUGUUCGCGAGCUUGUAAACUGACUGCUUUUUCUAGUGGCGUGUUUGCGCUACCCUUUCUCUCAUUGCAAGGAAAACUCUCAAGUGGAAACUAAUCUUAGAAACUGUACAGGAGACAAGAAUCUAAUGGCAGAGAUGUCUGAGAAGGCACUAAGUGUGGCACGGCCGAAUGCAUCUGUUGAAAUUGCUCGAUGCAUUCUAUCCCUUGUCAACAAGCCCACUCCAAAGUGAUGAGCUGAAAAAUCUCUUGAAAAAGGGUUAAAUUUAUUCCAAUAGCUUCUUUGCUAUAGUUGCUCAUUUAAUUACAUUUGUUGUUGUUUUAUAUGAGGAAAUUUUCAUGUGGUUCUGGAGCACGGGAAGUAGGGUAGGAACUAGAAUAAUUUAUGUUAAGCUGUUAAAGCAUCUAGCUUUUGUGAUUUUGGUCUCUGUUAGAUGUGCUGGACAACUAUGCAUGUUGGGUAACACAUGUAAGAUGUAUCUACUGUUAGUGAGAAAAUGUCUUUUUGAGAAUCAGAUAUUUCAGUAAAUUCCAGAAUGUAGCAAUUCAUUGAAGUCCUAUUGCUGAAUGUUUACCAUUUGUGGAAACUGAUGCAAGUAGAAACAAGAGAAAGAAGUGAAAUCAGAAGCACCGUUAACACGGCUUGUUCUUUACUGUUAAGAAACGACAGUUAAGAGGUAAGAUUCUGCUGCAAUCUAUAAUUCAUUGUCUUUUGACUGUUGGGUUCUUCCUUAUUCGUCCGAACAACUAGUUAGGAUGAAUGUCUAUGAAUGUUAUUUGAAGUGCUUGUAAUUCCUUAUGCCAAAAAUGAUCUCCUCCAACACCACAAGCAAAUAUUACGACUAAGAGAAGGGAAAAGAACACAUGUUCCACCCUAUUAUUCGUAUACGAAACAUAUGUAUCUGCAUGUAUUUAAUUCAGUUCGUUAAUACAUGUUGAAUAUAUUUAAGAGGUGGACUUGUAUUGGUAAUUAGAGAAUAUGUUGCUUGCAUGUGAUAUUGUGAGACAAAGUGUUAGAUAAUUUGUUGUAGGUGUUUCUGAUGUUUUAGAUGAUACAACUAGGUAUAUGAAUCUCUCAGUGAUCAAGGUCAGAAUAAUUGACUCAUAAUAUGUUCCAGAUUAUGACAAUGAUUGGAAUGUAUUUUUAAUAAAUUUUUUUCUUUGUUCGAGUAUAUAAUAAUUUUUGGAUGAUAAAAAUCUGUUAAGAAACAACAGUUAUCGAAUAUAUAAUAAUUUUUGGAUGAUAAAAAUCUGUUAAGAAACAACAGUUAAGAGGUAAGAUUCUGCUGCAAUCUAUAAUUCAUUGUCUUUUGACUGUUGGGUUCUUCCUUAUUCGUCCGAACAACUAGUUAGGAUGAAUAUGUCUAUGAAUGUUAUUUGAAGUGCUUAUAAUUCCUUAUGCCAAAAAUGAUCUCCUCCAACACCACAAGCAAAUAUUACGACUAAGAGAAGGGAAAAGAACACAUGUUCCACCCUAUUAUUCGUAUACGAAACAUAUGUAUCUGCAUGUAUUUAAUUCAGUUCGUUAAUACAUGUUGAAUAUAUUUAAGAGGUGGACUUGUACUGGUAAUUGGAGAAUAUGUUGCUUGCAUGUGAUAUUGUGAGACAAAGUGUUAGAUAAUUUGUUGUAGGUGUUGCAGAUGUUUUAGAUGAUACAACUAGAUAUAUAAAUCUCUCAGUGAUCAAGGUCAGAAUAAUUGACUCAUAAUAUGUUCCAGAUAUGACAGUGAUUGGAAUGUAUGUUUAAUAAAUUUUUUUCUUUGUUUGAGUAUAUAAUAAUUUGUGGAUGAUAAAAAAUUUGUUAAGAAACAACAGUUAAGAGGUAAGAUUCUGCUGCAAUCUAUAAUUCAUUGUUUUUUGACUGUUGGGUUUUUCUUAUUCAUCCAAACAACUAGUUAGGAUGAAUGUCGAUGAAUGUUAUUUGAAGUGCUUGUAAUUCCUUAUGCCAAAAAUGAUCUCCUCCAACACCACAAGCAAAUAUUACGACUAAGAGAAGGGAAAAGAACACAUGUUCCACCCUAUUAUUCGUAUACGAAACAUAUGUAUCUGCAUGUAUUUAAUUCAGUUCGUUAAUACAUGUUGAAUAUAUUUAAGAGGUGGACUUGUACUGGUAAUUGGAGAAUAUGUUGCUUGCAUGUGAUAUUGUGAGACAAAGUGUUAGAUAAUUUGUUGUAGGUGUUGCAGAUGUUUUAGAUGAUACAACUAGAUAUAUAAAUCUCUCAGUGAUCAAGGUCAGAAUAAUUGACUCAUAAUAUGUUCCAGAUAUGACAGUGAUUGGAAUGUAUGUUUAAUAAAUUUUUUUCUUUGUUUGAGUAUAUAAUAAUUUGUGGAUGAUAAAAAAUUUGUUAAGAAACAACAGUUAAGAGGUAAGAUUCUGCUGCAAUCUAUAAUUCAUUGUUUUUUGACUGUUGGGUUUUUCUUAUUCAUCCAAACAACUAGUUAGGAUGAAUGUCGAUGAAUGUUAUUUGAAGUGCUUGUAAUUCCUUAUGCCAAAAGUGAUCUCCUCCAACACCACAAGCAAAUAUUUUUUUUUUUUUUUUUUUUUGAGAGAUAGGUAGCACGCUACCCGCUUCGUUUUAUUUCAUUUAGAAUAAACUUAGCUAGAAAUGUGAAUCAACUAGGAUUUGAACUUGGGACCUCGGGUACCAACCACCAAGCCCUUUGCCACUUGCUCUAGGGAUGGUUGGUCACCACAAGCAAAUAUUACGACAAAGAGAAGGGAAAAGAACACAUGUUUCACCCUAUUAGUCUUAUACGAAGCACAUGUAUUUGCAUGAAUUUAAUUCAGUUCAUUAGACCUCUGCAGUUUAAGCUUUAAUACAUGUUAAAUAUAUUUCAGAGGUGGAUUUGUAUUGGUAAUUAGAGAAAAUGCUGCUUGUAUGUGAUAUUCUGAGACAAAGUGUUAGACAAUUUGUUGCAGAUGUUGCAGGAGUUGCAGAAGUUUUAGAUGAUACAACUAUAUAUAUAAGUUAGGGCUUUAAAUGUCUCAGUGAUCAAAAUAAUGGACUCAUAAUAUGUUGCAGAUUAUGAGGGUGAUUGCAAUGUUUUUCAAUAAUUUGUAUUUUUCUUUAUUCGCUAGAAUAUAUAGUUAUUUUUGGAUGAUAAAAAAAUGUUGAUUUGGUGUUUGAUAAUCUUUGCAUUUUAACUAGUGCGGUCUAUGGUUAGCAUGGUGGACCUGGUUGAGUUCUUGCAUCCCUAACCAAAAUUACAGUGGCUACAAAAAAGCACCAAUACACUGGAAGUGCUUGUGUGUGUGAAAUGUGAAAUGUGUGUUUCUGUGUAAAAAAUGUGUGUUCUUAUCUCCACAUCAUUCUCUCUUCCUUCUCAGUUGCACCCCUGAGAAGUAACUGUGUGUUGCGUGUGCGCACGUGCGCAUGUGUGUGUUUAAUGAAGAUGCUUGUAGGACACAACUCUUAUCUGCAUGCAUUCAGAGAAGGCUUUUCGGCUGUUUCGACGUCAAAAUAGCUGCGAAAAUGCACUUGGGACCUAUUUGAAUGCUUUGUGUUCAGCACCUCUUGUUGGUUUACGGAGGAGGGUAUGUUGUACUUGUUUGAUUGGAAAGUAUGAAAAGAUCAUGUCUACAACUGCAUUGUAUAUGCAAUACAUAAACCCUUGUUCUUCAAAUGUGACUAAUCUCCUUGUGGGUGAAACAUACUUCAAGCUCCUUGAACACACUGUUAUUAUUUAGGAUUCAUCUUUUACUCCUUAAAGGAAAUUUAGUAUGUCUGGAGAAAUCGGUUAAACUUGGUUACUAUUCAAUGAUUGGAUUUGAUUAAAUUCAACAAUUCCGGUAUCUUGGAGAUUCUCUGAAUUUUGAAGGAAUGGCCUAUUUGUUUUUUGGGAUCUUAUAGAGAUUGAACUCGUGGCUUCGAGAAAGUCGUCAACAUCGGUGACAGCGUAGUCACGAGUUUAUCUGAACUUUCACUCACAACUGUACAGAGAUCGGCCUUUCGACUUUUGUUGGAUGUUGGGCGAAGUCGAGUUUACGAAACUCCCCGGUUUCUCACUUUCCGACUUACCGGCUUUCAAAUAGGGCCAAAUUGACCAAGGAAAAAUUCACUUCGAAACAAACAGUUUCCGAGAACAUGUGCUGGUCUCUUGAUAGGUAUGAUACCUGGAGCCCAACGUUGGAUUUGACCUGCGCAUCAAGGAAGAUCAUGCGACUGAAUAGUCAAAUUUAUCUUGAAAUAACUAAAUAGUCAGAUUUAAUUUUGUAAAUCAUAGAGUAGCAAAGUGAAAAUGCGCCCUACUAGAGGGGUGCGCAUUGAAGUUUAUCCUGAAACUUAUUAAUUAUUGGUAAGAAAAAUUUAAUUUUUUGUAAAAUUUGGAUAAUUUAAAAUCAUGUCAAAGUUUAGAUGGUUGGAAAGUUUGCUCAUCCCCGAGAAUAGGUGGGCCUAUUUUAGUUUAGCUAAUACACUGAACUGCUAGAGUGGAUACCUAUUAUUAAUUAUCAACAGUUUUUUCUUUUUUUUUUUAAGAGAAAGAUAGUAUAUUGCUCGUUUCGGUUUUUUUUUUAUUUUUUAUUUUUUUAUUUUUUUUAUUAAGACACGAACUUAAUUGAAAAUGUAAAGUAAUUAGGCUUUGAGGCUGGGUCUCGGGCUAUCAACCAUUGAGCCAUUUGUCACUUGCUAAGUUGUACUUUUCAUCCCCAAACUAUGAGCCACGUGAUACUUUGAUUCUCAAACUUUAUUUUAUUGUAAUUUCUAACUUGAACUUUUUAUACAUUUGUAAUUGAAUCUUAUCAUGAUAUUUGUUUGCUGAAUGCUGAUAUGCCGUUGAUGUGGCAAUAAUAUAGCAUUUUUAUUAUUCUUAUAUCUUUUUUUGAGAAAUAGAUAGCACGCUACUCGUUUCGUUUAUUUCAUUUAGAAAUAAACUUAGCUAGAAAUGUGAAUCAACUAGAAUUCGAACUUCGGUCUCGGGUACCAACCACCAAGCCCUUUGCCACUUGCUCUAGGGACGGUCGGUUAUAAUUCUUAUAUCAUCAACUAUAAUAAUAUUAUAUUAUUGUCAUAUUAGCGACACAUUAUAAUUUAGUCAAUUAAAUUAUAGUCUGAAACUUAAUUACAAUAAUUUAUAAAAUUUGAGAAAAAAAUUAUAGUGAGUCAUAGUUUGAGGACCAUCUAACCAAAAAUAUAUUUAUCAACAGUACCUUUGGCUCUGAACAAAAGGAAAAGGACAUCUGGGGAAAAGUGCUCAAAGGUGUCAGUGAGGUCCUGUGAAGUUGUGGAAAAGAAAAAGAAACAAGCAGCAGAAAAACCCAGUAACUCUACAGGUUACAUAGCACAGGUUUGUACCAGUAUACAGUGGAGGAUCUCUAGAUUUUAGUGCAUCUUUUCUGGGGUUUUUAUCAUGUGUGAAAUUAUUCCACUCAAGGAAAUUACUGCUUGGUUCCUCCUUUUUGAUUGGUGAAUUAGGACAAAAAUUUUAGGGAUAAUUAUCUGUAUACUCUUCAUACAUUUAAAAAUAUCCGAUUUAUUCUUUUUUUUUUCUAAAAUAUUUCUCAUAUGUUCCACCGUUAUUGUAAAAUACUCCAUACAGUUAUCUUCUAUUAAGUUAACUUGCAUUAAACGUGAGUUAAAUAUCUACCACAGUUAAAAAAAAUUAAAAUACCAAUUUUGCCCUUAAUUUAAGGGUAAAUAAGAAAUGUUGGUGACGGUAGACAGGUAUAUUUGAAAGACCAAAAGACAAAAUAUUUUUUGUGUCCUUGACUUUAAGGGGAAAUAAGAAAAGUAAGUGAUGGUGGAAGGGUAUAUUUGAAAGGGCAAAAUAGUAAUUUUAUAGAGAUAAUAGGGUUCAUUAACAGAUUUUAACUCUAAGGGUAUAUUAGAAAGAGGUUGGAACGUAAAAAAGAUAUUUUCAAUAUUAGCCUUCUAAGAGGGGUAAAUUAGAAAUUUUGACUGAAAGAUACUAAAGAAUAAUGAGAAGCUCCGAGGGAGGUGAUUCUAGUUAAAGAAAGAUCCAAAAGAAUUUGUAAAGCGCAAUCAAGAUACAUGUUCAAAUUUUGCUCGAACAUUUGCUCUCUCUACAUAUAUGUGUGUGUGUGUGAAUUGAGCUGAAAUACUAUUAAUAGUAUUUGAACUCUUUUGCUAUUCAGUUUUUAACCUUUGGAUAAAAAAUUGUAGCGUUAGGAUGAUAGUUGUCCCCUAGAGUUUAGUGGUGGUUCCUCUAGGUUGAGUGGGUGGUUGGUUGAACAGUAUAAUUUAAAGGGUGGAAUUGAUUAAAGUGUAGAUUACACGCCCAAAUAGUCUCAUAUCGGAUAGACGUCAAGGUCUAAAUAGGAGAGUUUGUAACACCCCAAUAAUUCCACAUCGGAUGGAAAAGAGGUUCUGAUUUGGUAUAUAAGAGAUCUCCAUGCUAGUAAUAAUAAUUGGACUUAAGCAUUUUGGGUUUGGUGGUUUGGGCUUAAUGAGUUAUUAUUACUAGUAGGUCAGGUCGUUACAAUUAGUAUCUGAGUCGAAAGUGUGAGAGCUAAGUGCUAUAUGGGGCAAAGGGUGCUACACUAACGGGUUUGGUGGGUCACAUUGCCUGGUAAUUCUAGUUUGCAUCUAUGAUCUGGUUUGGACCUUAAGAGGACGUUAGAGUCUAAACAUGGGGAGUUUGUAAUGUCCCAAUAGUUAUAGUCCCACAUUGGCUGGGAAUAUGAUUCUGAUUAGAAUAUAUGAGGCCUACAAGUUAAUAAUAACGACUGGACUUAAGUAUUUUGGGCUACUGGUUUGGACCCAACAAGUUAUUAUUGCUAGCAGAUCAAGUCGUUACAAUUGGUAUUAGAGCCGAAUAUUAGCCAGAAGUGUGAGAGCUAAGUGCUAUGCGGGACAAAGUGUUAUACCAACAGGUUUGGUGGGAGCCACCUCUUGAACCAGUAGGAGCCUCCCUCUUGAACCCGUAGGAGCCACCUUUAGAAUCUCACAUCGUCUGAUCUGUAUAUCUAAGUUUGGACCUGAUGAGGACGUCAAUGUCUAAAUAUGGAGAGUUUGUAAUGCACCAAUAGUCCCACAUUGAGGGUCUAAAUAGGAGGAGUUUGUAACGCUUCAGUAGUCUCACGUCGGAUGGGAAAGAGAUUCUAAUUUGGUAUAUAAGAGGCCUUCGCGCUAGUAAUAAUAACUAGGUUUAAACAUUUUGGACCAGGUGGUUUGGACCUAACGAAUUAUUAUUACUAGUGGGUCAGGUCAUUACAGUAGAUUUAAUGGCUAAAAAAUCGAUAAUAAAAAGUCCAAAUAUUAUUAAUAAUAUUUUAGCUCAACUCUCUCUCUCUCUCUCUAUAUAUAUAUAUAUAUAGAAUUUCCAUAAGAAGAUUGCAUUGGACACAUGCAUAUAUAGAAAUCAUGUAUAAAAAUGGUUGCAUGCUAUGGUACUAUUUGAUUUGAUUUUUGAAAUUAGUGCAUGAUAUAAUUUGAAAUGUUAUACUUAUACCAACUGGGAGGAUUUUAGGUUCAAGAGGAAUAAUAUGUUAGAAACUUUAUAAGAAACUAGAUCGUACCUUCUGCCAUGAUUUCGAUUUCUGUACCCGAUUUGUAAGCGGCAAUCCUUACUCGUGGUUCGUCCUCGUUCGUGAUCUGCAAGAAGACGGGACGUUUCGAGUCUAAUUCCCUUAUCCCCGGAGAUGGAGCCGUCACAGACAAUUGGAUUAGGGUUAGACCGGGACUCCCGUAUGUUACAUAUUUAUAUAUAACAUAAUGUAAGGAUGUUAAAUCACGUCCGUCCAUCAAGGACGUGUCCAGAUACAUCAUAACCGUAAGAUCUAAAAUAUCUUUAUAGAUCGACUUAAAUAAAUUGACCGUAUCUUUAUGGAUCGCCUUGAAUAUAUCACGUGGGCCACAUCCAACAUGAUAAUCUAUUUCUCAACUAAUUUUCGAACUUUGCACACUAUUGCAUUAUUGUUAUGCAAUUUGUGUAAUUGCUGUAAAUUUAUGUUGUGUUUUUUGAUAAUUUUCUGUGCGUUUUUUUUUUUAUUUUUAUGUUUGUUCAAUCAAGUAUGGUUUCAACUAAAGAAAAUAGGCCAAUUUGCAUAAAAAAUCUAUUAGUUUUGAGCUUUUGUAAAAGUAGGCCGCCUUUUUAGAUUUUGCAGAUUCGAGCCGAAUUUUCAAAAAAUUGAUCAAAAUACCCUUAUUCCUUUUUCUCUCUCCUCUUUUUUUUUUUCUUUUGGUCCGGAUUUUUAAAAAACUGAUCUUUAUAUUUUUUUUUUUUUUUUCUUUCUCUCCGAAGAGGGCGGCAGAGGUGGAGAUGGAGGCGGAGGCAGCCAGCCUCGUCUCUGUCUCGUGCGUCCUCGCCCUCGGCCUCGCUCGUACACCUUCCCUCCGCCUUUUUCGCCUUCAACCCUGCCGAGGCCGCCCCUCGAUCCUCCUUUUUUUUUUUUUCCUCCGACCCUCCUCCACCGCCUCCCCAGCUCUUUACAAUAGUAAAGAGGGCAGCGUCACGUCCUUUUCCUCUCCUUUUUUUUCUCUCGUUCUUUUUUUUAUCUUUGAUCCCCCUCUAUCGCCUUCGUGACCCUUCGCGACGGUAACGAGGAUAGCGCCAUAUCCUCUUCCUUCGCUUUCGCAGACGCAGGUACCGAUGCUGGUGUCGGAGAAGGAGACUCGAAACGAGUACGGGUGAGAGCGAUGCAAAGAAAAAAUAUAUAAAAAAUAAAAAAAUAAAAGAAUAAAGAAUAAAAUAUAAGAAAAAAUAGUUUUUUCUACAAGAAAAACAAAAUAUCAAAGAGAAAAGAAGAAGAAGAUGAAUUUGCACCAUUUCAGGAGAAUGUUACAGUAUUUUAGGAAAACGUUGUACUAUUUUUGAAAAAAUUUAUACUCUUUGAGAAAAAAACAUACUUUUUUUAAAUGAAAGUUGCUCUAUUUGAACGAAAGUUACACUUUUUGACUAAAAAUUAUACUAUUUGGUCAAGAAUUACACUAUUUCUCCUCCUCCUCUUUCUGGUCACCUAGUGUAAUUUUCGGCCAAAUAGUGCAAUUUUUGUUAAAAGAGUACAACUUUCGUUUAAAUAGUACAAUUUUCAUUUAAAAAAGUAUAUUUUUUCUCUCAAAAGGUAUAAAUUUUCUAAAAAAUAGUAUUUUCAUUUAAAAAAGUAUAUUUUUUCUCUCGAAAGGUAUAAAUUUUUUAAAAAAUAGUGUAACGUUUUAAUAAAAUAGUGCAACAUUCCCCUGAAAUAGUGUAAAUUCAUCAUCUUUUUCUUUUUUCUUUGAUUCUUCAUUUUUCUUGUAGAAAAACUAUUUUUUAUAUUUUAUUAUUUAUUCUUUUUAUUUUUUUUUACUUUCUUGUCACGCUAUCAAGUCCCUUUUGAAAGGCAAUUCGAAAUCAGGCUAUCUUUAUAAAUCCGAGUAAGCGAAAAGCUGUCUCUUUUUUUUUUGAAAUCUGGACCCCAAAGAAGCGCAACAAACCCGCCACAAAUAUAAGAAAUUUUCGAAAACAAACGGCCAGAGUCUUCCUUAUAUUUGCACGGCGUAGCACAUAAUACAAUUGAACAACCCGAUCUUCAUUCACGCACACAACAAAAAGAUGUAUAAGGAUCAACUCAUUUCAACACACAGCUAGAUGUCCUUAGUAACAUCCAUUCCACAUUCAUCCUAGUAGAGCAAGUGGCAAAGGGCUUGGUGGUUGGUACCCGAGGUCCUAAGUUCGAAUCCUACUUGAUUCACAUUUCUAACUAAGUUUAUAUCUAAUAAAAUAAACGAAGCGGAUAGCGUGCUACCUAUCUCUCAAAAGAAAAAAAUAAUGAAUAACAUCCACCGAUAAUCACCAAAGGAGCUAAUGGUAUGAAUAACUGCUACUGCAAGGGAAGAUAGAGAAAAGACCAUGCAUCAACUGCAAUUGAUAGCACAAGUAUACCAAAUUUAUACUGCCGUGUUAGUUUAGGGACCUCAGGCAAACCACAACCGUUCUGUCUGGCAUAUAACCUUAACAAAUGGCCACUGGGCUCAUGGGUUGGCAACCAACCACUUUUUCGAAAAAAAACACCCUCCUGCAGGGGAUCAGUCUGCUGGUGUUCGUGAAAUGCUGUCGAGCUGUGGCGAUCGAUGUGAAUAUGAUCAAUAGCCAAUCGUCAGUGAAUAGCCGACAAUCACUGCCCCUCGGGGUAUACCGACCAAUAGGUCAUCGAACUAUAAGGGAACAUGAGUACUGACCACGCAAGUCAACUAGGAUGGAACAACUCAACAUCUUCUCAAGUAUAUACAAGUACCGACUACUCAAGUCAACUAGGAUGGAACAACUCAAUAUCCUCUCAAGUAUGUAAGUACCGACCACUCAAGUCAACUAGAAAGUACGAGGUCAACAACGACAGGAGCAUAAAGGAAUCGACCACUCUGGUAAACUAGGGUGUAUCCACGAAAAUAGACCUCUCAGGUCAAAAACGACAAGAGUAUAGGGGAACCGACCACUCUGCUCAACUGAAAAGUGUGAGAUCAAUGGCACUAUAAGUAUAUAGGCACCGACUACUCAGGUCAAUAGGAAAAUAAAUGCAAGUGUCACUACCGCUCUAUUUCUAUGUCAUGAGAAAUGGGAGAGUAUACUGAGUAGAGUAAGGGUCGAAGUCAUGUGGUGAAGAGCUCAAAUAUUGAAUAUGUAUAAGUGUAAGCAGUAAAAAAUAGGGAUGACGGGAACAUCAGCGAGCGUACACUACUGAACUGACUUCGGAUCGAAGUACUCACCUGUGUAUGUUGUCGUGUCUAGCUCCUGCGAGGUGAGGGACGCCGACCGGACCACGACUGGUCCACCGAGUCAGGAUCAAAUCCACAUGAUUCAAAACAUAUCGCUUACAAACCCAAAACGGCCUGCGAAAUCGGUUUUCCAAAACUUAUCCCGGAACUCGCCGGGAGUCUCGAAAAUGCACCGGGAUGCCCCCUGGGCCCACGUAACAUCCCUAAAAGCACCAACUCACACCGGGAGUCACCCGCUGUCCAAAAACACACCUAUUUGGGUGUUCGGACAGCAAAUACAAGUUUCGAAGUCAACUUGGUCGUUGCCGAUUCAUCAGAUUUGAAUUGUUUUACACCGUUAAAUUCACAAACGCAUCACAUCGCUAUGUUGAGCUCUUUUGGGUUGAAAGUUUGGCCGACAGGUGCAACCUUGGCGGUCUAAGGCCUUAACUAUUUCUCCAUCCUGAGAAUGACUUGGAAAUCCUCUAAGGGUACCGACAUGAACUUGGCUUUCACCCCACCAUGAGUCGACACCAACAAGCACCUCCCUCGCAAGACUCAAUAAUCUGAGCCUCCGAGCUCCUCGCUGUUAUCUGACUCUCAUCCAUGCAUAGUGUAAGUUUGAACCACCCGGCUUCACCAGUCGCAAAGAAUUAGUAGCCAAAUAAUAUCGAAAAUUUAUGAAAUUUAGUUUCCAAAUACUUUUAAUAGUGUAGAUCAAAUCUAACGGAGUCAAUUGUCGAUUUGGAAGCCACAUCAUUGAAAACAAUUUGGUACCACGGAGACUUCCGUGCUACCGAUAAUAUAAUAGUCUAGCGCUCUCUCUGUCUAUUUCUAUAUAUAUAUAUAUAUAUAUAUAUAUAUAUAUAUAUAUAUAUAUCAACAAUAUCUCCAGCUCUAAACGAAAGGAAAAAGACAGCAAACACCUGGGAGAAAGUGCUCCUGGUCACAAGAUACAGGCGUCAGUGAGGCCCUGUAAAGUUGUGGAAAAGGAAAAAAAAUAAAAUAAAAUAAAACAAACAAACAACAACAGCAGCAGCAAAAACCUGACAAAACCAACAACUGCUGCACCAUAAAUUAGCACAACCAACUCUAUUGGUCACACAGAACUGGAAACAAUGCCACAGUUCAUAGGAGAGGACCUCUAUUACAUUUAUUAUUAUUAUUAUUAUUAUUAUUAUUAUUAUUUUCUGGGUGGGGUUUCACCAUGUGUGAACCUAUUCUACUCAAAGAAAUUACAGCUGAGGUCCCCCCACGUCAGAUGGGUAAAUUUUAGCAGGGCCAAGAGUGGAUCUGAUUCGGAUCCAGAUUUCAGAUAAUAUAUUGUGUUCGUAUACAGACCCGGUUUCUGAUAAGACAUCUGAAUUCGGACCCACCCGUUGGACCCGAUAUUUAGUUAGAUUUUAGAAAAAUUUAUAGAUAAGAAAUCAAAGUAUAAUAUAUGUGAAAAAACAAAUUCAGAAAUAUUUCAAGUUAUAGGGAGCAAUUGGAAAUAUUAGUCUUGUACAAGGACUAACCAUACAGUUACUCCCUUAGGAUCCAACGGCUGCAAUGGUGCCACGCAAGUGGAGCCCACAGCUAGUCUGAUGGUGGAGAGAAUUAUCAUGGGUGGCCCAGCAGGUUAGGCUGGAUUCAUCACUUUGUGAAUUGUCUCGUACAUGCAGAGAACUAGCGAUGCAAAUGGAUUUGAGUUGAUAGAGCUCCUAUAUAUCUUGAACAUGCUCCGAUCUGCAAAGAAAAUAGAGUGGGUGGUGGGAGGAUUUUUCUUCUUUUACUUCAUUCCGAUUCAUCAAAAAUCCAUUAAAAAUCUGCUUCCACUCCAAACUACACCGAUUAAUGGACGGGCAAAUAAGAGCAAAAAAAUAGAAUAAAAAUCAAUCGGUCCUAAAUCCGCCACGGCCGGCCAAAAAAAAAGACCCCCCCUCUCUCAGAUUCGCCUCGUUUGCAUCCCUACAUAGAAACUGUAGCACAAGUACUAUGCUUCAGUGUAGUUGCAGAAUAAGUGGAGUAUAAGUCUGUUGAACAAAGGUAGUUUUUAUGGGCUAAAUUAUAAAAAUUCCCAAUGCCUUGUAGCUUAUGUUCUCUGUUGAAUAUAAAAUAUAUAAACAUUAGUCUCUAAUAGCUUAAGUGCUUAAGUUUUUAUAGAAUAACGAUUAUUUUAUAUAAUUUAACAUAGUACCAAAAUAAUAUAUUUUGAAUUCGAGUUCCACUAGACUACUAGCGUUAUUGUAUUAGAAAUUAUGUCAAUUUACAUGCUACAUUUUGUCUCCAAUUCAAAUAAAUCUAAAUUUGAGAUAACUAUUGCAUUAGUCUGUAAAAUUUUGUAGAAACAAAUAUGCAGAUGGUAUUAGUUAACUCGUUUAAGUAAAAUUGGCCUUUGUUAAUUCAUUUUAGUAAAAUACCAAAAUUUGACAACUAAAUUUAGUAACUAUUCUAUAUCUUUUGGUCUAUUCAAGGAGAAAGUCUAUUAUGUAGCAACAUGACAUCAUCUAUAACUAGCGAAUCGCAUCUCUCUUUUAGAGAAAAAAGUAUAAUAAAAAUAUUUUUUUUAAAAAAAUCAAUGAUAAGAUAGAUGAACCCUAGGAAAGCAAUUAAAUUAGUUGGAGAACACCACAUCAGUAAUGAGACGGCUGUAUUCUAAACCUUUUUUGAUUCAACACAUUAGCAAAGUACAAGGCAAAAAUUAGCAUAAAUUUUAAUGUAGGGAGGUACUUAAGAUAUUGCCUAAAGUGCAUGAGAGAUUUUUAUAAUUUAGUCUAAUAAUAAAGGCUAAAAGGGUACACCCAAGAUAAAAUUGGUGCCAGAGCUGCCAACUACCAAAGCUAAACUAGAUUUCUAUGGCCUAUAAUUGAAUGGCUAACAAAAGAAGCCCUAGAAAGGCAAGACAAAUCAUACUUCAACAGCCUUUUGCUGCAUGAUGUAAUAAUCACCAUAAAGUUCUGUUCCCCACCAUCCAACUCAAAAGCACUACCAUGGUAUGCAAAUUCAAGAUGCUCACAUUAUGAGACAUGGCCUGUUCUCAGAUAAAAUGAAAAAAAAGUAAAUUAAAGGGCACAGAAAUUCUCCUGUUCAUACAUAAUGCAAUGUACCUUGUGGUUCUGUUCAUACAGAGCAAAAUUCAGCAGCAGUAGAUAAUUUUUCUGAAAAUGAAACAGGUUACAACCACAAUUAGCAAUAAUAUUCACUCAGAUGAAACAAAAAAGGAGGAAAAAAGGAAAGAGUUAUGGCCAUAUUUCAUAUGUUUCAACCAUACUAAGUAAUCCAACAUUAGUAGAUUAAAAUUUCACUGAAACUGAUUUUGUUUCAGAAUACAACACUGAACAGACCAAAACAUCAGUUACUAAAAUUUUCUAUGGCUCGGCUUCGAAGUGAUAACAUAGAACACGGAAGAGAACAAGACAUAAUAAGUUCAGCAGCAAAACCAUCAAUAUUUCACAUUUACCAUGUUCAAUUGAACAUACAAACAGUGAAAACAUUAGAUACAUUAUAUAUAAAGCAGCAUCCCAAACAAAUACAAAACUAACACUGUUAAUAUAAAACAUUAGAUCUUCCUCUAUUUAUUGAGCUAAGGAAGAAAAGGGCUCGAUAUUCUUUGAGCUCAUCAAGCUUCAUUACUGUUCUCCUCUUUUGGCUUGCUUACGUUCGAUGAUGAAUUUCUUUGGGUUGGAGAAUGUCCUUUUAUGGACAAUUUUCUUCGGCAUAUCGAUUAGAAAAUGAGGCAACUCCCGUACAACCAAGAACCACGAUCCUUUGUCCGCAAAGUACUUCUAGCGUGAAUUCAUUAGCCUGUCCAAUGUAUCGACAACAUGCCUCAUAGUCGGUCUUCUUUCUGGAUUAGCUUGAACACAAGCCAAAGCGAUUUUAAGCACCGCAAUCAUCUCGUCUUCUCUAUCGACUUCUCUACUAAGGGAUGGAUCUAAGACAUCAGCAAGUGGUUUCUUCUCCUCGAUACAAGAUUGUACCCAUCGAACUAAAUCUAUUUCUAGGGUUUCCAAUAGAACAACCGGUGACCUACCGGAGAUCAUCUCAAGUAAAAUCACCCCGUAGGAAUAUACAUCCCACUUUUGGGAAGGUUUUAACGUUUUCAAUGCUUCCGGCGCUUGAUAAAAUGAUCCUUUGCUCACAAGAGGACUAACUGAGAUAUCGGAUUGUUGGGUCGGAGUCUUUUCUGCAGCCAUUCUAUCUGAUUGCAAGAACGGCGAUCCUCCUGCUAUGUUGGCGAGACGGCCGAGGCCAAAAUCGGAAAUAUAUGGCUCCAUGUCCAUUCCGAGAAGUACAUUGUUGGGUCGGAGAUCACCGUGAACGUACUUCUUCGGGCUAAAUUCAUGCAGAAAUGCUAAGCCCCUGGCUAUUCCUUGCAUGAUUUUUAGUCGAACGUCCCACAAUAGCGGUGUAAAUGCAAUAACUCCGGCUUUCCCUGAAGAUAAGUACGUAAUCACAAACAAAUAAAAUGAUGUUAAGCUAACAUAAAUUGUUUAAGACAUCACAGUUUCCUCUACACACACACAUGCACAUUUCCAUGAUAAGAUAGAUAUCCACAAUUUUCUCUGAAAUAAACAAUUUUAUGCAUUUUUCUCAAAAUAACAUAAUUUUAUGAUGUAUUAUUACUCGAUCAAAUUACUCAAGAAAUUAGAUUGACCGCGACCUGAAUUUCGACAAGAGGUUGCUUGCUUCAGACAUGCACACAUUUUCCUCUAUAUUAUCUGAUUGAGCAUAACUGAUAUUACAAUAAAGCUUUUGUUUUUUGCAUUAUUUUCUCCCAGGAAACACAUUAUAGUAGCAGAAACUACGAUAAGACCGGUAACAUUUAAUCAUGUAAACAGAAUUGGCAGUUUAAGCACUUACCAUGAAUUGCAGCAGUGAGAUUUCCAUUAGGAAUGUAGUCAUAAAUUAGCAACUUCUCGUCGACCGACCAAUAAUAAGCUCUCAAAGUAACAAUAUUAGGAUGCCGCACUUUCCCAAUGGCUUCGACUUCCGUCUGAAACUCCUUGAACCUCUGUAACCCUCCUUCACCAAGCCUCCUCACUGCUAACGUCACACCGUCCUCCAUCACCACCUUGUACACGAUUCCUAUCCCGCUUUUCCCCAACACGAAAGCCGAAGCCUUCAAAAGCUCAUCUAAAUCGAAUCUCACGUGCCGAUCCAACGGCACUAAAUCGUAUUGCUCGAUGUCCUCCGACGGGGUCUCCGAUUCUUCCUUCCUGAAGCAAUUACAAUCCUUUCUACACUUUGUACCCUUAUCGGAGUUCCCACCCUCUUCGUUCUCUCUAGAAGAAAUCGCCCUCCAAUAACAAUAAAAGAAUAGCAACGCUAUAAGACCGAUUCCGAUCACAUCACUCACGACUAUCGCAACCACCGCAUUUCUACUCAACCCUUUCGUACGACCACUUCCGGUCAAAUUGGCACUGGCUUCGACCCCGGAAGGCGAGUAAUUGCUAGGUAGAAACGGAUUGGACGACGGGACAUCAGAAGAGCAAGGGUUCUUCAAUGGAGGGCCGCAAAGGCCCGGAUUCCCGAUAAAGGCGGUCGGACCUCUAUUCUCCAGAGCCCCAUUUUGCGGUAUCGGUCCGCUGAGAUUGUUAUAAGUAAGGUCUAUGUAGACCUUCUCUGGCAAAUUCCCGAGGCUUGGGGGGAUCGAACCGGAGAAGAGAUUAUGCGAAAGAUCGACCGUGCCCUGGAGGCUCGAGAGGUUACCGAUAUCGCUCGGGAUCGGGCCGGUGAACUGAUUGUAAGAAAGAUCAAGUUUCUCCAAUGCAAGCAAUGAGCUCCCGAAACCAUCGGGCAACGAGUUGGUGAAGUUGUUGUGGCUCAAAACUAGGGUUUUGAGCCUCUUGCAUUGGAUCAAUGAGUAGGGCAAAGAGCCAUCGAGGAGAUUAUGUGAAAGGUCGAGGAUUUGGAGGUAAGCGAGGUUGCCGAUCUCCGGCGGGAGGGGCCCAUAGAGGGAAUUGCCAUAAAGGACCAAGCUUUGGAGCCCCACGGCGGCGAACAAGCCGGAAGGAACGGGGCCGAAGAGCCGAUUGGUCCUUAGGUUGAGGUGCCUGAGUGAAGUGAGGGAGCCAAGAGAGGAGGGGAGGGAACCCACAAGCCUCUUCUUGGGCAAGCUCAGGGAGACAACUAGGGCACUGAUGCAGGUGACCCCAUUCCAUGAGCAUGGGUUUGGGUCAGAGGAGUUCCAGUUCAAGAGGGAGUUUCCUGGGUCCUCUCUAAUGGAGGUUUUGAAGGUGAGAAGAGCAAACCCUUCACCAUUCAGAGCAUGGGAAGGUGGAGCAAGAACAAGAACAGAUGGAAUCUUUCAGGAGGCUUACCUCUGCUGGAGAGAUUUGUGAGGAAAUGGGGGAGGGUUGGGUUUUGGAGGAGGAUGAGAGAAAUGUUUAGAGAGAGAGAGAGAGAGAGAGAGAGAGAGAGAGAGAGUNAACAACACUAGUAAGCUCCAAAAUGUAGCAGAAACAAAGAAAGAUGGAAUCUUUCAGGAGGCUUACCUCUGCUGGAGAGAUUUGUGAGGAAAUGGGGGAGGGUUGGGUUUUGGAGGAGGAUGAGAGAAAUGUUUAGAGAGAGAGAGAGAGAGAGAGAAUGGGGAAGAGGGAAAAAGGAACAGGGAAAAGUUGGAGAGAACUCCACUAAGGGGAUUAAAAAAAAAAAAAAAAAAAAACACACACACCAUAUGGAUAGAAGUGUCUGCACACAAAGCCCUAUUCUUAAUGUUGAGUUGUUCUCAAUCAGGUGAGUAUAAGGAUAGGGAUGGGUAGGGAUGCAAACGAAGCGGAUCUGAAAGGAAGGCGAGAGACUCCUGUUUCGCCUCAUGCUCAACAAAUUAUUAUAUGGGUAAACUUCAAAUAUCACCUAUGUGGUUUCGUAUUUUCUUACUUUAAUACCAUGUGGUUUAAAGUGUAUCAAGUUAGUAUUCUGUGGUUUCAUUUUUAUCUUUUUGUCGGCUUUUUCGUUAAUAUUUUGUUAAAUUAUAUACAAAAAAAUAUAAGAUACCCCAUCUAGAUUUAUCGAAUAUUCACUUUGGUACUCUUUAGUUUUAACUUUGUCACUGAUUUAACAAAAAAAAUUAAUGAAAUCGAUAAUAAAAAGAUAAAAAUAAAAUCACAAGGCACUAAAUUGAUACACUUUAAACCACAGGAUACUAAAACGAGAAAGUGUAAAACCACAGGGGUAGUAUUUGAAGUUUUUCCUUAUUAUAUUUGUCUCAUCUCUCACCCUGUUUGCCAUGUCUAAAAAAUCACCUUCAUAGGCUCAUCAAAUCUUUCUUGUUAAAUUUUUAAACUAUAGUUUUGUUAUUUAAACUAAAAUAAGAUUUUAAGAAAAUAAAACUAUCAUUGAAAGUAACUAUAUUUUAAUUUGCAUUUAUAUUAAGAACAAAUCAUAUAUAGAAUGCAACAAUAUUCUAAAAAAAGGAAAGUUAUUCUAUAAUUAAAAUAUAUAUUCAGAAUGGAUUAAGAGCUAGAUUUGGCAGGACGGAUUUGGGUCGAAUCAAAUUUAUCACCACUUCCAUCUUAAAUCUGUUUUGGAUUAUAAAAUCAUUCUGUUUAGUACCCUGAAUCCGUUCACACACACUCGUUUAUCGCCUCAUUAGGGGUGAAUCGGGAUGGGAGCUCCACUAGCAUUGAUCCAUUUGCAUCCCCAGGAUGGGACUAAGUUGUGUGUGCAUAAUUUUAUUUCUGAAUCAGUUGUAUGAAUUGGCCAGUUUAACUCAGUCUACAAUUUACAGAAAAAAAUUCAGCCAAUGAGAACCAGUUCAUAUCAAGAUAAGGACCUUGCUCAUUGGCCCUACUUCUGCUUUCUUCCUAAAAUAGUAGACUCUAGUAGAGCAAUUCGCCNAAAAAAAAAAAAAAAAAAAAAAAAAAAAGGGAAAGAUUCCGAGUAUCACAAGAACCAAUUAGAAAGUUAUAAACCAUGUUUAUUUAUUCAGAAAUCUUGUAUCAAAAUGAGCUUUUGAGACUUAAAAUCCCCAUUUGUACUGUUGGUCGCACGGAAAAGAGAAACACAAUUGGUUUGCGAAAAUCUAGUUUUUACUUAUUCAAUACAAUGAUGCUUCUGAAUCUGAACGAAAAGACAUUUACGAUAUACUUGGCUUUAAAAGUUGAGUCUGAAAUGAGAACCGAUACGGUUGACUCCUACUCCAAUCUUGUGCUCGGAAAGAAUCCUCUUUUGGAUUAAAGUCAAGCGAAAUCUCACUCCAAUGUCGAAUCAAAAUAAUCUAUUCCAAUUCCCAUUUUAGGGUGAGAACCAGACGCACCAUUUCCGUUGGUAAUUCUUAUUCUAAUUUUGUUUUAUGAUUCUAAUAUUGAUGGUAAACCAAACAAUAUACAACUAUAACAAAAUUUUAUCCAAAAAUCAUAAAAUUUUUUGAUAUUUUAAGCAGUAUAUACAAAAACUCUAGUUAGGCUAAAUAAACCGACAGUUUCAACUGUGACAUGUUUAGUUGGACUAGCAUUGGGCCAAACCAGGUGAGUAUAAACCGUUUCGAUUCGAUUUAAUUCGAUUCGAUUCGAUUCGGUUCGGUUUGAUUCGGUUUUAACUUUGGACCAGUUGUACGAGAACCGACCAAGUGGUGGACCAGCACAUUAAUUUAAACCUAGAAGCAUUGAACGAGGAAGUAGUAGCCGUUUAUCACAGUAAUAGUUAAGCCCCACCACAUCGCUCGUGCCUUAAUUAGUAAUUAGGUAAAAAUGUACGGAGACCCCUAAACUAUUGUCACGUUUGAAAAUCCACCACUUAUAUUUCUCAUUUUUUUUGGGGUAAAUUGUAUGGAGACCCCCUCAACUAUAGCCUAUUCGGAAAUAACCCCCUCAUCUAUCCUUUUUUUUGCGUUUGACACCUUCACAACCUCUAUUUCUUUUUUUAUGUCAGUUUUUAUACUAAAAUAAGUUAUAUAAGUUAUCAAAUUUAAUAACCCCAUUAGUCAUUAAUAAUUAAUUGAUCUAAUUUUGCAUGCUAAACAAUUGAUUAAAGAAAUCAAAUCUAGUAAAAUUACUGAUAAAUUUGAUAAAAUCUCCAAACUUUUUGACUAAAACUACUUUUUUCUUAAAAAAAAGCCUUUCUUCUUACAAUUAGCCCAUCCAAGGACUAGUCUUUCUUUCUUUGCCACAUUAAUUUUCUUUUCUUUUUUUUUUGAUAAUUCUCUAACUUUUUUUUCUUAAAAAAAAUUUGAAUGGUUUUAGUCGAAUAAAUAGGAAUUUAGCCAAAUUUCACAGUUUGAUUAUUUAACAAAUAAUAUUGAAACUCUUGAUGACUUGUGAUGCCCCAACUUCCCAGAGAGUCACCCAUCCUACGACUACUUCCGUUCUAACAUACUUAACUCUCUUAACCUCUUGGAUCUAUUCAUAAUCCAAAAUACUUAAGCCGGGUUAAGAAUUUAGUCCUAUUAUAUUUUAUAUAUAGGACUAUCUGGGGUCUCACACGACUAAUAUCUAAUAGUGCAAUUAAAUUCAAUAGAAUUUUUAACUUAAUUAACUAAAAUACGUUAAAUUAAAAAUUAAAAACUAAAAGUGAACCAAUAGUAUAAAAAAGUAGAACCAUACUAUUUUAUACACUCUGCAAGAUGAGAGAUGUUAGAUAUGCACUGAUGUAAAAGUAGAAUUUAUCAAAAAAAAAAGGAAAAUUAAGGGGCCCAAUUUGAAAUUUGCAAUAGUUGAGGGGGCCUUGAUACAUUUCAAAUUAGUAAUGAACUUACACAUCCAUUUUAAGAAGCCUCACCCCUCACCUGUCCUGUCAUUCACAACCUAUGGAGCAAAAGAAAGUGAUAAGGGGGGACCAGGUGUUUCUAAAUGAGGUGGGAGUAUGUUUAACAUCUAUUGCAUUUAUCUGUGAAAAAGGGUACAUAGGAUUCUAGUAGCCUCAUGCUAAACUCUAGGAUGCAUUUGUAACUUGAUUAAAGAGGUAAAAUAUUACUUCUAUAAAUUUUUAUCUCUAAUAACAUAUUUGGCAUGGAGAAAACUAUAUAUAUAUAUAUAUAUAUAUAUAUAUAGUUUUCUCCAUGCCAAAUAUGUUAUUAGAGAUAAAAAUUUAUAGAAGUAAUAUUUUACCUCUUUAAUCAAGUUACAAAUGCAUCCUAGAGUUUAGCAUGAGGCUACUAGAAUCCUAUGUACCNCUCUCUUCUUACUUUAUAUCGUUUUUAUUUUCUCGCUCCCGAUUUUGCUCUUUUUAUUUUCUCUUUUCACUUUCUUUCUCUUUAUUUUCUCUCUCAUCUCUUUUCUUACGUUUUCUCUUUACUUUCUUCAUCCGUAUCUUCGUUCAUCGGACGCUUUCUCUCUAGCCAUUCCUUUCUCUUGCUUUCUCUCAAUAUAUUUUGCUCUUUUCUUAUUUUUCUCUCUUCACUUUCUUUUUCUUCAUCCUUUUCUCUCUCCUCAUUCCUUCCUCUCUUUUUAUUUUCUCUUUCUUUAUUUUCUCUCUCGUUGACUCCCUCUCAUCCCUUUCUCCUUACUUUCUCUCCUUUCUUUUUCUCUCUCUUCAUGCAUUUCUCCUUCCUCAUUUUCUCCCCCCUCUCUCUUUUAAUACUCUUUCUCAUCCCUCUCUUCUUGUUUUAUUUUUCUCCACUGCCUCACUCCUUAUCUGUUUCUCUUUCUUUAUUUUUUCUCUCAUCCCUUUUUUUUUUUUCGCUUCACUUCUCUCGUUCCUUUCUCUCUCAUCGUUUUUUCUCCACUUAUUUUCUCUCUUAUCUAUCUAUACUUUUGUUCAAGAAAUAAUCAAACCUCUACACAAUUUUUUGUUUGGGAAAACUUCAAAUACCACCCCUGUGGUUUCAUACUUUCACUUUAGUACUCUGUGGUUUAAAGUGUAUCAAUUGAGUAUACUGUGAUUUUAUUUUUUUCUUUUUAUUAUCAAUUCCACUAAUUUUUUUAUUAAAUCAGUGACAAAGUUAAAAUUAAAGAAUACUAAAGUGGAUAUUCAAUAAACUUAGGUGGGGUAUCUGAAGUUUUUUAUAUAUAAUUUAACAAAAUAUUAAUGAAAAAUCUGACGAAAAGAUAAAAAUAAAACUACAGUACAGUAACUUUAUACACUUUAAACCAUAGGGCACUAAAGUAAGAAAAUGCGAAACCACAGGAGUGGUAUUUGAAGUUUACCCAUUUUUUUUCUUUUACUGCAGCAAUAUUUACUCCAUAAAAUGUUAUAAUGAAAAUAUUUGACCUUACAACAUUAGAUGCAUUCAUCAUUUUAGGGGUUUUAUGGUUCAUGCAAUUGUAACUGCACUACACUUAACUAUAUACAAAUUCAAGGUGUUUGGUUUUAUGCAUUUAAAUCUGAUUAAUGCAAAUAGAACUAUAUAGGAGGCUCAACUGCAAUGCUUAAAACUAUGCCUAAAUCAGCUGUAGUUUCAACUAUAUCAGCUGAAGAGAGUAAUUUUAAACAAAAGGGAAACUUGCCCCUUUAAUCACCUUUUAAAUAUAUAAAUAUAUAUAUUCCAUAUAAAAUGAUAAAAUUUUAUAGAUUUCUCAACUGCAUGCAUCUAAUAAAUUAUUAAUAAUUGUAUAAUUUUUUACUAUAUUCAACCAGACAAAAUGUUAGUGUGGUUUGUAAUAGUGGAUAUAAGAAAAUAACUUGAAGAAUUAAAAUUAAAAUUGAAUGAAUGAUUGUGUUUCCUUGGUGAAUUAGUUAUUUUUAUGAAAAAAUAUUUUUUUAUUUAAUACAAAGAGAUGUGUCUCUUUACGAAGAAAUAUGUUUCUUCACAAAAAGAUGAACCCUUUGUAAAAAAAAUGUCUUUUUAUUUGUAAAAAAAUAUGCCUUUUUACUAUUUAUGAAAGGAUAUAUUAUUUUUGAAAAGAUAUAACAUUGAAAAUUGUGACAUUUCAUCGUAACCUUUCAUAUCCUAUAAAUAUAAGAUGUUUGAAAGCUUCAAGAGCAAUGCAAUAAAUUCUUUCUCCUUUCUAAUUUUUAACACUAAUUCUUAAAAAAAUUCUUAAGAAAAAAUCUUCAAAAGUACUAUUUGUAGUCUUUCGGUGAUCUUGUUGUAUUCUAAAGGUGAUUUGCUGGUAAUCCGAUAGUAUACAUUUGAGUGGGGAUAAAUAUCACCUUGCACAAAGUGAACCUACACGCCUCAAGAGCAUAAUUGACUUGUUCUUCAUUUAUAUUCUCAAACACAAAAUGUAUAUAUUUAUAACUGCUAUAUUUUUAACUGUAUUAAAACUUUAUUAGAAAUUAAGAUCGUAUCAUCUGCCAUGAUUUCAAUUUCUAAACCUAAAUUGUAGAUGGCGAUUCUUGCCUGUUGUUCGUCUUCAUUCGCGAUCUGCAAGAGCUAGAGCGGAACGUUUCAAGUCUAAUUUCCUUAUCCCCAGAAAUGUAGCCGUCACAGAAAAUUAGGAUUAGUGUUAAACCGAGAUUCCUGUAUGUUACAUAUUUAUAUACAAGUUGAUAUAAGGAUGUUAAAUCAUAUUCAUCCAUCGAGAACGUGUCUAGAUACAUCAUAACCGUUAGAUCUACUGUAUCUUUAUAGAUCGACUUGAAUAGACCGAUCAUAUCUUUAUAGAUCGCCUUGAAUAUAUCACGUGGGCCACAUCUAACAUAUAUAUGUUCAACUAUAUUGUAUUUAUAUUUAUGUGCAACCAACUGACUUUUAAUGGAGAAGCAUUUAUCAAAAUAAUAACUAACCUCACCACAUCGCUCAUGCCUUAAUUAGUAACUAGUGUAGAGACCCGCGCGAUGCAGCGGGUAGAAAUUGUCAUAGUAAAAAUUUAUAAAUUACAUAAACAAACAAAAAUAGAAUUAUCAUAAUAAAAAUUUGCUACUAAAUAAACAAACAAAUAUGUAAAAAAGAAACCGUAGGAUAUAAUCACAUCUAAUUGGUUAAAAAUGUAAAACAAUACAUUAAAAUUUAUAUGUAAUAAUUCAUAUGCUAAUUUAGAGCUGAAUAGAUUUUUUUUUUUUUUAAAAAAACCUUUAGUAGGGUAGGAUUAAUAAUUUUUUUUUCGUCUUUGGCAGAGAUGGGAGUGGGGCGCGGGGUGUGAGAGGGAGAGGGAGUCAUUUCGUCCUUAUACUCCAAAUAAAAAAAUCUCCUAUAGUAUAUAAGAAUAAGUGUACAAUUUACCUAUUUUUACUGCUAAUGUGUUUAAGACAAUGAACAUGCCCAUUGACUAUAUGUCAAAUCCAUUUACCUACACAAAUUAAAAAAAGUAAGAUUAAUUACCUUGCUGAAUUUGUUUCCUUUUUAGGAUAGGAAGAUUUAUUCCCAAUUAGUCCAUUUACCUACACAAAUUAAAAGAAGUAAAAUUAAUUAUCAGACAUAUUGAAUUUAUUUUUUCUUAAGAAUAGAAAGAUUUAUUCUCAUAUAAAAUAUCAUAAUAUACUUUUGGAAAAUGUAUUUGCUCAUUUUAAAUAUAAAUAUGCAUAAGAAAAUCAAAAAUAUGCUUGGCCUCCGCCGUUGUGGUGAUCGCCUUCGCCGCUGCCGCCUAUGGCUCCGUCACCGUGCUCUUUGUCCUCUUCUACGAAAACUUAUAGGUAAACGAAGCCCACAUAUACCUCGAGGCUCGAGUUCGUCGACUUCUAUGAGAGUAAGUAUCGAUUUCUCCAGCGUAACAGCGUCGAAGAGGGAAUCAUAGGGGUCACGCUCCACAGCCGCCGGUGGCACUACAUAGGCGGGAGGAGGUGAGGGCGCGGAGGUGGAUGAGGUGAAGAGAAAGAGAGAGAAUGGGAAAGGAGAAGAAAGAGGGGUAAAAAAACGUUCUCAGAAGAUGGAGAGAUGUGGAAGAAGACUUAAUGAAGAGAUGGGAAGAUGGAAAGACACAAAACUAUUCAAUAAAGUAUUGGGGAUUAAUAUUUGUAACGUUAUGAGAAAAUGGAGGGAUGUGGAAGAAGGCUUAAGAGAGAGAUGGGAAGAUGGAGGGAUACAAAACGGUUCAAUAAAAAAUACAAAAAAAUUCAAGAAAAAAGAAGGUUGUGCCACCUCAGCAAAAAGUAUUGGGAAUUAAUAUAUGUUUAUAGAUUAAUAUUUGUAACGUUAUGAGAAGAUGGAGGGAUGUGGAAGAAGGCUUAAGAGAGAGAUGGGAAGAUGGAGGGAUACAAAACGGUUCAAUAAAAAAUACAAAAAAAUUCAAAAAAAUUCAAAAUAAGGAGGUUGUGCCACCUCAGCAAAAAGUAUUGGGAAUUAAUAUAUGUUUAUAGAUGAGCAAUAACAUUUUUAACAAAUUUUAUCACGUAGUACAGUAGGUGUACUUUUACCACUCAUUCCUAUUUUAAUAAUUUUUUAAUUUUAUAACUUUAUUUUGGGGCUUUUAUAAACUAGGAUGGCGAUUAGAUUACAGGUUACAAUGUAUAAACCCAAUAAUUAUUAGUUUGGAAUGGCACCUACUUUUUUUGGAGGGGAGGGGAAUGCUAAAUCUACCAUAGAAAAGGAUCGUAACUUCUUUUUUUUUUUUUUUUGAGAAAAAAGUAGCAAGCUACCUGCUUCAUUCAUUAAGUGAAAUGAACUAAGCGUACAGUGUGGAAGCAGCUAGGGCCUCAGAAGUAGCGACAAAAGAGUAAAAUAAAGCAGAAAGGAGAAAGGGAAUAAAGACAGAAGAGAAAAGAAAAAAGAUGGGGAAGGCUGGUGUCAUCGGCUGAGCUCGAUCCAGGAAUUCGUCAGUAGUUUGAUGCGUUCUAGAGUUUGGAUGACGUUUGGGGUCUUGGAAUAGAAAAUAAAGUUGUUUCUUUCCGUCCAAAUUACCCACCAAAUUGCCACCAGUGUGGUUAGAGCUUUUGAUCUAUUUGCAUUGUCAAUGAUAGCAGCUAUAUUGGUCCAAAGCUCCCGAACAUCCCACGAAUCCCUAGCAGGUACAGCUCCCCGGAGGAGAAAGAAGCGUGCGAGGACACAGUUGCUGAAAAGGUGGUCACAGCUCUCCAUUGAACAUACACAAAAAACACAGUGUUCAUCAAUCAACAUUCUGUGAGUGAGCAGUCUAUCAGUCAUGGGGAGUCUCUUGCGUAGUAGCACCCAGAUGAAGACUUUGAUUUUAACCGGAAUUUUUAUUCUCCAAAUUUGUUGGUUCAGCAGAACGUACUGUCCUGCGUUGUCAAUAAACCUAUAUAGGGAUUUAACCGUAAAUAGUUGGUUGGAGGUCCACCGCCAUCUGGGCAGGUCCGGGCCUGGGCUAGGGCAACAGUGGAGUAAUAGAUCCUUAAACUGGUUGAAUUGUCUUAGGUUAUCGGGGGAUUGAGACGCCACAAACCCUCUGCAGAUGAAGCGUCAUCUCCAACCAUUCGAGUUCCAGCAUGGUAACUUCUACAAACUCUCAUCCAAACGGUUUUCAGGUUUACCAAACCUUUUAAAAUUUUUAGUUAAAGAAAAAAAAAACAAAUAGAGAAAGGGAGCUUCUGGAUAAGAAAAGUUAUAGAAUUAUAACCCACUCUACAACAAAAAAGAAUUUUAAUCUAUAUAACUCAUUCAAGAGGUUGUAGAGUUUACCAAUCCCUUUUGUGUUUGUAGUUUUUAUUUUUGUUCAUUGAUAAGACAAUAGAAAAAAAAAGGGAGCUUUUUGAUCAGAAAAGUUAUUGGAUUAUAAUCCAAAGUGAGUUGUACACUUAGUACUCCUUUACUUUUUUUGUUAAAAAUAUGUGGAGACCCCUCAACUAUAGGCUAUUCUAAAAUAGCCUCUACUAUUUUCUGGUUUGAGACUUUCUCAAAUUCUAAUUUUCUUUUUCUUUUUGGCAUUUUAUACUUAACUAAUAAGUUUAAAAAAAAUUAUCAAAGUUAAUAACUCCAUUAGUCAUUAAUAAUUAAUUGAUCUAAAUUUAUGUGCUAAAAGUGAUUAAAGACACCAAAUUUAGUAAAUUAUCAAAAAAAAUGAUUAAAUCUCUAUUUUAUUUUUGACUAAAAUCACUUAAUUUUAAAUAGAAUCCCCAUCAAAUGAAAAAAAAUAAAAAAAUAGUUGACAGACCUAUUUCAAAACGCCCUAUAGUUGAGGGGGUCUCUAUACAUUUUUACCUUUCUUUUUUUUCUUUAUUGAUAAUUCUCUUAACUUCUUUUUAGAAAAAUUGAAUGAUUUUAACAAAAUAAAUUAGGAAUUUAGUCAAAUUUAAUAGUUUAGUUUUUUUUAACAAAAAAAUUGAAGCGCUUGACAAUUAAUAGUUGAGAACUAUGCUAAGUUAUACACACAAAAUGCGGCUGUAAAUCUUAGCCAAUAUUAAGUUCCUGUAUUGUUAUUUUUUUAAUACUAAAAUUUUUAAAAAUAAAGUCAUUCCACCUAAAAAUAAAGUCACCAAAAUGUUUAUUUAAAAAAAAUAAGAAGAAAAGAAAAAAAAAAGUGUAUAGAAAGGGCUUUAAUCAUAUGCUUUUGUGAUCAACAAUAAAAAAAAAAAACAGUUAGCACUCCUAAAGGAACAUAUAAAAGACAGUUAGCACUCCACAUAUAAAAGACAGUUAGCACUCCACAUAUUUUUGUGAUCAACAAUAAAAAAAAAAAACAGUUAGCACUCCUAAAGGAACAUAUAAAAGACAGUUAGCACUCUAGUGUAUAGAAAGGGCUGGAGAUGGCGUUUCAUCUGUACAGGAUUCUUAGCCUCAGCCUCCCCGGGAAAUAGAAGACAGUUAGCACUCCUAAAGGAACGCCUACUUCAGUUCUCCCUAAGCACAAGACCGGACUCACUUAUAUGGAGGUGGACCUCUCACGGCAAAUUCACUGUUAACUCAUUGUACAAAUUUAUCACCUUCGCCGGACAAAGUGAGCCGAUCUAUCAACACCUGUGGAAACUUAAAAUCCCGGUUAAAAUCAAAACCUUCGUCUGGUUGCUCCUGCGCAAGAGGCUGCUCACGGCUGACAGAUUGAUUAGGCGAGGGGCACAAUUGGACCCUUCCUGCGUCCUUUGUGCUGCCUCCCUGGAAUGUGCCGACCACCUUUUCUGCAACUGUGUCUUCGCCCGUUUUCUUCUUCGACAACUGGCAGGGGCACACAACUUGGCUUCGGGCGGGGACGUAGGAGGACUUUGGAGUCUAAUUUCAAACACCCCCACGCACGCUCUUUAAGAUCCAAAGCGCUAACCAAGUUGUGGCCACUUCUGGGUCCUCUGGACUGAGCGAAACAACUUCGUCUUCCGUUCUUAGCCUUCCAACGUCGAGAGAGCUUUGGAUAGAGCCUCACCCUGUUUACUGACUGGAGCUCACUCAUGUAACCAAUUUUCUCUUCCCCACUUUCUUUUUUAUAACUUCUUCCUUUUUCUUUCACCACUUUUGUCUUGUUUCUUAUUCUUCGAGUUCGCUUUUUGCCAAGGAAGCCUUAGCUGCUUCACCUAUGUAAGCUUAGUUACCUUAUCCUAUUGAAUGAAGCAGGUAGCGUGCUACCUUUCUCUCAAAAAAAAAAAAAAAAACAAUAAAAAAAAAAAAAAGUGAAAAGACCGUUGAGAAAUAAAAGGAACAUAUAAAAGAGCCAUUCCUCUUUUGCGUGAAAUAAGGGCUCCUCAUAAUAAUAAUUUAUUAGUGCUCCCAUGUGCUAUGUUAAUUAGUCCCAUAAUAACGGUUCGGUGUACACAAACCUGUCCCACAAAUCAUUAUUUUGACAAGUACUAGAGAGGGAACUUCAACAAUUAGAAAGAAAUAAAUAAAUGAGUAAAUUACCCUUUUGGUCCUCAAACUAUGAGGUCCGUAACACUUUGGUCCUCAAACUUGAAUUCAUUAUAAUUUAUUCGCACUUUCUGAAUUGCUGCAAUCAAGUGUCACGAUCAAUUUAGUUGACUAAAUAUUAACAAAUUGAUGAUACAUAAGUGACGCAGAAGUAUAAUUAAGAUGUUGCGUCAUUUUUACAUCAAAAAAUUAUUAAUAUUCAACAAGCUAAAUUGGAUUGUGAGGUUUGAGUGUGAUAACUUAGAAAAUUCGAGCUAGAAAUUAUAACGAAUUAAAAUUUUGAGGACCAGUGUAAUGUAUUCUAAAUAAAUUGCGAUUAUUUUCUUAGUAUAUAGGAAUGCAAACGGGACAGACCUAGAGGUGUGAUUCGUCCAACCUAAAAAUCCGUCUCCUUAAUUUCAGUCCCCCAAAUCCACCCAGCAAAUAUUAUUUUUAUUUUUUUAAUUUAAUUUAAGUUAAAUAUAAUUAAAUUUUUAUUAGUUUAAUUAAAAUAAAAUUCUAAAAUAAUAAAUUAUUAUUAAAGUAACUAUCUUUAUUUUUCUUUAUUGUCCCGCGAAGUGGCCCAUGGGCCCCUAAACCACAUAUAAUUAAAUUUUCACUAUUUUAAUUAAAAUAAAUUUUAAAAUAAUUAUAAUUAUAUUAAAGUGGCUAUCAUUAUUUUUUUUAAAAAAAAUUGCCCCACUCAUUAACUCUUCUACAAGUUAGUUGUUAUCUUUUAAAUUACAUUUAUAUUAGAAAUGAAUAAUACUUAAGACUCUAAUAAUAUUUUUAAAAAUUAAAAAUUAUUCCAUAAUUAAAAUAUUUAUACGGGGCAAAUUCAGAAUAGGACAUAGCGCGGGAGAUUCAUUGUUGAUCAGUUUGUUCACCGUCUCCUGCCACUAACCGUCUCAAAUUAUCAAAAUAAUUUUGUUUACGUUUCCGAAUCCAUUUAUGUCCUCUAAUUUACUGCCCUCGCUGGAGACGAAUCAGAGCGAGAGCUCCACCAACCCGGACUAGUUUGCAUCGAUGUUAGCUAGGUUGGCCAAAAGCUAACCAAGAUGUUAGGGGGUUCAAACCUCUCAUGUGUCCUCGGCUUUGAAUUUAACAUAAUAGAUUAUAUAUUAGGAGUAGGGCUACUGUACUAUUAGAAGUAUAGCAGUUCUUGUGCUUCUAACUUUCUAAUUACAUAUCAAUUUUGAUGGGUAAUUAGGAUGAGAAAAAGAAGAGAAAUUGGUGAGAAAUUGGGUGUCUCAAUUUCUCUUCUUUUUGAAUUUCUCUUUAAUUUCUCUUUUCUCUCUCAUCCUAGCCACUCAUCAAAAUUGAUGGGUGGUUAAGAAAGUUAGAAGCACAAGAACUACUGUACUCCUAAUAGCACAGUAGUCCUACUCAUUAUAUUAGUAUGUUGUAUGUUAGAUACUUUCUUUUGUUUAAUGAACUAUAUUAAUUAUAAAAAAAAUAUUAUCUGUACCUUUAAAAAAAGAGCAUAAAUAUUACAUCCCUUGUUCAAAAAUUUUAAAAACUCUUUAAAACUUAGUAUUUUAAAAGAAAAGGACAAGAGAAUGGCUUCAUAUGGUUACUAGGAUUAGAGGGCGUAAGAUUUACACCUAUUUUAGAAUUUACACAUAAAAUUGCUCUAUUAAUAAGCUCCUAACUACUUUUUAAAUAAAUAAUAGAACAAAAAAAUUUCUAAAACGGAGCUUCUAUAUUUGGGGAUCAUCAUCACUAUUACGCUGCCUAGCGCUAUAGAAGUUUUAAAAUUCAAACAGUAUUUUCAUAGCAUAAUUUUUAUAUAUUGACACUAAAUUUUGAUAUCGGGAUGAAAACGAAUCUUAGAAAGAUACGCAAGACCAAAAAGAAUAUCUAAAAGCUUAAACUGAUAAAGGUGUGUAGUGUUCCUAAGCUUUGGAUAGAAUUGGCUUCAGUAUUAGUGACUGGUCGACAUCUCUGUAUAGUGUCGGACUGAGUCGGAGUCAAUUCUACGCGAAUUGGAUGCAGAAUUGGACUCGGCGCACCCAAAUAGGCAAAACUAGAGUUUUGCCAGAUUUGGGCGCCCAGAACAUGAUUUAUGUCGCCCAGAACUGAGUGUUAAAUUUAACUGAAACUGGAGCCAAUUCGAAUCCUAUGUUCCGGGCGCCCAGAAGUGGGUCCGGAAAUUCUACAUCGUGAAUAUCGUUUGCUUCGACGCGUGGCAGGGUGGUAGGUGAGGUCCGCCGGAGCCGUUUACGGGUGCAGCACACCGCGAGCGGAGAAUUCGAGAAGGAUGAUUUGUGCAGCCUGGAUGUUUCGGUCACCCAGAACAUGGUUCCGGGCGCCCAGAAAUGCCCAUUUCAGCAGGGACACCGGAUUGCAGCUGUUUCUCUUGGGGCUAUUUUAUCCCUCCAGCACCCUAUAAAUAUCUAGUAUACGUCCCCUUUGAGCUCUUUUUACCUGUUCUUCACAGAGAACUUAGAUUUUUCUCCUCAAUCCCUCCAAUCUUUCCAAAUUGCAUCAAGAUCCACAUCUCCAAGAGUUGCAAGGUGCUGAUCCUGUAGUUUUUCCAGCGACGACCUUCAGUGUUUUGGCUCGUGCGCAACGUAGGGAUAUCGGAUUUCGACGAAACUUGGUUUGCUAGAUUCUAGACUUUCAAAGGAAUCCAUGAAGCCUUGACUUGCAGAAUUUGGUGAAGAUUAGUUCAGUCGAACUCAGAUUUUCCUCUGCUGCUGUUGCUAUGGACAGAAUUGCAAGUUUUUGAGUUUUCUUGGGGUGAACUUUGGAAGCAGGGGCUUUGUGGAGUUGAGUCACAUCCCCUAUCAACCAGUACUGGAAUUGGGACCAUCUUUACCUGAUUUGGAGAUUGUUAGGUGAGUUUUGACAUUGGAAUUGAAUAAAUCCUAAGCUUAAGUACUGAAAUUGACGAAUUGUAAUGGAUUUUGGGUAAGUUGUAAUGUCCAGGUUUUGAGGGGAUUGUUGCUGGUUUGGAGGUGUUUUCAGCUGUGCUACUUGUGAUCCGAGACCGUGUUGCUGCCAGAGGAAUCGCGUUUGAGGUGGGUUUGCAUCGGAUUACUCCUAAGUAAUGAGUAGAUGUAUAGCCGACAUGUAUGUUUUGUUGUUCGGUCUACAAUGUGAUUAGAUUAAAUUUAGCGAUAAGCUGUGGCUGUAACCUGAAUUUAAGCAUGCUAAAUAAGUGACAUUUACACAUGUUGAGUUAGGAGAAAACCUGCGUUUUGACCCGUCAUAUGCUUAAACUAUCAGAUUUAGCUCUAGGAGUCGUGGUCUGACUGUAUCGUUGCAGUAUCAGUGCGAUAGAUAGCUGGGGUAGUUUAGAAGGCAUUUACGCUCGUGCUGGGGUGCCGAGCUUAUUUUUCAGCAAAGUCUAGACUGUUUCGGGUCGUUGGGUGCCGUCCGGGUUGGCGGUGGAUCCAGAUUCUUAUUUUGGUUAUAGAUUGUGCCGAGGGCACGUGGGUUUGGUUUGUAGACCUGUUUUGACCCUGUUUACAUGACUUUGGCUAGUUGGAGCCUGAUUGAGCUCGACAGAGAUACGCUGCAUACUCGAUUCGGUAGCUCCCACGAGUGCCACUCCGGAGACGGGCGUUGUGCUUUCACGUUGGUGUCGCUCAUGCCGGUUGGACUUGCUCUCCACGGACUAGUAGUGUGGAGGUAGCUGGAUAGUCACAACUGGGUAGGGACGGGUGUGUUCAGAGUCUCAGGGACGGGUAUGCUUACGGUCCCGAUUGGAUUGAGUCAGAUUUGACAUUUCCUACAGUUGGUUAGUGUAGAGCAUGAUAGUGUAGUGAUCCAUAGCGGUAGAUUUCAUUCUUGCAUUUACUACUAUCUUUCCUCCCUUCUGUAGAUUUAGUGGGUGGACCGAUAUUGUUGAGGGCGGCACCCACUGAGGACUACCUGUUUUUACAGUAGUUCUCACGCCCUGUUAUUACCCUCUGUUUUUGCAGAGCCACCGUCGUCGGCUGCUGCUGUCGCAGAUCAGGAUCGAGGCAAGGGCAUCACGAGUUAGAGCCUUACCAGACGUGCCGAGCUAGAGGUACCCCUACUGAAGGCAGAUGUUUUGUUUUGAAUUCAUGUACAUAGUAUACUUAACUCGCCAGUGCGAGUAGCUCUGUAUUUAUGGUAUUGGACUAUGUAUAUGAAACUCCGUUUGUUUAGCUUCUGUUUACUCUAGCAGCUCUAUACUACUGUUUGUAGUAUUGUAUGGUUUACAGGUACAGCUGUCGCUUCGUAUAUAGGGGAAAUUCCUUUGUAUACGGCGGGUUUGUCGGCGUGCCCGGGAAACGUGUAAUCCAGGGCGUGACAAGGUGCCUAAUAUGACUUGAACUUAGAAUCUUCUACUUUGAUACCAUAUAAGAUUAUAUGAAGUAACUUUCUUUUCCAAAAAUUUAAACUAGUAGAGAAUUAAGAUUGAUUCGAUUUCUCUACUCAUAAAUUAACGCCGACUAGUCAGAUGCACUGGCUAAGCGACCGAACUCUCCUCUUUGCAUCUUCCAAGUGCAUUAACUAAUCCAAGACUACCCACCAUUUAGUGGGGUGGACUCUAGUCGAAUGCACUUGUGGAUCAUAAUCAUUAACUAACUAUCCCAAAAGUACGUGCUGAUAGAAAGGGCGCACCCAUCGUACUUAAAAGCUCAACCACAGCGCUCGCGUGUUCCAACCCGACUCAACCCAUCUGAAUGUUAGGUUUAUUGUUGGGCCUCCUGCUGUUUGGUCUCUUGUGGACCAUAGUCUCAGUCAACUUAUUAAAUUCACUAAAUUCAACUUAUUAACAUCUUGGAUCUAUUAUCACGAAGUAGAAAAUCAGCCUUAUUUUAGUCUAAUAAUAAAUAGCCAACAGCAUGGACUAAUCGAUGUAACUUUCUUGUCUAUAAUACCUCUCAAAAAAAAAAAAAAAAAAAAAAAAAAAAAAAAAAAAAAAACUGAUUGAAGACAGCACACCAUCCAAUUAUUAGAUCGAAUUCAGAUGCGCGCGCCCUCUUUUUAUAGCUCAGUGGAUCUUAACUAAUGUUGGUUGAAAUUAGUGUCCAUUUCCCACGACACAAGAACAAUUUUUUCCAUGCCAAAUUUUGGAAUUAUUAUUAGAAUUAUUAGAGGACGAGAUAGAUGAUGUGUCAAUUUCACCAACCAAAAUUUCUAAUCAUCAUCUGAUUUUGUGCGUUGAAUUUUUUUUGCAAGUUUGAUCUGAGCCCAAAUUUGAUCAAAGGUGGUUUUUUCUCCUUUUUUUUUUUUUUUUUUNAAUUAAUGAAUGCAUGAAGGGGAGGGGGGACCCUAUUAAUUCCUUGUCUAUGAGGGCACAGUGCACAAGUUGCCCUCCUCGGUUGUCCACCAAUCUCUCUCUCUCUCUCUCUCUCUCUCUCCCAUUAUUAUUAUUAUUAUUAUUAUUAUUAUUAUUAUUAUUAUUAUUUAUAUUUAAGGUUAAAAUUUUGACCCAUGAGAAUUUUAGUAACCUUAAACCCUGAACUCUAAUCUCAACUAUAUAUAUAUAUAAUUGAUGCUUACAUUCUAAUUUAGCGUCUCACGGGUACGUUAGGUCUCUCUCUCUCUCUCUCUCUCGCGUGAUGUAAUUAACAGAGCUGAUUUUGAUAAUAUCUCGUUGGAUUACAAAAUUAGUAAUUUAAUUUAAAACUUUAGGUUUUAUGUAUAAUCUAAUCUUAGAAUUAAUAUUCAAAACAUCUUUGACAGGAUAUAUACACAAAAUAAUCCAUCAAAUUACCAAAUGUUCUGCCAAAAAAAAUAAAUAAAUAAAUAAAUAAAUGUUACGGAGUACUCUGAAGAUUAAUUCUAUGUUAUCUCUCAAAAAAAGAAUAAGAUGUAUGUUCAUUUUACAAUUUUGCCCUCGUGGUCUCAAAUAUUAACAUUAAGCCCUACACUAGGGAUGCAAACGGGGUGGAUCUGGGGGCGGGAGCCCCGCCCUGCCUCUGGUCCCGACUACAAAAAAUCCGCCCCGCCUCCCGCCCCGAAUUCGUGACGGGUUGAAAAUAGUUAUCCCAUAAUCCGCCCCGUCUUAUAACCCACCUUCCGCCAGCGCCCCGAAUCCGCCCGCCAAAUAGUAUUUGUUUUAUAAAUUAUAAUAUUAUUAAUAUUUUAUAAAUCUAAAUCAACAAAAUUUUUAAUAUUAAUUGAUAAUAUUAUCAAGUUAUAUGUAAUUAAUAAUAUCAACUAUAAAAAUCAAAAAUAUCAAUCACAACUCACAACAAAAUUCAAAAAUUUUAAAUACAUAUAUAUGGAAAAAUUUUAAAGACAUACAUUUGGGACGAAUUCGGGGCGGAUCAUUCGGGACGAAUUCGGGGCGGAUCAUGGGGGACGGAUUCGGGGCGGAUAAAAAAUUUUCCCGUUUCCUGCCCCGAAUCCGCCACGGAUCAUAAAAAUUACCCCGUUUCUUGCCCCGAAUCCAUUUAUUUCCUCCCGUUUACUGCCCCAUUAGGGGCGGAUCGGGGCGGGAGCUCCACCACCCCAGAUCCAUUUGCAUCCCUACCCUACACUGAUUCAUUUAUUUGGUUAAGUUAAUUAGGUCUGUUUAGGUUCUUACCUAAAGAAGGAUUUAGGCCCUAUUUGGAUACCUCUAAAAACGUAGUAUAGUUAAACUAUGCUACGCCGGUAGGAAAAUAAUCCUAUGAAGCGUUUGAAAGAAAAAAAAAUAACGUAAUUUUUGGAGUAUAGUUAUACUAUAUUCCAAAAAAUUUAGUAAACUUACAAUUCACUUUAACCAAAGGAAAAAAAUUCCACCAUUUUGGGCUCCUAAAGAUGUAUCAAUUUCUAAAUUUUAAAUUUCAACAUAAAUUUUAGAUUUCAAAAUUUAAAAUUUUAAAAUUCAAUUUUAAUUUUGAUUUUAAAUUUCAAAUUUCAAAUUUCAAAAAGUUCAAAUAUCAAAUUUCAAAUUUCAAAUUUUAAAUUUUAAAUUUCAAAUUUCAAAUUUCAAACUUCAAAUUUCAAAUUUCAAAUUUCAAACUUCAAACUUCAAACUUCAAAUUUCAAAUUUCAAAUUUCAACUUUCAAAUUUCAACUUUCAAAUUUCAAAUUUCAAAUUUCAAAAUUUCAAAAAGUUCAAAUUUCAAAUUUCAAAUUUCAAAUUUCAAAUUUCAACUUUCAAAUUUCAAAUUUCAAAAAGUUCAAAUUUCAAAUUUCAAAUUUCAAAUUUCAAAUUUUAAUUUAAUUUUUAAUUUUUAAUUUUCAAUUUUCAAAAUUUAAAUUUAAACUUAAAUUUUAAAUUUUAAAUUUAUAAAUAUGUAAAUUUAUGAAAUUAUUAAAUUUAAAAUUUAAAAUUUUAAUUAUAGAUUUUUUAAAUUUCAAAUUUUAAAGUUUAAAUGGUAUACUUUAAAUUUUAAAAUUGAAAGUUUCAAAUUUCAAAUUUUAAAUGUCAAAUUCCAAAUUUCAAAUUUCAAAAUUUAAAACAUAUAAUCUAAUUUAAUUUUUUAAUUUUAAAUUUUAAAUUUAAAUUUUAUAUUUUGAAUUUUGAAUUUUAUUUUUCAAAAUUUUAUUUUUAAAUUUUGAAUUUUGAAUUUUGAAUUUUGAAUUUUGAAUUUUAAAAUUUUAGAAAUUUAAUUGUUAUAAAUACUGUGGAAUUAUAUGAUCUGUAUCCAAAUAGUUUAAAAAUGAAGCUGUGAAAUUUUUUUUUAGAAUUCCGUAUUUCAUUUAGACCAAAACCAUAGAAUAAAAAUUCUAUGGAGUUUUUUUAACUAUGCAUCCAAACAGGGCCUUAGGCUUUAUUUAACCACAACUUGGUAGGAAAAUUUUCUCUCUACUAGACUAAGCUAUUAAGAUGAAUAUUGGAGAAGGAAACAAUUAAUUCAACAUAAUGAGAGUACCCUUGUUGUUGUUUUUUAAAAAGCAAAAAAUUGUUAAAUGUAAUAAGUGUAUAAAAAGACACAAAUGUCAAAAUAUACUCUCAACCAGCUGUAGUCUGCAUUAAGCGAAAGUAAUAGUGUGGACCUUCAUCCUCCUUGUUUCAUUUUUUUAAAAAAAUUUGUUAAGUAUAAAAGUACGAGAAGGUAUUUUCAAAAAUAUCAGAAUUGGUAGUCCCAAAGAUUAUGUAAAAAUGCACAUUACACUUUAAUUAUAGCGAGUAGACUAUCGCGUCACUCACCAAAAGUAAUGAGAGAACAGGAGUGUAGGCACAGAUAGAGAAAAUUGCUCAGUGUAUAGAAAGCAGUAGAGGAUGACCUAGAAGAACACUAAAAACGCAGACAUCAGCUCCUCCGCAUUUACCCAAAAAAUAUAUAAAUACAGUUUUUUGAAACCAACCUUCGAAAUGGAGGCUAGCCGCUCAAUGUAUAGGGAGUAUUAGAGAAGGACCUAGAAGAACACGAAAAGCACAUCGUUAAUUGCUUUCCAUCUAUUAAAGGAAUGUAUGAAUACAGGUUUAUCCAAUACUUCUUGUUAGCUAAAACAAAUCUUUAAAAUGGAGGCAAGCAGGUUGAGCUCUCUCUGUAUAGAUGUAGACAUAUUUAUAAGCAAUUGCUGAGAGAAAGGUGAAUGGGGUAGGUUGCCUUCAUGGCCUUCUGUACCACCAUGGGAUGAGAGAGGGAGGAGGAGGGAAAACGACGGUGAAAUAGAGAGAGGGGUAGGGUCCCCAUCUUAGAGAAGGGAUGAGGGCUAGGGCAAGUUGGAUAUGAGAAUAGGCUACGAUGAUUGCAAACCAUAAACGCUAUGGACAUCAGGCAACCCACCUCCGGUGGCGGCGAGAAUGGCAGCGAGGAAGCGAGGAACGGGAUGAAGGAUCAGAAGGGGUACGAUGCGCAUCGCAAACAGAGGGAAGGGGUACGGCGACCACCACCAUACCUCGGGGCCUACUGACACACCAUCGUAGCGUACGUACGGAGGGGGAAAAAUGCCAUGGUAGAGUGCAACAACCCUCCGCGCCCCGCGGGAUCUGCAGGAGCUAGGUGUGCGACAGGGUAUGUGCCACAGCACUCUGCAGAUCUGAGCCGAUCUAAAGGGGGAAGGAGGGGAGGGGGGUGAAUGGAUCGUGAGAAACGGAGUACACAACACGUAACCCUACUGAGAACUCAAGUUUUAACAGAUCUAUUGAUUCUUGGAGCUUUGUAAUUUAUUAUGGUUCAAACCGCAAAUAUACAUUAUUAAUUGGCUAAAUACAGAAAAUCUCUAUGUAAAUACUUACUUUUUUAUUUUCUCUCUAUAUUUUGCUUUUCAAAAAUUUUAAAAAUAUUUCAAAAAGUUACAGUGUUAAUAGAGAAGGCGAAGUGACCAAAUUAUCCUUACUUAUUUUAUAAAAAAAUAAUUUUAUAAUAUAUUUCUAUCAUUUUUAAGGAUAUUUUUUUAUAUAAAUUAUAAGAAAUUGACGGAAUAGUAAUGGAACCACAAAAGAGAGGGGCUAAAUACAUCUACUUGAAAUUUUGAGAGGCAAAAUAUAAGUUUCUAAAAGUCAGAAGAAAAAAAAAUAUUUAUAGGGGAUUUUCAAUAUUUUAGCAUUACUAAUUGAUUAAAAUUAGGGAUAUCGACAGGUCGGAUUCAAGGUGGAUUUUCAAAAAUCCGAACUCGAAUCCCACUCCAAACCCAAAACCCAACUCCGCGAUUUUAAAAAUCCAUAUCCAAACCCAACACAAUAAAAAAAUCGAACCCAAAUCCGAAUCCGAAAAUCUGACCCCAAAAUAUUAUUUCUCUUUUCAAUAUUUCAAAAUAUAUUACAUUAAAUUUAAAAUUUUAAAAUAUAAAUUCAAAUAUAACAUCAAAUAUAUAUAUAUAUAUAUAUAUAUAUAUAUAUAUAUAUAUAUAUAUAACGUAAAAUAAAUUCUCAUAUCCGAAUCCAUACCCGUUGGGUUUUUAUUUUUGAUAUCCAUAUUCGAAACUAUAUCCGUUUAGUAUCAGAUAAAUUCGUUUUGUUCAUAUUCGAAUUCGAAUAAAAUUUUGAAUAUCUGUACUUAUUGACAUCCCUAAUCAAAAUGCAGGUUUGCCUCAUGCUUUAGUAAUUAGGAGCACUCCUAUAACAUAGUGGUAGAAUUUGUUUCAAUAGUUAUAUAUUCAGAUAGUAUGUCUACAAAAGUGGCAAUUAACCCAAUAAGUUAAUAACCAACUAUCUCUAAUGUAAAUAGCAAAGGAUUUAAUGAUGACACCGAAAGUCCCAAUUUGGAAGGCUAAUUAUUUUACAUUUUUCGUUAAAUUUAUUUUUAUAAAAAAUAAAUGAAACAAUAUCAUAUUACCUUUCUCUCAUUUUUAUUUGUUUUUGAGAGAGACCUUCCUUAUCUCUCAUAUCUAUUAUAAUUUGGCUAAAAUAUAGAAAAUUUUUUUGUAAAUACCUGUUUCUUCAUUUUUCCUUUCUAAUUUUUAAAAAUUUAUAUUUUAUCUUCUCAAAAUUUCAAGUUAAUGUAUAUAGCCCUCCUUCGUCAGGUUCCGUCACAAUUCUAUUCAUUUUUUAUAAUUUAUGCCGAAAAUAUUUUUAAAAAUGAUAUAAAUAUAUUAAAAAUUAUUUUUUAACAAAAUAAGUAAGGUGAUCAUUUUGUCCUCUUUAUUAAUAUCGUAACUUUCUGAAAUGUAAAUUUUUGAAAGUUAGAAGAAAAAAAUAAAAAGGGGUAUUUAUAGGGGGUUUCUCUCUAUUUUAGCUUUUAAUUUUGUUGUUUUUCAGCUCUUUUUUGAAAUAUUUCUUACUAAUAAUCAGCUUUUUUUUUAUUUUAAUCCGGCUCUGUUAUCACAGAUCCAACAAUCUGUGGUUUCAAACUUCAAAUACCACUCAUGUGGUUUCACACUUUCUCACUUUAAUAUCUUGUGAUUUAAAGUGUAUCAAUUUAGCGUUCAUAGUUUUAUUUUUAUCUUUCUAUUAUAGAUUUCACUAAUUUUUUUCAUUAAAUUAGUGACAAAGUUAAAACUAAAGGGUACUAAAGUGAAUAUUCGAUAAACCUAGCUAUAGUAUCUGAAUCUUUUUGUAUAUAAUUUAACGAAAUAUUAAUAGAAAAAUUGACGAAAAGAUAAAAAUGAAACUACAGGAUACUAACUUAAUACACUUUAAACCAUAAGAUACUAAAGUGGAGAAGUGCAAAAUCACAGGGGUGGUAUGUUUACCCAAAAAAAAAGAAAGAAAAACUUCAAAUACCCCCCUUGUGGUUUCACUUUUUCUCACUUUAGUACCCUGUGGUUUAAAGUGUAUCAAGUUAGUACUCUGUGGUUUCGCACUUUUUCACUUUAGUACCCUGUGAUUUAAAGUGUAUCAAGUUAGUACCCUGUGGUUUCACACUUUAUCACUUUAGUACCCUGUUGUUUCGAACUUUAUCACUUUAGUACUCUGUGGUUUAAAAACCACAGAGUACUAACUUGAUACAAAAAUAAAACCACAGGGUACUAACUUGAUACAAAAAUAAAAUCACAGAGUACUAACUUGAUACACUUUAAACCACAGGGUACUAAAGUGAUAAAGUGAGAAACCACAUGGUACUAACUUGAUACACUUUAAACCACAGGAUACUAAAAUGAAAAAGUGUUAAACUACAUGGGGUUUUUUGAAGUUUUCCCAAAACAAAUGAUGGGCCACACUGCCAGAGCAGUCAAAAGUCACUUUUAGGGUAGUUUUUUCCAGAAGUGCUUUUGCCUUCGGCUGUUUCAGGCUUUGAAAGCUGCAGUGUUUAACUCCAUCAUUUCAAAAGAAAUGAUUCUUCUUAUUUAUUUAUUUAUUAUUAUUUUUUUAACCUAUAUUGCGCUGCCCAGGAUUAGUUUUUUUUAUUUUUUUUUUGAGAGAGAAAGGUAGCACACUAUUCACUUCGUUUAUUUUUUAAAAAAUAAAUUUAGCUAGAAAUAUGAAUUAAAUAGGAUUCAAACUUAGGACUUCGAAUACUAAUCACCAAAUUUUUUGCCACUUGCGUUAGAAAUAGUCAGUUGCCCAAAAUUAGUUCUACACACGGAGCUUUCUCUUGUUACCCAUCUCUCGUGGAUUAGUUUUAUUAUAACAUUCUAGAAGCGAGAGGUGGAGGUAACGUUACACUAAGCAUGCAUUGCAGUGUACACCUACAAACACUAUAAUAUUAUAGGAUUUAUUUCAUACAGGUCCCUGCGAAGAUAUAUCAAAUAUUAAAUAUAUUUCUACAAAAUGUAAUUACCAGAUUUGUCCCUUCCAAAGUUCUCUGAUUUGCAAAUAUAUCCCUCCAAAAAUUCUGAUUCGUUCAUAUGUCCCCUAUCGUUUGAUUCACCAUUAGUUUUUUACAGUGGGUGCGUAAAAAUGACUAUUUUGCUCUUACAAAUUUGUCUUUACAAAAAACAACCUUCUUUCUCUCUCUUUCCUCGCCUUUUGCGAACCUAAUUUUUGUCGCAACCAAGGGUCUCGCCUUCAACAUUGCCGCCACUAUGGAUAAAUAGAAAGGGGUGAGAAAAAUAACGGGAUGCAAUAUUGGAAUACAAAUUAUAUAUAUAAAAAGUAAAAAGGUCAACCCCUUGCUAAUUGUGUUUAGCUUUUUUAACUCAUGGUUAUUUAAAUCUUGGUAACAAAAGAAUAUAUUUGCAAACGGGAGGAUUUUUGGAAGGAUAAAUCUAAUAACUGGUAAGAUUUGUAAGGAUAUAUGUGCUAUUUGAUAUCUUUGUAGGGAACCAUAUGCAAUUGUCGCAAUAUUAUACUAGCCUCCAUAUAUUGUAAUCAACUUAAUUACACUAUUCUGCACUGUACUUUACAAUUUUUUUUUUUAUAUUUGCUAUAUUGUUGUUGAUGCCAAAAAAUUAAUAUGCCGAUCUAACCCACGUAUGAGCCAAAGAAUAAGGACAUAUGGUACACCAGGAGUCGGCAAUAAGACGCCUAAAGGUUGAGAGCGUUUAGGCGGGAACGGUUGAGAAGUGGGGCGUAACUUUCAUGAGAAGUGGGCGUAACUUUCACGAUCAUGGUUACAACCACUCUCCCCACUACUUUCAACCCACCAAUAAUGUGGGUUGAUAUUACUAUAAAUAGUAAUUUCGAAGCCUGCAAUAAGGGUCUUUCUCCCCCCUGAACGAGAAGACCACCUUUAUUUCCUCUGCAAUUUUAUCGCUUUUUUAGGAGUAGUCUACAUGUAAUCUUUUUUAUCCACAUUUACUGCUUUUCUAGGAAUAGUUUUUAAGUUAGAUCUCUAGAGUCUGUAUGCCCCACGGGCACACUCUGUUGUAAACUAGAUUUUUAGAGUCUGCAUGCUAUCCGGCACACUCGACCCCUGUACUUCCUUCCACUCAAUAUAAAGUUAUUCGGCUCCUCUAGCUGACCAAUUCUCACAUUUUCUGUUAGUUCGGCUCUUCUGCCGUACUCAUUUCUCGCUCGGUCUGUAAAUUCGGCUCAUCCCGCCGAACCGAGUUUACUUUAAAGAUUUUCGAACCCGGUUGAUUUGAUCCCUUGUUAGCCGAAUCGCUUGAUCGUUCGAAUGGCGCAAACUUCAAGGGUCAAUACCAUAAGCCGUUUCCAUCCCGAAACGCUUCCAAUUCUACAGUAAAGGUUUUCGAACUCGGCUGAUUCGAUCCCUCAUCAGCCGAAUCGCUUGAUCAAGUUGAAGGGCGCAAACUUCGAGGGUCAUUAAUCGUAGUCGUUUCGCUUCCCAACGCGCUUUCCGAGGAAGACCUAUGAUCGGGUCAAAGAGGAUGGAAUUCGGCUCCUAACAAUUGUAUUAGUUUUUUUUUUCGAGUAAACAGGGAUGAACCCUAUUUGGGAUACAAAAGAACAAAAAGCGAAGUAAACAAAACAACAACCCCUUUUGGCAGUUCAUGAUCCUCUACAUAACUAGCUCAGCAAAACUGCAGCUCCAAACCAAAAGCUGCCAAGAAAAGUAACAGGAACACAAAAUAGAAAAGCUUAAAGGGGAAAAGACUCAAUGUUUGGCCAAUGUCAGUGAUUUCAGCUCGUGAACACCAAAGUCCAAAGCUUGACCGGCCGGGUCGUGGACCCCUUUCCCCAGUUCAUCACUUCGUGUUGCCCGGUCAUUGAAAAUUCUCAUAUUUCGCUGCUUCCAGAGUUCCCAUUAUGCUGCCGCAAAGUACAAAUCAAAGAAAGUUUUUGGCCGCCCCCUCAAUGACCUUCUAGAGCGAUUCCACCAGUAGCUAGGUCGCCAGAAAGGUUUGACAGCAACAAUUGCUGUGAGUUUGAAGCACCAUGAUCGAGCCGAUUCCAUACAGUUCUCGCAUAGAUGCAGGAAAAGAGUAUAUGUUCUAGAGUCUCUACAUUGGCUGAGCAUAAUACACACAACGAUGGGCCAUACCAGCCCUUCCUUGCAAAAUUGUCGGCUAUAAGAAUUCUAUCCCGUGCCGCUAGCCACAGAAAUACUUUGACCCUUAGGGGUAUCAUUAGUUUCCACAGGUAAUUGAUUUUGCAAUCAAUCACUCUCCCAAAAAUAAGAAAGUCAUAAGCACCCCGAACCGAGAACAUACCGUUAGAACUCCAGAGCUAGUAAGCCGAGUCAUCCGAAACGGACAGUGCGGUACUUUGGAUCAAUAUUUCAAAAUGCUGUUGCUCUGCUUGUUGCUCCGGAAGGCAGUGAGAGGGAUCGAAAUCCAGGUUGGCACAAUCUGCGAAUCAGCGAAACGAAUUAUUGACCGAGAGAUGUUUAAGGCUUGAAACGGCAUACAGGUUUGGAAAUUGGGUCCGGAGGGCACAAUCUCCACUCCAUCUAGCGUUCCAAAAGGACGUCACCUUACCAUUACCGGCAGAAAAUGAGACAGAAGCGACGAAGGGUGCAGCGGCGCUAAGAAAUCCUUUCCAAAUCGGGCUGCAAUCAUUGUAAGGAAUACGAUCACUGUGUGAUGGAGGCCUAUGCUUAUAAUGUUUUUGCAAUAGCAAUUGGACCCAAGGCAGGUCCUGGGAAUUGUAGAAACUCCACAGGCUCUUCAUUGAUAAAGCUGAAUUCAUAGAUUGUAGGUUUCGAACGCCCAUUCCACCAUAUUGUUUAGGGCGACAAACGUGUUCCCACUUAACUAGGCAAUGAAAGCCAUUACUUAACUUUUUGCCCCUCCAAAAGAAAUCGCGCCGAAUUUUGUCGAUGGAUUUUGUGACCCAAGAUGGUAAGAGGAAGGAAGAGCAAAAAUAAGAAGGAAUGUUACUAAGAACCGAAUUUAGGAGGACAAGGCGACCACCCCUUGAGAGCAUGAGACCCUUCCAUCCGGUGAGGCGGUUGUCGAUAUUCUCAAUGAGAGGCAUGUAGUCAACUCUGCAUAGUUUCUUCGGGGAUAGAGGUAAACUCAGAUAAGUUAAAGGAAAAUCUUUUGAGGAGCAACCAAAAGAUUUUGCCACCAUCGCCGCUUGUUCGGUUGGCAAAUUGAUCGGGAUGAGGGUACUAUUGUUAUAGUUUAUCUUGAGUCCCGAGUUGGUAGAGAAAGUAUCGAGAAUAAUCUUAAUAGUUGCCGCCGACCUGGUUGAACCAUCGAAAAAAAGCAUUAUGUCGUCAGCGAAUUAUAGUGUACGAAGCUUAACAUUCCCGAUUCCAAUGGCAGAUAUGGAAAGGGAGGUAACUGCUAAAUGGAUCAUUCUGAAAACCACAUCAACACAUAGAAUAAAGAGGAGAGGAGAAAGAGGAUCCCCCUGGCAAAGCCCACGCUUGCAAGAGAAAGUCUUGCCCGGGAUGCCGUUGAGCAAGACUGCCGUAUUAGCAUAUUGCAGCAGAGUUUGUAUCCAACCUAUCCAUCGGCUACUGAAGCCCCUCGCCUUGAGGAGGGAAAAAAGAAAUUGCCAGUUGAUGUGGUCGAAAGCCCGCUCAAAAUCGAUCUUGAAGAGUCCUGCCCGUUCCUUGGAGGAAUGUAGAUGAUGAAUGAGGAUGUGAGCGCUGUUAAAGUUGUCAAGAAUAUAGCGACCCUUAAUGAAAGCUGCCUGAUAGGGGUUGAUGAGUUGAUCCAUAAACACUUGGAGUCGGAUAGCUAGCACUUUCGAAAUCAGUUUGGCCAGGCUAUGCACAAGACUGAUCGGGCGAUAAUCAGCAGCUGAGGAGGCCUUUUUUCUCUUUGGUAGAAGACAAACCCAGCCGGUGUUGAUUUCCUGCAAAUUAGCAGAGCCAUGGUAGAAACAAUUAAAAACAUCCAGAAUAUCCUCUUUAAUUAGUAGAGCCAUGGUAGAAACAAUUAAAAACAUCCAGAAUAUCCUCUUUAAUUAGCAGAGCCAUGGUAGAAAUUAGGUUCCAAAAACGUUGAUAGAAGAUCAUCAGAAGUCCAUCCGGCCCAGGUGCCUUCUCUGGAGCACUAGAGAAUAUCGUCCUUUUCACCUCUUCCAAAGUAAAAGGCAAGUGGAGACUAGAGAGGUCCACGCAAUCGUCGCUAUAGAUCAUCUGGAGAUUGAUAGAGUUGGAAGAGACCUGUUCAACACCCAGCUGAUUGGAGAAGAAAGAAAACAAAUGAUUAGCAAGGGGCUCGGGGGAGGAGAGGGUGGAGGUUCCAUAAGAAAGGCGAGCAAUGUAAUUUUUAUUCCUGCAGUGGUUGGCUCUGAUAUGGAAAAACUUGGUGUUGGCGUCCCCAACUUUUAACCAUUGCACUCUGGAUCUUUGCUUCCAUUUUAUUUCUUCUUGCAGGCAUAAUUCUUCAUAUCUCACCUUGAGCAUCAGCCUAAGGUUGCGUUCCAGAUCACUUAAAGCCCUGCCCCUCUUCCGCUCGGUCCAGCCACUCGAUCCACCUUAGACAGCGGUUGGCCUGAUCUAAUUGCGCUGGAGAUCGAGGCCCGCACUCCACGACCGAAGGGCAGAUUGGAUACCUUUAAUUUUAGAAGAAAAACGAGUUACAGGAUCAGCAUUUGUCACAGGCAAGUUCCACGAAUUGGACACCACCUCCUCUAUAGCCGAGUAGCGCAGCCAAAAACUCUCGAAUCUGAACAAGUUGGAAGAAGGUAAGAAAGUGUAAGCUGACAGGAUCAGGGGCGUAUGAUCAAACCACGGUCGAGAAAGAGCUCGUAGGGUGGAACGCGGGAAAGAAAGAUGCCAGUCUUUCGAAACGAAGGCGCGAUCAAGACGCUCAAGUGUAGGGAUGCCUUUGCCAUUAGUCCAGGUAAAUGUUUUGUUUAGAAUGGGGAGGUCGAUCCACCCGAUCUCGUUCACGACUUCUCUGAAAUUAAGGAUGUCACCAGCGGCCGAGGGCAAUCCAUUUUUGUCAAGCACAGACAGAAGGACAUUGAAAUCGCCAAGGGCCGUCCACACACCUGAAGCAAGUUCACUGAUAUUCCGUAGCUCCUAAAGAACUCGGCUUUAAGAGUAGCGAUAGUUGGGCCAUAAAUGUUUGAAACCGUGAACAGCUUUCCAUCAACUUUUCUGUGAAGCACCACAUUUAGCGAAUAGAGACCAGCCCACUCUUGUACGCAUUCGAAGAGAGAUGGAUUCCAAGCCGUUAAGAGCCCACCUCUAGUCUCUUCCGCGUCCAAGGUUCUGAAUUCACGGAUGUGAAAGCCGCAAAAGGAGCGAAAUUUUUUAAGGGAGGUAGAAGAAAGUUUUGUUUCUUGGAGGCAGACAACAUAGCACUUACAGUUACGAAUAAAAGACUUGACAAUGGCACACUUGGUAGGGUCAUUAAGGCUCCUAACAUUCCACGAUAGAAAACAAAAAGUUCUAUUCCUAACCAUAACGAGGAAAAACACACCCCAAUAGACUUCCAAAGAGUUACACAUUAUUUGGAUUUGCACCCCUGGAGCGACCCCCGACAUUCGGAAAGGAAGUACCCGCGCCUUGGUCAACAAUCCCGUAGGAGGUCUUGAUCUGCUGUAUCUCCUCCGGGGAAGGGGGAGCACAUGAUCCCUCGUCCUCGCCGUAUCCUCAUUGCACCCCGCAUCCUCAGCGCACCCUGCAAGUGGUUCAGAUGCUGCAGGGUGCCACCUAUCUGAGGCCUGCUAAGGAGGGGGCUGAAGGAGUGGUCCGAUGGAGAGGAGGCUGGGGAGGGGGCUGAGGCUAGAUAAGGAGGGGGCUGAAGGAGAUGGUCCGUCGAAGAAGAGGCAGCCGAAGAUGAGGAACUGGUAGUGCGGGCGACCUUGGCAGCAAAUUUCGUCAAUUUGAAUAUUUUGCACAUGAUCUCCUGAGCCUUCAGCACUGCAGAUUUCUUUUUACCUUUACUCUUUGCUGCGAGGCGCAAGCUUCGUCGGUAACUCAGCAGGUUUCCUGUAGCGAGGCGAGGCAGCCUGAGAGGGAUGGGCUGAAGACUUGGGCAAGUGUCCACAACCAGCGGGUUCAGCACACUCAAGUCAAGGCUGGGGUUGGAAGGAUCCGCGGGCCUAGGGUCCGAAGCCAAAGGGUUCAGCAAAAAUCUGUUCGGGGCAGAUUCGGACCGUACCAUGUGCCCGGGGUCCACGGGAGUGAUAACAUCGAUCAAAGGCCUGGGUUCAUUCGGGGCGGGUUAGGAUCGUUUCGUGGGCCCAGGGUCCACAUGGGUGAUAUCUUUGAUCAGAGGCCCGUGCUCCACAGGGGUGAAAAUUUCAGCCAAAAGCCCACCCGGAAUAGGGCUGGGAGUUGGCUGAACCACAUCUGUUUCCCCAACAACCACUUGUAGCUGAGAAAGCUGGGCCGAACUAGAAGCCAGCUGACUCCCAGGGACAAGCGUUUCAACCCGUACUGAAUCCAGCGGACAAUCGGGACGAUCGCGUACCUCUCUGACACGAACUAGACCUGAGGCGGUAGCUUGAGUGUACGGUUGGAGAAGUUGUUUGCCCUUUGAUUUUGAAUUUGAAAAGCUCCUUGGAGCCGGCCGCCACUCCCGCCGGCGAUGUUCCGAUGCGUGCUGAGGACAUCGUUGAGAUGGACCCUGAUCCUCGAAGGCGGGAACAGAGCUAAAGACGAUUUGCCUAAUGAAUCGCUCUUGAGCCUCAAUGGUGACAAGGCCCAGCCGGUCGUCGAGGUCCUCACCAAGAAAGAUGGGGUUGGCUUCCUUGCACGAUUCAACCUCGAUGGGAACUAGGAAGCGCUGAUCCUCCACCAUCAAGUGGAUAGCCUCGGGGAUGUUCCGAACAUGUUGACAACGAAUCUUUGCUCUAAAGAACUAAACGUCGAGGAGUCUCUCAGUGAUGGUGUCAAUUUCCCAGAGCUCACCAAAGUUGCAGACUGCCGCUUUGACGUCCUCCUCGUUCCAGCAAAGGAUCGGCCAGUGGUGCAGCCGGAUCCACACCUUGUGACGUAAGUGUCCCCUUUCCUUCUCCCCCACCUCCACCCAGUUGGAGAAGUGGAAGCAGAUGCCCUCAAACCAAAUAGGACUGCGACCAAUGGUCGACUCCCUCGCCACCCAAUUGGGGUAGAAACCGGUAUUAGUUUUUUUUAAUAAAAGCACCACUUAACUAUUCUUUUAUUUUUUUUUCAAUUCCUACAUGAUAAUUAAUAAAUAUUUAGUUUUAUAUGAAUGCCGGAUUAAAAGUGACAGAGCAUAUAUUCAACUCAAUUUGAUAUAAAAAAUAAAAAUAUAUAAAAAAGGUAAAAAUAAUUGAAUAGAAGGUUUUAGUGAGCCUAUCAUGGAGAUUUAUUUUAUUUUAUUUUUAUUAUUUAACUAGCGUCUCUUAAUAAAGUUAUUAGAUUUUGUCUAAAUUCAACAAUAUUUGUUAACAAUAAUGUAGAAAUUGGUGAGACAAAGAAGCAAUUUAGUAAUAUCUAUGAGAAAAAAAUAGUACAAGAUAGAAAAAUAAAAAUAAAUCUAAAAUACAGUGUAGAGAUUGAUAAAUUAUAAUAAUACAAUAGUAUCUUUUAGAAAAUAAAUCGUAUAAUGUAGCAAAUGAAAAUAAUACUCAAGUACAACAUAUUAGAGUGUAAAUAAACAGUCUCUACUAAAAAUAACAAAUAUAAAAGAGAUUGUUUAGUUACAAAUAAUUGUUAAUGCACUACAGUUAUAACUACAUGUAAAUGUAAAUUCAUUGUUCGGUUUGGUGUAUUUGAAUUCAACUGUUGUAGUUGAAACUGUCUGAGGAUGACCAACUGCAGUAGUUGGAAGCAGUUUAUUAUUAUUAUUUUAAAGAUCAUGCAUCUUUAUCGAAUAAAUAAAUUUGAUAGCUAAACCCUACAGUAAAAUUCUUGCUUUGCCCCUAUACAGAACAAAUGUAUAAAUAAAGAGUUGUGUGAGGGUAAGAUGGGAGGGAGUGAGGGGGUCGCGUGCACCAUAUCAUUUUGUAUUCCGUACCAUCUGAUUGUCCAUUUUAUUUUGAACUCUAUUUGACGCUUUACAACUAUUGAUACUAAAAAUAAGUCAUGUCAAACAAAGCGCGAAGAGGACUUCGGUCGAAAAGUUUGCCGAAAAAUAGCCAAUUCGGCCCUCGAUGAAAGUACCGACUUCAAUGAUCAUGAGGCAAGCCCAUUUGAAUUAAGUAAUUCAAAAUUUUAAUAGAUGCGAUCAAAGGCUAGGAGUUAGGGGGCAUUUGAGAAAAGAAAGUUGGUGAACCCUGGGAAUUGCCACUAGAUAUUGCAGCGAUGCACAUAUAAAAGGGCGAAGCAGCUAUUGUGUAGGGAGUGUGGGGAUCAUGUGCACUAUGUCAUGUUGUAUACUAGACCAUCUUAUCUUGAACUUAACUUGAUGCUUUACAACUAUUGACGCUGAAAGUAAGCCGUGUCAAGACAAAGCGUUAAAGAGGACUUCGCUAGGUAUGUUUGUUGAAAAAGUCAAUUUGGCCCUCAGUGAAAGUAUCGACUUUGGUAAUAAGAAGGUAGUCCCAUUAGAAUUAUGUAAUUCAAAACUCAAAUGGGUGCAAUCAGGGGGGAGGAGUUAGGUGAUUGAGAAAAAAAAAAAAAGUUGGCGAACUGAUGGAGUUACUCCUAUGAUCAUGAUGAUGCAUUUAUAAAAGGCAAAGGCAGCUUUUAUGCAGGGAAUUCGAACAUCAAUCUAGACACCAAUCUAUAUUGAGGCCUAGGAGUAGUUGUAACGAAAUGUAGGAAUAACCAUGAUCUAAUCCAGAAGUAGACACAAUGUAAUCUCCACCACCACUCAGUCUCCGACGACAUUGCCCUCGAUGAUACACCAUUCUCAUUCUUACCAUCGCUAGACCACUCAGCCCUCAGCAGUGAACCUGCUCUCCCACAAUGUGUGCCUCCACCCAUGUGAACCUAUCCACUCUCAAGGACCACCACCGGAUAAUGAUCCUGCAUCAUACCUUUAACUGGAUAGUAGUUGAAGCUUGAAAGCCAAAGCAUCCAGCUUCUACAGUGUGGAACUAGGUCUCCAUAAUUGACCUCACAAAUAUCAAGCAACAGCAGAAUGAGUCGUCAAAUCCUAUUUGGCGUAGUUCAAAGUGGCCUGAAGUCAAUGCUAUUGUCUGCCACCACGAAUGACGCAUCUCGCACGGGAAAUUUUUAUCUUUUGGUUCUCCCGUGGGGUAGUAUUCAUGAUGUAGAUUAAAAUAUGUGUAUGUAUGGUUAUCAGGUAUUGCGGAUCCAUGGCUUCUAANGAGAUAAUGGAUGGUUGCGAUGGGAUUGUGGGAAUAUUGCGAAUUGGUCCUUUCCCUUUGCUCAUAUUACACCUUAGUCAAUAUAAUAAAAUAUUAUAUGAUUAAAGCGGAGCAUUUUGUAAAUACGUGAAAGGGAAAGGGCUAAUAUGCUAUUUUUAAUACCCGUUCGUAUCUACAAGAAUGUCCCACUUUUCGUAAUUUAUGCUCCCGGUGCAUGAGAUAUUUUCAAAAUUUAAAUUUUAUCCAUGCACCUGGUGCAUGGAUAAUCUCAUAAACCAUCACUAUUUUUUAUUUCUUUCUCUCCCCUUUUUUUUCUUUUUCCUCUUUUAUUCCUCUCUCUUUUUUUUUAUGCUUCAACAGCUAUUUGGGAAUCUCUGAGGCCGAAUACUCGAAGCUCUAGCCUUCAAUAGACUACAAAUUUGAUUGUGGGAUUAUUUUUGUUGGAAAUAUUAGGGCAGCGAAAACUUACAAACCGGAUUGCCAACAUAUCCAGAAACCGAAAUCGGAUUGGAUUGCUUAUUUUACAAGCCUUCUUGGAUCGUCCUUGUCUCAAUGCUUCUGGAUCUCCCACGUUUCUCGCCUUCUCCCAUGCGUACGCUUUACAAAUGCCAAUCGAAGAGGGCUACCAGAGUCCUCUUCUAUGUCCACACUCCAAAACCUCGGAAACGUAGGUGGAAAUCCCAAAGAGGAAGAAAAGAGAGAAAAUUUAUCAUGGAUUCUUUCGAAUUAGAUCGUAUUCGAUCGUCACUUAUGGGAGAGAAAAAAGGGACGUAUUAAUAGAAUAACGGAAUCCCUAGAUAUCCUGAAUCUCACAAAGAGAUUAGGAUAAAGACUAGGAUUAGGAUAUCCAUAAUAGAUAUCCACUAGAAGAUAUGUUUCUUAACUAAUAAGAAACAUAUAAUUUAUUCUUAUCCUUAACUUAUUAGGAUAAAUCUUAAUCCACAUCUUAAGUGGAUCAGGUUAAAUUAAGACCCGCCAAUGUGGACACACCACAUGGCAACAAUCUCCCACUUGGCCACAUUGGUCAUUUCUCUCUCACUCAUUCAUCUCUUCAUACGGGUAAUUGAGCAUGUGACCUGAUGAAAAAAACACAUGCUGGAGUGGUAUAUUAAGUCACCACCCAACUAACAUAGCACAUUACUGACUUAAUUCAUCUAUGUCCUAGACGUUUCAACACACACCAGAUCAAGCAUCACAAAGUCCCUCUCCUGUAAUAACAGGGCUCGACCCCACAGUUAUUUCUCGUACUUAUGAUUAUCUCAAGUAACACAACCGAGAUAACCGCCCGGGCAAUAAGUCACAAGACUUACGUGGUGUGUUAUCGAAACAUCUUCCUUAGCCCCUCACGUUAAUCCGUAUUGGUCCAAGCACUUUACUAGACAUACUCCGCGAGAUCGUAUUUUCUCAUGACCCCGAAAUACAUGCUAAGUUAGUUGCUUUUGACCUGCACUUCAUAACGUAGUUCUAAGUCAAUGGCACAAAAGGGUUAGUGCUCACACAGUGACAUGGAGGGAAGAACUUAUGUCACUCUACUAACUGGUCGACAAGCACAUACAGUAUAAUAUGUAUGCUAUGGCGGAGCUCCCACUUAAUGGGUCAUGUCACGCUCUGAAAAAAAAAAAACGCCAUACGAACCUUGGUCUAGGUACAAGUAAGGUAUCUAACCACCACAACUCAAGCCAUCUAUCUAAGCUGAGCACUUAGGUUCGGCUACUAUUCAGGCUCGAAAUGAAAUUUCACAGAAAAACUUUCAUAUCCAACUCUUUAGAGUCUCAUCUUAAACUAAUUAAGGCGACUUUUAAAUUAUAUCAACACUUCAUUCAUAACGUAUAUGAACAAAGUAAUCAUAUUUAGUCUCAUCUUGCUCACUACCUAGGUGCUAGGGCGGUCACCCGUGUGAGUGGGCCAAUCUGAGACUAGUGAUUUAUCGAAUAUGUGCCUACUAGUAUCAAUUACGCAAUCAAAUUAAAAGGAGAAAAACAUAUUUUCAUUAAUAAAGCGUAAGAUACAAAAUAAUGUCUAUAUAUCAAAACCUGCGAAGACCCAAACUCCUAACGUGGGUCUGGAACAUAUCCCUAGCUAUCGACUUGGUCAAUGGAUCAGCCACCAUCCUAGUUGUGGAGAUAUGUCUAAGAACGACCUCGCCUAGCCUAAUCAUGUUUUAUAGAGUACGGUUCCUUCGCUCUACAAUACUAUUUUGUUGCGGAGUACCAGAAAUAGUGAGCUGUCUACUAAUGUCUUUUUGCUUACAAUAAGUCUUGACUUGAUCAGACAAGUACUGACGACCUCAGUCAGUGCGAAGCACCUUUACACUUCUUUCUAUUUGAUUCUCAGCCUCCGCAACAAAACGUUUGAAGCAAUCUAAAGCUUCAGAUCGGCGAGAAAGCAAAUACGUACACAUAUCCAUAAUGGAAAUAAUCAUCAAUGAAUGUGAGAAAAUAGCACGCACCAUGCCGGGCCCUCAUAUUCAUUGGCCCACAAAUGUCUGAGUAGAUAGCUCUAAAGGAUGAGAGGCACGAGCAGCCUUACCGAAAGGCUUUCUACAGGCCUUCCCAGCCAGACAAGACUCGCAUACAGAUAGGUCAACUUUGGCGAGAGACCCCAAAAGGCCUUCUCGAGCCAGUCUAUUCAUUCUAUCUUGACCUAUAUGGCUUAAUCUGGCAUGCCAUUUAACGGAUUCAUCACAGAGAUUAGAAGAAGAAGAAGAAGCAAAUGCAAACCAAUCAUCCUCCAAAUCUAAUUUAAAGAAACCAUCAACUAAUGUAUCAUAUCCAAAUAAAGUACCACGAAAGGAAUAUCUAGGCGGUCUCUGUCAAAAUGGCUCUACAAAGCUUUCCAACUCCACCACAGGGAGCUUGAUGUCGACUCUUCUGCGCUCCAUUGUUGUGACACUUCUUGCUCUUCGGUGCGAUCCCACCGCGAGCGUACAACAAGAGCGAUGGAACGGUUUACUUCCAAGCGCUCUGCCUCGAGCUCGAGAUAGCACGAGAUGUCAUUAAACGUAAUAUUCUCGCUGUACGCCAUCAGGAGCUUCAUUUGGGACCAUUCAUGAUCAGGCAGUGAACGAAUCACUGCUAGAACUUAUUACUCAUCAGUGAGCACGUUUCCAGCAGUCUUGAGGUCCCGAAUCAUGGUGCUCAUCACACGAAGGUGCUCAGCCAUUGAAUGCUUCGGGUCUUUAAUAUACUGUAGAAACUUGAGAUUUAAGGCACGUAGCCUCAUAGAUGAAGUUUGACCAAAAGUAAUCUUCAGAUUGUCCCACAUGUCCUUGGCAGUUUCAAAGAUCUCAAACUGUCCAAUGAGGUCGUCUUGCAUGGCACACAACAAAGUAUACCGAGCAGUUCGAUCCUCCUUGAUCCACUUGUUAUAGAUCUCUUCUCAUGCUCAGAAGUUGUGCCUUCGGCAAGCAUGACUCGUUUGACAGAGAGAGUUUCAAGAACCUCUUGUUCAUUAAGCAGGAAUUGCAUUUUUCUAUGUCAAAUAUCAUAAUUCUUUCCAUCUAGCUUAUCACCCCAGGUGAGAUCAGCUAAGAUGUUUUUGGAAGUCAUUUCACUACAUUCAAAAAAAAAUAAGUUUAGACAUUAGGCACAUUUCCAAAAAUUAACAAGAUUGAAACACUAUCCUCGACACAACGGGAUCGAAAACUAUGCUAUGCUCGUAAUCAUCACCCAGUGUUGGUUCAAAUGUUACAAUCUCAUUAAUUUUUCUAUUAAUUUUGACCUUAUCCAAAAAUUGGAACUCAUCCAUUUUGAAGAACACAUCCUUUUCUUGAAAAAUAUUUAUGUAAGGAGAACUUAUCUCAUAAUAUCAUCACACAGAUAAAAAAAUAAGUAUUUAUGCCAAAAUUUAAUUUGAAAAAUGUCGAUGCUGAGCAAAACACAUUCUUUUACACGGCCUUAAUUAUUACAUCACUUUUUGUAUAAUAAAACCUACUACAUCACUACAAGAUGUACAUUAGAAAAAGAAUGUUCUACAAGAAUGCUGCACAUGUCAAACUCGUUUUUCCAAAAUUAAAUUUUGUUGAAAAAAAUACAGAAAUAACAUAAAUACGUAUAUGCCAAAAAAAAAAAUUAUACAAUCACAUAGGCUACAUUAGCAUUUAAAAUUCACCCACGUAGGAUAAAUUAAACAUGCAUGUUAUACAAAAAAAAUAUCAUGCAUGUUAUACAAAAAAAAUAUAUGUAUCCCAAAAAAAUAUAACCACGCAAGAAAUAAAAAUUUUACCACAUAGAAAAGAUUUUUAUUUUUUUUUAUUUUAAUGGGAAAAAAAUAAAAAAAAUACUGUGUGAGCACAGUCAGGCCGAACAGUGGCUGCGUCCGUAUGUACAUCGGGCCGGGCCGGGCCACAAGCCCGCCCGAGCCCUUGCGGUGCGCAGCGGGUCGGGCCGGGGCCAGAAGCCCGCCCGAAUCCCACAGGGGCCGCGCCUCUGCACGCAACAUGCCGGGCCGGGCCUACAAUCCCGCGCGCGCGGCGGGCUGGGCCAGGCUUGCAAGUCCCCCGCACUGCGCGCGGGUAGGCGCCCGUAGCCGGCCGGUCCGCGUGGUGCACGCGUGUAACACACUGGACCUUUGCAAAUUGCAAGGUUCGAGUGUUUGAUCAGUGUUCUAAGUUUUUUCAGAUAUUCUGAAGGGUCGUUGACAGUGUUCCGACCUAUGGCUGUACCGAUACAGAAAGUGUACCGGUACACCUUGAUGGUUGUACCGGUACAAAUGUGGUGAUUGGCCAACCCGAGGCUCGGGUUUGUGUGUUCGGGGGAUUUGUACCGGUACACUUUUUCGUGUACCGGUACACUUAGGCAGACUGCAAAAUGACAGUUUUUCGGGGGUGUAUUUUUAUUGUGGCUUAUCUAUAAAUACCCCCACAGCCCCCUAGCAGCUCUUUUGAGCCCUAGAACCUGGAGGAGCUGAGGUGAGCCCUCUCUUUGAUCUUUUCUCCAUUUUGGCUUAGGUUUAGCUAGUUUUGAUCCUCUUUUCUUCUUCUCUUUGCUAUAUGUUGGGAUUCCACCAUUGGAGAAGCUUUGUACUCUUGUUGGAGCUUGGUAGAGGAUCAAUCUUCAGCCCUAGUGGAGUCUAGUUUUGGUUUGGAGCACCUUGUGAGGUUAGUACUCUUGAUCUCUCUUUUGGAUCAAGUUUUGGAGGAUUUUUGUUAAAUGAAACCUAGAAUGGAUAUUAGGGUUAGAAAUGAGGAUUUUUUAUUAGUAGCUUAUGGAACCAAAUUGAUUGGUUUAGAACCUUGGUUUAGGUUGGAUUUGAAGGCCUCUACCUCCAUUUUGGAGAUCGAAAGAGGUUCCUUCGCAUUCGGUGAGUUUUUCACCUUUUCUUGAGUUGGUUAAAGAUCGAACUUAGGAUUGUUCGUAACAUUCGUCUAUCUCUCUUUUCCUUACCUUUAGGGUGCGUUUGGUUCGAGUUAUCCUGGCAAGAUUACAGGCAAUCCUGCCAGGAUAACUGUGUUUGGUUAAUCCGCUAUGUAAUCUAUUCGUUAAUGUAGCAUUACAAAUCGAGCAGGAUUACAUCGAAAAUAUUAACGGAAGGGGGGUCGUGUAUCUUGUAUUACUGAAACCCGUUAAUACUACAUAUUAUGUAAAAUAACAAUUUUACCCUCCAACAACCCCAAAUCUAAUUAACAGUAUUAUUUUCAUCUCUCUCUCGCCUUCCCCCCGGCCCUCUCUCUCGCACGCCGCUUUCUCUCGCUCGUCUCUCUCUUUCUCUCUCUCUCUCUCUCUCUCUCUCUCUCUCUCUCGCACGAACACCUAUCAUCUUCUAUUGCGUCGUCCUCCCAAGUAAUCAUCACGAUCUCCUUCCCUCCAUUCGUCAUUUCCGCAAAAAUAAUAUUCAAAUGACCACAACAAGGGCAAUUUUGAAAAAAACUAUACUUUUAUGUCAGGAUUACUAAAUUUUAUAAACUGAACCAAACAUAUUAAUGCUAUAAACACUGUAAUCUAGUAUUACAUUACUGUAUUAAACCAAACGCUCUAAUGCAGCAUCAGUAGUAAUCUCACGCCGAAAUCCAAGAUACCUGGAUAUGUCGAGAUACUUUGUAAUAUUACAUAACUCGAACCAAACGGGCCCUUAGGGUGCUAAGAGAGUAGCGGGCACCUUCGUCGGCGCAAACGAAAGGCAGCCAAGAGUUUCGAUGGGUUUGACUUCAUGGAAUAGAGGAGAAAUGUCUCCUAUGUGAUUUAUCCUUAUCGUUUCAUCGAAAUGCAUGUAUAUUCAUGCUAGAUAGAUUUUUUAUGAAAUUUAGAGUACUUAAAAUGCAUGUAUUAUGUAUCAUGAAAAUUCAACUCUAUAUAGUUAGCCAUAUGUGUAGUAAGCAUGCAUGUGAAAAGUAUUCUUUAUUGCAAGUUGGAAACAUGUCUCAUGUGAUGAAAAUGAUUAGAAUUAUGUACUCUUGAACAUAAAACUCAUGCUGGGACUUAGUGGACAAAUGUGUCAUAAAGAGGCACCCGAACUAGUAAACUGUGAAACUGCAACAUAGAGACAUAGUGAUAGGCCAUUGUGACAUCGACUAUAUUCCAUGUUUUAGACAUGAUGACAUAGUGAUAGGCCAUUGAGAUACUUGCUACAUUCUAUGUUUUAGACAUGAUGACAUAGUGAUAGGCCAUUGAAAUACUCGCUACAUUCCAUGUUUUAGACAUGAUGAAUUGGGACUUGAGACGGACUUUUACGCUUGCUUGCCAUUAUGCUCAUUCGCACAUGCUUGUGAGGGUCGCUCCCGACAAGCCGGCACUCCGGAGAUAGCCAUCGCGACACAUGCUCGCCCGUGUGGGAUUGGGCGCCGAAAUGGGAUGCCGUGGGGGAGGCUCAUUCCUAGAGUGGGGAUGUUGACUACCAUGGGGCCAUUAGGCACGGUGCAGGCCGGACCACCCACAGGUAGGUCCUACAUGAUUGGAACAUUGGUAACUUAGCAUACCGAGAGGACAUUGACUAGAAUAGUAAACAAUGACAUUUUACUAUUUAGCUUGUGGACAUUAUGUUAGUUAUACUCUUGUACAUUCAUGUUACAGUAGCUUUAUUACUUAUGCAAAUUCAUGCUAAGUAGAGAUAUCAUGUUAUAGCAAGCUUUCAUGUUAGUUGUUUAUGGUUCAUAUCAUACUUGUGUUUACCCUUUCAGCUUUUGGGCCUAGUGGUGCAUUUCACUGAAGUCAGUAAUUACCCACUGAAAACUAUUAUUUAAUAGUCCUCACGCCCUCUGUUUUACGAUUUUCUUUCAAAGCCUUCAGCACCGGUGGAGGCACGGGAUUGCGACAAGGGGGUCGCGUAGCUAGAUAGCGGAGCUUGCUUUUGCUCUUAGGUUGUUUACUCUCUUCUUGUUUGCUGUAGAGAGAGUGAGAGGUUUUGGUACCAUGUAUAGAGACCACCAUUGUAUUACUCUUAGCACUUGUAUGUGAAUUUCGGAUGUACUACCUUAUGAUUUUAUUUUUAUGGAGUUUAGUCUCUUGUCUACUCUUUUGUUGUAGAAUCUAGUUAUACUUUGCUUUGAUACUCCUAGAUGUUCUUCUUCUAUUGCUUUAUUUAUCGUUUUAUUGUAGACGCCUUAUAUGUUUUAGACGUAUGGCGGGUCUGGGCACGCACCGGGCCGGCUUCCGCUGGGUCCCGGGGCGUGACAGCGUGGGUGCGCCUCCCCGUGGACCCACUCCGGUGCCGGUGACGCGCGCGCCCCUGAACGCUCAGGUCGGGCCGGACGGCGUGGGUGUUCUCGCGCCGGGCGGGACGGUAACCGCGACCUUCUGGACGCGUAUCGCCUGUGCAUACGCCCUCGGGCGGCUCGCGCUCCCUUUCGUCCGCGCGUCGCCCGCGCCCGCGCGUGGGCGCUCGUGGCGCGCCCACCCCGGGCGACGCCCGCCCCUGCGCGUGGGCGCUCGUGGCGCGCCCACCCCGGGCGACGUCCGCCACUGCGCGUGGGCGCGACAGUGCGGGACCCUGGGUCACCUUCGGGCGGGGCGGGCGUCGCCCGCCCCUGNNNNNNNNNNNNNNNNNNNNNNNNNNNNNNNNNNNNNNNNNNNNNNNNNNNNNNNNNNNNNNNNNNNNNNNNNNNNNNNNNNNNNNNNNNNNNNNNNNNNNNNNNNNNNNNNNAAAAAAAAGAAAGAAAAAUUGCAUGUUUUAUGAUCAAUUUUAAGAGAAAACUUAAACUAAUUUUGUUUUUCUUUUCUUUUUCUUAUUAAAAUCGAUUUCACACUGAAACCAAAAAAAAAAAUUUGUUUACAUAAAAGAUUGAUCAACGAAACAUGCGAUCUAAAAACACGCAUCACAAGCAUGAUCAAAGGCGAAAAUAAGCAUAUGGCUCCGAUACCAAUUGUUGGAAAUAUUAGGGCAGCGGAAACUUACAAACCAGAUUGCCAACGCAUCCAGAAACUAGAAUCAGAUCGAAUUGCUUGUUUUACAAGCCUUCUUGGAUCGUUCUUGUCUCAAUGCUUCUGGAUCUCUCACGUUUGUUGCCUUUUUCCAUGCGUACGCUUUACAGAUACCAAUCGAGAAGGGCUACCAGAGUCCUGUUCUAUGUCCACACUCCAAAACCUUGGGAACGUAGGUGAAAAUACCAGAGAGGAAGAAGAGAGAGAAAAUUUAUCGUGGAUUCUUUCGAAUUAGAUCGUAUUCAAUCGUCACUUAUGAGAGAGAAAAUGGGGACGUAUUUAUAGAAUAACGGAAUCCCUAGAUAUCCUGAAUCUCACAAAGAGAUUAGGAUAAGGACUAGGAUUAGGAUAUCCAUGAUAGAUAUCCACUAGAAGAUAUGUUUCUUAACUAAUAAGAAACAUAUAAUUUAUUCUGAUCCUUAACUUAUUAGGAUAAAUCUUAAUCUACAUCUUAAGUGAAUCAGGUUAAAUUAAAACCAGCCAAUGUGGACACACCACAUGGCAACAAUUUCAAAAGAAUGAAAUUCGCAAAUUUGUUCUAAUUCGAUAUGUAAGUUGCUCAAUAUAAGAAGUUCUGAAAUCACUGAGAAGAGAAGUCGAGGUACAUCAAACCUCGAAUUGUCUAAAAGAGCAAUAUCUUAUACCUCGAGUACAAGGAGGUCGAAGAGAGUAAAGAUGGUUCUCUUUUUUGAACCACAUGGGCUUGGAGGCCAACAAUGGUUGUGAAAUUGACGAACAUUGGAGUAAGGAUAUCUGGCCAGAAAAUGAAGAAAUUGGUAGAGGUAGACCAAAGAAAGAUACAAUACGGAGAUAAUAAUUAGAUUUCAGGACCACCUUCAAUAGUUGGAUAGCAAUAAAUAUAUCACUGUCCUUCUAGAAAUCGCCCCAAGCUUUUUCUACUCAAGCUACCUCUUGAAGGAAUUCCUUAGAAGAGGACGACCAUGAUUGGGGAGAAUGUCUAUGGGAGCCCCUAGGAGAAAUGCCAACAAGACUAUUCGUGAAAGUGACGAUGGGAUCUAAAUUAUGAAAUAGUUGGAGGACAUCCAAGAGUGACGAAGAGGUAAUGGAGGGCCCUUGGAUGUUUGAGAAUCUAACCAGGAAGCAGAUGAAGAACUUCAUGUCUGACGAUAGGGUCCUUAAGGAAAGAGUCAUCGGUAGGGAUGGAUGUGGAAGACAAAGCCAAAAUGAGGAAAAAAUGAGAAAUGAGGAGAGUGGCAAGACUUAAGAAGAAAACGAAGAAGGGAAGCUAUCUCAGCAGACAAGACAAGGAUUUUAAUCGAAAGAAAGUGUGCGACGCAAGCCAUAUUUAUGUCGGUACACCAACCAAUGACAUUUGAGUAAGUGUCCUACGGUGUGAUGGAUCACCUCUUGUCAUCAUUGUAAUGAUGGGAAUGAGUUAAAUGCAUGCCUAAAAUCCCAUAGUAAUGGGUUGUCACGAGUCGCUGUGAAACCCUAAAUAGUGGUAGCGAGGCUUUCAACGAUUUGUCCCAUUCACAAGUAACUGCUGAGGGGGACAAUUGUUGAUAAUGAAAAUAAGUUGCAUCAAGACGAAGCAUCAAUAAGGACUUUGAUAGGAAAGUUUGCUGAAGAAUACUCAAUUUGGUCCUCAGUGAAAGUACCAACUUCGGUAUCAGAAGGCGCGCUCAUUUGAAUUAAGUAAUUCAAAAUUCAGAUAGGUGCGGUCAAGAGCAAAGAGCUAAGGAGGCAAUUGAGGAAAGAAAGGUGGUUAACCAUAGGAGUUACUCCUAUGAUCAUGAUAAUGCACCUAUAAAAAAGCAAAAGCAGCUAUUGUGCGGGGGAUCCGAACAUCAAGCGAGACAUGUGUGAGACCCCAAAUAGUCCUAUAUAUAAGAUAUAAUACGGCUAGAACUCUUAAUCCGGCUUAAGCAUGUUGGGUGGUGGCAAGACCCAAGAGGUUAAGAGAGUUAAGCGUGCUAGGACGGGAGUAGUCCUAAGAUGGGUGACCCCCUAGGAAGUUGGUGCGUCACAGUUAGUAUCAGAGCCAAUUACCAGCCGAAAAUGUGAGAUGAGUCUCAGCUGAGCCAAAAUUGUACAGUGGAGAGAGCAAGGCUCUCAUACUGUUGACUGUUGUUGGUAGAGCGCGGCUCCCCUACAAGGUCGGUUUAGGCUAGCGAGACGAGUCUCACAUCGCCUGGUACUUGUGAUUCUAAGCCUGACGAGGACGUUAGGGCUUAAAGGGGGGGAGAUUGUGAGUCUCCAAAUAGUUCUAUAUAUAAGAUAUAACAGGGCUAGAACUCUUAACCCGGUUUAAGCAUUUUGAGUGGUGGCAAAGCCCAAGAGGUUAAGAGAGUUAAGCGUGCUAGGACGGGAGUAGUUCUAGGAUGGG
rnacentral:lncRNA from 1 species